rnacentral:lncRNA from 1 species
GCUUGGCCUACAGAGAGAUAAGAUUUGAGGUUUUAAUGUGAUCUAGAGCUUUUAGCUUUUGAAAUACUUAAUUGACCAUGCUUUGAGUUUGAUUUAGGUUUCAACCAAUCGCGAGUUCAUAAAAAUAGAGCUAAACAAGUUUGAAUUUUACAAGACUUGGCUCAAAUGACUUCAAAAGCUUGCUGAAAAUUUCUCCUUCCUCAAUUUGUCAAACCAAAUCCCAACCGAACCCUCUUCUGGCUGUCCAUGGCAUUUGGUUUUUCUUUAGGGAUAAUUUCAAAAACCUCCCUGAGAUCACUAACAAUUUUACUAGCCUCUCCUAAAGUUUUCAAAAUUACACAAACCUCUCUUGAGAUUAAAGUUUGAAUAACAAAAUUAGUUAAUUUAAAAAAAAGUAACAUUAAAAAAGUACUUUAAGUAGGGAGAUGAAACUUUGAUUUCAUAAAUACCCCUUAUGCAUGAAUAUAAGUUGUAAUAGUAAAAGAAUAAAAAUAAUUAAGAGUUCGAAACAAUUAAUACACACAUUUCACCAAUUAAAAAGUUCACAUUUAAUGAAUUAGUAACAUAAAUAAGCAACAAAAUUAUACUAAUGAUCACAAGAUUCAACAAAACAAACUAGUCAUCUCUUUUAGUAUAAUGUUUGCUAUGAUUUUUGUGAUUUUAAAUAGAAAAAUUUUCAAAAUUUGCCUUUCUUUUCCCUCCAUUCUAUGUUUGCUACGAAGGGAAAAGAAAGACAAAAUUUGAAAUUUUUUUUAUUUAAAAUCACAAAAAUCCCCACCAAGGAAAGUCGCAUCAUUUUAUUUCUGACUAUUAAGGAAAAAACCCCACCAAGGAGGCUCGGAUAUAAAUUCAAAGCCAAUCUUAAUCUAAAAGGUCCACAGGUUUAUACAUUAUGCACUAUUUAGAUCUAUGUGUUAAGACACUAUUUCUACCCCUUUCAAACCAAUACGACACACUUAAGCCUGCUCAUGAACCUAAUCCAGCCAAAGUACACAUGUAACACAUCUUCCGCUUUCAUGUUCUGGAGAGGGAAAGAACCAGACAGUUCCUCUUCAUCUUUCCCUAAUGUUGUGAGAUGUUGGCAGCCAACUUUGUAAAGAAAUUGUUCAUUAUGCCAUCUCCAAAGUGAGCUUGAAAGAUGGGUUCAUCAAUAGCUCUCAAGCUCCUAGCCCUGUAAUUGGCAUUGGUGUUUGCAUCGCAAUCCGCCGCCCCCGCACCACCAAUCACUCGCAGUUGAAUGGUAUCCAGAUAACUUAGCUUAAGAGCACGAUUUUUCUCAAUGAUGGUCUUUACUUCUUCCAAAGAAGGCCGGUAAUGUGGAGGUUGAAAGUAUCAAGUGCUUUUUCCUCAAUCAAUCCCUAUAUAGUUUUACACAGAUGGUAUCAUAUAUUCACCCAGAUUGUAUAUAGAUUGAGUGUCUAUGAAUCAUUACCUCUGAAACCAUGUCAUUCAUUGUCAUCCCAAGUAAGUCCUGUAUGUUAUAAGCCACAGGAUCAUUGAUUUUAGGCGCCAAGGUCACAAAUAAGUGUCCCUAGACACCAAUUCAUCAGCACGGGUACUCAAGAAGUUUGUAAAAUCUUUGUCAAAUUGAUCCAAAUAUGCAUCAUGCACACUCUUAGGACUUGUUUUACCUAUGUAAAAUAUUGCCUUUGUUCAGUGGCAACCCUUCCUCAAUCACCAACCACUCGGGACCUGCAGGAGAGAGGUAGAUAGAACAAGAAAAAAAACCAGAAAAAACUAUUACAAAUAGUAAUAAUGUAAAAAUUAUAUCAGGCAGUCAGGGGUGUAGAUAGAUAGAUAGUAAUGAAAAUUAAAAUAGUGAGGGUGUGUAAAUACCAAAAUAGCAGUGUGUGUUAAAGACAAUAAAGUAGGAGAUUGGCGAACCUGAGAAAGCCAAUGAGGCUGUAAGAAGAGUGUAUAAAAUGCAUGGAGUUGUCAGGAAAAAGUCUGCCAUAAAAAGAGCCGGGCAUAGCUGCAAUGAAGCAUGACCUUGAACCACGUCCAUAUGAUUCCUCAAGUUUUUGAUAAAAACUGGGCAAUACUUUGAAAAUGGAGUUGAAAUCAUUGGACACGAGAUCAUUCAAGAAAACUUGAAUAUUAGGUAGCUUAAGAAUGUUCAAGUUAUGGCAUUCUCUAUUAAUGCUAUCUAUAAUGCUUUCAACUGUUAACAACGUAUUCGUCCCGUUGCACAUCCCAGAUCUGCUACUCUUAUGCACUCUGCCUCCGCUAGGUUGGCUUGACAAAACCCCUGAAUGCUCCGAUUGAGUGCAUGGUUGACAUUCAUAAACACUGAUCUGUGAAGGGUAGAAACUGAUUUUAGAGAUUAGUCACAGAAUUAUAUAUAGAGGACCGGAGAGAAAUCAUUUGGACUUCAUCUGAUAUGUUGAAAUGUUGAAUUUUUAGCGUAGCUUUCGUCAUCUUCCCCUCCUUUCAUGUGAAGAAUUUGUUCCAUUUCCAGUACCUUGCUGCUACUCUGCAAUUUGGAGUUAUGUUAAAGGUGAGGAGGGUAAGGGUAGCAGUAGUAACAAUCUAGCUAUUGCUAUACAUGUCAAGGACAAGGGUACUUGGCAGUUGGCAGGAAAUAAAAUGAGAAUUGAUCAGAAACAAUAUUCAUCAGUAGUUAAGGGAAUAUUGAACGGCUUAAACUACAAUCAAACUCAAUGUGUGAAUAAGAUAUUAAGCUACAUUAGUACUAUGCUUGACCAGUGAAAUGAUUUUGACCUGAACUACAUAUGAAAGUCACUAGAAAUAUUUGUGGGAUGUCAAAUAUCUUCUGUUUUAAUCUGCUUUACUCUCUGACAUAAGCAUUUGCCAAGCAUCACUAUCGUUCAACAUAUGAUUAAGUAUAUAUGUUGCUCAUGUUCUUCCUAAGCAUGCUUUUGUCAACCGAUCAAAAUGAGUGGGAGCAUGAUGCUCCAACUUAACUGGUUUUGCUCCUUCUAUCCAACCUUAAUUGAUGGCAAACUCUAAAACUAAUAUAUCAAGAUAACUUCACCGAAUGAAAAUCUUGUAAGAUGAGAAUAGUUGGAACAAACCUAUUUAGAAGGUCAAAUUAAUCAGUAGUCACUAUUUUACCAGAAAGAAAUUGAAAAUACCACUAGAUUUGCUUACUUCUGUCUCUUUAUUAUGGUAGAAGACACCACAUUCUUGACUAACUUAGGAGUUCGAUGAUUUUCUUUGGGUUAAUCUAAAAUUCCUUACUAGUUUUGUUCAUGUUACCCCCGUUUUGGAGCAAUGACACCCCGAGAGGCACACAUAUAUGCUCUAUUUGGUUAGUUGAUGAUGGGGUGUUUCUACAAAAACUGUACAUAUUAAUCGUUUGCAUCAGCAACAAAAUUCAAUAGCUAUUCCUUCGUUCAGUGCUCAGAGAAGUGAUCUAGCCUUUUAGCCAAUUAACGAAUUUUGACUUCUUGAACAAAGUAUAUGAAUGUGACAAGCCUGAGACCAAGAAAACAAGAAAUUCAUUUUCUAUUAAUAUCAAAUCGAGAAAGUUGCCAAACAGUAAGGAGAAUUACUGGCUAAAUGGAAAGUAUGAGCAGCGGAACUUUCUCCAUCGAGUCAAACACUCUAAAGACAGCUUUCAUCUCCAACUUUAACAUCAUAAUAUUCCAUAUACAAAGGGGAAAAAAAAGAAGAAAUCUAGUAGAGUACAUCCCCACUACCCUAAUGCAAAUAUAAUACAUACAAUCACAAAACAAAAUAUAAGGGAAAUGCUAAGAAUAAAGUUGGAGAAAAAAAAAAAAAAAAAAAAGAUGAAGAAAGAUAAGUACUUGCCUUUGAAAGUAUAAGAACUACAAAAUCAAAGCAAAUACAAUAUUAGAUUUAAAUCUCAACCUAGAACAUUAGUAAAUUGCAGAAAUAAUAAAAACAAAAACUAUUGUAGAUUAAGAAAUCAAACCUGCGCAUAUGGUUCAGGCACAAAACUGAACUUUAUUAGAAGAAUUUGAGAGAUUAAUGGUGAGAUGAUGAAGGGAGGAAUGAUUGAUGUGAGAAUUCAUUGAAGGAAAUUAGGUAAAAAUUAGGACAAAAGAAUGGAAGAAGUCUUGACUGUUGAGCUUGCCGAUCAGUAGUAAUAAUUGGGCUAGGUUGCACCUUCCAAGACUCUUGAAUAUUUUAUCCUUUCAAUGCAUAGCUGUGCUGGUGUUAAAAUAUUUUAAAAAGUUUAACUCAUAUAUAAUCAUUUGAGGCUGGUGAACAUAAGACAUUGAUGAAUGUGCGUGAAGAAGUAAACUACUGAUCGAGGUUUUAUAAGCAAAUAUAUCUAUAUUUGAUAAGUAGUCAAUGUAUGAAAGCAUAGGGAAGAAGAAAUUAUAUUGUAAAAGCAGGGGUGAUAUAAAUAUAAUAUUUACACCCUUGAGGAGUUCUGCACCCAGAUUUUGUGAAUUUCUUUCCAGUAUAAUAUAUUCUUCCACAUUGCCUAGUCCAUCACCAUUGUAGCCCAGAAUGUCAAAAGCACCAGCACCACCACAAGCACAAUCCAGAGGCUGCUCAACGAAAUCUACUUCUCAUGUGCUUGUCAUCAAAAAGCUGCCUUUGAGGGUCCAAUUUUGUUAGUAUAAGGGCAUCCACAAUGGAGUGUAAUGAUGCGUGUAAUACCUGUCAUGACAUGGAUUCAUUAUACGGUCACCCAUUGUGCCGUAUAAUACCCAUUACAUGCAUUAUUCUGAUGAUACGUACGUGUAAUAGGUGGGCUAGUGCCUUUAGACCAAUUUUUUUUAAGUCUAAUUUUUUUGAAGUCACAACGGACAAAAUUUAUACCGGCAAGGAAAAGUUAGUAACAUUCUUUUUUUUUUUCCAAUGGUUAUGUUUUAAUUCUCUAUAUAAACACAACACAUUCCUUCUUUUUUUCAUAUCUUAUUAUCCUACUCUAUUAUUCCUUUUACUCUCUCACUCAUUUUCCUCAACCUCUUUGCACAAUUUUUUAAAAAAUUUCAAUAGUUUGUGAUUAUGGAUGAGAAUUUUAGUAGUUUUACAAAUAUGUUAAAUGCUCCAAAUAUAGAAAAUUCAUCCUCCUCACAAAAUCAAAACUGCCAAAAUUUUUCAAAUUACCCAAAUUACCCAUUUUCUGGUAUUCCUACAAAUGUGCAAAAUUAUGUAUAUCCCCUAAAUUUAUCCAAUUCCAACUAUCCAUCAAAUUUCCACAAUCUACCAAAUUUUUCAUACCCAAUUCCCAUGUAUCCUCCACCUACUUAUUUUAAUCCAAAUAUGGGAAAUCACUACACAUCGGGGUAUUAUAACCUUGGUAUGGGUUGUGGAUGCUCAAAAACUCCGUCAGAGAUAAGGAAGGAUUUUGAUUUCGUCAACCAACAAGAAAAUACUGCAUCAAUAGAAUCAAUGUCGGACUCUCAAUUCCUACUGUAUUCAACACAACGAAGAAAAACUGUAAGCUAUGGAAAACUUAGCAAAUAAGUUAGACAAUUAUAAUUUUCGAAGUGAUUAUGAAAUCCUAUUGAAGGAUACCACAGGCAUGUCCGAGCAGCAGCUUAAAAUUCAUGAGCAUACAUGUUCCAUCCUAAAAGCCACUUAUAAUAUUCCUUAGUUUAGUUUUAAUUUCAUGGUUAGCAAUGUAAUUUUUAAAUUUUGCAUAUGUGUUGUAUCAUAUUAAUCACUUGCAUAGUAAAUUUAUGGAGUAACUAGACACAAGUUAUGAAAUCCGGCCAUGAAAGUAGAAGUCUUUAGGGUAAGCAUAAAAGUAGAUACAAGCCAGUGCCAUUGUUAGUAUUAAACGCUAGAAUUUUCAAUCCAAAGCUAUUUUGUUUUCUUCUUUACCGUCCCAUACUUCCUUGAUCGCUAAGCAAAUUUUGAUCAAAAGCAGCAGGAGGCUUUUUUUUUUUUUUUUUUUUGCCGCUCGACUCUUUGGUAUUCGCUUUUACCUUUCCUGCAAUUCAGUUUAGCAUAUAUACUGCCAAUUAGCUUUUAUGUUCUCUAUCAUAACCCGUGAAUUAAUUUAUUUGCAUUCCCACAUUAUUUCACACCCAAUUCUGGUCUUUAAACCUGCUUCACUUUUUAAUAGAAGCAGUUAGCAGAAGUCCCAUUUCGAUACAAACAAAAAUGUACAAACAAGUGUCACAUGGUAGUAUGGUACUAAUGAUGCCUGUAAUUUCAAGCAAAAUGAAAUCAAUGUUGUUGAGAUAUGCCAACUUUUUCUAUAGAUUUUAUUAGAUUACGUUUAAUACUAGAAUAAUUUAGUUAGUAGUUAAAUAAAUAUUGUUGUUGGAAUAUUUGUUAACUAAAAAUCAUAUGGUUUGUUAACAAAUAUUUUAGCUAAGAUUUGUUGAGUAGGAGAUUAUGUUAUCAUCAAGUGUUUGUUGAGAUUUUUAGGAUAAUUGUUAGUUUGAUAUUUUGUUAGUUGUUUCAUGUAAUUACUAUAAAUAGUAAGUUAUGUUAUCAAGUUUUUUUUUUUUGCAACACUAAGCCAUUGUUUAUUAAUUCAUGCUCGAAAAAAACCAACAAAGUGGUAUCAGAGCUUACGUCUUAAUGCUUAUGUUGUUUUAUGAGAGUGAGUGCUUUGUAAGUUCAAAGUCAUGAUAGGAAAGAACUUUUUGUCAAAUGUUUCAAUUUUUAGUGGUGAAACUUACCAAAUUUAGACUAUUAAAUUUUGGACUUAUUGAUAGUCAAUAAUCUAUGGGAUAUGGUAGACACAAAUUUUGUAUCGCCAGUAUUUGAAAAAUCGAUGGAUGCAUAGAUUAAAGACCAUAGAGUUGCAGUUAGACAAAGAUCCAAUACCAACAUUCACAUAUCAUUUGAUGCCGUUUUACAAGGAUAAUGGCUUAUGAUUUGAUUGAGAAUAACUUAUUCUCAAUUAAAAUGAAAAGAAAAAGUUUCACUAUGAAUUGACAAUUCUGAAGUAAAGCAUGGUGAAAUCAAGAAUUCAGAUUUUGAAAAAAUUUAAUAGGAGAUCAUUGAUGAGUUAAGAGGUAUCAAAUUGAUUCAUGAUAUUUAUCAAGAUUAUAAUAUUGUUGUUUUUGAGUCUACAAGUUUUGAUGGUAAUGACAAAAUGAAGAACUAUGUAGAAUUUCAUAUUUAUAGUACAAGUUCAAAUAUUGUCGAAUGGUGUUCCACUUUGAACCUAUGAAAAGGUUAUUUGGAAACAUCAAAAAAAAAAAAUCUUUUAUUUGGAGUUUGGCAUGAGAAGACAAAAGAAGUGGAUUGUUGCAAGACUAAUCUUUAGCUUGCAUAAAAAUCCAAAAAAAGAAGUUCAUUGCGAGGCUAAUCACCAGUUGUAGAGUUUCUUAUAAAGUCUUCUCCAAAACAAGAUCCAAACAUUUGAGAAGGCAAUUCAAAAUCUGUAGCAAAAGUGGCAAGAAGGAGUGUUGAGAUAUGUCAACUUUUUUGACAGAUUUUAUUAGAUUAUGUUUGAUAUUAGAAUAAUUUAGUUAAUAGAUAAAUAAAUCUUGUUGUUAGGAUAUUUGUUAACUAAAAUCAUAUGGUUUGUUAACAAAUAUUUUAAAUAAGAUUUGUUGACUACGAGAUUAUGUUAUCAAGUGUUUUGUUGAAAUUGUUUAGGAUAAUUGUUAGUUAGAUAUUUUGUUAUUUUGUUUCAUAUAAUUACUAUAAAUAAUGAGUUGAUGAAUAAAUAGCAAAAGCUCAUUUUCAGUUUCAAUACAAGUUUCUUAUAAGUUGUUUUUGCAACACUAAAGUGUUGCUUCUUAGUUUAUACAAAAAAAAAAAAAAAACCAACAAAUGUGCUAUAGUGAUUGAUUAGUACAACUAAUCCAUAAGAAAAAUGAAUAGCUUAAUCCACUUAACAGAAGAUGAGUUAAGUUCCUAUCAAUCUUUUCUCUCUUGUCAUCUUUCUCUUGGUCUUGGGCCUCUACCUUUGCUCCAUCUACCUUGGAACGGAGAUUAGACUCUUUAAAAGAAAAACCAAUUAAACUGGUUUUGCACCCUAUCCAACCUUUAUUCAUAGUCAAAAUCUGAAACAAAUAGAUGGAGACUAGCUUACCAAAUGAAUAUGUUGUAAAAUGAGAACAAUUAGAAUAAACUUAUUCCAGAAGUCAAAAUACUCAGAACGUGCUAUUUAACCAGAAAGGAAUUGAAAAAUCUAAUAGAUUCACGUACUUUUGUGUCUCCAUUAUGAUAGAAGUCACAAAAUUCUUAACUAGUUUAGGAGUUUGAUUAUUUUCUUUAGACUAAUAUCACACUUCUUUGGUAGCUUUUAUCAUGCACCUCUGUUUUGCAACAACGACAUCCCGGGCGCAUACAUUUGUUUGCAUCAUCUCAAUUUGCCACUGACAAAUAACUUUCUGUUUUAGAUCAACUUGGUAGUCGGUGUAUUGCAACGAAAUUAGUAGUUAUUUCUUUAUUGUGCGUUAUGGAAAGUGAUCUAACCUCCUAGCCUAUAAACAUGUUUUGACUUCUUGUACACAAAAACAAAAAAAAAAAAGAAGAAGAAGAAGAAGAAUACAAGAAGUGUAUCGCAGAACAUUCUGCCUGGAAAAAGAGUACAUAAAAGCACUUAAAGAUACACCUAUAUCCAGUAGCAGGCUAACAGCAGUAGGUAAUAUAAAUAUCAUAGCAAACCAUAUGUAGGAUCCUUGGGAGGCUUUCUACAAUCUGAGAACUUACAAACAUGCAGGCUCCCCUUUUCUCGCUACAACCAGUGAAUAAGAACAAUUAAUCUGAAUAUUGCAACGUUAUCGUGGCAAGAACCCAUGACGAGAAAUGGCAAUCUCAAAUGCCCGCAUUCUAUCUCCUCUUGCAAGACCAUUGCGAUCAUAUGAUGAAAUUUCAUUUAUGUCAAGGUCGAUGCAUGCCUUGACAAGCUCUUCACCAACACGUUGAGCAGCUUCCUGAUAUCAUCAAUUACCUAAAAUCAUAUCUAAAUUUGAUACAGUUAAACCUCAUUUGGUCAAGGACAAACUCAGCUUAUCCCAUUUAAAAGCAUUGAAAAGAAAGAAUAAAAAAGGAAAUUUUCAACUAUUUAUAUGUUUCCAAUUGCAUCCAGUUUACCGAAAUUUUGGUGCAUAAUUUGGAAGGGAGUACAGAAUUGUGGUGUUAAUUUGGGAGGGGGCACUGACAAUGGUGGUGCAAGAUGGAUCCUGGCGAAUUGAUUUCUGUAGAGUGCUUCCAUAGAACAAACACCUUUUGUUCUGAUCAUUUACUACCAUAGCAUAUAACUGCUUACCUGAAUAGAAAACUGAUAGCCUUGGAUUUGUUGUUGUGCCAUUAAACUGGUCAAAGACGCAAGAACCAUUAUUUGCAAAGAUAAGUGGAAAAGCUAGAACACUAAGCAAGUUAUUCCAUAACUUAAGAUUGCAUACAAGAAUGAAACCUGCAUGAUGAGCUCAUUGCAAAUGAGUUCCUCAAACUCCACAAACAAAUAUCUGAAGUCCUACUUGUCAAUUUGCCUUUCCAUGUAUUCUGACUUGCAUUAUUGGAGGUUUGGUACUCAUUAUGAUGAGUUAAAACAACACCAAGUGACUACUACUGUUAUUUAAGAUAUAUUCAAGGAGCUGAAUUUGUAAUGAGACAACAAGACAGACAAUUUGGAAAUCGAUGUGCCCAAUAGAAGUGAAGAAAACUCAAAUAAAGCUGCUAAAUCUUUUGAAUGUCCUCAUUCCCGGAAAUUCUAUGCCUUAACAGCUGUUAAGCCUAACCUUGAAUAAGGUUCUGAGUUGCUCAAUACUUAAGAAGAUUAUUCCACAGUAUUUUUGAAGGAAAAAGUUAUUCUUUGUAUGGUGAAUUGCUCUAACCAAAUUGUUCUAAUUUACGAAGGGAAGAAGAUGUUGUGGGGGCAUCUUUUAUGCAUUUAAGGUUGACUAGUAAUAGUUCACGUGCUUUGCACGUGAUUGUAAUAUCUUAAAAUAUAUUAUUUUUCAGAUACUAAAUUUUUUAUGAAAUUUUGAUCAUCAACAUCAUAAUAAUAGUAUUUUUAUGUUAUUUAUUUUUUAGCUAGUUACUUUAAAAUUUUAUUAAAUGAAAAGAAACAGAAAACAUUUCAAUAUAGUUGACAUAUCCUUAAGUUUGAAUUUGAAAUCAUGAACCAAAACACUUUUUGAUUUAUAGCUUGAACUCUAACAUAUCAAAUAUUGAUAAUAUCAUGUUUACCAAAAUUAUUGUAUAUUCAUGACUCUAUUGCAUAUAAACCACAAUCAUCACAAUUUUUUAUAAACGAAGAAUAUAAUUAAGUUAGAAAAAUAAACAUAAAUGUAAUUUGAAUUCUUUGUAUUAUGUUAAUUCUAUGUUUGUCAAUAAUGGAGUAUAAAUGAUCCAUCACGUAAAUUUUUUUUGACUUGUACAUUCUAUCAAUUGAAAUUUUAUAGAUAGAGAUAGUUGGAGUUUUUCUAUUUUCCUUUUCUUUUAUUCAUGUUUUUAGCACAAUCCAAUGUGAAGCAAGAGCAACAAGUCUACUUUUUUCAUAUGAGCACAAUAUUUUUGGUUUUAAUAGUAGUUUUUUUUAUGAUAAUGAAAUUGGAAUGAGAAUUGUGGCCUAAUUAAUAAUUUUAAUAUUAAUUUUUUGUGCAGUGUUUUAGUUUUUAAUUGCUAACUUUGAAUCCAUAACUGCUAUCAUUAUUAUCAAUUAUUGGAAUGCAUUAAAUUUGUUUAAUUACAAUUGUCACCAUAAAUGAAAUUUAAUUAAUUUUAAAGCUUUUCAUUUCAUAACCGCUUCCAUUAUUCACUAAUAUUGCAAUACAAUAAAUAUAUGUAAUCAUUAGAAAAAUAAGGGUAUUUUGGAUAUCACCAAAAACAAUUUGGAUAUCAUUUUCAUUUUAUCAUUCUUCAUUUUAUAUGUACUCUUAUUAUAAUUCUUAUUUUAUCAUUGGAGAUGGUUUCUGACUUGAUGGAUGGAUUUGGUUUGUUCAAACCAAUACAAAUGAAGUAUUACUAUAUUAUUGUCAAUAACAAUGUUUGUCUUUCCUUGGAUAUUAGUGAUUUGGAUGUUGUCUUUGGUAUUAUUUGAAUUGUAUUCUAACUUUUUAAUUCAUUUUCUAUUUACUUUAUGUCAUUUUAUAAAUAGUUUUCAAUCUUAUUUUAGUUUUUCUUGUUUUGAUUGGUUGCUAUUAAUGAUAAUAGUGGUUUGUAUGGUGCUAUUUUAGAUUUCUUUUUUAAGUUUAAUACUGCUAUUUCAGUUAUAAAGGUGUCAUCAUUUUUUGUAUAUUGAAAUUUUAUUGGGUGCAACAUGAAAAAUUCUUCAUAUUGGUAAAAGUGCAUAAUUGUAAAAUUGACUCAUGAUAUUUGUGUGAAGAUAUACAGAUAAAUAAGGGUUUUGCUUGUCAUUGUAUGUUUCUCCAUUUUCUAGAGAAUAUCUUUUUUUUAAAUUGAUUUUUUUUAACAAUCUCAACUAAUGACUAAUGAGAAAUUUUUCAUGCUUCAAUUAAGAAAUUUUGAUACGUAUAAUAAUAGGAGAUGGAGUCCAAGGGUAGAUAAAUAGUUUUUAAUGAGGAAUUUUUAAUUAUAAUUACCAAUACCAUUAAAAUGUAAUCAAUUGAAGUGUUUUAUUUCUUUUAAUUAGUGCCACUUAAAAUGCAAUAAUUAUAAUUAAAAGACAUGAGGGUAAUUUAGGAAUAACAAAAACUAAGAUAAAAAAGUGCUUACACUUGCACUCCCUAAUACCAACAUUCAUACUUUUUAUAUAGUAAUGAUAAUGAUAGAUAUUAAUUUAAGAAGACUUUAGCUAAAUAUGCAAUGAGAGUUCAUUUUGGGCUGCUAUAGUGAAUGUCAAUCAGUUUGGCUUGUAACAUGAAUAUUGUGACGCCCCCACUUCUCCCAAGAGCAUACCCAAGGGUAUCGGCGGCACACCUGCCUAGAUCUCGUCAGGACUCAGGCCCAUUUAUACUUAAACUAACGAGCAAUUAAUGGCUAAAAGGGCAAAUUAAAUAAAAUUCGUUUCCUUCAAUAUAUUCAAACUUACAACACAAGAAUCCAAUAUAUACAUUCAGAUUUCCAAAAUACAAGUCCAUAACCAGCCCUUGAAUUUCAUUUCCAAAGUUCUAAAAUAUCAAAAACAAGUCGAUCUCUUCAAAACAUCUCCGAUCCAGAUUCCUGUUAAGGAAAACAACUAAUGGGGUGAACAAUCGCUCAGUGAGGCCACAUAUAUAUAACAUGCGCACGUAGUUCAAGUAACAUGAUCAAGUGAUCAAAAGUAAUUGUCAUGUAGUUUCAAGUAUCGGCAAGUACUCAUAAACACAAACAAUUCAAGGAUACUGGAGCUCUCCGGAGCUCAUUUUCAGAUUAUUUGCCAUAGUCCCGAUCCAUGAACCAAGGGUUGACACUCUGUCAACCGAAUAAAUAUCCAAUCUGUAGAUCUCCACUUACUUCCCUCCAUCCAUCAUUUCACCCUCUCGGAUCCGUAACCAACAGGCAUGUAAAGGCGAUACUAUACAAGUAUGCCAAGCAAGAUCUCAAAAGAUCAAGCUUCAGGUCCCAAGGUUUACCAAGUUUUCCUGACCAAGACCUCACAAUUGGCUGCGACAUUACGAGGUUUAACCAUUGGGUUUGGGCGUCCCCACAGGUCAGGUUUUCAGAAACAAAUCAAGUUUUAGUCGAUGAGAUUUUCUUUGCAUUCGACUUCAGGUCAUGUACAUGUAAAAUCUAGUAAUUUCAUGUAAUUCAUGUAGCAAGUCAUGUAUUGAUCCAAGUAAAGGAGAUGAAGUGCGGUAAAGUACACACUUCCCUCAACAAGUAUAGUUCAUAUAACAACAAGUUCAAGUAGAGUUCAUGUAGGCAACAAAUUUCAAGUGAAGUACAAGUAAACAUGCACUGAUAGGGUGUUAAUUGUUAGUAAUUUUAUUGUUAAUUUUCCUUUUUAUCCUUGCCAAAUAUUGCUUUAAUUUGCUUUAAUUGUCAAUAUAUAUUUAUAUUUGGUAUUUGGAUAUAAUUUCAGAAAUUGGAGCAGAAACCUCUUGAGAAGAUUAUUGUGAAGCUUUACACAAUUUUGGUGGCAAACCAACGAAGAAGAAUGGAAUUGCAUUUGGGAAUUCAAUUUGGCUAGACAAAUUGGUGGGACCGCAAAUUAAAAUGGAGCAGAAACCUUCUUGAGAACAUUAUUGUGAAACUCUAUACAAUUGGCCCAUAUGCAUGGUGUAAACCAACGUCCAUUUCUUUCUAUGAUGAAAAGGAAUUGAAUUGCAUUUGGCUGGCCAACAUCUCAAUUAGGUGGGGACCGCGAAGACUGACCAUUGUGUAAAGACACAUUUUUGGUUUGCUUUCUUAUUUGUGAACGUGUGCACUUGGUCAAAGGAAACCGACAAACCAUAGUUGGCUUUGCUUUUGUUUUCGGUGGAGUUGAUUAGGUAGGGAAGGAAUGUUUUCUUUUGUGAGCGUGGAGUGAAGUUUCGAAUUGGCUUGUUUUUAUGCGGGGGAGAGCCGCACAUUUCCGCAGUCAGUUUUUCUUCUUCUCUUCCGUCUGUGAAGAGAAGUUUUUAGUUUUGGGGUGAAGAUUUCUUGUGUGUCUUGUUUUCUUCCGUCUCUUCCAUGAGACUAUUUUUAUUGUAUUAGAUUACAGAGAAUACAAUUCUUAUUUUUAAUUAUUAGUAAGAGAUAAAUGUCUUUGAGUUCAAUUGAAUUGUGUGAAGAUUUUCUUAUGAGGCGUGGCUAAUUUUCUCCUCUAGUCAAGGAUCAACGCGAAGACGCAGUCCCAAAUAUCUGUGAGAUCUAAUUAAUUUUACAUGUUCCUUAAUUUGUUAAUAUUUGCAUGUUUUCUAUUUUAAUUUCCAUGGGAUUAUUUUGUUAAUUGGAUAUCAAGGGCCGAUGUGCAAUUUGACUUAUUAAUCUCUUGUCAAAUUAAUCAAUUAAAUCCGUAAUUGUUUAGUUGGUUAAUAUUAGUGACAACUAGUAUUUUCACAUACUAGGGGACAUGCAAUCUGAUUUAAAUAACCCUCGUAGCGUGUUAUUAAUUUGGGUUAGACUUUUCUAGUUUUUAAUGCAAUUAGGAAAUUAAUUCCUACGGUCGUACCUAGGAGUAUUUCCUGGUUAGGGUAAUCAACGGUCGUACCUUGGUUAUCAAUAAAUUAAGGAAAAGCUGGUCGUUAGAGCUUAUCGACGACUAUAACUAACCUGUUAAUUAAAUUAAGUGAACCUUCUUUGCAUCAAUGAUCGGAUGAAUGGACUGUGUCUGCGUAGUUGUAUCCUUGGCUAGAAUUUAUUUAUCAUUUAUUUAAUUGCUAUUUACAAUUGUAUUAAUUAAUUAUUUAUUUUUGGUUAAUUAUUUUUAGUUAAAUUGUUUAAUUAUUUAUUUUUAAUUUCAUUUUGAUAAAAAUCCCCCGUGUCUCGAAUUUAAAAAGAAUCAAAUUUUUUCCAGUCCCUGUGGAUUUGACCCUGCUUACUACUAUACACAGAAAAUUUAUUUUUCUUAAGCAGGUAUUUAUUAUUGCACAGGCACGACACCUGUCAAUUUUUGGCGCCGCUGCCGGGGACUGGCGUUAAUUAUUUGUUUCUUUUUAAGUUCAUUUUUGUUCUAAUUUUCUGGUAUUUUUCUAGUUUAUGCCUCGUUCUUCUCGUACAGGCGAAUUAAUUUCGACCUGAAGUAGAGAAGACCGCGCGUAGAACGAGAAAAGAAACCAGGCGGCUCAGAGAAGAGCAAUACGGUAUUGCACCUCAGGACUUGAUCCAGAGGUUGAGCCGACAAAUUUGUCUGGUGACAAUUCGAGUGAUUCAGACCAAGAGAAAGUCACUAUGGCAAAUGCACGAACACUAAGGGAGUUGGCUGCUCCUGAUUUAAAUCAGCAGCCCUUGGCAUUACUUUUCCAAAUUUAAAUGAUGACACUCCCUUUGAACUAAAAUCUGGUCUAAUUCAUCUCUUGCCAUCUUUCCAUGGUCUACCAGGUGAGGAGCCCUACAAGCACUUGCAAGAGUUCGACGUCGUUUGCAACAGUAUGAAGCCUCCGGGAAUUAUAGAAGAGCAAAUAAAGAUGAGGCUUUCCCCUUCUCUUUGAAGGACUCCGCAAAAGACUGGCUCUACUACCUACCGCCUGGUAGUAUCACCACGUGGGAUCAAUUGAAGAAAAAAUUUCUGGACAAGUACUUUCCGGCGUCUCGAGCUGCGAGCCUAAGGAAAGAGAUAUGUGGUAUCAAACAACACCCAGCGAGUCUCUCUAUGAGUACUGGGAGAGAUUUAAGAAACUGUGCACCAAAUGCCCUCAGCAUCAGAUAAGUGAGCAACUGCUCAUUCAAUAUUUCUAUGAGGGGUUGCUUUUCAGGGACAGAAGCAUAAUCGAUGCUGCAAGUGGAGGGGCGUUGGUGAACAAAACCCCUCGAGGAGCAUGGGAGUUGAUUGAAGGGAUGGCUGAGAACUCACAGCAGUUUGGUUCAAGAGAGGACAUCCCGACGCGUAGGGUGAAUGAGGUGGAAACGUCCUCUAUCCAACAGCAGAUCUCCGAAUUAACAUCUUUCGUAAGACAAUUAGCUGUGGGGAGUGCUUCACAAGCCAAAGUGUGUGGGGUGUGCACUGCCGUGGGUCAUCCUACGGAAAUGUGUCCACUGGUUCAAGAAGAAACUGCAGAACAGGUGAACAUGGCUGGCCACGCCCGCGCCAAGAAAGCAGUACGACCCGUACUCAAACACCUACAAUCCUGGUUGGAGGGAUCACCCCAACCUUAGCUAUGGAGGAAAUAGGCAGUCUAACUUUGUGCCAAAUAGACAGCAAGGACACCAACAGCAGUACAUCCUCGCCCACCACCACCACCACCCUUCAAACUCAAGUCCGUCCAUGGAAGAGAUGAUGAAGCAAUUACUUGCUAAUCAACAAAAGACGGAUUCAGACCUGCAAAGCAUGAGAAAUCAACUGGGACAGGUGCAAUCAUUGCAAAAUCAAAUGAAUCAAAUGGCUAUAACAAUCAACCGUUUGGAGUCCCAAGUUCAAGGAAAGUUGCCAUCUCAACCUGAGGCAAAUCCAAAGAAUGUAAGCGCAAUGACCUUAAGGAGUGGCAAGGAAGUUCAAGGACCCGAACCGGUGAUUCCUAAAGACAAGGACGAGGAACGGAUUGAGAAAGAAUUGGAAGAGGAGGGCAGAGACAACAAAAAUGCAAAGGUACCCUCGAACCCAAUUCCUACAGCUAAAACUAAUCCACCUCCCUUUCCUAGCAGGUUAGAGAAACCAAAGAAGCAAGACAAGGAAAAAGAGGUCUUGGAGAUCUUUCGCAAGGUGGAGAUCAACAUACCCCUGGAUGCGAUUAAACAAGUACCCAGGUACGCAAAAUUUUUGAGGGACCUGUGUGCCAACCGCAAGCGGUUGAAGGGGAUGAACGAGUUAUAGUUGGGGAGAAUGUUUCAGCAAUUCUACAAAGAAAGCUUCCACCGAAAUGCGGAGAUCCAGGUAUGUUUACUAUUCCUUGUAGGAUAGGUAAUACUUUGAUUGGAAAGGCCAUGUUAGACCUGGGAGCCUCAAUUAAUGUCAUGCCAAAGUCCAUUUAUGCUUCCUUAAACUUAGGCCCUUUGAAAGAGACUGGGAUAAUAAUCCAAUUAGCUGACAGGACCAAUGCAUACCCUGACGGGUUGAUUGAAGAUGUUUUGGUAAAAAUUAAUGAAUUGGUUUUUCCAGCUGAUUUUUAUGUGCUCGACAUGGAGGAUGAACACUCCCGUGAUCCGUCACCUUUGUUGUUAGGUAGACCCUUUUUGAGCACAGCCCGAACCAAAAUUGAUGUUAAUAAGGGUACUUUGUCUAUGGAAUUUGAUGGUGAGAUUGUUCACUUUAACAUCUUUGAGACCAUGAAAUAUCCAUCCGAUUCAAAUGUUGGCUCUGUUUUCUCGGUAAAUGUUAUUGACCCUGCUAUACAGGAGGUUUUUGAAAUUGAAGGCAGGGAUGAGCUAGAGGUCGUUCUGACCAGGCACUUCGAGUCCGAAACGACCUCUGGGUAGAGUUGAGUGAAGAGCUUAAAUGCGUGAUUGGAUCGUUGCAAACGUUACCAACCACGAAGACAAGGUAUGACUUGCACCAUUUUCAUACCUGAACCUCACAAAAGGUUACUUCCAUCUGUGGUGCAGGCACCUGUCUUGGAACUAAACCGCUGCCGAAACACCUAAAUAUGUAUACUUAGGUGAAGGGGAGACACUUCCAGUGAUCAUCUCCGCGGGUUUAUCAAAGGUUCAAGAAGAGAAACUACUUCGAGUUCUUAGGGAACAUAAGCAGGCGAUAGGAUGGACCAUCGCCGACAUCAAGGGAAUUAGCCCGCGGUGUGUAUGCACCGAAUUCGACUCGAGGAGAAUGCUAAACCCGUACGGCAAGCUCAACGGAGAUUAAAUCCUCUCAUGAUGGAGGUCGUAAAGAAAGAGAUUUUAAAACUGCUGGACGUUGGAAUUAUAUUUGCAAUAUCAGAUAGCCCGUGGGUAAGUCCAGUACAGGUGGUCCCGAAGAAGGCAGGGGUGACAGUGGAAUCAAACCAAGAGGGUGAGCUCGUACCAAUUCGAAAGCCCACCGGAUGGCGACAGUGUAUCGAUUACCGAAAGCUAAAUGCCGUCACGAAAAAGGACCAUUUUCCCCUCCCUUUCAUUGACCAAUGGUGGAGCGAUUAGCAUGUCGAGCUUACUAUUGUUUCUUGGAUGGAUUUUCAGGUUAUUUUCAAAUUGCCAUCGCACCCGAGGACCAAGAGAAGACUACUUUCACCUGCCCAUUUGGAACAUUUGCAUACCGAAGGAUGCCAUUUGGAUUGUGAAUGCACCUGCUACCUUCCAAAGAUGCAUGGUAAGUAUCUUUUCAGAAUAUGUUGAGAAGAUUAUUGAGGUUUUCAUGGACGAUUUCAGUGUAUAUGGUGAAAGUUUUGAAAACUGUCUAGAUAACCUGAAAUUGAUCUUAGUAAGGUGUAUAGAAACUAAUCUCGUGCUUAAUUGGGAAAAAUGUCAUUUUAUGGUUGAACACGGGAUAGUUUUGGGUCAUGUUGUAUCAUCUACAGGUAUUGAGGUUGAUAAGGCAAAAAUAGAUGUUAUAUCUACUUUACCUUACCCCGCGAGUGUGCGGGAAGUUCGUUCUUUCUUGGGUCACGCAGGUUUCUAUAGAAGGUUCAUCAAGGACUUCUCGAAAAUUGGAGCACCCUUGUUCCAACUUUUGCAAAAAGAUGUAUCCUUCGAAUUUGAUGAAACAUGUAAGGGGGCAUUCAAUAAGUUAAAGGAGUUAUUGACCACCUCACCUAUUAUCCAACCCCCUGACUGGAACCUCCCAUUCGAGAUCAUGUGUGACGCCAGCGACUAUGCAGUGGGUGCGGUAUUGGGUCAAAGAGUAGGAAAGGCAGCUCAUGCUAUCUACUACGCAUCUCGAGCCUUGAACGGAGCUCAAUUGAACUAUUCAACCACCGAAAAGGAGCUUUUAGCAGUUGUUUUUGCCUUAGAAAAUUUCGGUCUUAUUUACUUGGUGCUAAAGUUAUUAUUUUUUCUGAUCAUGCAGCUUUGCGGUAUUGUUGACCAAGAAAGAGGCAAAACCGCGAUUGAUACGGUGGAUAUUGUUGUACAGAGUUCAACCUGGAGAUCCGAGAUAAGAAAGGGGCGAGAACUGGUAGCAGAUCACUUGAGUCGAGUACAAGUCGUCGAAGAGACAUCCCAUUGAGAGAAGCAUUCCCGAGGAGCAUUUAUUUUCUAUUAAUUCAUCUUGCCUUGGUAUGCAGAUAUUGUUAAUUUUCUAGUCACUGACAAAUUUCCUACAGGAUGGCCUAAGGCAAAGAGAGACAAGUUGAGGAGCGAUGCAAAGUUCUACAUUUGGGAUGAUCCUUACCUCUGGAAGCGGGGUGCCGAUCAAAUCAUCCGUAGAUGUGUAAGUGAAGUUGAAUUUCAAUCUAUUCUAGCCUAUUGUCACUCUUUUGCAUGUGGAGGUCACUUUGGACCGAAGAGAACGGCUCGUAAGGUGCUAGAGAGUGGAUUCUAUUGGCCAACUCUAUUCAAGGAUGCCUACUCAUUUUGUAAGUCAUGUGAUAAGUGUCAAAGAGUGGGUAAUAUCUCUCGUAGGGAUCAAAUGACUCAAACCCCAAUGAUUUUUGUUGAAAUUUUUGACGUUUGGGGCAUUGAUUUUAUGGGUCCUUUUCCUUCGUCCUUUGGUUUUUUGUAUAUAUUGCUUGCUGUAGAUUAUGUUUCGAAGUGGGUAGAAGCAAAGGCCACCGCACUAAUGAUUCCAAAGUGGUUGCAGAAUUCGUUAAGUCUAAUAUUUUUGUUCGCUUUGGGAUGCCGCGAGCAAUUGUAAGUGAUCGGGGUACUCAUUUCUGCAACAAAACGAUCGCUGCAAUUUUUAGGAGAUAUGGUGUCUUGCACAAAGUCUCUACAUCCUACCAUCCUCAGACAAAUGGUCAGGCGGAAGCAUCGAACCGAGAGAUCAAAUCAAUUCUAGAAAAGAUGGUCCGACCCGAUAGGAAGGAUUGGAGUGUGAGACUAGAGGAUGCACUAUGGGCAUAUAGGACGGCAUACAAGACACCCAUUGGCAUGUCCCCUUACCGAUUGGUAUUUGGAAAGCCAUGUCAUCUCCCGGUAGAGUUUGAGCAUAGAGCGUUUUGGGCGGUCAAGCAAUGCAAUAUGGAUAUCGAGGAAGGCGGAAUUCAAAGAAGUUGCAAUUACAAGAGUUGGAAGAAAUCCGAAAUGAAGCAUACGAGAAUGCAGUGAUCUAUAAGAGAAGAAUCGGAUCUUUCAUGACCAACAGAUCUCUAGGAAGACAUUCGUCUGCGGGCAAAAAGUUUUACUAUACCACUCCAAAUUGAAACUAUUUCCAGGUAAAUUACGUUCUCGUUGGAUUGGCCCUUUUGUUGUGACUAAUGUCUUUCAUUAUGGUGCAGUAGAGAUCCAAAGUUUGAAAACGGAGAAGAAAUUUGUGGUGAAUGGUCACCGUCUCAAGCCGUAUUAUGAAGGAUUUCCAAUUGAACGGGUGGAGAUGAUGCAACUGGAAGACCCGAUUUGCUUAGUUUAAGCAAAUUCUGGACUCCGUCUAGCCAAAGACGUUAAAGAAAGGCGCUUUUGGGAGGCAACCCAAUUUUUGAUUUUGUUGGUUUUUGUUGUGCAAUUCGUUAAAUAUGUCGUUUCUCAUCUGGGUAUUGCUUAAAUUGAUAUUUUCUCUACUAUGAUCAGGACAGGUGAUCAUGGCGUGCCCGCGCGAAGAGGGCACGCAUUAAUCUCACAAGUUCCAACUUCAAGGUCAGAGAAUGUUUUCUAAUCUUGGCAUGCCCACGCCAUAUUUGACGAACUAAAAAAAAAAUUAAUUAAAAAUUAUGAAAAACGAAAAAUAAAAAUAUUUUUCUUUCUAGCCUUUAAUUUUGUUUUCAAAAAUUCAAAUUUUUGUAAUUUAUAAAAAAAAAAAAUCAAAAUCAAAAUGCUGUUAUUUUCCUUCUUAACAUUCGUUUUAGUUUUUCAGCAAUUCAAUUCUGAAUUUAAAAAAAAAAAAAAAAAAACCCUUCUUUUUCUUCUUUUCUUUUUCUUUCUUCUUUCUUUCUUUCUUUCUUUCUUUCUUCUUUCCCUGCUUUCCCCUUUUCUCUGGUUCCUUCAACCAGAGCCGCCGCCGCCCCAGGUCUCCUCCCUUCCUCCUGCUCCACCGACGCCACCGCCGCUCCUCGCGCACCACCUAGAGCCCGCGCUCCCCGCGCGCUACCCCAACCCGUCGCCCACCACCCGCAGUCGCUGAGCACCACCAGAUCUAGCUACCGCAAACUCUUCUCUCUCACAGCCACCACCUUCAUCGCACCACUGGCUUCGUAUGCACGCGUCUGCUUCAAUCUCUUUUUAUUAUUUUUUUUUUAUUUUCUUAUUUUAUUAUUGCAGCAUGUUUUUAUUAUUUUUAUUACAGUACAUUUUUGAAAAUUUUGCGUGUUUGGACUACCUGACAUUUCUAUUCCUCCUUAGUUGGGUACUUCUGUGUUACUUUGCUUGUUUCUUUUUGCUUUGCUUGAUUUUUAUUUAUUUAGUAGAUUGAUUUGUGGUUAGUCGUGUGAUUUACUUAUUCCUUAUGCGUGCACCGAUGAUACUAGUUUAGGGUGUUUUGCAUAUCUUUAUUGAUUUUCCUUCGACACCUGUCAUUAUAUAUAUAUAUAUAUAUUUAGGUCGAAUUGUGUUUAAAUUGCUGUAAUUUGUGUCCAAUUGUGGGUAAUUUGCUGAGAUUGUUUGUUAAAUUAGGAGGUGCUUGUAAUGCUUAAAUUUGCUUAUUGAAGUAGAUUGUCUCUAAUUGCCUUGUGUGAGAGUCUUUUGUCUUUUUCAUUUCAAUUAUUACGUUGAUUGGGGUAAUUUUGAGGUGCAUUGUUAUUGCAUUUGGCUAAGUUUGGAACCACAAGUGCUUAUUGAUUGCAUUUACUAUAAGUGUUGGGGUAUUUGUAUAACUUGUGGUGAAUGAAGUGUGCAUUUUGUUGUUUAAAUUAACUAAGCGAGAGGCCCCAAUAUUUAUUACAAUUGUUAUUACAAUUUGUUGGAAAUGAUUGUCUAUUGUUCAUUGGAGUGAUAUUUGGAGAAAAUGGUGAGACUCAGAUCAACCCCAGGGGCUAAUCCACCGAUGUCUUGACGAUUUCAGGGGAGUUUCGUUGCCCUUCUUCUUACUUUUUCUAUAUAUUUGUUACAUUGAGGGCAAUGUAUACUUUAAGUGUGGGGGGUUUGGAUUUGAUUGGAGUUUCUUUAAAUUGUUGCUUUUCUUAUUGUUGUCUUGAUGAAUAAAUAUGGCAACUCACUCUUCUAUUGCUGGUUGUGAUUUAUCCUAUGAAUUUUGUUUAGAUGGCAAGUAAAAGCAUAUUAUUUGGUGAAUAUUAUGAGUUUAAUGACUUGGUGCAAAUUGUGGUUAAAUUGUUUAGGCAAUAUAAAUAUUUUACUAGCAAUUGUUGUGUGAAUUGGGCAAUUGUUGAUCUUAGUUCUCCAUAUUAGGAGAUGACGUGGGCCAUGAUCUUUAAUUAUCUGGUAUUUGGUGCUAUAAUUGUGAUUAAUAAAUGGCUCUACUCCGCUAGUGUCAUCAUCCAGUAACCGGGAGUUUUCACCACAAGUGUCGACUCUCGCGUCAAAAAGUGGCGAUAUCUAUGAGUAGUUAGUCCUGAAGCUGUGAAAAGUUGAGUAACUGGGCUCUUUCAUCUAAAAAUGUCAGAGUUCACGUCAAAAGACUUGAAUAGCUUGGGACUGAGCAUUUAUUGAAAAAAAAAUUUAUUUAUAAAAAAAAAAAGAAAAAAAAAGAAAAAAGAAAAUAAAAAGAAAAAUAAUAAUAAUAAGUAAGCUUAUGAUCAUGUUGGCCUGCCGAUCCUUGUUCUUCAAUGUUGAGAUUUUGAUUUUUAGUUGACCCAAUUGCUAACUUUUGCUAGUUUAAUAUUUUGAUUUCUUAGACGAGUUAGCCAUGAAUUGGACGAGUCUAUGAUUUCAGGAACUAACCGGGAGAAUAUGUUUUGACACUUAGCUACUAAAACUUGAUUUUGGGAUAAACGCAGCUUGGCAAUAAAUGAAAUGAGAAUUAGCCAUUGUUGAAUUUAGUUGUUCCCAUGCUUGAGGACAAGCAUGAUUUAAGUGUGGGGGAAUUGAUAGGGUGUUAAUUGUUAGUAAUUUUAAUUGUUAAUUUUCCUUUUUAUCCUUGCCAAAUAUUGCUUUAAUUUGCUUUAAUUGUCAAUAUAUAUUUAUAUUUGGUAUUGGAUAUAAUUUCAGAAAUUGGAGCAGAAACCUCUUGAGAAAUUAUUGUGAAGCUUUACACAAUUUUGGUGCAAACCAACGAAGAAGAAUGGAAUUGCAUUUGGGAAUUCAAUUUGGCUAGACAAAUUGGUGGGGACCGCAAAUUAAAAUGGAGCAGAAACCUUCUUGAGAACAUUAUGUGAAACUCUAUACAAUUGGCCCAUAUGCAUGGUGUAAACCAACGUCCAUUUCUUUCUAUGAUGAAAAGGAAUUGAAUUGCAUUUGGCUGGCCAACAUCUCAAUUAGGUGGGACCGCGAAGACUUGACCAUUGUGUAAAGACACAUUUUUGGUUUGCUUUCUUAUUUGUGAACGUGUGCACUUGGUCAAAGGAAACCGACAAACCAUAGUUGGCUUUGCUUUUGUUUUCGGUGGAGUUGAUUAGGUAGGGAAGGAAUGUUUUCUUUUGUGAGCGUGGAGUGAAGUUUCGAAUUGGCUUGUUUUUAUGCAGGGGAGAGCCGCACAUUUCCGCAGUCAGUUUUCUUCUUCUCUUCCGUCUGUGAAGAGAAGUUUUUAGUUUUGGGGUGAAGAUUUCUUGUGUGUCUUGUUUUCUUCCGUCUCUUCCAUGAGACUAUUUUUAUUGUAUUAGAUUACAAAGAAUACAAUUCUUAUUUUUAAUUAUUAGUAAGAGAUAAAUGUCUUUGAGUUCAAUUGAAUUGUGUGAAGAUUUUCUUAUGAGGCGUGGCUAAUUUCUCCUCUAGUCAAGGAUCAACGCGAAGACGCAGUCCCAAAUAUCUGUGAGAUCUAAUUAAUUUUACAUGUUCCUUAAUUUGUUAAUAUUUGCAUGUUUUCUAUUUUAAUUUCCAUGGGAUUAUUUUGUUAAUUGGAUAUCAAGGGCCCGAUGUGCAAUUUGACUUAUUAAUCUCUUGUCAAAUUAAUCAAUUAAAUCCGUAAUUGUUUAGUUGAUUAAUAUUAGUGACAACUAGUAUUUUCACAUACUAGGGGGACAUGCAAUCUGAUUUAAAUAACCCUCGUAGCGUGUUAUUAAUUUGGGUUUAGGCUUUUCUAGUUUUUAAUGCAAUUAGGAAAUUAAUUCCUACGGUCGUACUUAGGAGUAUUUUCUGGUUAGGGGUAAUCAACGGUCGUACCUUGGUUAUCAAUAAAUUAAGGAAAAGCUGGUCGUUAGAGCUUAUCGACGACUAUAACUAACCUGUUAAUUAAAUUAAGUGAACCUUCUUUGCAUCAAUGAUCGGAUGAAUGGACUGUGUCUGCGUAGUUGUAUCCUUGGUUAGAAUUUAUUUAUCAUUUAUUUAAUUGCUAUUUACAAUUGUAUUAAUUAAUUAUUUAUUUUUGGUUAAUUAUUUUUAGUUAAAUUGUUUAAUUAUUUAUUUUUAAUUUCAUUUUGAUAAAAAUCCCCCGUGUCUCGAAUUUAAAAAGAAUCAAAUUUUUUCCAGUCCCUGUGGAUUCGACCCUACUUACUACUAUACACAGAAAAUUUAUUUUUCUUAAGCAGGUAUUUAUUAUUGCACAGGCACGACACCUGUCAUGCACUGGACACUCACCAAGUAUCAAAAGUCAAAGUUUGAGAAAUUAGCUCUAAGACGCUUCGCCGGGAGUUCCCUCGAAGUCCUCUUGAGAUCCUGAAGGUAUGCAAUGAUGUAUUGUAUAUCAAAUUCCAGCCAUACAGUAUUCGCGUAAAGAAAAGAAAUAGUCAAUUUUGACUCCAAAAUUCAAGUUUCCAAAGUAUUUUAGUUCAUAAGAAACUGACUUUCAAUGAGGUCUCAAGUGAUAGGUGAACUCAAGUUCACCAUGAAUAAACGUUUGAAAUGCUCUAAGAGUUGUAAAAAUGUAACCUAGGCCCUUAAAAGAACAUUUAGGUCCAAAUUGGAAAUUUUCACUUUUCGAGUCAUUCUUGGAAAAAUCAGUCCGGAAAUUCGGAAAGUCUAAAAAUGGAAAAUUUUACACCGUCAGAAACUUCAUUUGAAACAUAACAACUUUGUAGAAGGUCACUUUCCAAGAAUCAAAUCAGAAACAAGUCAAUUUCUCCAAGAAAGUUUACUAUUCAUUGAAGAUAGGUCAAAACAGUCCAAGUUUUUCCAAUAAUUUUGGAAUUUUGCCAAAAUCAUAGAAUGAAAACCAGCCUUUGAAAUUUGAUAUGCAGGUAAAGUUCCAAUCCAGGUUUCAAAUAAAAAAAAUGGAACUCGAUUCCGAUGUUCCCAGCUCAAGAAAUAAAAGUUGAAGUUUCGCUAAAAUUCCUGGACUGUUGGCCUUUCCAGAAAUUUUCCAGAUUUAAUGCACUUCGCUAAUUAGGCCAUAUCUCACUCGAUUCUCAGUGAAAUUGAAAACGGUUGGUGGCUUUAGAAACUACGUUUACAAGGCUAUAUUUGUGUAGGAGAAAUCAUUUCCAAAAUCCAGACAUAAGUGGUUCAAAAUCAAGCAACAAAAUGGAUUUUCUGGCCAGUCUCGGAUGAACAGUAAUAAACAGGCAGCCAACUUUCAAGACUCGCCACGAAUCGGUCGGGAUGAACUAGAAAAUUAUCUUGGUACCAUUUUAAAGCUCUAAGAGUCUACUUUCAAAUGCCACAAACGGCACUCAAUUUCAAUCAUCGAGAAAAACGUUAUGAUCUCCACAAGAUCACUGGUCAGAAAAUUUCUGGACCUAGUCCAGUUUUGCCUCUUUGCUCAUAACUCAAAAUUUAUCCAACCAAAUUGGCUAAUUUUUUUUUGUAGACAACCACCCCACACAUAACACAACAUAUAUCACUCACAUUUGUAGCCAAAUUAUGCACGAAAAUAUCCAAGCAAAACAGGGCAGCAAGUCCUUGAAAUUUCGGACAGUACCUUCUCCAAAUUUCUAACUUUCUUCCAACUUCAUUCCAUCAAUCAUUCAAUAUACAUGUAACAUAGCACAAUAUCAGCAACCACAACAUGUUAAUUCAUCAAAUCAGCCACCAAUAAGCAUCCUCAAGCCCUCAAGCAUGUCAUGAAAUUGCAAGAAAAUAAUUACUCAACCAAUCAACCCAAAUUCUACCAUAGGUUGCAAACCCAUGCUACCUUUGCUCCAUUUGAGCUAUAAUUUUGCAAGAUUAAAGUGUGGGUGAGUGAGUUACCUCAAGAACUUAGUUGGACAGCUUUAGGGCAGAAAUGUUGACCGAAAUUCCUCCAAGAAAACCGAUGAACAGCCCCCUCUUCCAAGCUAGGAUCAGAGCCCUCUAAUGGAUGAUGAAAUUUGGAAGUGGAUUGAAGCAAGUUUGUGAGGAUUUUGGCUAGAUUUUUUUCUUCCCUUUUUUUUUUCUUCCUAUUUUCGGCCAAAUAGAGAGUGAAGAGAGGAGAGAGAGUGAAAUCAGAUUUUGUAAUGAAAGUAGAGAGAAUUGGUGACUUAAUGGUUAAGUCUAAGUGUCAACUCAUGCUAGGUCCGUUAAGGGUCUUCGCGUGUCCAAUUUUCGCGCUCGUUUGCAACUUUUGUGCACUAAACCUCUGAGGUAAUUUUUCUAGUACAUUAAUAGGACAUUACUAGUAGUCUCAUGUUCUUAAAAUCUCCAAUUAAUCAAAUUAAUGUGCCUAUCGGGGCCUUUUCGGCACGCUCGCGUAUAAAGGUCAAACUUAAGGAUUUUCUCGUUUGAACUUGGAAAUUCAACUUAUUCGAUUCUAAAACUCUACAAUAUGAUAAUCCAAGUAUAUAUAACAAUAAAAAUCAUGAUAAGCAAUUCAUCUUGAAUAAAUUUGAGCAUUAAAAUAAUAUGCGCUUAAAGAACCAAGCGGUAAAAUUUAUUUUCGAGAAAUUUGUGUACUUUAGUAAAUUUUUUUAGGGUAACUCGAGUACGAAAUAUUUUUAAAAUGACCAAUUUAAUAAUAUUUUGAAAUAAUAAAAUUAUGAGUUCUCACAUCCUCUCCCCCUUAAGAGAAUUUCGUCAUCGAAAUUCAUACCUUAACUCGAAAACUCCAGAUGUCUCUUUUGCAUCCCGCUCUUAUGAAUUGUAAAAUUUAUUCCGCAUUAAAUAUCAUGUAAGUCUUAUAUUCUUAAUCUGUUCAUGACGAGCGAGAUAACAAUUCUUUCAUGCGGUUCACAGAUUCAAUUGCCUUAAGAAAUUUGUCAAUUCAAGAACAAAUGAUGGUAUACGCAAUGAACUUUAAAUAUCUCGCAGAUCAAAUUCAAUAAGAUCUUAAAAGCACACAAGUUUUGUCCUACUGGACCUUAACCCUAGUAAUCUUUCAAAAUAGAUAGUAAGAGCCCUCAAGAAUCAAUAACUUCAAAAAUCAUAUCCGGUUCCAUAUACAUGUAUGCAAAUAUCGAAGUACUAAAUGAAACCUUAAAUUCAAUAAUAUCUUAUUGUAGUCCCCAAGUCAUUUACGAGUAUUAUCACCAAUUUUUAACUCAAAUACAACUUAAAGACCAAAUCCAUCAAUGCUACUGGUGUAUUAAUUACUCCCAAUGGCAUAAUUGAAUUUCAAAGUGCUUGAUAGGGUGUUAAUUGUUAGUAAUUUUAUUGUUAAUUUUCCCUUUUAUUCUUGCCAAAUAUUGUUUUAAUUAUUAAUAUUUACUUAUAUUUGGUAUUGGGACUUAAUUUCAGGAACAAAGCAGAAAAUUACCAAAAAGGAGGGACUUUAUGGGAAAAUGGAGACUUCUAAGGACCUUGGACUCUUGAAUUGGUGGGGACCACAAGCUAGUGCAAGGCAUUUAGUCAUUUGGGCUUUUCAAAGAAAGCAACGUAGAGAGACUUGGAACAACAAGUACUUUGGAGGAUUUGUCCACAUGUGCGGGGACCACGGAUAAGAAGCAUGAGUCAUUUGGACUCUAGGAAAAGAAACGUACAAGACUUUGAAUUUGGAGUGGGGACCACUAGAGAUAGCAUUAGACUUCCUUUUGGCUUUAAAAAGGGAGAAACGUACGAGAGGUGGAGGAAUCAAUAGUUUUAGUUUAGGCUUUUAGCAUAGUUUUAGUUUUUUUCUGAGCUCUUUCGCAUGGUUGUUCUCCAUUAAUGGAGGACUAACCUCUUAAUUCUAGUCAAGGGGACAACUGAAGAUUUGGUUCAACAAUUACUGUGAGAUCUAAUUUAUUUUAAUUGCUUCCUUAAUUUAUUUUAUUUAUAUGUUUCCUGCUUUUAAUUGCUAUAGCUCGUGUGAGUGAUUGAAUAGAUGCGCAAUAUUUAAUUAUUCACAUAGGCUAUUUUGCUAAAUAGGGAUAAUUGAAUCCGUAAUUGUUCGUUAUCUUUAUCUCAAUAGCAACUGGCGUAAUUGGGUUUAUGUCAGGGGGCAUACGAUCUAACUUAAACAAACCCUCGUAGCGUGUUUGUUAGUUAGGAUUGGGCCUUUCUAAUUAUUAAUGCAAUCUAGAAAUUAAAUCCUAUGGUCGUACCUAGGGUUGUUUUUGGGUUAGAGAAAUAGUUAACGGUCGUACCUUAACUAUCGAGAAAUUAAGAAAAGGUUGGUUGUUUAUCGCGUGCAUGACAACUAUAACUGGUCUAUUAAUAAAUGUGGAAUUAUGUGUGAAUCAAUGAUCAGUGCCUGAACCAUUUCUGAAGUGUACCCUUGCCUAGAGUUUUCCCUUAACUAUUUCUCUUAAUCAAUUAUUUUCUGCAGUUAAUUUAUUUAGUUAGCAUUUAAUCCAAAACCCCCCAUACUUUGAACUCUAGAAGAAACGAAUUAUCCCCAGUCCCUGUGGAUUCGACCCUACUCACCGCUAUAUACAAAAUCUGUAUUUUUCUCGAGUAGGUAUUUAUUAUUGCACAGGUUCGGCACCUGUCAAUUUUUGGCGCCGCUGCCGAGGACUGGUGCCAGAUUAAUUUGUUUCUUUUGAGUUUAUCUUGCUUUCAUUUUUUUUAAUUUAUUUUUCUCUUAUUUUUUUUAUUUUUUUAUGGCUGCUAACAUUCCAUAUUUUUGAUGAUAGACUGGACUUUGUUCCUGAAUGGGGUUAUGAGACUCAUGUUUUUCCUAAUGAUCAAUGGGCUGUUGCAAAUUGUGGAACUUAUUUUGACUCAGGUUAUUCAACUGACACAUGCCCCGCAUUUCAAGAUAAUCUAAGUGCUCUAAUUGAUAUUUUUGGAGAUUUUCCACCCCAAUAUCAAACGCAGUAUGACCCUUAUUCAAACGGGUAUGAUCAAGGAUGGUGGGAUAAUUUCAAUUUUGAUUAUGCGACCGGACCAAUGGAUUUUCAACAGCAAGAGUCUCAACAACCAUCGUCCAUGUCAGGUAUGUCUUUUCAGGAAUUGGGUGAAUUAUUUAUUAAUACAUACCGAUUCCAACAGGAGACACAAAUGAGGAAUGAGAUGAUGAACGAUGCAAUGAGUUAUCUGGCAGAUCAACUAUGUCUAUUGACAUCCAGAAUAAAUCGAUGGGCUUCUCAAAUGGAAGAAUUGCCCUCGAAAACCGUUGUUGAUCUGGAAGAAAACGAGAGUGCAAUUUGCUUGACUAGUGAUGAGGAGAUGCAAGAGUGUCAAAAUGAGAAAUCUGCAGAUGCAGUUGAAAAAGAAGCCGAAAAUGAAGAAAUGGAACCCCAACCGCAACCCAUUCAAGUGAAUGAAUCCAAUGAACAAUCUCCAAAUGCGGUGACAUCUUCUCCACUCCUUAAUCAAUAUUUUCCUGACUCCUAUUCUUCAAUUCCUGUUACUGAAAUUGAUUUUAUUAUACCAGAAAAUUUGAAAUUUCAUGACAGGAAUAAGUUAAGAGUGGCAAUGGAAAAAUAUCUUGAACCGAAGAAUGCAUGUGAUGGAGGAGUGAAUGGAGAAUGCAAAUUAUCGUUGACUUGUUUAGCACCAUUUACUAGUCCAUGGAAGCCCGCAAUUCGUGUGCUCAAAGAUUACUCCAUCUAUGAGGGUUACCAGGAUCACAUUGAAGAUGAAGCAUUGAAGCGAGCCACAAGAUUUUAUCCUCCAUGAACAAGCAUAGCAUGUCUAGCCAAAGACAUUAAAGAAAUGCGCUUUUUGGGAGGCAACCCAAUUGUUGAUUUUGUUAUUUUUGUGUUCAAUUUCUUAAAUAUGUCGUUUCUCACUUGGGUACUAAUCACUUUUGAUGUUUUCCUCCACUAUGGUCAGGACAGCAAUCUUGGCGUGCCCACGCGGUGUUUGACGACCUAAAAAAAAAUUUUUCAAAAAUUCAAAAUAAAAACAUUUUCCGUUUUACACCUUCAGUUUUGAUUCUCACAAUUCGAAUUUUGAAAUUUGAGUGUGCAAAAAAAAAAAAAAAAAAAAAUCCCAAAAACUAUUUUUUUUUCUCUCUUUUCUUUUCUUUCUUUUUUUCUUCUUUUUCUUUCUUCCUUUCUUUCUUUCUUUCCUUUCCUUUUCUUCUUCUUCUCUGCCGUUCCUCUGUUUUCCACUUUUCCUUCUCUUCUUUUGUUCGUCCGCCACCGCCCGCCGCCUAGCCACCACUCGCGCGCCUCCUCCUGAGCUCUGCCCGCGGCCGUCCACCCACAGCGCGGCUCCGCUACCAUCGCGCGCAGCUCCUCCUGAGCUCGCGCGCCUCCAACGCCACCAGGAGCCGCCGCACUUCCACGACUCUCCACCGCCAGCAGCCACCUCCAUCUUCCUUCAUCACACGCCGCUGACCACCAACUCCCUCUCCUUUUGCGCGCGUCGCUGUCCACAGACACGCCACCCCACCUCACUUCUCUCUCUCUCCCCCAUCAUCAGCUCCGCCUCACCUCACGCCAACCUCCAGCAGCUCCACCAUCGCCACCUCCUUGCCGCGCGUCACCACCUGCCCAAAAUUGGCAGGUGGAGGUAUUCCAAUUUCCACCUUGAUUAGUAUUUCUCUGGUCCUUAAAUUGCUGGAAUUUACGUUUUUGUUUCUUAGGUGUCUUGAUGGAUACAAGCAGGAGGUGAUUUGGGCAUUUUCUGGGGCUAAUUUUGGGUGAAAUUCAAUUUAUUUGCUACCCCAUUUGGGGGUGCUCUCUGGUAUUGAUUAUAUUGUUGAAUAUUGUUUGGGUUUUGACUACUUGAGAUUUCUAUUGCAUCUGGGAGAUAAAAUUUGACGGCUCUUGUGCCAGUUCAUUUGUUUGGGAAUUGUUGGGGUUGAUUUGGGAGGUAGUUUCCAAUUGCUUGUUUUGAUUUCUGCUCAUUUUUGGUGCUACUUGGUGUGUUCGGAUUUAUUAGGUGCAGUGGGUUGGCCAUUUGAUUUAAUUUUUUUUUCCUGAACCUGCAGCGGAGGUACUGGAUGUGGUGUUGACUAAAAUUUCUUAUUCCUUUAUGCUUGACUGCCUACUUGAUUCUUGGGUUUUAGUGCUUAAAUUGUUCUCAAAUUCUAAACGGUGGUUGCUAGAAUUGCCUAUUGCUUGGCCCAAUUGCUAGGUUUGGUCGCUUGAAGUGGGUAAUUGAAUGUCCAAUUGGUGACAUUUGUUGAGUUUCACUUGCUCCAAUUGGUUAAAUUCAUUGCUCUAUUGGGGUCCCUGGUAUCACUUGAGUUCUGCUUUGUUAGUUUCUGUAUCGUGCCCCUUGAUCUUAUUUUGACUGAAUGGGAGACCCAGUGCAUAUUCAUUCUAGUCAAGGGGACAACUGACGAUUUGGUUCGACAAUUACUGUGAGAUCGAAUCUGUUUUAAUUAUUUUCUUCAUUUAUUGAUAUUUAUAUGUUCCUUGAUUUUAAUUGCUAUGGCCUUGUGUAUGAUUGAUUAGUGCGCAAUAAUUAAUUAUUCAUAUAGGCUAUUUUUGCUAAAUAGGGGUAAUUGAAUCCGUAAUUGUUCGUUAUCUCUACCUCAGUAGCAACUGGCGUAAUUGGGUUUAUGUCAGGGGAGCAUAUGAUCUAGUCUAAACAAACCCUCGUAGCGUGUUUGUUGGUUAGGAUUGGGACUUUCUAAUUAUUAAUGCAAUCUAAAAAUUAAAUCCUACGGUCGUACCUAGGGUUGUUUUUGGGUUAGACAAAUAGCUAACGGUCGUAGCUUAGCUAUCGAGAAAUUAAGGAAGGGUUGGUUAUUUAUCGCGUGCAUGACAACUAUAACUAAUCUAUUACUAAAUGUUGGAAUUAUUUCUGUAUCAAUGAUCAGUACAUGAACCAUUUCUGAAGUGUACCCUUGGCUAGAGUUUCUCCAAUAAUUAUUUCUUUUAUUUAUUUUCUGCAUUUAAUUUAUUUAGUUAGCAUUUAAUCCAAAAACCCCCCAUACUUUGAACUCUAGAAGAAACGAAUUAUUCCCAGUUCUUGUGGAUUCGACCCUACUCACCGCUAUAUGCAAAAUCUGCAUUUUUCUCGAGUAGGUAUUUAUUAUUGCACAGGUCCGGCACCUGUCAGUGCUUACUUUUCUGAUGAACUAGCCUUAAUCACAUCUUCCUCUAGAAUCCUCAAUUAGUUGUAGUCCUGUAUUAAAUCUAACUUGGAAAGUACUACUGUCUCUUGUAGAUACUCAAAUGAUUCAUUUAUACAAGGUAAAAGAUAUUUAUUCCUAAUACCCACUUGAUUCCAGCCUCGAUAUUAUAGACAUGGCCUUCUCACAAGGUUAUAAGCGUAACAAAAUUUAGAUAUACGAAUAAGUCAUGAAAUUGAUUAAAUGCAAAGUAAACUUUCAUUUGCUAUAAAAGACCAUAAUAGUUUCAUCAAGUUAGGAUAAGUUUAUCAAAUCAUUUCAAAAGAAAAAGGGAAUAAACAAGAUUGUACCAAAACAUGCUAAGUCAUCCAUGUUCAAAGCAACAAAAAGAUUUCAUCCCUUACACAAAAGAUUACAACCUUCAAAAGUCUCAGUAUAGGCUAGGUUAUAAUCAUAAUCCCUGUCUUUAAGCAAAGUCAGAUCCAUCUUCACUUGUAGAGCUUCUAAUACUUUGGUUCUUCUCAUAUCCAUUAGUAUUAACCACUCCCUCUAACACUCGACUGUUUUGCAGCAGGCUUAACUAGCUGCUGAGGAGUUCCUCGGGCAACUUUAAAACUUUAUGCUCAAGACUCCCGCAGAGCAAGCAUUUCCUUGUUUCCUCUAGCACAUAGUCUCAGUGUGAUUAAACUUGUCACAGUAUCUACAAGUUACUCUAGAAGUUACGGCCUGAUUAGCUUGAGAAUUCUCCUUUUUCUUUUUCUUCUUUUCUCUCUGCUCCACAACAAAUUCAUGUUCACAUGUCUCUUUACAUUUCCCUUUUUCCAUUAUGGGAGUUUCCUUCACUACCCUUAACUUGGUUGCUAGAAAUAUAUUGAGGUGAAACUUGAAUAGUGGAUCACAUCCCCUCGAGCUUUUUUUUUUUUUUUUUCUGAAGUUCUCCAAUACGCCUUCGUGUUUCUUUUUCAAUUCCAAGUUCUUGUUCCAUAAUUCCAUCUUCUCUACAAACUCUUGUUUGCAUCGUUCUUCCCAGAAUUUAACUAAUUUAGUUUGGAAUUCCAACUCCUUGCAAAGAACUUCUAUUUCUAUACGCAUCUCUUCCAAACUUUUCAUUUCAUCCAUUUGCUUAAUCCUAACUGUCAGCCUAUCAACAACUCAAAGCAUCUAAAUGAGUAGCAAAUCAAAACUUGAAACUUAACUAUCCACAACCUAUAAAUUCUCAUGCAUCUAAGUCAUCCAGGUCUAUUUACUCUUACCUCUCCAUGAAUUUGAUACUUAAGGAAAUCCACACACACGAAUAAAGUAAUACCCUUUGAUAUAAUGAUAUGUACUUCCAUUCUAAGGUCUUCCUCACGUACAUAGUGAAACCAUAAAUCAUACGCCAUAUGAAACAAGUUCCAAACCCUGACUAAAAACUGUUACGCACUAGCAGGACCAGAAUCCUUAUCCUCAAAAUUUUGUCUAAAACAAACCAAUCAUGACCUACAAGAUAAAGUUGAGACUUUUGAUGUAUUUUGAAUGUAUCUGUGGCAAAAUGCGAUUCAAAAUUUUCAAAAUUAGCGUUAAAAAUACAAAUUUUCUUCAUGAUCCAAAACUAAAUUUUCUUAGUAAGAGAUUUCAAAUAAUGUUUAACCACAAUCAUCAAUACAUUUUUCAAAUCAUCAAUACAUGCUCUCACAGAACAUGCCAUAUCCAACAACCACAAUUCUUUACACGUUCGUAUGUCCACUCACACAAGCUAGAACUACCCCAUCCACGAGCACUGAAAGGCUGUGGUACCUCCAAACAGUCCGUACUCAAGUCUCCCGGUGAGAGCAAUUGAUGAAAACUUACAGAUAGGAAUAUUCAUGAACCGGAUUAUCAAUCCAUUUAAAAUUUCGUUAAUCCUAAUCGAAUGUAUUGGUUCUGUAAAAUUGUAUUCGAUACCUUGAUUCAGUUCAACCGGGUAAUCAAUGACCAAUUAAUUUAUAGGAUCGAAUCAGAUAUGCAGGAUAACCUAACCUUCUUCUUCUUAUAGGGAAAGAAAGAAUUAGAUUAACAAAUCAAGUAAUACAACAUUUUUUCAAAUCAAUAAGAGUACUUAAUCCUGCAACUCUAAAAAAUUAUCAACAAAAUAGAAAAUCAACACAUCAAAUAAUUAAAACACUGAAUAUUCCAAACAUUUUAUUUUCAUUUUCUCUAUAUCUUGAAAGCUAUCAAUUUUUUGAAUUUUGAAAUAGUCUCACAUUUCAUCAACCAGGCAUACAAAUUGAGAUAGGUUAUACGGUACCCUACACGUCAAAAUACAUUUUAUAGAAUUCAAUAAUACUACCGCAGAUGAUUGCAAACUCCUGUGUUCACAUUGUCUUGAACUUGCGUGCACUACUUGGGACAAUAUGUGCCAUAUCCUCUUUGCUACAGUCUACUUUCUAGAUAUCAAUUGCACUGGAAUACCACAUUUCUACUGCAGUUGCUGACGGAAAUCUCCUAACAAAUGUGUAGUUACUCUUCGUAAAAUUUCAUGUGACAGUUACCUGGUUGCCGUCGAUUAUCUUUGAAGAAGACAAAUCUACUUUAUUAUCUCUUCAAGUCUGAAUCAAUUUGGAUAAGAUAGAUCUACUUUAUUAUCGCUUCAAGACUGAAUCAAUUUGGAAACAAAGUCUUUAAUGUUUUUAUCUGAACUUCCUCCCUCAUCAAAGGCAUGUCUCGCCAGAUCCUUCCAUUUAUCUGCAUUUUUCCUAAUCUCUUGUCCUUUCUCCCCCUCCAUCACUACGCUUAUGCAUUGACGAAUGACAUCUCUUCUAACAAUUCCAUUUUCAUCUGACUGAGCUUUGAUUCCCGUUUUCCAGAUGUCCGUUACAAACUUGGCAUUUGUGCUUUGAUCUGUCCAUCGUGGCAUGACUACCAUUGGGACUCCCAAACUUAAGGCCUCCAAUGUUGAAUUCCAUCCACAAUGAGUGAUAAAGCACCCUAUAGAUUUGUGUGCUAAAACUUCAAGCUGAGGACACCAUGAACUGACUAAUCCUCUAUCAGAUAUUUCUUUAACAAGAUCUUUUGGCAGCUUAUUUGAUUCUGAUUCUCUAACCACCCAUAGAAAAUAGUAGUUGCUAGUUCUCAAGCCCCAUGCUACUUCUUCCAUCUGCUCAGCAUCAACUUCUGCUAUACUUCCAAAUGAUAUAUAAACAACUGAACUGGUUGAUCUUUCAUUUAGCCAUGGCAUGCAAGCAUUAGUCAUUGGGUUAAAAAGACUGAGACCAUACUGCUUGUCAUCUUGAAGGCGCUUGUCAAGGUACAUAGAUGGAAUAGUUGGUCCAAUUGUCAUUAUUGGUAGGAUCCUGGAUGUCCAAUCAAUCACCUAAGCAAUAUAUGAAACAAAUUGAUCAAAAAUUUAGUUUUUUGUUUAUAUUCUUUCCUCUAUAACUGAAAAAACAAAGCAAAAGAAAUAUGAGGUAGGUAAGAUAUUGUGAUACUACUUUUUUUUUUUUUUGGAGCAGUGGAUGCCACUCAUGCCAUGUGGUUAAUGUACUAUUAUUGUCUCCAUCUAAUCGUGUGAUACUCUCAGAAGUAAGAUGGCAGGGAGGAUAAAUCUGGUGGCAAGGACUAUCCAAUGACAACAUAGAUAGGCACAUUCACAUUGGAAAUUUGGAAGCCUAGCUUCUUCAGGGUCAUUAAGGAAUUAGGUAGCAGUAAUGUACAGGUAAUAUAGAGAUAAAUCCAGGCGUGCCUUUACCUCUUCCUCCAACUUGUAAAAUGUGUUGUAGAUGAUCGAGUCAGCUUCAUGAAUGUUCUUCAUUUGAUCAUGUGUAACCAGCUGAAAAAUUGGCGGAUAUGAACCGUAACUAGAAAUAAAAGAAGGCAGAUCUGAAGCUGAAAGUGGUGGUAAGCCAGGAAUUUCCACUUUAGACUCCUCCAGAGGAAGUUUCAAAAGGCCUGUGUAAACAUGGUAGUAGAUCUUGUUGACAGCACAAGAUUGAGUGAAGAACACAGCCGCACGUAAGCCAAGACUCUUGGCCACACGCAGAGCCCAAGGAAGGACUGCAUCAUAAACAAUACAGUCAACAGGAUAACCCGAAUCUUUAAGCUUCAAGAUUAGCUCAGUUAUAGUUUCUGAGCCAACCUUUUGAAACGUAGCGUAAUAUGUAUCAACGGCAACUCCAUUUUCUCCUUCAUCAAAUCCAUCAGAGAUGGUCUCCACUGUGAUAGAACCGGAGACUUCGUGCAAGGUUUUGAACACGAAUUUAGUUGUAGCAAGUGUAAUUUUGGUGCCUUGAUGUUGCAAACGCUUAGCAAACUGGAGCAUAGGGUUUAUAUGUCCUUGCAUGGGAUAUGGAAAUAUCAAGCAAUGAGCUUUGUGAGUUUCCAUUUGCUCUAACCACGAGACCAGAGUAUGGAUUCUCUAGAAAUUCACAAUCUUUGAGAGCUCGAAUAAUGGUGCUUGUUGCUGGAGUGAGGAGUGCUUGUAGCUUGCUUGCUACGAGUAAAUAUAACAAUUAAAUAUAAGAAUUGUUUCACCAAUGUGGUAAGUGGGUAUGGUAAUCGUUUGUGGUUUGGAGUGCAAUAAUAUGAUUGAAUCAAGCUUGCUUCCUUGUGCUUUAGGAGUAAUUACACAUUACCACUUUGAACCUUAACAAUAAAUCUUUGCUCCUUGAACGAUUGUUGGGUCAAGUGACAAGAGCUCAAUACCUCCAAAGUAUGGUUAUGGAUUUUGAGUUUUGUGGAUAGAGAAAACAACCUUAGAAUCACCCUUUAAAAGGGAUCCGACAAUGCUUAAUUCUAAAUUAGUCAAGGCAUAAUGUGGUCAUGGGACAUUAGGAGAUUAGGAGAUAUAUGUCAAAAGUAAAUAAAUAAGCUCUUUGCUCCUAUGAAUUUUAGUCAGUGUCAGAAAUUUUAACUCAUUAAAACUUGUUCAAUGCAUACUCAGAAAAAAAUUACAAAAAUUUGAGCUUUUCUAAUAUUAGUAUUUGGACACUUAUUAGUGCACCUAAAUUAAACAAAAAAUUACUAAGUGAAUGUACAAGCUCACGUCCAUUUACAAACCCUUACAAAAUGAAAGGAAUGAUUUCGCAUUCCUCAAACAUAGAACCUACCGCCUUAUAAAGACAAAAGAUAGUUACUUACUUUGGUUGCAGUGCUCUUUUAUUUGCUUUGCCUUUCGUACGAUAAAAGCCAAAAUUUGAUAGCCAAGUUGUCGUAAAGGAUUAGAUUUUUUGGCCCCAGAAAGCAGUCCCAGGAACUUUGUUAAAUGUGCGAAGAAACAUGAAUACAAAGGCAUUGUCGGUUGGUUUGAGAAAAAGACAAUGGAUGAUAAACCAAGCGAAUCUUGUGAAUUCAUCAAAUAACAUUCAAUCCCCUUUGGGGCUUGAAUGUCUUAUCAAAUAAGAAGCUGUAGAGCUCCAAAUGCCUUUCCUGACUGCAAUACAGAUGAAUGGAUUUUAUAGACUAAAAUAACCUCUUAUCCAAUUAAGCAUUUAAAAGCAAAUUAGGCUUAUUUACAGAUGGUACUGGUGUAGGUGAAAAAAUAUACAUCUUUUAAGGAAUAAAGAAAGACCAAAUUAUUUACACAUGGCUGCUAUGUAGGGUUCUUUGAAACGUAAGGACAAAGAUUGAGCAUACCUCAGAAUUUUAGUAUUGGAAUAAGAGAAAUGGCUUGAAAGCGUGUUACAAUAUUGCUUCCUUUGCAGUUGGAAUUCACCCUAUCAUAAUUGGUGUGCAGAUUAUCAUCACAAAUAACUUCUAAAAUACAAUGAAAUCUAAUUAACGAUUGACAAAUUUUUUUAUUUUAUUUUAUGAAGAAACAGGAAGACCAUGAGAGUCAUUUUAACAAGAAUCAUCUUAUGCUUUAUAAUUACAUAACUGGUUUUUACAAGUAUUUGUUUUGGAAACAUUUUCUUCAAAGCUGCCACAAAUUGAAGGUUUGUGAUUGCAUCGAUCCCCUUUUUUCUCAUCUAACAGAGCUCACAACGAAAAAUAUUUAUUUAUUUAUUUUAAUUUUUAAAAUUUUUUCCUGUUUCUCUUGCCAAUUCUCAUUCAACAGCAAAUUAAAGAACCAAACAUCCAAAAAACAGGUAGGUUUUACAUUAAACAACAAAUUAUGUCUUUGUACCUUCUUAGCUGACCACAAAACACACAUCAAUGUGACUAUAUAUACCACAUAUCCACAAGUAACAACAAUUGCAGAUGGAAACCUGCAGAUGUUGACUGCCAACGUCAUUGGCUGCGCAAGUUGAGCUUAACAAUACUUUGUAUCAUUGCAAUCAGCAAAAUAGUCAAGGAUUUGAUUAACAGGUACUGGAGGGCACUCAUUAAAAGAAUUUUAUAUAUUAAUUUUUUGAUCAAAGUGAAAUUAAUUUCAAAAAAAGUGUUCAAAUAUUGCAGGUGCAAUGGAGGUGGAUGUGUGUAUUUAUAUAAUAAAUUCUAUAUAAUUUAGGCGUAUUAAUUAAUACUCGAGAAAAAUUUAUAGUUAAGAAAGCGUGCUUAAGAAUUGGUUCAGAUUGCCCACUGAAACAUACAUCAAAUGUGACCUCGAAUUUGGGAGUUAAGUUUCUUAGAUCUAGUGACCGUAUUUGAAGGGAGAGGUGAAUUCGUGAAAAUUUAUUUGUGCCACAGCCAAGUAUAUUUCUGCUGCAACCCCAUUUGCUCCUUCAGCAUAUCCAUCAGACAUGGUCUCCACUGAGAUAGAACCUGAGACUUCUUGCAAGGUUUUAAACAAGAAUUUGGCUGUGACGAGUGUAAUUUUGGUGUUUUAGCAAAUUGGAGCAUUGGGUUUAUGUGGCCUUGGAUGGAAUGGGACAAUAUUAAGCAAUGAGCUCUGUCAGUUUCCAUGUAUUGCUCAGUAUAGACUGUUUGGAGGAACCACAACCUUUAAGAGCUCGUGAAGCGGGUACUUCUAGCUUGUCCGAGUGAACAUAAGAAUGUCUAAAGAAAUGUGGUUGGGUGGAUAUGACAUUUUCUGUGAUAUGAAUCCAGUUAUAUUCUCUGUUUUGGACUUCUCUCUCUUUUUUUUUUUCCCUAAGAUACUCCAUUUUAGCAGCCCAAGAACAAUGUGAUCUGCAUUCUACAUUUCAAAUAUCAACAGUCAAUAGCCAAUGGAUCGAAAUCUUAAAUAAUAAAUUAAUUUGUCCUUUCACAUUUUACCAAAUGAACAGUAGUUAGGUAAGACAUCUGUAAUUCCGAAAGUUACACAAGAACAAAACGAUGUAGUAUCCGCAUCCCACAUCGGAAGAAAGCAAAUGAAAAAGAAUGGUUCAAGGACUUGGGCUCAUGGGUUAUCUUUGUAAUUUGGGUUAACUAUUUUGGAUCAGUAGAUUUCGGUCCAAAAGUUACUUAGGCCAGUCUUUGGACUCGAAUCGUAACAGGUGAUAUCAGAGCGAAUCUCGCGUAUUUUUUGCUUGGAGAGAGCUUGAGCCAGCUAGCGGGGUAAGAUUGUAACUACGCAAGGAUGCAAAAGUCUUAGAGAACCCACCACCUCUAGAAUCUGAGCAUGACCAAGUGGACAAUCUGGAUUUUGACGGGUUUUGCAAGGAUGCAAAAGUCUUAGAGAACCCGCCACCUCUAGAAUCCGAGCAUGACCAAGUGGAUAGUUUGAAUUUUGACGGGUUUUGCGAGGAGGCAAAAGUCCUAAAGAACUUGCUGGAUUCUGUGCGGGGUUAAAUGCUAUGUCGGAUGAGGGCCACCUCUAGAAUUUGCAUCCUCAAGGACCUGCGAGACUAAAUGCCACGUCGAGCAGGGGCCACUUCUAAAAUAAAAACAUAACCAAAUGGACAGUUUGGAUUUUGACGGGCUUUGCGAGGACGCAAAAAUUCUAAAGGUAGGAAGAAUGAGGUAUCUCACAUCGAUAAGAGAAAGAGAAAAAAGAAUUGUUUAAGAACUUGGGUGCUUGGACUACAUAGUAAUUUGGGGUUAACCAUUGUGGUCCAAUAGAUUUCGGUCCAAAAAUUAUUUUGGCUGGCCCUUGAACUCGGAUCAUUAUAGUUGGUAUCAGAGCGAAUCUCACGUAGUCUUUGCGUGAGGUGAACUUGGGUCAACGAGUUAUGAUUCUGAUUACGCAAGGAAGUGCAAGGAGCUAAGUGCUAUGCAAGGUUAAGUGUCAUGUUUGACGGGGGCCAACUCUAGAACCUACGAGACUAAGUGUCACGUCAGAUAGGGGCCACCUCUAGAGCCCGUACGAACCACCUCUAGAGUCCAAAUAUGACCAAGUGGACAGUCUGAAUUCUAACGGAUAUUGCAAGGAUGCAAAGUGUUAAAGGUGGGGAGAAUAUAAAUCGACAUCCCACAUGGGAAGAAAGCAAAGGAAAAAGAAUGGUUUAAGGACUUGGGCUCAUGGACUAUCUUAUAAUUUGGGUUAACCAUUUUGAGCCAGUGAAUUUCGGUCCAAAAUUACUUGGUCAGCUCUUGGGCCCGGAUCAUGUCACACGAUGUCAUAAACUUUCGGUUGCAUUGAUUUCUGGUGGAAUAAUUUUACUCAUUGAUAACUGUUUAUUUGUAGCUUUUAAGAGAUUAUUCAUUUAUACAUGCUUCUAAGUUUUCUUUGACGUAUACAUACGUAAUUAUGAGGUUUUAUGUGGUUAUUGUCAAUUUAUUACAUUUUUUGGCUUGAUAUACAUUCUCCAAUGAUUAAUUCUUUCAUGCAUUUUCUUGAUUGGAGUAAAAAAAAAAUAGUUUGACAAAAGAAAUCUUCUUUGGAAUAAAUCUCUUGAAAAAUUACACCGCAUAUUCACCAUAUGGGGUAAAACAAAAAGGAACAAAUCAAAUUUAUAGAGUUAAUCUUUGGUGUAUAAACAAUUACACAUACAUAUAAAUGCAAAGAGAUAUCAUGUGGAGUGAUAACCGGUUCCUCGCUUUGCUGCGAUCAAUCUAAUUCUUUGUACAUUGAUAUCGUCAAUUUUAGGUAAGUAAUACAAAUAAGAAUAACACGGCAAGAAACUGGCAAUGCAUGAUCUCUUACCUCACAAUCCAAGAGAGAUUGAGUUUUUUUUAGGUAUAAACUUACUUAUAAAAAAGUUUUUGGUUAUAUCAUAAACACCAUUUCUCAACCACUUUUUGUAUAUUUUCAAUCACUUUUUUAUUUGAAAUAUAUAAUAUCACAAAAAAUGCUAUAGUAUUAUUCUAAAUAAUUUUUCUCAAUGAUCCACUAUCCAAAAACACUCAGUGAUUUUUUAAUAUCUCAUUAUUUUUGUUAAGAAAAAAUCUCAUUAUUGCACGUGGUGCUAAUUAAACCUUUGAUUUGACAAACAUAUCUGAGUUUUUUUUUCCGUGAUAAUGCCAUUCUUCAUCAUUUGGCUAACAAAUUAUAACAAACUUAAAGUCCAACUUCUUUUUAUUUUGGUAGGAAUAAGAGGAGUUUUAGUAUAUUUACAUGGAUUUAUUUACUGCAACUCUUUCCAUUGAUCACCUAAAAAAUAUACAAAGCUCAAGGGGCUUAAUUAAACCAAGGCCUAUAGCAAUAGAUUGUUGAUUGCACUCAAAUCUCUGUUCUCGAUCUAACUCUAUGUAUGACCUUCAAUAUUUACUUUAUUGAAAGGAAAGAUAGACCAAAACCAUUUAAAUGGUACCGUUCCCUAAAAAAAAAAAAGCAUUGCUUUUUGGUCCUAUAUCGUUGGCAUGCCAACGAAUGUAAUACUUUUUCUAUCACAAUUAACUAAUUUGAUCCCUUAUCUAGAUAAGUUACAGCCAAUGUAAUACUCUUAAUGGCGAAUUGGGAAACCUUACAGAUCAAGUUAUGUGCAAUGCACAUGCACCAAGAAAACACAAGGGAAAAUCACCGAAAUAUUCUUUCAUUCUAAAAGAAAAAAAAAAGAGUCUGGUUUUGAUUGUUCAAAUUUAAAAUGGUGCGAAAUGGUUCCUCAUGGCUUCACUUAUACAAGAUGUACCCUUUUGGUCCCAAAACUCAUUCAAGGGCAAUUUUCUAACUAAAACUCGAAUUAUGUUAUCAAUUUAUGAUAAAAUCAUCAGCCAAAUUACUGCUUUCGAUCUACAACUCCAACCAAAAAUUCUAAACAACAAUAUCAUUGUUUCGCUCAAGACAAUAGUUUUAUGAAGUCAUUGAGUAAAAGAAAAGGCGAACAAAAAAGGAGAAAGAAAACCUGUUGAAAUCCGGAUGACUUUAUUUAAAUUCAAAGUUACAGUUGGCUCAUCUAAACAGAAGAACAUUUUGUAUAAUCCCAAAUAUUGCGGUUUAGUCAGCCAACAAUAUUGUAGGGUCAUCUAAGAGAAGUUGCUUUUCUGAGUCUCAAUGUUAAAACCGAUGCAGCGGAACGGAAAGAACAAACAAGAACAAGCAAGAACAAAUUUGGAAGAAAUCCAAUUUUUUUUAUUAGGGUUCGGAAUGUAUCAGAUGUUUUUGUACAUAAUGGAUAUAAGGUAUAUAUAUACAACCAAAUAACCAAAAACGGAUUGGAUCAUUAGGCCCAAAAAUCGAGACCCAAACUAAAACGGAUACGAUAUCUAAUAUAUACCGUAAACUCAGCGGGGGUCGAAGAUCUGAUUCAUGGUAUUUCAACAAAUCUCAACCUUGACUUGAAUCUUCUCGAAAACAGAUGUAACAGACGCACUGAUGAAGUGCCAAACGUACUCAAAGUCUUCUUUUACCAUCAGAAUUGUCUCUAAGUACCAUUAGAAUGCCCAUAAGGGCUAUCAGAAACUUAGGACAUUUAGCAAAUCCAAACAAUGUUCGAACUUGUGAUAAGGAACCGGCUUGGUGAACAUAUCAGCAGGAUUGUCAGCAGUGCCAAUUUUCUUCACCUUGAUCCUUGUCUCAGAUCUCAAGAAGUGAUAUCGGACAUCAAUGUGUUUAGUCCUCUCAUGAUGAACUUAAUCCUUGGCUAGACAUAUUGCACUGAGACUAUCACAAUAUAUAUUAGCCUGAUCCUAAUGUAGGCCAAGAUCUCCAACCAGCCCCUUUAACCAAAUUCCCUCUUUAGCAGCCUCCGUCAGUGCCAUAUACUCUGCCUCAGUAGUGGACAGAGUCACUGUAGGUUGUAGAGUUGCUUUCCAACUAACUACAAAACACCCAAGAUUGAAAACAUAAUCAGUCAUCGACAUCCUACUAUCAACAUCUCCAGCAUAAUCAGAAUUUGAAUAGCCUGUAACCAAACACUCUGUAUCACCUCUAUAGAUAAGACCAACAUCAGAUGUACCCCUCAAGUACCGAAAAAUUCGCUUCACGGCCAGCCAGUGCUCCUUCCCAGGAUUAGCCAUAAAUCUGCUAAUAACACUGACUGCAUAUGCCAGAUCAGGUCUAAUGCAGACCAUGGCAUACAUCCAACUACCCACUGCACUAGAAUAGGGAACCUUAGCCAUAUACUCUAUCUCGGCUUUUGACUGUGGUGCGAGUGUAACUGAUAGUUGAGCAUUCGCUGCACUCGGAGUAUUCAAGGGCUUUGCUGUACACAUGCCAAAUCUAGAUAGUACCUUCUCAAUAUAGCUCUUCUGUGAUAAGAAAAACUUCUUCUGACUUCUAUCCCUGAAAAUCUCCAUUCCCAGAAUUUUCUAUACUGCACCUAAGUCUUUCAUCUCAAACUCUACACUGAGAAGACUUUUCAACUUCUAUAUAUCAACUUUGUUCCUCGCAGGUAUGAGCAUAUCAUCUACAUACAGAAUCAAGUAGAUCAUCGAACCAUCUUCAAGUUUGUUGUGAUAUACACAACAAUAAUACUGACUUCUGUUGUAGCCGAGCUCAAUCACGAAGCCGUCAAAUCUGUUGUACCACUACCUUGGGGAUUGCUUUAAUCCAUACAAGGAUUUCUUCAACUUGCAUACAUAAUCUUCUUUUCUCAUAACAUGAAAUCCAUCUGGCUGAAUCAUAUAAAUCUCUUCAUCUAACUCUCCAUGUAGGAAAGCUGUCUUCACGUCUAGCUGCUCAAGUUCUAAGUCCUGAUGUGCAACCAUUGCUAGUAGCACCCUGAUAGAAGUGUGUCUGACCACCGGUGAGAAAAUCUCAUUGUAGUCUACUCCUUCUCUUUGAGUGAACCCUUUUGCAACAACACGUGCUUUAUACUUAAUGCCCUCAGCUGGAGAAAUUCCUUCCUUCCUUUUAAAGACCCAUUUGCAAGCCAUAACCUUUCUCUCUGCUGGCCGUUUGACCAAUUCCCAAAUGUCGUUCGUGUGUAACGAUUCCAUUUCAUCACCCAUUGCAGCAAGCCAUUGAGCUGACUCACUGCCUGAAAUAGCUUCUCUAUAGGUAGAGGGCUCAGGAGAAUCCACCUCCUCAGCAACCUGAAAUGCAUAACCUACAAAAUCCCAAUACCUGCUGGGAGCUCGUACUCCCACUCUCCUUGCACGAUCAUAAGCAAUACCGUGCUGCUGAGUUUCUGAUGCAGUAUGGGAUAUAGAUGCCAACUUUUCUGCUGAUGUAGGUUCUGGAGACUCUAUUUUUGCAGGAGGUUCAGUUUCAAAGGAUAGCUGUUGAUGAUCACCAAAUUACUGCUAUGAUUCAAAAUCAAUUUGAAUGAUUUGUAGCUCCACCUGUUUAUCAACACCUGCAUUUUCUUCAACAACAGUCUUCACAGGGGGGUUAAGUAUAGAGUUUUCAUAAAAAAUUACACUUCUACUAAGUAUAACUUUCUUUUCUGAGGGUGACCAGAUUUUAUACCCUUUAACCCCGUCUCUAUAUCCCGGAAAUACUCCCUUUUUAGCCUUUAAUUCUAGUUUGCCCUCACUGACAUGAUAAUACGUAGUACAACCAAAAGCCUUCAAAUUUGAGUAAGUAGGGGACAUACCAGACCACACUUCAUAAGAUAUCUUGCAGCCUAUACCUGUAUGAGGUGCACGAUUGAUCAAGAAGCAGGCUGUGCUCACUGCUUCCGCCCAGAACCCCCUUGGCAACUCAGCAUUGAAAAGCAUACACCGUGCUCUCUCUAAAAGUGUUUGAUUCAUGCAUUCUGCUACACCGUUUUAUUAUGGUGUGUGUCGAACUGUGUGAUGCCGAGCAAUUUCUUCAUCUUUGCAGAACUCAUCAAACUCCUUCGAACAGAAUUCCAGACUAUUAUCAGUUCUCAGCUUUUUGAUCUUCUUUCCAAUUUGAUUCUCUACUAAGGCCUUCCACUGUUUGAAGUUCUUGAAAGCUUCACAUUUUUCCUUCAUAACGAUUACCCAAGUCAUCCUUGAAUAAUCAUCAAUCAUGGAUAAAAAAUACCGACAGCCUCCCAAAGACUCAACUCGUGAAGGACAUCAACAGUCAGAAUGGAUAUACUCAAGUGUGCCUUUUGUCAUGUGAAUUGCCUUCCUAAACUUUUUGCGAUGUAGUUUACAGAAAGUACAAUGUUCACAGAAUCCAAGAUCGGUGACCUUGUGGCCUUCUAGAAGAUCAUGUUUAGACAGAAUCUGCAUCCCCCUUUCGCUUAUAUGACCAAGUCUAAUGUGCCACAGCUUAGUCAUAUCAGACCUGCGAUCUUUAUAAGAAGCAACAGCAGCAGCGGCAGAACCUGUUAGCGUAGAACCCUGUAAGAUGUACAAGGUGCCAUGCUUAACUCCUUUGAGAACCACUAAUGAACCUUUACUGAUGCACAACUCUCCACUUCCUCCGCUGAACCUGAAACCCUUACUGUCAAGAGUACUAAGUGAUAUCAGAUUCUUUGUCAUUUUGGGGACGUGCCUGACUUCAUUAAAUGUGGCAAUUUUCUAGUAUGUAUCCUGAUCUUAAUCGAACCGAUCCCAAUAGCCUUGCAGACAGCGCUAUUAGCCAUCACAACAUUCCUGCCAUCUAUCUGCUCAUAUGUUGUAAACCAUUCCCUGUUUGGACAUAUGUGAUAGGAUGCCCCAGAAUCAAGAACCCACACAUCAGAGUGAUGUGUUGGUUCGUUUGCAAUUAGGGCCAGGUCUUCUUCUGAAUUUUCCACUUCCUUUUCUACAACUGAAGCUGAAGCAUGUUGUUUUUCCUGUUGCUUCUUCUUCUUGGGACAAUCAGAUUUCCAAUGACUCUUUUCCUUGCAGUAGUUACAGACAUCAUCCGGCUUGGGACCUUUAGAGAACUGCUUCUUGUUUCCAAACUUCUUUUUUCCCAAUUUUCCUUUACCACUGCUGACAACUAGCCCAGCAGCCUGAUUAUCUGUAACAUUACCAGCUGCCUUAUGGUGCAACUCUCUACUAUGCAAUGCUGAUCUUACUUCUUCUAAAGUCACUGUAUCUUUACCGCCAAUAAAAGACUGAACAAAAUUCUCAUACGAUAACGGUAGAGACACUAACAGAAUCAACGCGGCAUCCUCAUCCUCAAUUUUAACAUCAAUAUUACGCAACUCAAGAAGAAUCGUAUUUAAUUGAUCUAAAUGUUUUCGAAGAGGAGUACCUUCCUGCAUACGCAGACCGAACAGACAUUGCUUUAGGAGCAACUUGUUGAUUAAAGACUUCGUCAUAUAGAGAUUUUCAAGUUUAACCCACAAACCCGCAGCAGUUUCUUCACCGGCGACCUCAGUGAUGACAUCAUCUGCCAGGCACAGCAUGAUUGUCGAGUGAGCCUUUUCCUCCAGACUCAUCGACUCUUCAUCAACGGAAUCCGAUUUCUUCUUCGUCAGCGGACUCCACAGACCCUGUUGCUUUGACAGAGCCCGCAUCUUGAUCUGCCACAAACUGAAACUAUUUCUCCCGGUGACCUUGUCGAUCUUGAUGUUCAAAGCAGACAUGUUGUUGCGUGAUCUGAGCCCUAGGACAAACCUAGAGCUCUGAUACCAAUUUGUUAAAACCGAUGCAGCGAAACGGAAAGAACAAACAACAACAAGCAAGAACAAAUUUGGGGGAAAUCAGGUUUUUUUUAUUAGGCUUCGGAAUAUAUCAGAUGUUUUUGUACAGAAUGGAUAUAAGGCAUAUAUAUACAACCAAAUAACCAAAAACGGAUUGGACCAUUAGGCCAAAAAAUCGAGACCCAAACUAAAACGGAUACGAGACCCCCGAACAGGUCAGUGGGGGUCGAAGAUCUGAUUCAAGGCAUUUCAACACUCAAUAUUAUCAUAAUCAUCCUCCAAUGUUGUUAAAGAUUGAUAGUCAACUUUUCCAGAUAGCAUUUUGUACAAUAUCAAAUAAAGACACACACCAAAUAAGAUCCCAAUGGAUUGUUCUUGAAUGUGGAGGAAAUUGUUGAAACUAAGGCUGGUAGCUCAAUCGUUUAUUCAGAAUGUAAUUGAGAAUGGUUUUCAAACAAAUUUUUGGUAUGAUGCAUGGCAUCCUGUGGGACGAUUAUUCUUGCAAUUUUCAGAAAAUCUACUACGCUGCUUUGGGUGCAACUCUCAAGAUACAGUGGCCAGAUGUAUUGAAGAUGGAAAAUGGAAGUGGCCUCAAAGUAGGAAAAUGUCAAAGGAAGUAGAACGGCUGAAGCAAUUAAUUCCUGAAAGUUUUGUUCCUAUGUCAGAUUACGAAGAUCAAACUAGAUGGACUGCAAGUGGCAAUGGUGUUUUUUCUACUAAAUCAGCUUUGAAGGCAAUCAGAUGUAGAAACCCAACUGUGGAAUGGUACAAAUUGGUUUGGGGUAAAAAUCAUAUACCAAGAUGCUCCUUUAUCUGAUGGCUACUUUGCAAAAGAAGAUUGGCAACAGUGGACAGAUUGAGGAAGUGGGGCUUGAAGGUGGAAUCAACAACUUGUGUUUUUUGUGCAACAAUUGAAGAAAGUAUGGAUCACCUAUUCUUUGAUUGCACAGCUACUCAAAGAAUUUGGCAAAAUGUGCAAAACAUGUGUGGUGUAUUUAGAAGUAAACUCUCUUGGGAUUGUGAAAUCGCUUGGCUUGCUCAUUACUGGUCAAAGGAUUCAUUCUGCAAUCAAUUAGGAGGACGGCUUCAGCAGUAAUAGUGUGUACCAUUUGGAGAGUUCGAAAUGAAAUUAGAUUCUAUUAAAAGCAAAGAUCGGACGUGGAUAUUCUUGAUGCCAUUAUUAACACAGUCCAUUAUGCAGCCGUUUCUUGGGAUAGGAUCCUAAGACUAAGGAGAAUUGGAGGAUGUUGGUGGAGUGUGGGAUCCCUACCAAAAUUUUGAUAGAGCAUGUAUUUGUGGAGUUCCAAGAAUAUACUGUAGGGAGGAGUGUAAUAGUUAUGUUAAGAGGAUCUGUGUGUAAUCUGAUUUCCUGAUAUUAAUAAAAUAUACGAUUUACACAAAAAAAAAAAAAAAAAAGACACACAUCAAAAACUGUAACUCCAAUUAGGUACCAGCUAGACUGAAUGUUCACUAAUGAUUUAGCCCUUUCAAGGGCUUCAUCAUCUUGGCAACUGACAAUAUCGUGUCCAUAUUCCGAGUUUAUAAAACAGCCUUUGGGAAUAUACUCUGGUGUGUAAAGCAUGACUCCCAUGACUAUCAUCCAAACUCCUUGAAACAAGACGCCAAGAGACCUUACGAAAUUAUUCAAGAAACUCUUUGGGUAACCUAUGCCUAAAAGGGUAGUGAAAAAAAAAGACAAGUAUGACAAUUUGGUGAAACCAGUGGGACUGCCCUUCCACACCCAUGUGAUCAGUCGAGUGGAAAUGGAAGAGGAGAAAUUGUUGGCCCAAAGAAAUGGCUCCUAUCAUUAGAGUUAGGCCAUAUUGAGCUGGGGGCUGGAUUUUGUCAAGAAUGAAGGAGAAAAGUGCAUAGAUAAAGAGAGACAAGGCUAUGUUUGUGUGCUCAAAGUUGCAAGGAUGGUCCGAUGGGAUGGUGCCAUCAGAAUCCAAUGGUUGGUGCCUGGCAGGACCAACGAAUAGUUCCAUAAAUAUAUAGGCAACGCAGCUUCCCAUCAGGAAGAAAAGUUCCAAGUACCUAAUUUUUGAAGUUGGAAACCAUGGCAAAGAUAUGUAGGAUUUUGGAUGGAGAAAGUGAAGCCUAAUAUGAUUAACUAAAUGCCAGAGCCCAAACAGAAAGAAGCCUAAUCAAGUGAUCACAUGUCCCACCAAACUGCCCAUUGCUAGUGCCUUGUGUUUUGCUUGCUUGAUUUGUAUGUUUUGUUUUAGGAAAUAAGGGUGCAAGGAGGUUACAGGGAAACCAGAUUUCUAUGUAUUCAAAGUAUGUUUACCAUACUACAUUAUGAGCCUAUAUAUAGGCUUACAUACAAAUUAAAAUAAGAAAAUUAGGUAAUACGAGAAACCUCUUGCUAAUCAUGACAAUCAAGUCAAAUUUAAUAUGGAUUAAAAAUUUUACAGAAACAAAUCAGAUCAAAUAUUUAUAAUCUAUAGGUAGGCUAUUUUAUUUUAUGCUCUAACAGCACAAGAUAUAUAAGAAGUGACCUUGAUCACUCCUUCCACUAAAGGUUAUUCUUUUUCGCACUAUUCUUUGUGCCUGCACACAAAUGGAAAAGAAAAUAGAAAAUAGAAAAGAAGCACUAUACAAGCAGAUAUUAAUUUUAAGCUCAAAAAAUUCUCUCCCCCAGGUGGCAACGUGGCUGAACAGAAUUUAAUCAUUUCUAGAUCACAAUUAGGCAUUUCGAUAUGUCUUACCACAUUGAGAGCUUAUGCACUGUUAGAGAUUCAGGCACUCAACAAGUUAAAUGAAGAUUUUUUGAUCAGUUGAUUCUUUGACUUAAUGGCUCAAUAUAUGUUAAGGUGAUCAAUUAGGUGGGAAGAAUGGACAACGAGAUGCUUCAUAUUUUACCCCGCUGACCAUAGAUUUGGCUUCGCCACUGCUACUGGCUAAUGGUUGGAAAGCUAGAUAUGUUGAAUACAUUCUUUGCUAAUUGUAGUAUCUAUCAGUCUCAGUAUUUAAUUACGAAAGGGAAUAAUUCAGUUUGAGGAACAACCAAAUUCAGCAAUCAAACGAAAUUUUUUGUUGGGCGCUUUCAUGAUUUAUUGAGCUUACCGACUUUCUCUUUCAAGUAACAUUCGUUUUGGUUGGUAUCAAUGCAAAAUCAAGUAAUCAUCAUACGCAACCAACUGAAUAACACCCUUAAGCGGGAUUACCUUUGAGAUGUCCUUCAAAAUUUUCAAAGUUUCAGGAACAGGAAAAUAGAAAUGUUGUUUUAGAGUUUUGGCACAGCUUGUGUGAUUGAAGAACGUUAAAAUAUGGUAUGCUCCUUUAACAAAAUUGAAUAUGGAGUCGCACAAUUAUUAAGAGUACUACGUAUUCUUUGGGAUGGUUUAAGGGUGAAUUCAAACUUGCACUGUUAGGCACCGUUUGGAUUGAGGGAAUUGGAGGGAAAGCAAAGGAGAAGAAUUGGAGGGAUUUGAUUUUUGUUGUUUGGUUUGACUUUGAGGAGAGAAAGGAAAGGAUAAGAGCGAAAGACUCUAGUUAUUUUAUUGAGUUAGUUUCCACCCAAAAAUGGGCAAAAACGGAGGAGAUGAAACUAAAUCAAUUAAAAUAAUUAAAACUUUUUAAACGAUAGUUUAUUUUUUAUCUUUUCCAGUGAAUUAACACUUGCAUGUCCACUUUGUGUUAUCUGUUUCGGUUGCAACAGUUUUACUAUUAGCUACAUAUUGUUAUAUUCAUGGAAAUUUUUUUAUUGAUUUUUUUUAAAAGUGAGAUGUCUUGAAGACAAUCCCUCACAUCUUACCGCUCAACCCAAUUCUCUCCUGUUAUACUCUUGAAAAUUGACCUUACAGUAUCUAGUUAAUCUCUCUAUCAAUUAAACUGAAUUUUGGGACAAAAUAUUUAGGGUGAAAACAAUGAGAUAAGAAGAGCCCGAUUUUUUUUUUAUGGGAAUAUUCUAAACUUUACAAGAGUGAAGGGAAAAGAGGAGGAAUUGUCGGAUCAAGAAUUUUACAGAUCAUCUGACUAAUGUCCCUACUAGUUAAAUUGGAUCUUAAGGAUUCUGCGUGUGUGUGUGUCUAUAUAUAUAUAUAUAUAUAUAUAUAUAUAUAUAUGCAUGCGUGUCUAUACACACACUACUGUAUAUUCCUGUAAAUUAUGCAAAUUGACACGCAACAACUAAAAAUGUAAAUAACGUGAUUUAUAUUAAUUAAUUAAGAUUGGUUUAAUUUUUAAUAGAUAAUUGAUAUAUUCUUUAACAAUGUGGGUAUAAUACUGUAUGAUGUUGGAAGAAAAGUAAUCUUAAACGUUGUAUGAUAUGCUAUGACAUACAGCACUGGGAGAGCUAGAAAAACUUUUCAGUGGGAAUGCAAAUUAAAAUAAAUUCUUUUAGUUCUAUAAAUAAAAGCGAAUAAUAUUUUGUAAUAAGUUAUUAGCCAAUUUUUGUAUGUUGUUUUCUAAAUACAUUUCCAGCCAUUUUUUACUCUUGAACUGACUUUUUCAUCUUAUUUAUUAAUCCAUCUUCAAGGUUUCCCACUUUACAAAGCAGACUUAAGAAAAAAGAUCAUUUUCAAUUACGUUACCCAGAGAAACCGAUGCCACAAGGCAAGAAAGGCAAGAAAUUGCUUUCCCCGUCCCCAUGGAAGACAGUAGCAUCACUUCACAAAAAUCUUAUCAGUGAAGAAUACAAAAAAGAUGCAUCAAAUGAUAUUCAAACAGAAAGAAAUAAACAGUGACUACAAAUGUAUUUAAUAAAUAAUAUAAGAGGAUAUUCGAGAACUAAACUGUUUAGGGCAUUAGACUUGUAAUAAUCAUUAAAACGAUGAUUCAAGUCUACUAUUUGUUUGUUUGAUUAAGAACUGUUAUUAAGUUACUUAAAAAUGCAUAUGUAAAUUUUAUUUAUAUAAAAUUAUUAGGUGUAAAUACAAAAUUUUUGUAAAUUUGAACACCUAAAUUAAAAGUUUUUCCUUUAGGCCCUAUUUGAUAACUCAAUUUAAUAUUUAAAAUUAAUGAAUUCAGAUCUUAACAUAUUUUAACUAUUUGAUAACAAAAAUUGAACAUCUGAAUUAAUUAAGUGGCGCUUAAUUUGUUAGGUAAGACUUGCUUCUAAAAUUAAAUAAUAAGUUAUUCACUUAUCAUUAAAUGUGACAUAUAUUUAAAUAUACUAAAUUUAAUACUUAACAAUUCAAUAAUUUAAUGGAUUCAAAUUUCAGAUUUCAAACUUCAAUUUUCAGAUUUCAUUUUUAUCAAAGGCACCGUUAGUUUGUGGAGGCACAUUUAUAAAUUAAUAGAAUACAUUUAAUAUUUUUCUAAAAAAUCUAUGUCUAAUGUUGAAAAUUUCAUUUGUCGAGUGGGGCACAGGACAAUGGAGCUAUCACCGGAGAAUAAAUCAAACAGCUCCGCCCCGCCCUGUCUCCCAUAUGAUAUCUCGGAGUAAUAAUAUUGUCUGAUGAUGGAAGAAAAAAGAUGAAGAACGCCCUGAGCCUUUUCACACACAAAGAAAUAGUAAGCAAGCAAGCCCUGAAACAACGAAAAUAGCUUCCCGUUGCACACAGUAGAAAGAGAAUCAGAUGAGGAUGAAUUUUCCAGCAACAACUAUUUGUGCUGGGAGUUUCUUCAAAGAUUAACGAACUUGACAUGCAAGAUUAUUGGAAUAGCAAAUCGAAACAGCUUAUUAUUGAUAAUCAGCAGUAAAUGACAAGGUAAAGGGAACAGCAGACUUGCAGAGACAGAUGAAUUUGGAACGGCUGAAACCUCAGGCAGGCCGGUUGGCCGGCUCGAACUAACCGUCUGGCCGCUCUUUUCUUAACUCGAAUAGCGAAGAAUUUUUCGGGCUGACAUGAGUUCUUGACCUUGACUACCAGUACUGUUGAAGCUUAGAAAUGAUGAGGCAUCUCUGAAAAUUUUGCCGUCUGACAAAAUAGGAAGACUGAAACGGCGGCAAUCAUAGAUUUGGCAAAAUGAUUGGAAGAGAAGCAGCAGCACGAUCAAUGCUGGGACGAGUGGCUUCAAGAGAUUAAAGAAAGGAACAAUACGAUUCUUUAUCCAGAUGCAGGUCUUCACAAAAGGGUUAUUACUGAAUUGUUCUCGGAGAGCAUUGCCAAAUUCAUCAGCUGUAGACAUUUCAUUCUUGUCACCUCCGUUAGCGAUGAUGGAUUUCCUCAAGUUAGCGAAGAGGCAGACGACUUCAUCAUUUUCCAUUUCCCCUUUGACAAUCUGAGCAUUCCUUAGAAUCUUCACGUCCUUCUCACCUCUUAUCAAUCCAGACAGGAGAUAAAUAAAAUAUUGAAAUACUGACGAAAGAUCGGGUGCUGAAGCUUCGAAUGCCAAUAGAUUUCUUAACAUCACCUCUGAAUUUUUACCCAGUUUCAAGGUUGGGAGGAAGAAUACAUUCUCGGUGACAUCAUAUACAGUACCUUGGAUACCAGAUGCCGGCAAAAGGCAAGUAAACGUUGUUUCACAAACGUCAUGCAGUUGUGACACCGAUGGAAGUAAGUUCCCUUGCAGCUUAUCUUGAUCAAUACUAGUAUUAGGACUUAAAAUUUUCCGAGCAUUUUCAGCCGUCGUGAGAAUCAAGCCAACUUUUCCUGGCUCCUGAAGACCCACAGAUUUCGAGCUUUUAAACACGGCCAACAAUUCAUCUACCCCCAGCUUAAUAGUCUCUGUUAGCCUAGACAGAACAUGUUGCGUGACUGCCCAUAUAUGCUGUGCAGCUUUCACUUUGCCAUCAUAAGCCCGCUUGUAUGUUGUAAUGAUAUCACUGAUUUUGAUCAGAGUUAACUGGAGGUAGGGAAAAGUGACCGAGAGAAUUGGGAAGGGAAGAAACAGAGAGGGAAGGUAUAUUGAAAGGGAUUGAGAAAACUGAACUCGUUCUGUUUGAUAGCGUGCCCCAUCCGUCCUCUUUUAGGCUUAUUUAUACAAGCUUCUUCCUCUAGAUCCUUCUGCGUUCUAACCUCCUAACUGAAUGAGCAUGCAUGCAAGCAUGCUAUUUUUGGAUGUCUAACAGAGUAACUAACUUCUGGAUCGCUAACUAACUUCCUAAUAAGGAAAGCAUAGCAGAUACAUUUCUGCUAAAAGUAUUUAUAAUAUCUAGGGUCAUUACAAUACCUUCCCCUUAAGAAUCCUAGUCACUAGGAUUGAGCUGAAAAUUUGGAAACUGUGAUUGUAUCACCGUGACAUCCUCCCAAGUUGAGUCUUCAGUGCCUAGGUUCAUCCACUUGAUCAGCACUUGAGUCAUCUUCUGUUUUUUUCUUAUGAUUUCACGAGUGGCCAGUACACUUUCUGGUGCAAUCUUGAUCUGUCCCUCAGCCGUAGUCAAAGGUAACUCCUGAGUUAUAACAUGAUUCUUUGCAGAUGGUUUGAGCAAGGAAACAUGGAAGGUAGGAUGUAUCGCAGAGCCAGCCGGUAACUCUAGUUUGUAGGCUGCAUUUCCAACUUUUUGAAGGACCUUAUAUGGCCCAUAAUACUUGGAAGAUAACUUCAGAUUCUUCCUGAUUGCUACCGAAGUUUGUCUGUAAGGCUGCAAUUUCAAGUAUACCCAAUCACCAACCUGGAAAUUCCUUUCAAUUCUGCCCUUAUCCGCGAACUGCUUCAUACGAUUCUGAGCCCUGAUGAGAUUUCCCCUCAGCAAUUCAUUCCAUUUCCUCCUAUCUCCCAACCACUGUUCCACAGCAGCUACUGGAGUCUCUAAGGCAUUCAGGCCCAAUUGAGAGGGUGGAUAACCGUACAGAGCCUGGAAAGGAGUCAUUUUCAAGGCUGUGUGAUGGUUGGUGUUGUACCACCAUUCAGCAGCUGCUAAUAAGAACUUCCAUUUAUGAGGUUGUUGGAAACAUAAACACCUCAAGUAUGUCUCAACGCACCUAUUCAGCCUCUCCGUCUGCCCAUCUGUCUGAGGGUGGUAGGCAGUGGAGUAGUGCAGCUCAGUACCUAGCUUCCCAAAUAAUUCCUUCCAGAACAUGCUAGUAAACAGCCUAUCCCUGUCUGAUACAAUGCUCAGGGGUAACCCAUGCAAUUUGUAGACAUUAUCAAAGUACAUGUUAGCUACUGACUGUGCUGUAUACUUAGGAGGUAAUGGUAAGAGGUGGCAGUAUUUGGUGAACCUGUCAAUGACUACCAGCAUUCCUUCAUAUCCCUGAGACUUGGGCAAUCCUUCCACGAAGUCCAUUGAAACAUGCUGCCAUGCCUGCUCGGGUACAGGAAGUGGUUGCAGUAGGCCUGGUGUUUUGCAAUGUUCUACCUUGCUUCUUUUAAACACGUCACAUUGCUGCACCCAACUUUCUACCUCCUUCUUCAUUCCUGGCCAGAAAAAUGGCCCUUUCAACCUCUGAUAGGUUCCCAGGUUGCCUGAGUGCCCUCCUAGGUGCGAGUCAUGAAGGCAAGUUAUCAGCUUCUGUCUCAAGCUCCCUGAUGCUCCAAUGUAAACCCUGCCUUUAUACCUGAGUAAUCCCCCACUCAAAGAGUAAUUGGGAAGAGAGUCAGGUGUAAUGGUCAAGGCUUCGGUUAGCUUAGUUACGGCACUAUCCCCCUGGUAACUCUCCAGGACUUCAGAUAGCCAUGCAGGUUUCAUGACCGAGAGGCUGUGUGUAGAGCUGUCUUCUUCAUAGCUUCUUCUAGACAGUGCAUCAGCCACAAGAUUUUCCUUACCUCUCUUGUACUGUAUUUCAUAAUCCAGUCCCAGCAACUUAGUAAGCCACUUUUGCUGUAGGGGAGUGGUUAUCUUCUGCUCUAGUAGGUACUUUAAGCUCUGGUGAUCUGUCUUGAUAAUGAAAUGAUUCCCCAACAAAUAAUGCCUCCACCUGGAUACAGCUGUGAUAAGGGAUAACAACUCCUUCUCAUAUAUUGACAACCCCAAGUUUUUAGGCCCCAAGGCUUGACUGAGAUAAGCAAUAGGCCUUCCUUGCUGCAUGAGUACAGCUCCUAUAGCCUUAUGACUAGCAUCUGUUUCCAGAACAAAUGGUAAGGAAAAAUUAGGGAGUGCGAGGACAGGUGUGUUACUCAUCAGUUGUUUGAGUUUUUGGAAAGCUAGUUCAGUAUGUUCACUCCAGUGGAAGUUUACUUUCUUCAGCAACUCCGUAAGUGGCUUGGCAAUGAGCCCAUAACCUCUCACAAACCUCUUGUAAUAGCCUGUGAGUCCCAAAAAUCCUCUCAAAGCCUUCACUGAUGUAGGUGCAGGCCAGUCCAUCAUGCUUUUGACUUUUGAGGGGUCAGCCUGUACUCCAUUACUACUGAUAAUGUGUCCCAAAUACUCCACUUGGGACUGUCCAAAGAAAUCUGAGUGUUUCUAGGACAGUUUUGAGGUGUGAAAGGUGAGUGUUUGGGUCAGGACUAUACACAAGGAUGUCAUCAAAAAAUACUAGCACAAAUUUUCUCAAGUAAGGUUCGAAUACAUGGUUCAUCAGGCUCUGAAAAGUUGCUGGUGCGUUAGUAAGGCCAAAUGGCAUGACUGUGAAUUCAUAAAGUCCAAGGUGAGUUUUGAAGGCUGUUUUUGGAAUAUCAUCUAGGUACAUUCUGAUUUGAUGGUAACCGGCUCUUAGGUCGAUCUUAGUGAAGAUCUUAGCACCAUAUAGCUCAUCGAGCAAAUCAUCAAUGAUUGGUAUUGGAAAUUUAUCUUUGAUAGUCAAGUCAUUUAAUUGUCUGUAAUCAACACAGAAUCGCCAAGUUCCAUCUUUUUUCUUAACUAACAGAACUGGAGAUGCAAAUGGACUAUGGCUGAGCUGAAUAAUGCCACUACUAAUCAUGUCUUUUACCUGUUUCUCUAUUUCAUUUUUCUGGUUGUGAGGAUACCUAUAAGGUGCUAAUUUGAAUGGUUUGGCAUUGGGUAUUAAAGGAAUUUGGUGGUCACAAUCUCUGGAGGGAGGAAGGGAUUUUGGCUCCCCAAAUACAUCUUUGUAGUCCGCAAUUAGAGCAUCUAGGGGCUGUUGAAAAGCAAUAUCCAACUGAGUUACAGAGUGUACCUGAGUUCCACUCAUCUUCAGCCCACAGGCAUGCUUCCAGAUUUUGGUGCUUAGUCCUUCCUUCUCAGCAUUAUCUUUAGGAAGCUUAAGUACCGCCUCCUUCGACUCUCCUUGUAGCCAGAUCCUUUCCCCUUCCUUAUCAAAUGUCAUGUUCAACUGCCUGAAGUCAAAGGUGAUGGGGCUGUGUGCAGCCAUCCAAUCCACUCCUAUGAUCAUAUCAUAAGGUUCUAUGUUAAUGAUAAACAUGUCAUGAGUGAAUGGUUUACCUUGCAUUUCCCAGUUCAUGUUUGGAAUCAUCCUACUACAGGUCAAAUACUCCCCAUUAGCCACCUUGACCUUGAAGGGCUUGAUUGACUGGACCAUCUCUGGAAAGAGUUGAGCCACAGUAUUUUUGACAAAGCUGUGAGUACUUCCCCCAUCCACCAAGAUUGACAGGGGGGUUCCUUUGAGCAGCCCCUGCAAUUUGAUGGUAUUGUAAGUCAUUUUCCCCGUCAGUGCAUGUAUUGCCAUUUCCACUCCUCUGGCCGACUGAGCCCCUUGGUACUCAAUUACCUCCCCUUCCUCCAGAUCCUCAGGCCUAUCUUCUACUGCGACCAUCAAAUGAAUCUCCUUCUGCUUGCACUGGUGACCUGGACCAAACUUUUCUCCACACUUGUAGCAAAGGUGAUGUUCCCUUCGGUACUGCAGCUCUUCUGGUGUGAUUUUCUUGAAGUGUUGGGGUGUUUUUUUGACAGACUUGGCAAUGACAGGUUUGGUAGGUGCCAUAGUUUGCUGAGCAGCAGCCUGCGUGGAGUUUCCCCAACCCAUGGCCCUUUGAUGAGGUUUGUGCUUCCUGUGGUAGGCUUCAAAGGCAUUCUCCUGUAGUCUGGCCAACUCAAAGGCUUUGGACAGUGUCCUAGGGUCGUGAGCUUUCACCAUUGAUCUCAAUUCAUCUGGCAAUCCACUCAAAAAACAGGAAAUGUAGUAGUUUUCUGGAAGGUGUGGGGCUCGAAUCAUUACCUCUGAUAACAGCUCCUCAAAUUUUUCUUGAUAUGCUAGGACUGUGGGAGAGAGUUGCAACUUGUUGAAUUCCUCCACUGGAUCCAUCUGUCCUAAGGUUCCAAACCUUUUACACAGCUCUUCAGAAAACUCCAUCCAUUCCACCUUGUUACUCCUAGUAGAUCUGAAUCCUUGAUACCACACUGCCGCCUUCUCCUCCAAGUGGAACUCUGCCAACUCCAUCCAUUGCUCCUUGGAAAUGUGCAGAAGCUGGCAAUAUUUCUGUAGUUUCCUGAUCCAUUCCCUAGGAUUGUUUCCCCUAAAUGCUGGAAUUUCCAAUUUAGGCGUACUAGCGAAGAAGGCACUCCUAGUGUUCCUUUCUCCUUGAUCUCUACUCCCCAGGUCGGAGCUUCUGGAGUAACUUCCUUCUGGAGAUCCUAAUAUGCCUUUCUCUUGAUUUCCACGGUUUAAGCUGGAGAGCUGCUGCGAGAUGGCUGACAUGAACGCAUCUAGCUUAUUGCCCAGCUCAGCACUCACUGCAUCCAGCCUCUCCUCCAUGCUUUGCUUGUCUGCCGCCAAGGAUUCCAGAAUUCCGUGAAUCUUGCUUUCUUGCCUGCGGAGCUGUUCCUCCAUCGUCUUCAUCCUUGUUCCAUCCGCCAUUGUGAUAUGUCGAUCUAAGCUUCCUAGUCCAAGGACCGGAAGCUCUGAUACCACUUGUAAUGAUAUCACUGAUUUUGAUCAGAGUUAACUGGAGGUAGGGAAAAGUGACCGAGAGAAUUGGGAAGGGAAGAAACAGAGAGGGAAGGUAUAUUGAAAGGGAUUGAGAAAACUGAACUCGUUCUGUUUGAUAGCGUGCCCCAUCCGUCCUCUUUUAGGCUUAUUUAUACAAGCUUCUUCCUCUAGAUCCUUCUGCGUUCUAACCUCCUAACUGAAUGAGCAUGCAUGCAAGCAUGCUAUUUUUGGAUGUCUAACAGAGUAACUAACUUCUGGAUCGCUAACUAACUUCCUAAUAAGGAAAGCAUAGCAGAUACAUUUCUGCUAAAAGUAUUUAUAAUAUCUAGGGUCAUUACAUAUGUCUCCUCUUGUAGCUCUUCCAACUCUCUAUCUACUCCUAAGCAGAUAUCGUACACAUAUUGCAGAAUAUGAUUCCCUCUGGCUUUGAACAUUGCAUAAUCAAGCUCCGAAUUCGGGUCAUACUCGAUUUCAAUUGGAGCUAUGUCGUAGCAUAAGCGACACAAUGCUUCUCCAAUAUCUUUGCCCUGGGGAACAGGAUACUUGUAUUGGAGGACCUUAGGGAUUUCCUCCAUCAACAACGUGGGGAUUUGGUUCUCCAGCAUCACUAUAUCUCCAAGAAAUGAUUCAUCUGAGGAAGAAGUAGAAGAAGAACAAUGAUCAGACCGUUUCUCCGAGUAGGCUUGAACGAGAUGCAGCAAGAAUAUGGCGUCGAUGAUGACAAUCCAAGCCAAACUCUCUCGAUCCAGAUCAAUACUUCUGCUGUAACAGGAACGGAUCUUUGCUUCAAAAGAUAUUGGACAAUUCUCGACUAUCCUAAUAAAUUCCUCAAUGUCUUCGAUUUUCAACAAAUCUUUCACUGUAUCUCGCUUUUUGUUGGUCAUCAGUUGGAGAUCAGGGCGAAGAUGAUGAUAAGGUCCUAGGCCGACUUUCCGAGGAGCAUAAGCGUCCGGCUUUGUGUCCGACAACCUCUUAGGAACCUCAAAAACGCUAGGCCCGAUAUCAGAGGGAUGCCGGUACCGAUCCUUUGUCUGUUCAGCCCAGCUCCUAUGACUGCCAUUGGAAGUGGAACUAUUGCUACUGAAAUUGGAUGACAUGUUCUCUCUCUUGGUUGUCAAGUUACUGUUAGCAACAUGUAUAGAUCAAAAUUCGGCACUAGUUAAAGAGGAAGUUUUAUUAUUUAUAAGUAAGGUAUUAAGUUUUUGCUUAUUCUUAAGAAGACCACCACCUCGUUUAAUUGUAUGCUCGAACAUCAUGGUUUAUAACAAAAUUAUGGAGAGCAUAAACUGUGCUCCUUCUUUUAUUUUUUAUUUUUUCAAUUCCUGAAACCAAAAUCCUUUAACAAUUCGCUUUGCAAACUAAACCAUUUCAUGCAUCUUAUACUAUUUUUCUUUGUUGACAAACAAUUCAUCUAUUAUUUUUUGGUCAAGUAAUUCAUCUAUUAUAUUAGUGCAAUUUUUAAUUCCAUGAUAAUAUAUUAAUGUAGAAACUUCUUUGGAUUGGGAAAAGGUAGAUUUUAUUGUAUAAUAUUGCGGAUUAAUUACUUAAAUAAUUUAAUUAUUAGAUAUGAUUUUUUUAAUUAUUUACUAGUGAAACAGCAAUAAUAGACCAUUCAUAUUAUAUUUUAGUAACACGCAAUUUUCUGUACAUCUAUCUCUACCUCUUCAUCUUCUUUUCUUUUUGUUACCACUACGAUUUCCAUGAAAGUAUACAAAACAUUACAAGAUUUUUACUAGAAUACGCAUUUGAUCCAUUGAAAUAUAUUGGGGCUGCAAGUAUCCUUGAAAAGAUGAUAAAGUUUUUCCGAAAACCUAAGCGCUAUUGGGCACUUGAGUUUUUUGCCAAGUUUGUCUGUUACAAGUUUUUUAAAAACUUUAGUUACAAUAAUAUAAAAAAAAAUUUCAAAGUCUUUAAACUAUACACUUCAAAAUAUUAAAAAAUUUACAUAUUUCAAAAUUUUUUUAAAAACUUCUAUAAUAAAUUAGAGUAAAGUUUUAUACAAAUACUCAAACAACUCACUUGCCAAAUGGGACCCUAAUUUUUGGAUUUAGUGCAGUACUGGUGGCAUCGGUGGAAUGAAGAAAUGACAGCAAUUUGUUAACUUUUUUUUCAUUUCAAUUGCUAAAGACCCGGUUUAAUUGAAUAUAGUAUCCUACUUAUAUAGCGCCAAGCGCUCCUUAUCUCAAUUAGAGCUUGCCUAACCAAAUGUUUUCAAGGUAAAUUAUGUACAACCCCCUUGUUGUUUUGUAUAAUGUUAGAUGACCCUUUUAAAGUUUUAAAUUGCCAUAUAACCCUUCUGUAGUUUUACGUAAAGUAAAAAUGGACGGAAUAUACAAUCAGUUAUGGCAAUUAUACAAAAUAUGCCCCAAAAAUGUGUGUGAUGAAAUCACAAUAUCUACCUAACCUCUAUAUUGUUUUCAUAAUCAUCCACUUUGCCCCCUAUGGUCUUUGCAUUUAUCCACGUAAUUCCCGGAUGGAUUUAUAUAAGGUGAUUAAGUCAUUAUUUGAUUUAGUAUUUAAGUAUGGGUACUAUUGAAAUUUUAACUAAUGAUGUGAUGGGGUGUUAAUUGUCGGUUAUUUUAUUAUUAAUUUUCCCCUUGUCCCUGCCAAAUAUUGUCUUAAUUAUUAAUAUCUAUUUAUAUUUGGUAUCUGGACUUAAUUUCAGGAAAUGAAGCAGAAAAUUACAAAAAAGGAGGGACUUUCUGAAGCAAAUUACUUCACAUGUGGGAGUCUUCUGCAAAGCUCCAUCAACGUGGCCCACAAAAGGGAAGAAACGGAUAUUCAUUUGCUCUUGCUGAUGAGGAGUGGCUGGUACAAGGAGUCCUACUAUCAAUAGGAAACAAGGAGGAAUUUCGGUAGAGCUCCAAUUCUUUGGCUCUUUGACUCUCAAUUCUGCGGGGACCACAGGGAUAGCAUUAGUCAUCUUUCUUUUGGCUUUAAAAAGGGACAAUCGUGCAGAGGCUUGGGGGGGGGGGGCUUAGUCUUUAGAAUAGUUUUAGUCUUUUCUUUCUUUUUCUUUGUUAGGCGCAUGCCUACUGUUCGACAAUAUUCCCCAACGGGAAAAACAUCUCUUAUUUCUCGUUUCCUAGUGAAAAAUUUGAUGCCUUUGCAAUCAAUUGAUUUGCAUAGAGAUUUAUUUAUGCGGUGUGGCUAAACCUGUCGUCUAGUCGAAGGCCAACUUGAAGGCGCGGUUCCAAAUAUCUAUGAGAUCGAAUUAAUUUUAUUUAUUUCUUUUAUUCAUUGGUAUUUGUACGUUUCCUGAUUUAAUUGCUUAUGCUUGCUAUGUUAUUUGAAUUUCAAAGGCCCGAUAUUCGAAUUAACCUAGUGAUCUAAUGCCAAAUUAAUUGAUUGAAUCAGUAAUUGUUCAAUUGAUUAAUACCAGUGGUGACUAGCGUGAUUGGUUUCAUGUUAGGGAAACGUAUGAUCUAACUUAAACAAACCCUUGUAGCAUGUUUGUUGGUUAGAGUUGGGCUUUUCUAAUUAUUAAUGCAAUCGGGUAAUUAAACCCUACGGUUGUACCUAGGGUUAUUUCUUGGUUAGAGAAAUAGUUAACGGUCAUACUUUAACUAUCGAGAAAUUAAGGAAAGGCUAGUUGUUCAUCGCAUGUAUGAUAACUAUAACCAAUCUAGUAAUGAGUAAUUGAAUUAUCUUUGCAUCGAUGAUCAGUUAAAUGGACCGUGUCUGAAAAGUUGCACUUUUGGUUAGAGUCGUAUUAGUUAUUGAUUAAUUCUUGUUUAUUUCUAUUAGUUGUUUCAGUAGUUAGUUAAUUAGUCAUUUUAUACCAAAAUCCCUCAUGCGCUGAAUUCUAGAAGAAACGAAUUAUCCCCAGUGUCUGUGGAUUCGACCCUGCUCACCGUUAUAUACAAAAUUUAUAUUUUUCUUGAGUAGGUAAUUAUUAUUGCACAGGCUCGACACCCUGUCAUGAUAUUACGUAGGUUAUUUUUCCUCAAAAUUUUACUUUACAUAAGAUCAUAGAGAGAUGAAGUGAAUAUUUUAAAACUUUAAGAGGAUCAUGUGGCAAUAAAUGAAAUCACAGGAGUUAUAUGUAAUUUACCCAUGUUUUUUUUAUCUAGGCAGGGUUGUAUGUGACAUGUAAUAUGGUAUUAAUUGCAAUUUUAAACCUCUUGUUGUCACUUAGAUGACUUUCAUAUUCUAUAUUAAUUGCAAUUUUAAACCUUAAAGGUUGGUAUAAGAUAGAUAGUCAAUAAACCAUGGAUAAAGGCGGGUCCACGUUCUAUUUGUCAUCAUCUCCUCUAUCAAUUUCUUCCCCUCUAUCAUUGCUUGGACCUGAUUCCGCAGGUUUACCAAUUUUGGCCGAUCAUGGUCUUGAGUAACACUGUGAAUUCAGUUCACUCAUAUUUCUGUAUGGUUGGUAAUGUAUUCAUACCUGUCCCUGUGUAUGAGCAUAUCGACAGUGUAACGCAUUAAUUAUUUCAGCAAAUCACACCUUUAUUUCUCUCUAGACACACUAUUAUAGCAGGAAUAAAAUAUUGUAUCAAAAUUGAAAUUGAGAUGUUAAAUGAACACUACGCAUGUGAGAUGUACCUGUUCUAUUUUUAUCUGAAAUCUUUUGGUAAGAUGUCGAUGUAGAUAAUUUUCCCCUCAUUUUCUGGUGCAUACCUAUUUGUUUACUUUUGUUUUUGGAAGAGAUCUUUUGAAUACUUAGAGGGAGUUUAAUAACCCUAUUAAGUGCUUAAAAUUAAUGGACCAAAUACUUUUCAAUUAAGCUUGUUGGAUAACAGUAUUUCUCUUACAUUUGGAUACAAUUAAAUCCGUUCAUUAAUUUUUUUUAACAAAAUUGCAAGUAAAAUAAGCCUUGUAUCACGUUCUUUGCUGAUUUAUUAAAUAAAAUACCUUUUUUGGAUAACGUGCAGAAAAAAUUCAAAUUUCAUCAAGAACCUCAAGCCGGCAAGAAUUAAUUCUGGCCGCCCUUUUCUCUUAAUCAGCUUGAAUAGCCUAGAAUUUUCUGGCCAGACAUGAAUUCAGGUUGACUGGUGUUCAAGCUCAGAAACGAAGCAUGUCUCCCUUUGAGCAACCAUCUGACCAAACAGAAAGAUGAAAAAGCUGGCAAUCAAAGAUUUGGCUAAGCAACAAAAGCAGCACUUCAACAAAUCCUGGGUGCUGAUACCAAGCGAUACAGCAUUAAUGGAGUUGAACUGCUGAUUUUGGAGGAAAACUCCACAUCUAUAAAUAUCCAAAAAUACAUCAAAUUGGUAACAACCUUUUCCCUCGACAAAGACAUGACAUUUCUCUCCUUUUAUACAGCUUUCUUAGAAGUCAUAUACUAGAAUUAGGAUUUCCAAAGUUUUCUUAGAAGUAUUAGGCUAAUUUCUGGGAUUUCCAAAUUUUCAUGCAAUCAUUUUGUUUUUAGUUCAUAUUUUCAGUAGUUUCAUGUCUGUCUUUGUACAAAUCAGCAAGACUAGUUUGAAUGUUAUUUCCAUUUCCGAGCAAUCUUCAUGACUUUUCUAGCAUAUUUCAUGUUUUAUAAUUCAUUAGCUUUAGCCAUUGGUCAUUGUUUGUGUAUUCUUUCCUUCUUAAUCAGUUAUUCUUGGCACAAAUUUUUAAGUCCUUGAGACUGCUCAAGGCAGAAUGACUAGCAAUUGUCCUAGAAGUUAGCAUAAUACAUGCAUUCUCAUUUCACCCAAUCGGUUCAUUCAUAAGGUUUUCUUGAUUUUCCUUCCACAAACUAGGUGACAUGCUAGCGACCAUCACUUCAUUGGCAACAGCUUGUAGAUAGGUAAAAAUUGGUGCAAAUAGUAUCAUAACACAUUUAUUCAUAUUUUUAUUAUUUUUUAGCAGGAAAGAGUAAGAUUUAAGAAGGAAGGCAUAGAAGGAUUAAACAGUCAAUAAUAUUUCAUUAUUAUCCCAUGAAAAGAAAAUAAAGUAAAGAUUAAAAGGAAGAGUGAGAAAAUGUUGUAUACUAUUUUUCAUAAAUUGGAAGGAUAAAGUGCAAAAAAAAAAUUAUUACUAUUGUUGGAAUUGAGUUUUAUCCCACCAAACCCAACAACUAUUAUCAUAUAACCAUGGAAUUCUAUGAACCUCUUAUAUUCGAACAUCCAAACAACGUGCAGAGUAGAAAACAAAAUGGAUGAAAAAUGAGUCUACAUAUCCCAAGAGUACUCAAACCUAUGCAUAACCACAAUAUGAACCAAUAUCCUAUUAAACUAAUUGAAUAUAUUUUAUUUUUUAAGUAUCCUUGAUUUCACUAUUAGUUUUUGGUAGAAAUCAAAAUGAAAUUUUAGUUUGUUCACACUAAGCAUUAUGGGACGGAAUUAUUAUUAUUGACCAAUGGGAUAAAACUAAGGUAGUCAUCAAUGGAAAAAAGUUUAAAAUUUAAAAUUUAAUUGUCUUCAUUUUGAUAGUAGCAUUGAUUGAAGGAAACAAAUAAGCUGAAUUUGAUUUUUCUUUACACUAAAAUUUUCAAAAUUUAGUAAUAGUAACUUCUAAUAUAUAAUCAAGCCAAAUAAUAAUUUACAAGACGUGAUUGGAGAGAAAUAAUAGAAAAUUAUAAGUUGAUUGAUAAAAAAAUUUAGAAAAGAAUAAUAAAUACAAAUGCAUAUAAUGUGGAAAAUAAUAAAUUAAUUGAAAAUUGUUAUAAAUAAGGAAGUCAAAAAGGAAAGAGAAUAAUUGUUUCAAAAAAAAAAGAAAAAGAAUAAAAAUAUCAAAAACCAUAAACAUUAAAUAGGUUCAUGUACUAGAAAGAUAGAUAUUCCACUUGGUAGAAGGUAAAAGUAGCUAAGUCAGCAACAUUCUAAAAUCAAAUCUAAAUACACACACACACACACAUAUAUAUAUAGACACACACACACACAUACACGUAUAUGAUAAUGCUCACUUAUUGAGAGAGAAAUGAAAUUGAAAAAGUAUUGGAAUUAGAUAAAUAGGUGAAUAGCUUUUUAUUAUAUAUACGGACGAUAGAGUGUAUCCUUUUCUAAUUGUUCUUAAUUAAAAAAAUAAGGAACAGUUGUAUAUUCUAGUUUUUUUUUCUUUUCUUCCAGAAAUGAAUUUAUGUUGCAAGAAUCAAGCUUAAUUAGCAUUGAUCCACACCAGCAUAGGCAUAUACUUCAUUAAAUUAAUGAGCAAGAAUUAAAAAUGUAUUAUUGAAGGAAAAGAUAGAAUUGCAUUUAAAUAAGCUUUAUAGCUAGGAAAUUGUGUAAGCACAACUGGCAUGCAAUGAGCAUGUAUACCAUGCCGGCUAAAUGAAUAUGUAUAGGCAUACUACCAAAUAUGGAAAAAAAUAACGAGAUAUAUUUAUUUAUUUAUUUAUCUAUGGAAAUUAAAUCUAAAUUCAAUUAGAAAUCAUAACUUGUUACAUCGGAUCCUAAUUGCUAUUCUUAAUCCUUUUCCCUUUUUUCACAAAUAGCAAGUUAGAAUGGGAAAUAGUAACAAAGUUGUUAAGACUUACCAUAAUUUCAAUGUUAGGCAAAUAGUAAAGGCCAGAAAUCUACAAAAAUAUAAAUGGUAACAGAUAAUUCGAAUUGGGCAACAAUCCUGCAAAUUGGUUACUUUGAAAGCUUAUAAAUUUACCUAGUCAUGAGCUCCAAUACACACUAAUGACCUCAAAACUAGUUAUGGAUCGCCAAUUCUGUAUUGUGAAUGCAAUGAAGGUAUUCUAUUGCCUUAUUCUAUUAUCAAUGGUAAACUUUUGGGAUGCCUCAAGCAAGAAGAUUCUGGUGAAGAAAAAGCUGAGCCACCGAACGAGAGCCCUGUCAAGGCCAUCAAGGUUGUCCCUCCUUGUGUAGAUGGCACGUGAAUGCUUCCUGAUUCAUUUCGGAUUGGGCUUGCAUUCAUGUUCUUGUGUAUGUACAAUAUAUGUGUGUGUGUGUGUUUUAUUUUUUGUGCACUUUUCUAUUUUGGUCCUCUAUUCACUUGUAUAAUUUAUUGAAAAUUUAAGUGUGGUUUUUAUAUUCUAAAGUUGUCACAUUAGUAGCUUCAUGUGGCCGAGCCCAGAUGGUGAUAUUAUUGACUGCAUUCAUAUUUAUGAUCAGCCAGCAUUUGAUCAUCCUUUGCUCAAAAACCAUACUAUUCUGGUGAGCAUUUUUGUUCUACUUAAAAGCAAUACAAAUGAAAAUUCUGGUGAGCAUUUUUGUUCACCUUAAAAGAAAUACAAAGGAAAAUUCUCUAGAAUUAUAUGUAAACAUUUGAAUACGUUUGGUAAUUGUUUUAUUUGAUGAAAGCAAAAUGUAUCUGUUUGGAUGUUGCAGACGAAGGCUAGUUUUCACCCAGAGAAAGGUAUUAUUGGUGAGAAUGAUGCUUUCGAUUUUGAAGACCAUGGGGAGGAUGAUAAAAUCACUCAGUUAUGGGGUGAAUUCUUAGUUCAUGAUGAAAAAAAAAAAAAAAGGCAUUUACAACUGGGGCGUUUUUGGAGACACGUUCUACAAUAUGGGGUCGUCGCAGUCCGGAAUGCAGAGGUCAGUUGAGCUCGCAUUGCGAAAUGCGGAGCUUAGUGCAAAGCUCACUGACUUGCAUUCCGCUAAUGCGAGCUCACUGAACCUGCAUAUUCGCGGAUGCAGAGCUCAGUGCGACCACCGAGCACCAAGACCUCAUUUCGAAAAAAAAAAAACAGAAAAGUGAGUCAAAGACGCAGAACGCAAUAUCGAAACAUAACUGUCGAACAGCAAAACAAAGAAAACAGAGCUGCGUUCUGCACAUCGAAGCAUCCAAAGACUGGAGCUGGCCACCAUUUGUCCUAUUUUGUGCUGCCCAAACGCCGGACGGCAGAAAUAGGAGGAGCGACGGCACCAUCUCUGUUGUUCUGCUCCACCGGAAGCCACACCUCCUCUUUGUGCCUCGCUGAAGCAAACCCUCCAGAUUGCAGCCGGUUUUCAGAGCUUCUUCAACCACCAGAUUGCCGACCCAUUUGCGCCUUUGACCACCUACUGCCGCCCCAUUGCCGACCCAAAAUUUGCCAGCAUUGCCGUCCCAUUGCGACUCUCAAAAGCAUUGAUUGAAGGAAACAAAUAAGCUGAAUUUGAUUUUUCUUUACACUAAAAUUUUCAAAAUUUAGUAAUAGUAACUUCUAAUAUAUAAUCAAGCCAAAUAAUAAUUUACAAGACGUGAUUGGAGAGAAAUAAAGAAAAUUAUAAGUUGAUUGAUAAAAAAAUUUAGAAAAGAAUAAUAAAUACAAAUGCAUAUAAUGUGGAAAAUAAUAAAUUAAUUGAAAAUUGUUAUAAAUAAGGAAGUCAAAAAGGAAAGAGAAUAAUUGUUUCAAAAAAAAAAGAAAAAGAAUAAAAAUAUCAAAAACCAUAAACAUUAAAUAGGUUCAUGUACUAGAAAGAUAGAUAUUCCACUUGGUAGAAGGUAAAAGUAGCUAAGUCAGCAACAUUCUAAAAUCAAAUCUAAAUACACACACACACACACAUAUAUAUAUAGACACACACACACACAUACACGUAUAUGAUAAUGCUCACUUAUUGAGAGAGAAAUGAAAUUGAAAAAGUAUUGGAAUUAGAUAAAUAGGUGAAUAGCUUUUUAUUAUAUAUACGGACGAUAGAGUGUAUCCUUUUCUAAUUGUUCUUAAUUAAAAAAAUAAGGAACAGUUGUAUAUUCUAGUUUUUUUUUCUUUUCUUCCAGAAAUGAAUUUAUGUUGCAAGAAUCAAGCUUAAUUAGCAUUGAUCCACACCAGCAUAGGCAUAUACUUCAUUAAAUUAAUGAGCAAGAAUUAAAAAUGUAUUAUUGAAGGAAAAGAUAGAAUUGCAUUUAAAUAAGCUUUAUAGCUAGGAAAUUGUGUAAGCACAACUGGCAUGCAAUGAGCAUGUAUACCAUGCCGGCUAAAUGAAUAUGUAUAGGCAUACUACCAAAUAUGGAAAAAAAUAACGAGAUAUAUUUAUUUAUUUAUUUAUCUAUGGAAAUUAAAUCUAAAUUCAAUUAGAAAUCAUAACUUGUUACAUCGGAUCCUAAUUGCUAUUCUUAAUCCUUUUCCCUUUUUUCACAAAUAGCAAGUUAGAAUGGGAAAUAGUAACAAAGUUGUUAAGACUUACCAUAAUUUCAAUGUUAGGCAAAUAGUAAAGGCCAGAAAUCUACAAAAAUAUAAAUGGUAACAGAUAAUUCGAAUUGGGCAACAAUCCUGCAAAUUGGUUACUUUGAAAGCUUAUAAAUUUACCUAGUCAUGAGCUCCAAUACACACUAAUGACCUCAAAACUAGUUAUGGAUCGCCAAUUCUGUAUUGUGAAUGCAAUGAAGGUAUUCUAUUGCCUUAUUCUAUUAUCAAUGGUAAACUUUUGGGAUGCCUCAAGCAAGAAGAUUCUGGUGAAGAAAAAGCUGAGCCACCGAACGAGAGCCCUGUCAAGGCCAUCAAGGUUGUCCCUCCUUGUGUAGAUGGCACGUGAAUGCUUCCUGAUUCAUUUCGGAUUGGGCUUGCAUUCAUGUUCUUGUGUAUGUACAAUAUAUGUGUGUGUGUGUGUUUUAUUUUUUUGCACUUUUCUAUUUUGGUCCUCUAUUCACUUGUAUAAUUUAUUGAAAAUUUAAGUGUGGUUUUUAUAUUCUAAAGUUGUCACAUUAGUAGCUUCAUGUGGCCGAGCCCAGAUGGUGAUAUUAUUGACUGCAUUCAUAUUUAUGAUCAGCCAGCAUUUGAUCAUCCUUUGCUCAAAAACCAUACUAUUCUGGUGAGCAUUUUUGUUCUACUUAAAAGCAAUACAAAUGAAAAUUCUGGUGAGCAUUUUUGUUCACCUUAAAAGAAAUACAAAGGAAAAUUCUCUAGAAUUAUAUGUAAACAUUUGAAUACGUUUGGUAAUUGUUUUAUUUGAUGAAAGCAAAAUGUAUCUGUUUGGAUGUUGCAGACGAAGGCUAGUUUUCACCCAGAGAAAGGUAUUAUUGGUGAGAAUGAUGCUUUCGAUUUUGAAGACCAUGGGGAGGAUGAUAAAAUCACUCAGUUAUGGGGUGAAUUCUUAGUUCAUGAUGAAAAAAAAAAAAAAAGGCAUUCUACAACUGGGGCGGUUUUUGGAGACAGUUCUACAAAUGGGGUCUUCGCAUUCCGGGAAUGCGAGGUCAGUGAGCUCGCAUUUGCGAAAUGCGAGCUUAGUGCCAGCUCACUGAGCUUGCAUUCCGCUAAUGCGAGCUCACUGACCUCAUAUUCGCGGAAUGCGAGCUCAGUGCGACCACCGAGCGUGAAGACCCUAUUUCGAAAAAAAAAAAGAGAAAAGUGAGUCAAAGAAGCAGAACGCAAUAUCGAAACAUAGCUGUCGAACAGCAAAACAAAGAAAACAGAGCUGGGUUCUGCACAUCAAAGCAUCCAAAGACCGGAGCUGGCCACCAUUUAUCCUAUUUUGUGCUGCCCAAACGCCGGACGGCAGAAAUAGGAGGAGCGGCGCCACCAUCUCUGUUGUUCUGCUCCGCCGGAAGCCACGCCUCCUUCUCUUUGUGCCUCACUGAAGCAAGCCCUCCAGAUUGCAGCCGGUUUGUAGAGCUUCUUCAACCACCAGAUUGCCGACCCAUUUGCUCCUUUGACCACCCACUGCCGCCCCAUUGCCGAUCCAAAAUUUGCCAGCCUUGUCGUCCCAUUGCGACUCUCAAACAGCAUAAAGGUAAGUCUUUUCCAUUUGCAAUGCCUCACUUAUAGCAUUUUAAGUUUAAUUAAUACUUGAAUCCAACGGCAAGUUCAGAUUUGUUGUGAAAUUUGGGUUUAAAUUUGAUGUGGGUUGUGCUUAUUUUUGCAAUUUUUGUGGUGGAUUUGAGGAUAUACGUUACAUUUUUCGAAUUCUUGCAAUUUUUCUGUUUCCAAUUUGUUGCAGUUUAUUUGCAGUUUCUGCAAUUAGUGCAGAAAAAGCAUGAUCCGAGCUCGGAUCCGACUCUACCCAGAUGGAUCCGACCUUGGAUCCUUUGAGGAUCAAAGGCGAAAUUGGGUGAUACGACCUCAGAUCCAUAGUUGUUCACUCAGAUCCGAGGGCUCGUCUGAUCAUCUGUUCAGACGGAUCCGAACCCUGUUGGAUCCGAGGGAUGCCAGAAAUUAUCCGAGCUCGGAUCUGUUCGCGGACAUAGCAGAUCCUAUGCUCUAUUAAGAGAUGCGAGGUAACUGACCCCGCAUUUCAUAAAUGCGAGGUCUGGUUUUCUUUUUGUUUUUUUUUUGGAUUUCGUUGUUCGAAAAUUCGAGGAGAGUUCGCAUUUAGGAAAUGCGAACUCACGGAGCUCUCAUUUGCUGAAUGCGAAGACCCUUUGGACGGAAUCCCAUGCUAAAAAUGCCCCAUUUGUAGAAUUUUGUUAAAAUUCAUCAUAAUUUUAGAAAAUUCUCUUUCAUCAUAAUUUUUUUAAAAAUGUCUAUUUUUUUGUGUUGAAGAAGAUAAAACAAAAAAAAAGAAAAAAGGGGCAAGUUCCAUUUAAAAUAGAAAAUGGGUUCUAAUUAAGGGAAUUAAACAUGAGAUGCAAAUGAGAAACGAAUUUCUCUAGGGCAGCUAUUGGUAAAUCGUACAUUAGAGUUGUGUUCCUAGAGAAGAUUUUAGAAAAAUAAGGGCCUUGAACUAAAAUGGAAAAAUAAAUUUUGCUAAAAUUACAAUAUAUGUUAGCGUGACCCAAAAUUUGAUGCCGAGCAUUGAAGUUGUUUUGGAUGCAUUUCCGUUGCUUUAACAGUCUUAGCAUGCCAUUUAAUUAUUUUUUAUAUACAUUUAGACACUAUUGUCGUACUUUAACAAGUGUAUAUAAAUAUAUUUGCCCAAGUACUUAUUUUUCACUAAUGUAGUUAUCAAAGCCAUUUACAAUAAUUAGUACUUUAAUACGCCCUGUAUAAUUUGAAAUGAUAAUAAUUACAAUAAUUAGUACUUUAAUAUGUCUUGUGUAAUUUAAAAUGAUAAUAAUUAAUCAUCUCUGACUAGUUUAAUGUACAAAAUAAUUCUCUAAAAUGCUAAGCACAUAGUAGACAAAGUCUCUAAUACUCAAUGUGGGGGCAAGGGUUAUGUACCAAAUUUGGGUGGCAAGUGCCCACUUUUCAGUUUUUGUUUUUAAAAUCUAUUUCGCAGCAUUAUUUUUGGUCGAAACACUAUCUACAUUAGACAUUGUAUGUUUUACAAUUGGAGUUUAGAAAUUUUUAUUGACAUUAUGUAGUUUAUAGAUUGGAGAUUCUGAAUUUCAUGGAUAUUUGGAUUGUUUGACAGGGAGUUUUAGCCCAUUUAUAGGGGAGACUCUAUCGAAUUUUUUGUAGAGUUUUCUUUGUGAGGGCAACUGACUAUUACAAAUACAUGUCGCAACUUCUGUUUUUUUAAAUGGUUUUUUGUUGUAAAUUAUUUCUUCAUAUAGGUACAUACAAGGUUGGUGACACAAGCUUGGGAGGUUUAGAGGCUGGAGUUGGUACUCUAAGAUCCUGACCACAGAAGUUGGCUAGAUUCGAAUUUGAUACAAGUCAUUCGGUAAUAUAUUUUAUAUUACAACUUUUGAAUUUUUGACGUCGAAUUAAAAUAGUAUGUUUUGUUAACUUCUGGAUGUAGAAGAGGGCGUUAGAACACGUUAAGGAUUUAUUUUAAGUCGAAUCGAUGGAUUUAAAGUUAAAUCUAAUCUGUAGUCUGUAUUUACAAUAUAUGCAUGUCGAGGUUAGGGAAAUAACAGAUAAUGCUGUCAAGUGGCCUUUGGAUAUAGCCAAAAAAAUCUUAUUGUGUUGUUGAUGAAAAUAGCAUACGUAUAUGAACAUAGAUCUUGUAUAGCUAUAUGGAUGUGGAGCCCAAAAAUUGAUUAAAUAUUCUUCCAAAUCGCAUGUCAAUCAACUCUCUUUUGCAAUUCGUAGGCGGCUCAUAGUUGUUAGGGUUCUAAUUAUAGGGGACAUAUAUAUUAUACAGUGUGGUGUUGAUCGAUUACAACUUAAUAUAGACCAUGUUUGUAUCAUUGGUACAGUGAGUUUUAGCCUACUUAUAGGGGAGACCUUGUCAAUUUUUUUCAAUAUCUUUGUCAGUUUUUGAAUAUUUAUAGCAAUUUCUGUAGGGGAGACUUUGCCGACAUUUUUAAAAUUUUUUGUAAUCCUCGUUAACUAACUAUUAGUAAUUGGGAUGCAAAUAACUUAUAUGAAAUGGUUUGCAUAUUGAGCAAUUGUUGCUUCAUAUAGGUGCAUACAAGGUUGGUGACACAAGCUUAGGAGGCGUAGAGACCUGGGUUGGGAAGUCGUCGUCCAAACCACAGAAGUCCAUCUUUCGAAUUCGAUACAAGCCAUUUGGUAUUAAUUUUUAAUUUACAACUACAUAUUAUGGACGUCGAAACAAUGAAUAGUAUAGUUUGUUAAGCUCUUCCUAACCACGAAGGCGUUAAUGAAAUUAAAUGGAUUUAUUUGAAGACGAAUUGAUGGACUAAAAAUACUUUAAUACGUCUUGUGCAAUUUGAAAUGACAGUAAUUUGGAUUGUUUGACAGGGAGUUUUAGCCCAUUUAUAGGGGAGACUAUGUCGAAAUUUUUGUAGAUCUUUCUUUGUGAGGGCAACUGACUAUUAGGUAAUUUAUUUAUAUUACAACUAAUUUCUUUGUGAGGGCUACAUUCGGAUUUGAUACAAGCCAUUAGGUAAUUUAUUUUAUAUUACAAACUAUUGGAUCUUUGCCGUCAAAUUGAAAUAGUAUAGUUUGUUAAAUUUGUUUCAGUAGAAAAGGGCGUUAGAAUAUGAAAUACGGAUUUAUUUUAAGGCGAAUUGAUGGAUUUAAAGUCAAUGACAACCUUGUAGUAUUUUUUGUAAUUGGCAAAAUCUAUAAUGCUAAAAAAAUGGCAAAAUCUGCUACAGGGAAAAACAUUAAUUUUCUAAGGUUCAUUGCUAGAAUAUACAUCAUUGUGAAUGUGGAUCUUGUUAUGCGGUGUGAAUGUGGAGCCCAAAUAUAUAUAACUUCCCGUACUUUUCUUAUACUUGUACUUUGAAAAUUAUAGGGUCUCUUGACAAUAUGUAGUGUGACAAAUGUCAUUACAACUUCAUAUAAACCCUGUUUGGAUUGGUUGACAGGGAGUUUUAGUCUAUUUGUGGAUUGGUUGGCAGGGAGUUUUAGUCUAUUUUUUGGGGAGACUCUGUCCAAAUUUUUUAAAAUUUCGUUGGGAGUUUUAGGCUAUUCCUAUCAUUAUUUAUAGCAUAUUUCAUACCUGUUUUUAAUUUUUUUUCAUAAGCAUCUGGAUCGAAAUUAGUCUAUUUAAUAGUUCCAAUUUCGACAUAGAGUCACCCUCUUGAAAUUUGUUUGGACCCUUGAACCACUAAUUCUAAUUAUUGUCCCAAAAUAGGGAUUCAUUUCACAAACAUGUCUGUAGAAAGAUCUCUGCGGUAAACCUAUAAUGGGGAGGAGAAAUACAUUACAAGGGUGACUUUGUUUGUUAUUUGUCCGUACUUUCAACCGGACAUUUACUUUGAGACAUAGAAUUGGAUACGGGGAGUUGGUUGACAGAAUUUACCACUAUAUUGGGGUCGAUAAAGGGAUGUUCAAGCUGAAAUUGUUUCUUCGUCAACGCGUUGGAGAGUUCCAAAUAUACUGUUUCCACAGUGGUGGAUGAUGAAACUCUAAAUGUAAUGUAUGAUCUUUGGAUCGAAAGAGUUUCAUACAUGGCGGAGAUUUAUAUCGAGAAGGAAGAAAUCGUCCAAAUGCCUGUAGUUAAUAGCGUAUUCACUGGACCAAUAGGUAAUGUUGGUCAAUGAUGUCGCUUGUACAUGAAUUCAUGGAUCCAACAAAGUUUAACUUCGGUUCUAGUUCAAUCGUUCCAGAGAUUUCAUCGGCAUCUCACUAUAUGCAUGAUGAUCGAUCUAUGAAUUCAUUAGAACAAUGCUCACAUCAAGGUCCAUGGGUGCCCAGGAAUAUUUUCAUGGCCUAGAUUCGAUUCAAGUUUUGGAGAUCCAGGGCCAUCAUGCCAUAUUUCUCCACAUGGGAUCGAGUCUAACCCUGGUCAAGGUUGUCGCAGUGGCAGCUGAAGAUGAUGUAUAUGCUAGUGGGCAUGAUAGGCUCCUUGCCUCUGAAGAAGAUGAUCCGGAAGAAGAUGACCCGAAAGUUGAUGCGGAAGAGGUUGAAGAGUCGAAGUCGCAAGAUGUGUCUGGUAGUGACUCGGAUGAUGAGCAUGAAGGUGGGAGUUUAAGAGUAACCUCGAUACCCAACGACCCUUUGUUGGAUAUCGGGUUGCCAACAAGAAUGCGGAGAUAUCAGACGCAAUAGCACAGCUGGCAGCUUGCAUAUGUUCCAAGAAGAAUGUAUUUUUCUCGAUCUUGGGAGCAUAGAUGAUGAUGAAUAGAAGAGGAGGAUGGAUUGGAGCGUAUUGUCGCAUUCAUUGAGGAGAAUAAUAAUAUACGUCUCCAUAUGAGAUUUGAGAGUAAGCAACAGCUCAGCCGGGCAGUUAGGAUGUGGUCCAUCAAUCACAAUAGGGAGUUCAGAGUUAUUUGAGAGUAAGAGUAACACGUGGUUUGCUAAAUGCAAAUCAUCAAUUGAAAGAACUCCUUCCACUUUAAGCGCCAUCGUAUCCACCAUGCGACUGGUGUGUUAGAGCCGUAAAGAAAAAGACUCAUGGAAUGUGGCAAAUUAAAAAUGGGUCAAUGACAUAACUGCUUGGGCGACAUGAUUAGAAAUAACAAUACAAGCCUGACGGCUUCCGUUAUUUCAAGGCACAUACUCCGUAGCAUUGAAGAUGAUCCUGGAUUAAAGGUCAAGAACAUACUAAGUUUCGUUAAAGAAAACUUGAAGGUUGAUGUGUCUUACAAAAAAGCCUGGUAUGCCAGACGUAAAGCAAUUGAGCUUGUGUUUGGAUCUUGGGAGGCGAAUUUUGCGAACUACCACAGUAUCUCGAUGCCCUGGUGCAAUCCAAUCCAGGCACCGUGGUGGAGUGGUCACAUCAUUCGGAUAGUUCGGAUCGAGUUAAGACUUUUAAGUAUGUAUUCUGGGCCUUUGGACCGGCUAUUGAAGCAUUCCACAUGUGCAGGCCGGUUAUAUGUGUUGAUGGCACUCAUUUGCGUGGCGAAUACAAGGGCAAACUCCUUGUUGCAGUCACUCAAGAUGCGAACAACAAGAUUCUGCCAAUUGCUUAUGCCAUAGUGAUGAGGAACGAUUUCCAGUUGGUCGUGGUUCAUGGAACAAUUAAGAUAUAAUGUGGCACUUGAUCGACAUCCUAUCUGUGUCAUUUCGAUCGCCACAAUGGUAUCAUCUAUACCAUGACACACUUUGACUAUUGGAGGAACCUUUGGCCUACCAUAGUUUUGCCUGCGACAUGUUAGGAGCAAUUUGAUGACACACUUCAAAGGUUUACACCUUAAAAGUUGUGUUGGGUAUGGGAAGGGCAAGACAAUUGCGCAAGUGGCGGAUGUUCAGAAGAGAACUACGAAGCAUGUUUCCAGAUGCUUGGAAUUAUCUGUCUGCCAUUAGUCCAGAAAAGUGGUGCCUAACACACGACGAUGGCCGUCGUUGGGGUAUUCUAACUACCAACAUAUCCAAAGUUAUAAUAAUGUCUUGCGCGGGCAGCGCCAUUUGCCAAUUCGUGCAUGCAUUGACAUGACAUUCAUCGGACAGUUGCGUUAUUUAAGACGAGAAGGGAAGAUGCUUCACAUUGUCGCAAUCCUUUUCCCCAAAGAUAUGGCGGCGUUUUAAGAAUGCUGAGGAAGGCAGGCGCCCACAGAGUCAUUGAGUUCGAUGGCCCAUCGGGCGUAUACAAGGUUAUCACAGGCCGGCGUGUCGAUGGUAAAAAGAAUACGCAAACCACAGGUUUUUUGAUAAGGCAUGCUCUUGUGGAAAGUGGCAGAAUUACAGGCUUCCUUGUUCACAGCUUUGGCGGUGUGCAGGAAUAGAGGUGACAAUCCGGAUUGCUUGUGGAUCAGCAGUUUACCAAAACAGAGGUGGGCCGUGCAGUAUUCAGGGAAGUUUAACCACUGCCGCAUCAAGAUACUUGGCUCCAUCUGGAUGGGAACUGCAGGCAGACAGAGCAAAUUUGUUGCACGUCGGGCAGGGCGGGUUCGAGCUAGCAGAAUUCGAAUGAGAUGGAUGAAAGGGAUCCAGACGAACCAAGAAGAUGUCGAAAUUGUCAUCAACGGGUCACAAUAGGAGAAAUUAUCCGAAUUAUAGGUCUUGAUUUGAUCGAAUUCCUAGAAAUUGAAACUCAUGUCAGUGCACUCCAGUUUGGCGUAGGGUUCAUUCUAGUUCAUUUGUGUUCGAUUCAGGAUUUAUUUCAAACAAUUACAUUAGUGACUUUCAUUGUUCAUUUGUCAAAUGCAUGUUUCGUUCUUGACUAUGAUAAGUAUUGAAUUAACCAGUUUAAACGUGCAGCCCAACAGUUUUAUUCAUUUAUCGCUACAUCCCUAUCCAUUGAUUUGUUGACAUAUUGUUAAAGGAAUGCUCGGAUGGUGUUUAUAUGUGUUAAUGCUCUUGCAUAUAGGAUAUGGUAUUUUGAUGUUUGAUUGACAGGGAGUUAUGGCCGCUUUAUAGGGGAGACUCUGUCAAAUUUUUUUUAAAACUUUUAAAAUAUGACUACAAAUAGAUUGCUGCAAUAUAUGAAUACAUAGAGGGAUAACAAAUGUUUCUCAAAAAAAUAACUGAUAGGCAUGGAGUUUUAGUCGAUUUAUAAGGGAUAUAUGGUCAAAAUUUUCUCAAAAAAAAGUCUUGAACGCGAUUUAUAGGUCAAUAUACACAAACUUUUGGAUACUUAUGCAUAACUAUUGAAUUUAAUCGAUGCAGAUAUUUGCUUGGGAUUAUGGCCGACACUCCUAUCCCUGCAGGCCUACAUCCAGGACCAUACGUGCACGACAUUAUAUCGGCGAACUGCACACCGGGCACAUUCCAUUUUUCAGGACAUAUUGAGGGCAAUCAGUUAGAUGUCAGACGGUGUGACAGAGGAUUUUGGGAGCAUACGCCUAUUCCUGAUCGGGUUGUCGUUAUAUUGCCUUGGCUGGAUUUGAGGGGUGCUUGAGAGUGGAUAUCAGAUGGUUGAUCAUUCUUUGAUCACAAGUUUAGUGGAGAGAUGGCGGCCCGAGACGCAUACAUUCAUUUACCGGUUGGAGAGGCUACCGUGACAUUACAGGAUGUAGAGGUGUUGUGGGGGUUGCACAUCGAUGGUCCACCGGUUAUAGGGAUAGACACAUACCGCAGCAUUCAGGAGUGGGGAGCCAUUUGUGAGGAGCUCAUUGGAUUUUCUCCUGCAGUUGGAUACUUUGAUGGACAGAGGCUAAAAUUGGGAUGUUUAGCAAGAGCUUGGAUACAGAGUUGCCACCCGAUGCUUCAGAUGUCGAAUGUAGGCAGCGUGCGCGCAUCUACCUCUUACUGAUAUUAGGUGGACAUUUAUUGUCCGAUAAGUCCGGCAACAAAGUCCUUUGUUGUAUCUUCCAUUACUGCGGGACUUGAAACUGUUGGGCAAUAUAGUUGGGGUAGUGCGUGUUUGGCGACUCUCUAUCGGUCACUUUGUGAUGCCACGAAUCCUGCCAAAUCGGCUAUUGCCGGUCCAUUAGUUUUGCUACAGGUACAUUGCACCCAAUAAUGAUAUGUCUUGAUUUUUUCAUAUUAUCAUUUUAAUUUUAACAUUGAUUCUAAUUUUCCAACAGCUCUGGAUUUGGGAACAUAUACCAACCAUGCGUCCGGACCGAAUCGUGCCGUUGGCAUUACCCUGGUCCAUAUGGAGCUAGGUGCGCGUUUCGCCCUUAUUUCGGUUGUUUAAUGACAUUUGUUAUCGAAACAACUUUAAUUUGUUCUAAACAGGUUCCUACUUUAUUAAAUAUAGGUGGAAUAAUGACUUGGACGUACACAGAGUUGUUAGGCAUGUUGUGCCCGCAUUCCGAGAUCAGUUGACAGGCCUGCGUCCUGAAGAGGUAUUGUACAUAUGUCCGGACAAUAGAAAUAUUUGAAAAUUGCCAGUAGUCUUGUCAUAAUAUUUCUUGUCAACUGAAAGCAUAAGUUUGUCAGAUUGCAUUUUGUAAUGGAAAUUGAGUUUGUUGGCAGGGAGUUAACCUCAGUUAUAGGGGAGAUCUGCGAAAUUUUUUUAGAAUUUCAAAAAUUUUUUAAUUGACCGGAGACUAGCACUUUUUUCAUGAAAUUGUCCAAUUUGAAUAUUGGGAAGUUUUAUUAUUUCUUAAUAGAAAAAAUGAAACAACUUUGAUUUUAUAUUUUUUCAGUUCAUAUGGCAGCCAUAUUCGGAGGACGUUCUCGCUUCUCUUCCUGCGUAUUGUACUGCAGGUCGGGACAUUUGGAGAUCCGUAACGUAUCUUAUUUGUUGGGAUGUAGUUGAGCCGCACCUCCCUCAUCGGGUUAUGCGGCAGUUUGGGUUUCAUCAGUCCCUGCCUGAUAUGAGGUUGACAGAUAAUCAGGCAGCUCUACAUUCUCUAGAUCGUCGUGGUAGGGCGAAUCAAGACUGGAGCACCACGCAUAGACAAUAUAUUGAUAUUUGGACUGAUCGACGUGUGCAUGUACAAGAUGGCACUGUAAUUGAAGAUACUACAUAUCCAUCGAUGAGUAUGUUCAGUGGUAUCGGGAGCGGACGGUGAUUUAUAUUUCAAAUCCGAGUCGAUUUCCCUUUCCCAGAGGGCUUUCAGGGUGAUAGCGCUAGGGCACAAUAUCUUGUAAGUUUAUUUCCAACCCACUUUUAAUAAUCACUUUGAGUUUGCUCACUUUUUAAACUAUUUUUUACCACAGUAUCUCCUUCUUAUUCUUAUAUUUGUUUCUCCAGAGCGAUGCCAUGUCUCGCAUGUAUUUCAUGGCACAGGACUCUCUUGCAGUUAGUGAUGAACAACACAGCAGAUAUUUUCAAGAGUUGAGGGACUUUGCAUCCACAUCUUUGCAUCAUGUAGGAGAGUCACGCCGACUUGCAUUUCGCCCUCCACACGUACCACAGGAGAUUCCACUAUAUGCUGAUCCAUGUCGUGUUCAGCGAGCUCCUAGAAAUACCCACGGAAGUCAGCAUGGCGGUGGACGACGUCGUAGACUCCGAUCACCAGAACCCGCCAUACAAACUGGAUUCCAUGGAGGUUCGAUGGCUACUGAGGACCAAGCUGGCACAUCUACUUUUGUCACACCUCAGACCGAAGUCAUGCAUGAGAGAGGUGUAUCGAUUGGGCAUUCUAGGUCCCCUGUGACUUUUCAGAGUUUACGCCGAUAGGGACUCACAUCGCAUACUUCUGAGCAAUGUGAAGGAGGUGAAGGCACAAGCACUCAAAUUCAAGAUGCUACACUGUUGACACAUAUUACUCAAGUCCAUACAGUAGUGCCAAACCAACCACGUCGAAGUCAAAGAAUACCCAAACCAACAACAUGUGGUACUCAUGGAAAACUUGGGCAGCAUUGAUGGCACGCUACUUAUAUCGUUAUUGUAUAAAUAACCUAACUUAUGGAUUGCAUACUUUUUUGUGUGAAUUUUGUAUAUAUUCUAAAAUUUCACGAAUAUGAGUGGAACAAUGCCAUCACGCGUAUCUUAUUUCUCACUUUAUAUGAGUACUCUUUUAAACAAAACAAAAAAAACGGCUACAUAUGUAAACCAAAAAAGGUAAACUAUACUAACUCUCCUCUAGUUCAUACACGGUAAGUUAGUUACAUGUCGGAACUUCUCAAAAAAAUUAAACAUACUAUUUAUAAUAUAUUUAUAAAUUGUUAUUUUUUACCUUUUGUUAUUCAUAGUUUCCCCAUUAAAUAUAGGGAACAAACUUUAAUAUUCUCAUAUGGGCAAGUUAAAAAUAAGAUUCCAAUUUUGUUCAUGAAAAUUAAGCCCUAACUUAUUAACAAUUUAAUUUUAUUUUAUAUUGACCUUGAAAAUAAAGAAGCAAGAUGUGUAGUUAUUUCGUUAGUAUAGUUGUAUUAUAAUAAAAUUAUUGGCUCACCACAUGGUGGAUUGGCUCGGAAGUUUCGACCCAUGGGAGAAAAUCGCUCCCUAAUGUUCUAAAAUGAUUCAAUUUUUUUGAGUCGAGCCAACGACUAUAAACGAAACGCUUGUUGGGAGGCAACCCAAUAAUAAUAUUGUAGUUGUGUUUUAUGUGUUUCUUACAUUUUGGUGUGAUUUAAUUGACUAAUUAGAUAUAUUUCACUUGUUUGCAGGCGGUACCGGAGUUUCAUCAUUAUUUUGGAGGUACAAUUGAGGAACAAGUGUAAAAAGGGAGGUUUUCUUACCAAAUUGUGCUUUAAGUGUUUAGAAUUCCCAAGCAUACAUACAAUGUUGCAUUUUCAGUAUAUUCAAGUGAGUUUUGGUGAUAACAUGUUUAUACAUGCUCAUGGACUCAUUUGAUGUGCAUGUAAUGCCCAAAAGUGCCAUUUUUAUGUAAAAAUGCAAAAAUGAUCAAAGAACCUCACCCCUCGAUUUGCAAUGUAGAUGUGUUUGAUGUGUUUUAAGAGAUUGGAUAUUGUACUUUUGGUAUAUUACAUGUGCGUGGGAGUUAGAAUUGAUAAAACGUUUUUCCAACGGUGUUUUGGAAUUGGCCGAAAAAAGGGAGAAAAAGUUGAAAAAUUGCAGUUUCUGCAAUUAGUGCAGAGAAAUACAGAUCCGAGCUCGGAUCAUAAGUGCCCAGAACGGAUCCGACCGCGAUCCAUUGAUCCGAGCUCGGAUCCAAAAAUUUAUAUAUCCGAGGGCUCGUCUGUGCUUCUGGCGGUGCGGAUCCGAACCAUGUCGGAUACGAGGGCUUUCAGUAACGAACCGAGCUCGGAUCGGUUCGCGGAUAUAACAGAACGAAGCCUCGUUUCUGCACUUUUCAAAGUUUUCUUCCCUCUUUUCACCGAACCCUAACCCUCUCGCUCUAAUCUUCCAUUUCAUCCGUUCAUUCCCUAAUCUUUCACCUCAAAAUCAUUUUCCAACAUCUUGUGAUCAUAAACCCUCAAAGAUUUCAUUUGAAAAACAUCAAUUUUGGGGGAUUUCAAGUGUUAAAACGAAAGGAGGGCCGAACUGAAAUCUUCAAAUUUGGAGCGAAUUUGGACUGUUUUCUUCCUCAUUUUUCAACAAUAUCUUCUUCUAUCAUCACUCUACACAUUUGAGGUAACAAUUUGCAACUUCCUUUGAGAUUUUAUAUUUCCUAUUUUUGCAUUUUUCUAGUUUUUGGCAUAUUGUGAUAAAUGCAUAUUUGUUGAAAUUUCUUGUUAUAAAUGUGCUACAUUGUACUAGAAUAUGUUGUUACUACUAUUUUUAUGCUUAGUAUGGAAAAAGUUGUGGAUUUGGUGAUAUUUUUGGUAUAUUUUUUUAAUUUAUUAGGCUUGGCAAUUUGGUUCUUUAGGCUUGUGAAUGUUGGUUUCCAUUGAAUAUAUAAACUUGUUUUGAGGAGUAUAAGUCACUGUUGUACCAAUUAAAAAUGAUAUGCGAUUAAUAGAACCAAUUCCAUUGGGUAAAAGAGUGUGUUUAUGAUUAAGUUUAGCACAUUCAAUUUUUUUUUACUUGAAAUCUCUUAUCUCUUUGAGUUCAAUUGUAAUUGUUUUGGUAAAUUUGGAGCUCAUUCGUAUGCACUUUAUUAAGAAUGGGUAUAGUCAAUUGUGGUGUGAUUCGUGGAUAAAGUUAUGAAUAUAUCGGCAUGUUCAUUCUUGAAAUAAUGGUUGAGGUUCAAAUGAUCGAACUCUUUGAUGAGAUUCUACCUGAAAAUAUGCAUUUGAGUUUGAAAUGAGUUAAGUAGGAUCUUUGGUUGUUUUUUUGGUACAUGUUGGCAGGGAGUUUAGCCCUUUUAUAAGGGGAAACUCUGCUGAAAUUUUCUUAAAUUCUAUGUGAGCAAGUUUAUAUUGUUCUAAUGAACGUUCAUCUUGUUUUUAUAUAGGAACUAUGGCUCGCACAAGGAGGGCUCGUAUUCGUACUCCUACACCAUCUUCAAGCGAGGAACGCACUCCCUCACAUGAAGAGUCGCCUGAGGAAGAAUCUCCUUCGCCUGAGCCACCACCUCGGUCUCGCCGGAAGACCGCAUCCACUAGCCGCGACGAGACGCUUCCAGAUUAUGACACCACUAGAUUCACGUCACUCGAGAAUCAACAGUGGUACGAAGCAGGCUUAGAUAAGGAAAUUAUCAUUGAAAAGCACCUGACACCGGAGGUGGAUGCGCACUACCACAUCUCUACGGCAUUCAAGAACUCGGAUGGGAAAACAUCUUCAAUUGCCCAAGCACUACUACCCCAACUGGUCCGGGAGUUCUACGCCAAUGUAGAAAACAAAUAGAGUCACAGUGGCAACCUCAUCGUCUCCUGGGUUCGAGAAAGAGAGUGGCUCUUAACCGGGAUACAGUCGCCAAAAUCGCCAAACUCAAAGACGAAGGAGUGGAUGUUAAAUUGACUAAGGAAUUCAAGGCACGCGACCCUUGGCAGGUGGGAGAAGCGGUAGCACGUCUAAAGGGUCAAUAUAGGGAGCGAGGAAGUUCAAAGAAGCUCACCGUAUAUGCCGACUCCUUCGAGCAUAGGUACCACUUGAUCUUCUAUCUCUUCGCCUUCAAUGUGGUACCCAAGAGGAGUGGAAAACGGGAGCUCCGCAAUAGUGACCUCUACUUCUUGGAUAAGAUGAUGCAUGGUGUGGGUGGGCAGUUGACUGGUAUUCCUUUGCCCAAUCAUCAUCAGUUACAUGUGGACCACAGCUCGCAUGAGGGCUGGCGAGACUUGCUUUGGAUUCCCUCGACUGCUAUCCCUCAUUUUUGAAAGCUCAAGGUUCCUCUUGGAACCGAGCGAGCCAUUGUCACUAGGUCCGCCGAGGUCAGUGCCUCGAUACUCAAAUCCUUGAGUAUCUCUACAGAUUUUGGAGCUGCUCUGGUUCGAGACACUGGAGAAGCUUUGACUUCUGCUCAGCCCCCACCUCACACUCAGCAGGAACCAGAAGCUCAAGAGACAGGGGCACAGCAGACUCUUCCUCCACCCGUUUCACGACCACACCUCCGCCGCGAUCCAAGUGGCAAGAGCUCCUCAAUGCCAUCUGCUGUAUGGAGACACGAGUCGUCGAGCGCAUUGACCAGACCGAGAGGAUGAUGACAGAGCGACUCGACAGACAUGAUCGCCGUCUUCGUGCGAUCGAGGAUCAUUUCCAUAUCCGCCGUCACCUACUCCGACGCCUUAGCAGGAGGAGGGGCAUAUUGGUACAUCACAGGGUCCUCAUUAAAUGAGGACAGUAGACCCUCGUUCUGAGCAGCCAUGAAGAUCUUUAGCUGAUUACAUCUUUUGUUGCUAUAUUUUUCUUUUAUUGUGUUCGGUUUAAACUUUGUAGUUUUCAUAUUGGAUUCUCUUGUGCUACUCAUGGUUUUUUGUACUCUUUUGUUUCAUUGUGAAGAGAAUUUGGAUGAUCGUGAGGAUUAAUGGCUUCAAAUUGAAUCACCACUUAUUUUGAGGGAAGUUUCAGUUUCUAUUACCUUCUUCACAAUGAGGACAUUGUUAAAUUUAAGUGUGGGGAGGGAUUACUUUAUCUUAUGGGGAUUGUGUCUUGAAAUGCAUGAUUUGAGUUGUCUAUGGCUUAAAAAUGUUGAAUUUUAUUUGGAAAUGUUGUAUUGUGGUUAAUUUUCUUGAAAUUGAGGUUGUUGACAGGGAGUUUUGUCCAUUUUUAUGGGGAAAUCUGUAAAAAUUUUUAAAAUAUUUUCCAAUAUUUCAAGUUAAUGGCCAAAAUGUUCAAUUCUGUGAAUUGUGAGUGGAUUAAUGAGUGGAUUAAAUGAGUGAUUAAUGCAUUAAUUUUGUGAAAUUGUGAAGGAUAUCGAUAUAUGAAGUUCAUGCACGAGCUGAAAGAAGUGUAAGGAUUGUCCAGAGGAUAAAGUACACAAGAAAUUAGGAGCAAAAAUGAAGAAAAAGGAAAGAAGCGAAAAAUGGAAAAUUUAAUGCACGGAUCCGAGCUCGGAUCCGUGAGACCAAAGAGAGAUCCGAUCCUCGUCUGUACUUCUGGAGGAGUGUAUCCGAGGUCAGAAGAUCCGACCCCGGAUCCAUCAUGGAAGUCCUCGGAUCCUAAAGAUCCGAGCUCGGAUCUAUAUUCAACCCUCGGAUCGAGGCUCGGAUCUGUCUCUCUCUUCAGCAAGUGGCACAGCCGUUUUCCUUUACCUUUCUCACAACUUUUCCAGCUAUUUUGAGGACAGAAAUCGGUGGCACAUGCUUCUGCAACAAAAGAGAAGACCAAAUGAGUUGUAGACAAAAGAAAAUAUCAUAUCUUUGGUUCAGCUACUGACUACAUUAGAGAUAGCACUCAAGGUUUGAGGCUUUUAGGAUUCAGGGUUUUAGGGUUUUAGAGAUCAAGAUUUAGUGUUUUAGAGAAUAGCACUUUCGGGUUUAGGGUUGUAGGAUUUUAGUUUGACAAUAGUGUGCCUUCAUUAGGACUUUAGAUUUUUAAUUAAAAUAGUAAUCCUAUCGUGCCAUUAAAAUAUUUUUUAAUGGAUUUUAAUAAACCCAACAACCUUGAUUUAAUGUUUUAGGGUUUACAAGGAUUUGGUUUCUAAGAUUUACGAUUUAGUGUUUUACGGCUUUAGCACUUAGGGUUUUAGGAUUUUUGCAUGACAAUAAAUUUGCCUUGAUUAUCGCUUUAUUUUUUUAAUCAAAAUAGUAAUCCUGCCAAUAAUUGUAAAAGGUAAAACACGCAAGAUUUAAUCGCUAGAUAUUUGAUUUAAUUUUUUUUCUUUUCCUUUUCAACUACCAAACAAAUAACAUGCACUUCAUAAAAAUAACUUAUAUAAUUUUUUUAAAUAACAUUGCGUUAUGAAAUUUCUAAAAUUACAGUUGAAAUUGUAACAGAUAUUAAUGACUAUUAACUAUUACAUUCUUAUAACUAAUAUUCAUCGGUGUCAACAAAUAAAUACGAUUCAUUAAUAACAAAGGAAAAUUAGAAUUUGAUAAAAAAAAUUUAUUUGAUAAAAAGGAAAAAAAGUUAGUAUUUUUUUUCAUAAAAUAUAGUCAACACCUUACAUGUUAACAAUUUCAUUCUAUUUUUACAUUGAUAUAUGAAAUAGAAAGAACUAUGCAUGUGUACUUUUUCCACCAUUUAAAUGUAUUAUAAUAAAAUAACGUAUUUCAACAACCGUACAAUUACCAAUUUUUUUUAAUAUAAAAGAAAUAUGAUUUUUUUUAGAGCACAUAUUUGAUGACUUUAGGCACGUGCAAGUUUUAAAAUAAAAAAAAAUUUAUUCCUCUGCUAAUUACAGAUUUUUAAAUAACAUUUCUCCGAAAUAUAAGAUUUUAGUAGAGCUUUUAAAAUAAGAUUUUACUACCGACAGCAUUUUAGUAAAGGCAAAUUCUACAAAACAAACAACAUUUACAGUUAAUUUUAUAUUUUUUUGGGAGCUCGUAAAUUUCAUUUAAAUUUUUUUUCUAGCAAGUUUGAAUUUAAUUUUCUGAAAGUCAUACUUAUAAAUGCGAAAUCUAACAAAAAAAUUAAAUACAAUUUUUGGAGGUCAAAUUUAUCAAAUGCGAGCUAUUUGAAGAAUUAAAAAAAAACAUUUAGGACCUUGCAUUUAGCUCUUACUAUUUUUUGGAAAAAAUUCUCUAGCUCCAAAAAAAAACAAAAAAAUUUAAAAUAUACUUAAACUCGCAUUCCUCAAUAAGUAGAGCUCGCAUUCAGGGAAUGCGAAGACCCCCCUACGGAAUAACUCACAAAAAUCACCCCUUUUGUAGAAUUUUUUUAAAAUUCAUCACAAAAUUGAAAAUUUCUCCUCAUUUAUGACAGUUGAAUGGGAGGUGUCCUGAGGGUACCAUUCCUAUCAGAAGACACCAAAAUCCAAGCAAUCUCAAGAGAUAUGCCAAGAAGAAGCACAAAAACAUUCUCCAAAUUUCUCCAAUUGAUGUGAAGGCAAACAUCAAGAAAAUUCUUGUUUAGAUAAAGGUAUUAAAUAUUUAUACGUUCCUAUAAUUAUUAAAGUUCUGAUGCAAAUGGUACAAUCACUUGAAACAAUUGUCAUUGCACUGUAGAAUAUUCUUGCUACUCAAACACCAUUAGGAUAACAUUGGCCAGGGGCGGACCCAUGUUACCGGGUUGGCCCGUAAGUUUCAAAAAUUUUUAUUUGUCUCUCGUAAAAAAUUGAAUUUUUUUUUAAAAAUUAUUCUUUAAAAUUUUGAACUUUUAAACCAACAAAAAUUUAAAACCGUUUUACACUAGUAUUAAAAUUCAUCCCGCCAAUGUAAACUUUUCUCGAUCCCUCUCAAUAUUGGCUGUCUAGUUUUGUAUAUGAAUAGAAUCUUAUCAGAGAACACUAAUUGUGGAAGAAUUUUAAUUCAUUAAUUUUUGUAUUUUAGUUUGAUUUUCCUGUUCUUUGAAUUGUUUCCGUUUAAAUUUUUAGCGUGCAUUUGCAUACGUGCAAGGUGGCAAGUACUUUGGGACAAAGGCAUAUCUAAACCUUUGGAAACCCCACGUUCAAAACGAAGACUUUAGCUCGUCUCAAACCUGGAUUCUUGGAAUUCCUGAUGCAAAGGUCAACUCCAUUGAAGCUGGUUGGAUGGUACUUCAUCCCUAUAAUUUUUUUUUUUCCAAACUACUCAUUUUCUUGUUAAACUAUAAACACUUGAGCAUUUGGCUCAUAUUCCAUGAUUUGCUUAAUUUGCUUAUUAAAAUAACAGGUACUCCCAGAUCUUUAUGGAGAUUAAUACAGCAAGACUCUUCACCUACUGGACUGUAAGCAUUACAUCUAAUCUAAAUUUCCUUAUUAAUCUAAGUUGUAUAAACCAAUGUUUUAAAAAUCAGAUCAGAUCAGUCGGUUCAACCGGUUGAACAGCGAACCGAUCAUGCUUCCGAUCCAAUUCAAUUAAAAAAUCAAAGUACCUUCGAGUGUUAAUUUAACUUUGUUGGGAGUUUCCAAUUAUCUCGACAGUUGAAAAAAAAAUUAAAAAAUCAAAGAAUUAAUUGAAUCGAUCAAAAUCGGUCAUGAAUCGGUUGAACCGGUAAAAAUCAAAAGGUUCAACUGAUUUUAUUAAAUAUUUAUUUUCUAAAAUAAAUAAUUUAAUUUUAUUCAAAAUUCUUAAUACUAAAAUGGAUAAAAAAUUAUUAAACUUUUGAAUUGGGAUCGAAUCGGUUGAAUCAAUCAAAUCGUGAACCGGAACGUUUUCGGUUCACUCUCUGGUCCAAAUUUAAAAACAUUGAUGGGCUAUCAUUCCAACGGGUGUUACAAAUUGGACUGCCCUGGCUUUGUUCACACGAAUCCAGACGUAGUAUUGGGAGGCGGCAUUUAUUGGAUUUCUACCCAUCGUGGACCCCAACACGAACUCGGCUUCCGUUUUCGGAAGGUAGCAAGAAUAAAAAUGGUUGAGAAAUCAGCAUAGAUUAGCUGUCAAAUGGUUUGCCAUCUGAUAAUUAACAUACUUUUUCCUAAUCAUCCUGAUUCUUGCUUCUUCCUUUGCUCCUAAUUGCUUUUUCCUCGUACUUGAAAAUUUGAUCUAGUGGGUAAACUAAAUUUCUUUAGGACCCAAAACAAGAUGUUUGGGGGCUAGCAUGGAAAACGGCCGAUAAAAUAAUUGGUUACUGGCCUGCCUCCCAUAUUCUCAGACCUGGCUGAAAGUGCUUCAGUGAUCGGAUGGGGUGGAGAGGUGCUAAGCUCUGCAAUUAUAGAUGGGCAGCACACUACAACUCAAAUGGGUAGUGGCCAUUUUGCUCAAGAAAAAUUUGGAGGAUCAAGUCUUAUCAGAGCCCUUCAAGUAAUCGAUGAAUCAAACAAUUUGAAGCCUGCUGGAAACUUUAAAGUUCGCGUCGACAAUCCAAAUGGCUACAAUGCAGUGCUUGUAAAGAAAUAUAAUUGGGGAGAUACCAUUUUCUUUGGAGGACCAGGAAAAAAUAAUAAUUGUCCUGGCAUUGAUGAAUGAUGUAAUCUGGAAAAUGAGUGAAUGAUUAUGCAAAAGACACUACUUCUUCUUCUUUUCUUUACACGAAUUAAAUUUCAGGAUUUAUAUAUAAAAAAAAAGUUAAAGAGAAGCGCUCAAGUGCAUGUCUACAUAUUCAUGUUUGGAUAAAAGAAGGUAAUUGAUGUUUUAAUUAGAAGAAAAUAGAAAACAUGGUUUCCUUUAUUCUUUUAAUCGGAGCACAAUGAAACCGAAUAGGAAGUAUUUGAAUUGCAAUUGAUUGAAGCCAGAUAGGAAAUGAGGGUAGUAUAAUUUUUUUGUAUUAGAGGGUAUUUAUGUGUAAUUGUCAAAAACAUCAGGGGAAGUUUUUGAAAUUAUCCACAUAUAUAAAUCUUAGUAUUUUGAUAGCUCUUAGUAUUGAUUUUGACCCAGGAUUCAAUAUAUACCCAUAAUUCAUUAAAUACUUUUUAUGAAUGUCAACUACGUAUUUUAAGUAAAUUGCUCCAGAUUGUUCAAUCAAUUGAUAACCAGAGUCAUUCUUUGAUAAAUGAUCACUAUGAGUCAAACUCAAUAAUAUGUAUGUAUGUAUGUAUUGUACGAGGGAUUUUCAGGUCAAUUCUCUCAUUUAAGCAUCUUAUUCUCCAUUCUCUUUUUUAACAAAAUUGAUUUAAUUUAAUCAUUAUAAUUACUUUUAAACCUAUGGAAUAGAUACUAACGUAAAUACAUUACUUAAUAUUAGAAAGUGUCCACCUAUCAUAUGAUAAUCUAUUUAAAUGUCCUAACCUUACCUAAUACAACUUUAAAAAAAAAGUUUAAAAGUAGACAAUUUCAAACAUGGCAUGCCACAUAGUUGCCUUUGAUUUUACAAAAUAAAAUAAGACCAUAAAUAGGUUUACCAAACUUAUAGCGAACAAUCAAACGUUAGAAACGUCGUAAUAAAUGAAACCACCAUCAAUUUCCUUAGUUUUACUUAUUAACCAUAACAGAAAUAAGUACGACUAUCUACUAACUAUAAUACCAAAUUAAGGAAAAAUGUUUAGAAUUAAUUAAGUUCCCUAACAAUACAAUAAUUUGGUAAUGUUUAGAAUUAAUCAAUUUCAGUAACAAUUGUAAACAAUACAAUAAUUUGAAUACCAAAUUAAUGGCAUUAUACAUAAUUAUAUAAUUUAAACACUAAAUUAAGUAAACUUUCACCAAUACCAAUUUUUUUAAGGAAACUUCCCUAUUUCUCAUCAGUUAAAUAUCACACAUGCUUUUAGAAAAAGGAUCUUUCUGAUGAGUACCUAUUGGGCACUCAUUAAUGCACAUAAAUUCCAUCUAAACUACUAUAUAUUGAUAGGUUGCAAUUUUCUCAUUUAUUUUAUUAUUAAUUUUCUCUAUUACCUGACCCGAUGUGGAUUAAUUAAUAGUUUCUACUCACUUUUAGUAUUUUGCGUCUAUCUUAGGGGGCAGAAUGAAAAUAUGAUAACAGGUGCCAAUUUGACAGAAAAGAAAUUCAAAUGAUAGAGCUUGUUCCAGGGGCAUUUUUGAAAAAGAGACGCAAGCCCUUUUUGGUCAUUUGGCCGAAGUCUUCCUCCGGAGAAAAUGGGAGCUGCCGCACGGAGAUUGAGGAAGAGAUGAAAAAAGGAGAAAAAGAGGCAGAGGAUUUUGGCCUCCCGGAGCUUAGCCUCACUUUUGACUUUUCUUCUUGGCCUUUAGUAGUCAUUCUCCACGGUUGUGAGGAGAAACGAUGAAGAGCUUUAGUUUAGCAUUAGAUUUUUCCUUUUAGACUUUUGGUUAGGACCUCUCCUAUGCAUGUCAGAGGAAAUUAAACAACUUUGACUUUUCCAUUUUCCUUCCUGGCGUAGUCUUCUCUUCGUACGCCUGGACAAGUAGAAACCAUGGAAUUAGUUGCUGUAGCUUUGCUAUCUUUUCAAACAUUUGGACGAAUUGGACUCUUCUAAUUUCGAAGGACAAUGGCCGCAACUUUCUCUGCGAUUUUCUGUGGGUUUUGUUCAUCAAAUAUGAACUAAUUUUUCAACUCUAGUCAAGGGACAAUGAAAGCUUUGAUUCGCCUAAAAAUUGUGAGAUCGGUUUAAUUUUAUCUUUUCCUUUUAUUUAUUGGUAUUCGCAUAUUCCUUGAUUGCAGUGCUUAUGAUUGUUCAAUUAAUUGAUUGUUUUGGAUGCUGAUACUUAGUUAAUUUGAUAAUCUAUUGUCAGUUAGGGCAUUAAAUUCGUAAUUGUUUAAUUGUCUUAAACUAGUGAUAACUGGCAUAACUAGAUUUGUGUCAGGGGGAUAUGCGAACUAAUCUGAAACAGCCCUGGUAGUGCGUUAUUUGAUUGGAAUAGGGCUCCUCUAACACGUAAGGCAAUUGGGGAAUUAAAUCUUAUGGGUGUACUUAGGAUUAUUUCUCAAUUAGAACAGUGAUUAACGGGCGUACCUUAAUCACCGACACAGUAAGGAGGGGUUGACUGUCAUCACUUGUUUGGCAGUUAUAACCUAUUUAUUAAUAAAUAAUUGGAAGUGCUUGUGCAUCGAUGAUCAAUUAGGUGAACCAAUGCUGAAGUUAUUCCUUGGCUAGAUCUUUAAUUAAUAUUACCUUGAUUUUAAUGAAUUGCCAUUUGACCUUUAGUUGCUUACUUUAUUUUAUUCUUAAUUGUUUCUUGUUUUAAUUGAUUUAGCCCUUUAAUUAUUGUUACUCUAAGUUCAGUGAAUGGUUGUUUAAUUUCUAGUUAGUUAUUUAUUUUUAUUUUCUUAUUUGAAUUUAUCUGAUUAUCGUCCUUCCUACAAAAUCAUCCCCUAUGUUACUUUGGAUUUCUUAAGAGACAAAUAUACUCAAUCCCUGAGAAUACGACCCUACUUGUCUUGUUUACAAAUUCAUAAUUAUUUGUGAAAAAAAGAAAAAUCAUCCCAUUCGAGUAUAUCGGAUCAAGCAAACUCUUCGGGAACAGGGUGAAUCAAGUAACCCAUUGCACACCUAAAGUCCCUGCUCCAGUACUUGGAAUUGGGUUUUGAUCAUUUUAACUGGCAAUUAGGUUUAAUUUUAUUAUUGUACAGAUUUCGACAUCCUGUCAAUUUUUGGCAUCGUUGCCGGGGACUGGCGUUAUUAUUUGUUUCUUUUUAAAUUCAUUUUUUAUCUAACUUUCUGGUGCUUUUCAAGUGUAUGCCUCGUUCUUUUCAUACAGGUGAAUUAAUUUUCGACCCCGAGGUAGAGAAAAUCGCACGUAAGACAAGAAAAGAGACCAGACAACUCAGAGAGGAGCACUCCAGUGCUGCAUCUCUGAGACCUGAGUCGGAAGUUGAACCAACAGAUUCGUUUGGUGACACUUCGAGUGACUCUGACUAGGAGGAAGGCACCAUGGCUGAUUCACGAACAUUAAGGGAGUUGGCUGCACCUGAUUUAAAUCAGCAGCCUUUAUGCAUUACUUUUCCCACUUUAAAUGAUAACGUUCUAUUUGAGUAAAAAUAUGGUCUAAUUCAUCUUCUACCUUCUUUUCAUGGUUUAUCAGGUGAAGAGCCGUAUAAACAUCUGCAGGAGUUUGAUGUCGUGUGCAAUAGUAUGAAGCCCUCGGAAAUCACAGAAGAGCAGGUAAAAAUAAGGGCAUUUCCUUUCUCCUUGAAAGAUUCUGCAAAAGACUGGUUGAACUACCUACCACCAGGUAGUAUCACCACGUGGGAUCAGUUAAAGAAAAAAUUCUUAGAUAAGUAUUUACCCGCGUCUCGAGCUGCAAGUCUAAGAAAGGAGAUUUGUGGUAUCAAACAGCACCCAGGGGAGUCGCUUUAUGAGUAUUGGGAGCGAUUCAAGAAAUUGUGCAUCAAAUGCCCCCAACACCAAAUAAGUGAGCAGUUGCUCAUACAGUAUUUUUAUGAAGGAUUUCUUUUCAGAGACAGGAGCAUAAUUGAUGCUACAAGUGGAGGAGUAUUGGUGAACAAAACCCCUCGGGAAGCAUGGGAGUUAAUUGAGGGGAUGUCAGAGAAUUCACAACAAUUCGGUACGAGAGAGGAUAUCCCAAUACACAAGGUGAAUGAGGUAGAGACAUCCUCUAUCCAGCAGCAGCUAACUGAGUUGACCUCGUUUGUUAGGCAACUGGUUGUAGGAAAUGCAUCUCAGGCCAAGGUGUGUGGGAUUUGUACUGGUAUGGGUUAUUCUACAGAUAUGUGCCCAGUGAUUCAAGAAGAAAGUGCAGAGCAAGUAAACAUGGCUGGUCACGCGCCCGCGCCAAGAAGGCCCUAUGACCUGUACUCGAAUACGUACAAUCCCGGCUAGAAGGACCAUCCGAAUUUCAGUUAUUGAGGAAAUAGGCAGUCCAACUUUGUACCGAACAGACAGCAAGGGCAUCAACAACAGUACCACCCUCGGCCACCACCACCUCCUUCGAAUUCAAGUCCGUCUAUGGAGGAGAUGAUGAAGCAACUACUUGCUAAUCAACAAAAGGCGGACUCCGAAAUGCAGGACAUAAGAAAUCAGAUGAAUUAAAUGGCCAAAACAAUCAACCGCUUGGAGUCCCAAGUGCAAGGUAAAUUGCCGUCUCAACUUGAAUUGAACCCGAAGAAUGUAAGCACGAUGACCCUAAGGAACGGAAAGGAAAUUCAGGGGCCUGAGCCUGUGAUCCCUAAGGACAAGGAUGAAGAAAAAAUCGAAAAUGAGCUUGAGAGGGAGGACAGCAAUGGUGCAAAUCCAAAGGUACUUCCAAACCCAAUAAUUACAGUUAAAACUAACCCGCCUCCUUUCCCUAACAGGUUGGAAAAAUCGAAGAAGCAGGAUAAGGAGAAGGAGAUCCUGGAAGUGUUCCGCAAAGUAGAGAUUAAUAUACCCCUCUUAGACGCAAUCAAACAAGUACCGAAAUAUGCCAAGUUUCUAAGGGACUUGUGUGUCAACCGAAGGCGAUUGAGGGAAAUGAAAGGGUCAUUGUUGGGGAAAAUGUGUCUACAGUCCUGCAAAGAAAGCUUCCAUCAAAGUGCAAGGACCCAAGUAUGUUUACUAUUCCCUGUAGGAUAGGCAACACUGUGAUUAGACGGGCCAUGUUGGAUCUGGGAGCAUCAAUUAAUGUCAUGCUUAAAUCUAUCUAUGCUUCUCUAAAACUAGGUUCAUUAAAAGAAAUUGGGAUAAUCAUUCAAUUAGCUGACCGAACUAAUGCAUAUCCUGAUGGAUUGGUUGAAAAUGUGUUGGUAAAAGUUAUUGAUUUGGUGUUUCCAACUGAUUUUUAUGUACUUGAUAUAGAUGAUGAUCACUCACCCGAUCCCUCACCUUUGUUAUUAGGUAGACCCUUUAUGAGUACAGCACAAACAAAAAUUGAUGUUAAUAGGGGUACGUUGUCCAUGAAGUUUGAUGGGGAGAUUGUGCAUUUUAAUAUCUUUGAUACUAUGAAAUAUCCCUCAAACUCUAACUUUAAUUCUAUUUUUUCUGUGAGUGCUGUUGACCCUGCGGUACGGGAAGUGUUUGAAACUGUUUGCAGGGAUGAAUUGGAAGUUGCUUUAACCAAGCAUCUCGAGUUGGAAACAAUUCCUGAGAUAGAGUGGAGUGAAGAUCUGAAAUGCACAAUAGGGGCAUUACACUCAUUGCCAACCUCCACAAAAAGGUACGAAAUUUCACCUAUAUUCAUUCUCGAAUCUCAUCAAAGGGUAUUACCAUCGGUGGUGCAGGCACCCGUAUUGGAGUUGGAACCCCUACUGGAGCAUUUGAAAUAUGCGUAUCUGGACGACAAUGAAACAUUUCAAAUAUUAUCUCAACUGCACUCUCGAAAACUCAAGAGAAGAAGUUGAUCCGAGUCCUUAGAGAGCAUAAAGAGGUGAUUGGUUGGACCAUCGCAGACAUCAAGGGGAUCAGCCCCUCCAUCUGUAUGCACCGAAUUAGACUUGAAGAGGAUGCCAAACCUGUACGAUAGGUUUAAAGGAGGCUCAAUCCCCUCAUGAUGGAAGUGGUGAAAAAAGAAAUUUUGAAACUGUUAGAUGUGGGGAUCAUCUUUGCGAUAUCAGAUAGCCCUUGGGUGAGUCCGGUCCAGGUAGUCCCAAAGAAGGCAGGAAUGACGGUAGAGGCUAAUCAAACGGGUGAGUUCGUGCCAGUGCGCAAACCCACUAGAUGGAGGCAGUGUAUUGACUACCGUAGGUUGAACGCCGUCACCAAAAAAGACCAUUUCCCCCUCCCUUUCAUUGACCAAAUAGUUGAACGUUUGACUUGUAGAGCUUACUAUUUUUUUUUGGAUGGAUUUUCAGGAUAUUUUCAGAUAACAAUUGCACCAGAGGAUCAAGGGAAGACGACCUUCACAUGCCCGUUCAGGACCUUUGCUUAUAGACGAAUGCCCUUCGGGUUGUGCAAUGUACCUGCAACAUUUCAGAGGUGUAUGGUAAGCAUUUUCUCUGAAUAUAUAGAGAAAAUAAUUGAGAUUUUUAUGGACGACUUCAGUGUGUAUGGUGAUAGUUUUGAUACAUGUCUAGAUAACCUGAGAUUGAUCUUGUUAAGAUGUAUAGAGACUAAUCUCGUGUUUAAUUGGAAAAAAUGUCAUUUUAUGGUUGAACAUGGGAUAGUUUUGGGAUACAUGUCUAGAUAAUCUGAGAUUGAUCUUGUUAAGAUGUAUAGAGACUAAUCUCGUGUUUAAUUGAAAAAAAUGUCAUUUUAUGGUUGAACAUGGGAUAGUUGGGAUAUCGUAUCUUCUAAAGGUAUUGAGAUCGAUAGGGCUAAAAUAGACAUCAUAUCUGACUUAUCUUACCCCGCGAGUGUGCGGGAGGUGCGUGGACAUGCAGGUUUUUACCGAAGGUUCAUCAAGAAUUUUUCAAAAAUUGAAACCCCGUUAUUCUAACUUUUACAAAAAGAUGUGACCUUUGAAUUCGAUGACAAGAGUGAGAAAACUUUCGACAAGUUGAAAGAGCUAUUGACCGUACCCCCGAUCAUCCAGCCCCCCGAUUGGAGUUUGCCAUUUGAGAUUAUGUGCGAUACCAGUGAUUAUGCUGUAAGGGCUAUAUUGGGGCAAAUAGUAUGAAAGGCAGCUCACGUCAUCUACUAUGCAUCCCGAACCCUGAAUGGGGCCCAAUUGAAUUACUCCACUACUGAGAAGGAGUUUCUUACGGUUAUUUUUGCUUGAAAAAAAUUCAGGUCAUAUUUGAUAGGUGCUAAAGUAAUUGUAUUUUCUGAUCAUACAUCAUUAAGGUACCUAAUGACUAAGAAAAAUGCAAAAUCGAGACUUAUCAGAUGGAUAUUGCUCCUACAGGAAUUUGACUUGGAGAUAAGGGAUAAAAGGGCCUCAGAGAAUCUAGUUGCCGACCACUUGAAUCGCAUACCAGUAGGAGAGAAGAACGAACCAUUGAAGGAUGCAUUCCCUGAAGAGCAUCUAUUUUCUUUAAAUUCUCAAUUGCCUUGGUAUGCGGAUUUAGUUAAUUAUUUAGUAACGGGUAAUUUCCCUUCAGGUUGGCCGAAAUCGAAGAGGGAUAAAUUGAAGAGCGACACCAAGUAUUUCAUCUGGGAUGACCGGUACUUAUGGAAGAGAUGUGCUGAUCAGGUGAUGAGGCGAUUUGUAAGUGAGGCUGAAUUUCAAUCAAUUUUAACUUUCUGUCAUACUUUUGCCUGUGGAGGUCAUUUUGGACCCAAGAGAACGACUCAUAAGGUAUUGGAAAGUGGGUUUUACUGGUCUUCUUUGUUUAAAGAUGCAUAUGUGUUUUGUAAGUCGUGUGAUCGCUAUCAAAGGGUAGGUAAUAUAGCCCGUAGAGAUCAUAUACCCCAAGUUCUGUUGAUUUUUGUUGAAAUUUUCGAUGUGUAGGGUAUCGAUUUCAUGGGGUCCUUUCCUACCUCAUUUGGUUUUGUGUAUAUUUGUUGGCAGUCGAUUACGUGUCUAAAUGGGUGGAGGCUAAGGCCACCCGGACUAAUGAUUCAAAAGUGGUUACAGAUUUUAUUAGGUCUAAUAUUUUUGUACUUUUUGAAAUGGCAAAGGCCAUUGUCAGUGACAGGGGGAUGCAUUUCUGCAACAAAAUCAUAGCCGCGUUGUUUCGCAAGUAUGGCGUACUUCACAGGAUCUCGACGUCGUACCACCCGCAGACUAAUAGUCAAGCAGAGGUAUCAAAUAGGAAAAUUAAGUCUAUUUUGGAGAAAAUGGUGCGACCCGAUAGGAAGGAUUGGUGUCAACGGUUGGAAGAUGCACUUUGGGCCUAUCGGACGGAAUACAAGACCCCUAUAGGGAUGUCACCGUACAGGUUGGUAUUUGGGAAUCCGUGUCAUCUUCCAGUGGAGUUUGAGCACAAGGUUUUUUUAGCCAUUAAACAGUGUAACAUAAAUCUAGAAGAUGCCGGUGCUCAACGGAAGUUGGAUUUGCAAGAAUUGGAGGAGAUCCGCAACGAAGCCUACGAAAAUGCACUAAUUACAAGAAGAAGAGUCGGGCAUUUCAUGACCAACAAAUCUCUAGAAAAACCUUUGAAAUUGGUCAGAAGGUCCUCCUGCACCAAUCUAGGCUCAAGCUAUUCCCAGGUAAGCUAUGUUCCCGUUGGAUUGGACCUUUUAUUGUUACUCACGCGUUUCCAUAUGGUGCAGUUGAAAUCCAGAGUGCCAAGACAGACAACAAGUUUGUGGUGAAUGGACACCGUCUCAAACAUUAUUACAAAAGUUUUUCAAGUGGAGAAGUGGAGACGAUGAGUAUAGAUGCACCACCGUGUCCCACUUUGUAGCACUUUGCCAUGUCUAACUAAAGACGUUAAAGAAAGGCGCUCAUUGGGAGGCAACCCAAUUGUUGCUUUUAAUUGUUUGUUUGAUUUCGUGUGAUAGUUUACAUAUGUUUUCCUUGAAUUUGAAUGAUUUCUGAUUUCCAUUUUCGUUUUGAUGAUUUGUAGAUGUCCUUCUGUCAUGACGUGCCCGCGUCAUGACAUACGAAGAGCUCAUGGUUAGAAUCGUCAGAAGGAGUUUUUGCCCUCAUAACGUGCCCGCGUCAAGUCACCCGGAGAGCUCCUCAUUCCGUGCUUUCGUCACGUGCCCACGUCGCCUUCGCGGGAAAAGCAAGCAUUGAAAAGAAAAACUCAAGACCGGUUAGUGAUUCCCUGUUAGUCUCUAAUUUUGAAUUUCAGAGUUGAGUUUUGUAAUAAUAAAAAAAAUAAAAAAAAUAAUUUUUAAUUAGUACAAAAAUAAAAAAAUAAUAUAUAUAUAAAAAAACGAAACAAAACAAAAACAAAAAAUUUCCUUUUCACCGUAGCUUAAAUAUUUCAAAAAAAAAGAAAAAAAUCUUUUUUUCUUUUUCUUUUUCCUUCUUUUCUUUUCUUUCUUUUUUCUUUUCUUCUUCUCCUUCUUUCUUUCUCUUUUCCUCCUUUCUUCUCCUACCGCUGUUUCCUUCCUUCUGUUCGACCGAAGCUCCAUCGCGUGCCGCCUCCACGAGCUUAGCUCCGCCGCCCCUCAGUCGACAUCGAUUCCACCUCGCACGUCCUAUCUCCUCCUCACCUGCGAGCUGCUGCCCUCUACCUCCGCGCGCGCAGUCUCCACCACAGCAGACCCAUUGCCCGCCGCCGUCCGUAGCAUCGUGCACCGCCGCUGCCCACGGUCGCGCGUGUAACAGCCCCACCUCCCCCUAAGGCGAACCAGAGGGUUCGGCGGGCCGCCUGCCCAGCUCUCGCCGGGACUCAUCCUCAAAUAAAUUACAAUAUAAAACUCAAAUAUACAUCAAAUUAACCAAUAAUUACAUGUCAAAAGCGAAGCGUCCACUCAUCCGCUGCGCCACUCUGAUCCUUAAUCACAAUUAUUAUACAGGAGGAAGUCCAAAACUAGACUAUUACACAUCCAAUCAAUUCCAAGCAAGCACGAAUAAUUAUUCCAAUCCCACUUGUCCGAUUUUCAUUCCUACAAGGAAUCACUUACAUUGCAAACUAGACCCACAUUCCGGCAUCCUAAACUUUAAGCUUAGGAUACAUUACAGAGAUCUGAAGCCUAAGCUCUGAUACCAGCUGUAACGGCCCCAUCUCCCCUAAGGCGAACCAGAGGGUUCGGCGGGGGCGCCUGCCCAGCUCUCGCCGGGACUCAGUCGAUCACUACAAUCCUCAAAUAAAUUACAAUAUAAAACUCAAAUAUACAUCAAAUUAACCAAUAAUUACAUGUCAAAAGCGAAGCGUCCACGCAUCCGCUGCGCCACUCUGAUCCUUAAUCACAAUUAUUAUACAGGAGGAAGUCCAAAACUAGACUAUUACACAUCCAAUCAAUUCCAAACGUUCAAUACAAUCCCUAAUAUUAAUCUAUUACACAAGAGGCAAUCCAAUUUCGAACCAUACACAAGAUAAUCCAUCCAUUCGCAGGAAUACGCACUACAAGCCUUUUUUUCGCCUUGAGCCCUGCGAGGGGGGGAAAAUAGUUUUGGGGUGAGCUAGAUGCUCAGCGAGUAACCAAUAAAAUCAGUUAUCGAAUCAGUUUCACAAUAAUUCAUUUUAAUGAUACCAUAAAUCAAUGAUGUCAUAAAUCAAACGUUAAGUCAAAACAUUUAUAACGUUUGCAAAACAGUAAAUAUGGAGUAUCAUUAUUUCAAGAAACAUGUACAACGGAAAACGAUAGUAACAUUCAUGGAAAGGAUACAUUCGUUCUCCUGACAUUUCCUCGCUCAGGGUCAUUCAUUUCAUUCAUUCACCAACCUCCACCAACCUACAUAGGUAAUACUCGAGUAUACCAAACGUGCACCCAAGUGCCUAAUCGCCCGACCGAGACCGUUUCUGGCUCGAGACGACCGGUAACAAGGGGCUAUGGCCAGUUCAGCCCAAAUGCUUACAUACAUGCGCAACUAGCAUUUAAUCAUUUAAUCGUUAAAAUUUUCACAUUUAUUUAGGUCGAGUGCGAUAAAGUACACACUCGCCUAGAAAGCUCGUUUGGAAAUCAUUUAAAGCACUUAAUACCUUACCAAUCAAUAAUACAAAGCACGAAGUCAAGAAAAUAUAGCAAAUAAGGAACACUCAUAUACAAGCAUGCAUGAUAUGCAAGAAAACAGUUCAAAAGUAACUUUGGAAACAGUUCAAAAGUAAAUACUGCAGGAAACGGUUUAUAAAUAACUUUAGAAAUUGUUUGAAGUCACUCACCUCCACGGCUCAAGAUUCAUCCACAAUAUACCGUUACCUUAUCCAAAUCGAAGCCCUAACUUCCAAACUCAAAGCAAACAUAUUCACUCAAGGUUCGGACAGCAUUUCCCCUUAAAUGCUUCAUUUGUCCAACCUACAACCAAACCCAAUCAUAUAGCAAUUAACCACAAUUGCACAUACGGUUCGCAAGCAAUAAAAGAUAUCCAUUUAGGCCAUAAAAUCCUUGAAUCAAGGCCAAUUAGCAACUCAUAAGUCACUCUUGGAAAAUCCCUAAAUAAAACCCUAGAAACCGGAAUUCUUACCACAAGCGGAAAUUUUCCGUAAUCAAUCGCAAUUAACGUAUUCAAGCUUCAAUUAACACCACAACAUUCCAUCAAUUCAAGACCAAUUCAUGCUUAUCAAAUAAAAUCGGAAAAAUACCCAAUAAAUCAGAAAUCCACCAUAAACUCUUUCAACCCAUGAAAUACUCCACAAAAUAACACACAUGGCCACCACAAACCAUUAAUUAACCAAUACUAGAUCAAAAGUAACUUGUAUAUUCAACUCACCUCAAAUUCAAGAGAGCUACCAACUUAGAGCUUCCCCUUCAAAACCAAUCCAUCAAAAGCUUUAACCAACCAUAGUGAGCCCUUGUAUAAAAUAGUUUGCAAAAACAUCGGUUAAAACUCAAGAUAUUUGGCAAAGAUUAAACUAGGAAAAUUGAGAGUAUUUUCUCUCUAUGAAGCUCGGAUGAACCAGGGAAGAAAAUGAGAUAUUUUGGCCAAAACAAUGAGAUAAGAAGGAAGAAAAAGGCAGCCGGUCAAAGCUGACCGGCUGUGACACGCCACAAUCCGGCCGGAAUCUGGCCGGAUUUCCGGCCGGAUUCUUGGCCGGAUUCAAGGCAGUAGCUAAACCAAUUUUUUUUCAAAACGACUAGGCAAUUCGGCCAGCUAUCCGGCCAGAAACUGGCCGGAUUCCCGGCCGGAUUUGGCCCCUGCCUUUUUAUAAAAUUUUUUCUUUUUCUUUUCCGAGUUGAAAACUGUGCUAUUCCUCUCGUCCAACAAAAUAUAUAUAAAAUGAAAACCCUCCUUCAUACGGGGCGUCACAGCAUGCCUCUCUCCAGCUUUCCCCCACAGUCGCGCGCUGCUCCAUCGCAUGCCGCCGCGACUCACGCCUCCUCAACUCACGCCGCCUCAACUCUACCUUAUCCGCCAACCACCAUACCCACUCCACAGUUCCUACCAGCGCCGACUGUCCACCGCACCCAAUCAUGCGACUCCAACAGUAGUUCCGCCGUUCGCGGUCAGUCGUCACAGCUCAGCAGCCUUAGCUCUUCACCCGCGACUCCACCCUCUCUUGCGCGCCUCUCACCACCAGGCCGCGCCGCGUCGGCUACUGCCGCUCCAGUUCUUUGUUUGGCGGCCAGUAGAGGUAUUUCAACCUCGAUUCCAAAAUUUUUGGUGUUGAUUGGUAUCGUUUAGCGGCUGUGUUGUUUUACUCCGGAUUUGUUCAUUCUCUGUUGUUUCCUACCUAAUUGAGAGCGCGGAGAUGGUGCCUAUGUUACUACUGUCUAUAUUAUGACUUGCUAUUUCGGGUCGGCAAGAGUCUUGGGAAUAUUUAUUGCAUUUUCUUUGUGGAUUUGAGUUCAAUUGUUUUGGAUUGUUGGGUGUUUGACAGUUACCCUGCUCUUAGCCUCUUUGAUUAGCAUAUUCGUUGAAAUUGGUUGUGCUCUAGCACAGUGUGGGGAGGCAUUUGUUGAACUUUUGGGUGGAAUUAUUGAGUUUUUGGGUGAGCUGAAAUACUGUUAUUGCUUGAAUUGUUGGGACUAUAGUGGCGCAAUCUCUGGGUUGUUUGUUGAAUCGGAAGGGCAUUGUGACCCCUGCAUUGCUUCCUGAAGUUGGUUAACUAAUUUUGGUUUACUGCGUGUGUUUAGUCUCUUGAUUUCACUUGCCUUCCGUAUUCGUUUCAAUUGAGUUCAUUUGUUGCCUUUGUUGAAGCAUCUGCUGCGAGUGUGGCGUUGUAUAGCUUCUACUGUUGGCUGAUGCAUUGGGGCCAUAGGUAGCAUUUACUCUGCUCUGUUAUAGCUAUUCCAUUGAUUUUGAACUACGUUCUGCACCAGUGGUACUGGUUGGCAUACUUUCCCUUGCUUGUGUUAACUCUAUUGGGUUGGAUACCUGAUUAUCUACCAAAGGCUUGUGACUGUGUUGCUCUUGUUGACUUUCUGAACUACAAUUGCUGGAUUUAGCAUAUUAUUGGGAUACUUGUUGAAACUUUGGUUGGACAACAUUUGCUUGUCGACUAAGCGACUUGGAUAGUCCCUGUGCUUAUUGAAUAGCCUUUGCCAGUUGCUAAUUGUUGUUAAUAGUUGGGCAUCCUGUGGUUAUUGAGUGUCUUUGUUGCUUUGUUGGGAUAUUGGUAUAAAUUGUGGGCGACUCGAUUGUACAUUUUCUGGGUGAUUAAAUUGGUAAUUGCUGGUUGCACUGAGCGUUGGAAAGUCUGUAUUUUGUUGUUCGAGCUGACUGUUAGGAGAAAUGGUGAGACCAAAAUCAUCCUUUAGGUUUAGAGCUUCUCAAUCUCAACCUCCACCCCAAGCCUCCAUUCCUGUCAAUACCCUUAUAAAUCAACCUUCCGCUUCCGGUGUCCGUACCCGAUUAGGCAGGGGUAGGGGUGCCCACGUGGCUUCCGCCACUCACCUUAGAGGGCAUUUAGAGUUCACUAGACUCGCCAAUCAGCGACGCUAUGCUCAAGCCUGUGAGCGGCGUAUAAUCCCGUGCAAGUGCGCGGACGACAUAACUAUGGUCUUUUUAGGUAUCCAAACGGAAGUUGAGCGCAUGUACACCGCCAUUGGAUGGCGCCCCUAUCUUGCGGUCUUCCAACCCGUUUGGCCCCAGUUGGCAGUGAUCCUGGCCCGUCGACAUCCGCUCAGCCCCCUCCACCAGCAGGGGCUAAGGACUGGCACUAGCUCCGGAUGCAGGUUCAGAAUUUGGAGGCCCGGAUGAUUAACAUCGACAACAAUGUGGCGACUAUGGCACAAAAUCUGGCGGCUUUCAUGCAGCACUCGGGUUUCCCGCCCCCAGCACCACCUCACCCUCCACUUUGACCCGAUUCCAGGGGAGUUUUGUUGCCCUUUCUUCUACCUUUGAUGUUUACUUGCCACAUUGAGGGCAAUGUACCGUUUAGGUGUAGGGGGGAUUGGAUCAGUUGUGGUUCUCAUUUUUAGUAGUUUUUAGUUUUAGGUGUUUUUCCUUUAAUUCUAGUGUGUUAUUUGAAUCUCUUUCUUUCUUUUUACUGAUUAGCUCUCAUAUGAAUGCCAAAGUUUGAUGUUGGGUUAUUGAUUUUAAAUUUACUCUUGCCAAGUUUUAAUGAUAAAAGCGUAUUGAGUUGAUGUGGUUGAGUCCAAAAUGUCUCUUUGGUGAAUAUCGAUGACUGUUUGACUCUUUUGAUGUCUUUGUUAACUUUUCUAGGCAUAAGAAAUGAUUGUUGGCAUUUUCAUAUAAAUUGGUCCAAUAUUGACUCUAGUUCUCCAUGUUUGGCAAUAAUGAGGCGAGCUGCUCCUAUUUUUUAUUUUUAGUGUUGUUAUUUUGCGUUUUUGUGUUGUUUGGCUGUGAAUAAACUUGACUGUACUUCGCUAUUAGUUACUACUGAAUAACCGGGGAUCUGCACCUAAAAGUGUCGGUUCUCGCGUCAAAAAAUAGUACUUUCUAUGAGUACGUGGUCGUUAUAGCGAUAGGAGCUGAGUAACCGGACUUCUUCAUCUAAAAAUGUUGGAGUUCACGUCAAAAGGCUCCAAUGGCUAGAGAUUAAGUCUUUUUUGUGUUAUUAUUAUUAUAAAAAAAAAAAGAGAGAAUGAAAAAAUGACAAAAAAAGAGAAUAAAAAAUAGAAAACGUGAAAAAAAGAAAAGUGCAGGUUGUGUUAAUGCAUGUUAGAGGUCAGUUCGCCGACUUAUGGACUUAAUAUGGAGACAUUGGUUAAUAUUUGGACUGUUCGCUGAUAAAUGUUGUGUGCCAUUCCUUUUUCUUAAAUUAGUUAAUUUGGAAUUGAAAGAGUUUGUAAUCUAGAACCUAACCAGGGUGAUGUCUAGUGGAUUUUGAUCACUAAUGCUCGAUAUACGGUUUUCCUUGGUAUCUUGGCAAUAUAGUAGAUAGAGCAAUGGCCAUAAUCAAAUCUUGGUGUCUGCUUACUUUUCCUAUGCUUGAGGGCAAAACAGGUGUGGGGGGAAUUGAUAGGUUGCAAUUUUCUCAUUUAUUUUAUUAUUAAUUUUUCCUAUUACCUGACCCGAUGUGGAUUAAUUAAUAGUUUCUAUUCACUUUUAGUAUUUUGCGUUUAUUUCAGGGGCAGAACGAAAAUAUGAUAACAGGUGCCAAUUUGACAGAAAAGAAGUCCAAAUGAUAGAACUUGUCCCAGGGGCAUUUUGGAAAAGAGAUGCAAGCCCUUUUUGGUCAUUUGGCCGAAGUCUUCCUCUGGAGAAAAUGAGAGCCGCCGCACGAAGAUUGAGGAAGAGAUGAAAAAAAGGAGAAAAAGAGGCAGAGGAUUUUGACCUCCUGGAGCUUAGUCUCACUUUUGACUUUUCUUCUUAGCCUUUAGUAGUCAUUCUCCACGGUUGUAAGGAGAAACGAUGAAGAGCUUUAGCUUAGCAUUAGAUUUUUCCUUUUAGACUUUUGGUUAGGACCUCUCCUAUGCAUGUCAGAGGAGAUUAAACAACUUUGACUUUUCCAUUUUCCUUCCUGGCGUAGUCUUCUCUUCGUACGCCUGGACAAGUAGAAACCAUAGAAUCAGUUGCUGUAGCUUUGCUAUCUUUUCAAACAUUCGGACGAAUUGGACUCUUCUAAUUUCGAAGGACAAUGGCCGCAACUUUCUCUGCGAUUUUCUGUGGGUUUUGUUCAUCAAAUAUCAACUAAUUUUCCAACUCUAGUCAAGGGACAACGAAAGCUUUGAUUCGCCUAAAAAUUAUGAGAUCGGUUUAAUUUUAUCUCUUCCUUUUAUUUAUUGGUAUUCGCAUAUUCCUUGAUUGCAGUACUUAUGGUUGUUCAAUUAAUUGAUUGUUUUGAAUGUGGAUAAUUAGUUAAUUUGAUAAUCUAUUGUCAGUUAGGGCAUUAAAUCCGUAAUUGUUUAAUUGCGUUAAACUAGUGAUAACUGGCAUAACUAGAUUUGUGUCAGAAGGAUAUGCGGGCUAAUCUGAAAUAACCCUGGUAGUGCAUUAUUUGAUUGGAAUAGGGCUCCUCUAACACGUAAGGCAAUUGGAGAAUUAAAUCUUAUGGGCAUACCUAAGAUUAUUUCUCAAUUAGAACAGUGAUUAACGGACGUACCUUAAUCACCGACACAGUAAGUAAGGGGUUGACUGUCAUCACUUGUUUGGAAGUUAUCACCUAUUUAUUAAUAAAUAAUUGAAUUAGGUGAACCAAUGCUGAAGUUAUUCCUUGGCUAGAUCUUUAAUUAAUAUUACCUUGAUUUUAGUGAAUUGCCAUUUGACCUUUAGUUGCUUACUUUAUUUUAUUCUUAAUUGUUUCUUGUUUUAAUUGAUUUAGCCCUUUAAUUAUUGUUACUCUAAGUUCAGUGAAUGGUUGUAUAAUUUCUAGUUAGUUAUUUAUUUUUAUUUUCUUAUUUGAAUUUAUCUGAUUGUUGUCGUUCCUACAAAAUCACCCCCUGUGUUACUUUGGAUUUCUUAGAGACAAAUAUACCCAGUUCCUGAGGAUACGACCCUACUUGCCAUGUUUACAAAUUCAUAAUUAUUUGUGAAAAAAAAAGAAAAAUCAUCCCAUUCGGGUAUAUCGGAUUAAGCAAACUCUUCGGGAAUAGAGGUGAAUCAAGUAAUCCAUUGCACACCUAGAGUCCCUGCUCCAGUACUUGGAAUUGGGUUUUGGUCAUUUUAACUGGCAAUUAGGUUUAAUUUUAUUAUUGUACAGGUUUCGACACCCUGUCAUAUAUAUACACAUACUAAAAAUUAUUACUUCCCUUACAUUUAUGCACUUUUCCUAAAUGAACUUGCAUUUCUAAAAGUCCAACAUUUGAAGUACACUCUAAACGAUUGCCCAAUGAGGAAUUAGAUGCUCAAUGAGAGAAUGGUGAGAAACAUUAGACAUAGAAAUAAUAAAACUCAUUAUCAAUUAAUUAUUAAUAGUGAAAAACAAUAAUACACAUAUAUUAUAUCAAAUUUGAGAUAACUAUGCAAAAGAAGAGAAACAUAUAAUAUAUUAUUAGCAUGAAUAAAUAAAAUAAGAAGGUGGUUUGGGAAUAAAAAAAACAUUGCGCAGUGGAAUGUGUUCUUUAUCUUAAAGCUACUGUGGAACAUUUGUAGUAAAAAAGACAAUUUAUGGGUGAGGUGGAUACAUUCAGCAAUACUGAAGGGGAGAAGUUUUUGGGAGGUUACUACAACAGCUGGCUGUUUUUGGAUUUGGAGAAAAAUAAUGAAAUGUAGAGUUCUAGCUUAGCCAUUUAUAUGCACUUCUAUAGGCAAUGGAGCCCAAACGUCAUUUUGGUAUGAUUCUUGGCAUCCGUCCGAACCACUCUACAAGAUAUACCUCAUUUCCUUGCUCGAGAACUUGGGACCAAAUACAAGAUCUAAGGUGGCUGAUUUUAUUCACAACAAGUGCUAGAAAUGGCCUCGGGCAAGAAGACUUAACUCUCUUGUUUAGGAUUUGAAGGAUGCAACUCCUACAUCUCUAUUGCAAAACACACAUAGAGAGGACCAUGUAAGGUGGCUAGGCUCAUCAACAGGUAUGUUCUCUAUCAAAUUUGCAAUGAGGAUAUUCCCUAGUGGUGAAAUUGUGAAGUGGCAUAAAAUGGUGUGGGGAAAGGGUUGCAUUCUGAAGCUUGCUUUUACUUUAUGGUUAGCUGUACAAGGAAAGCUGAUGACAAAAGAUAGACUAAGAAAAUGGGGAAUGCAGAAUGUUGAUUAAACAUGUGUACUCUAUCGGGGAAUUGAGUCAGUAGCCCACUUGUUUUUUGAGUCUACGUUUGCUAAGUCAGUUUGGCAAAAAGUAAAAAAAUAAUAAUAAUAAUGUGUCUUUUAUAUAGAGGAGAUGUGCUGGCAGAUGGAGGUGCAAUGGUGGAGUGUUUUCUUGAAGGGUGAAUCCUUUGCAACUCAACUUAGAAGGCUAUUCUCUCUACGAUUGUUUGGCACUUAUGGCAAGAGAGGAACAGCAGGAUCUUUAAGCAAACCAGCAAAACCAAUUUCAACUUGUUGCAGCAAUUGUAAAUUUUGUCCAAUCAACAUGUGUAUCUUGGGAGGGUGCUCCAAGAACAAAGGAAAUUGGACUAAUGCUCCGAAUGGGGACUUAAAUAUAAGUGUUUGAUGAGCUAGAUAGGUGUUAUAUAUAUGAGUCAUAACUAAAUACUUAGUUACUAUAGAGAUGGAAACAUUGGAGUAUAUAGUGCUGACAGACACAGGAAACAGAGCUAUGAUGUAAUAGAUGCAGAGCUUCUUGUACACUUCUAGUGAAUUCAAUAAAAACUCUUUUUGAGAAAAAAUAAGCAAGAAGAAAAAGAAGUUUAAUUAUCAUAAUUAAUUUUGAUUAUCCAUAUGAUACUAUUUCACUCUAAUUUGCAUCUGAAUUCAUGCUCAACCUUUAAUAUCACUAUUUAAAAUUUAGAGAAAUAUAAUGAUUCAAAGUCAAAACGUUGGGGAUCAAAAGUGUAAAAUCUAAGUUGUUGACUAACAGUCCUAACAGUAAUUUGAUGUUGACUGUUAGUCAUUAUUCUGUUUCCGUUAAUUGUUCUAAAUCUACCUAAGAUCACAAAUUUUGGAAAUUUGGCCGAAGCAUUAGGGACCAAUUUCGCAUGCAGGUCAAACAUCCGGGGCUAAAAUUGCAUUUUUCCCUAAAACGAUUAUGAUCUCCUUGUAAUAGGCAUCAUAAUGAGAAAAAGAAAGUCAAGGCAACUGAUUGUUGGGUUCCAUAUAAGGAAAUCUUGAUUUACAGAUAUUUUAAUUUGGAAUUGUGAUUUCUUGGAUAAUUUAUUGAGCUUGUGUGACUUCUACUCAUGACAUGCUUCCAGGAAAAACUAAUCUUAUGGAUGUUUUUGUUUUCUCCGACUAAAUUACUUUGGCCUUGGUGAAGACCACAUUAAUCCUUCAAGCAAUUCCUUUAGUAGAUCUGGAAGGUCCUUGAACUUGUGAUAAGAACUAUACAGAUUUGAUGCUUGUUUUCAGGUGCACUGAUUAAUAUAGUACCUCUACAUCCUUUGAUUGCAGUGCUGGAAUUCAUGGUUUUGUCUUUGCUAAUCCAGGAGGACUAGAUCAUUGCUGCUAGUUAUCAAGUAUUCCCUCUGUUUUUAUAUAAAUGAGGCAGCAAUAUUUGCUUUGGUUUGAAAGGUGAUUGAUUUUGAUAGUGUUCCAUGAUAUCACCUACUUCUGGAAGGUGCUCUUAGGGGGACUGUAAAACUGAGAGCACUGGCCAAUCAUUGCAGAUUUUCUUCAAAGCACAUUUGAUUAUGCCAUAAUUUAGCUAUAACAGUGAUUUUUACUACUAAUGGUCCAUCAAAUAGUAGGACUAGGAUCUCAGAUUUGCUCUUAUAAAAAUGUGUGUAGCCUUGGUAUUAUUUUUUUGUUUAUUUGGUAGUCCUAACUCCUAACUCCUAAAGUUUCUUUAAAAUUGUCUUCUGCUGAAACAAAUAAAUACAUGAAUCUCCUCCUUGACUAUUUUAGGUGAAAGUCUAAGAACUUCCACAUGCUGGUUGAAGAAAUCACAGAAACCAGAAGAUUUUAUACUUAUUCAGCGGAAUGCACUCAAACAAUAAGUCUUUUGCUCCUUUGUAUGAUUUAUGCAGUGCUCAAAACACCCCAAAAAAGAAAUUAAAGAGUACUCUUUAAAUUUUGGAUUGCAUGCAAUUGCUUGAGCAAGUUUGCGAAGAUUUACUUAUCUUCUUGUUGUCUUAAAGUUAACAUGGAACUAGGCAUGUUAAAGAGAUGAAUCUGAAAUUUAGACAUACAAAUUUUUUUUUCCAAUUAUCACACCUAAAAAACCCUCAUGAAUAUGAAUGUUAGUUUAAUAAAAUUAGUCAUGCAUGUCAGAAUAAAAAUUCAUUUAAAAGUGUGUCAUGAAUUUGAAUGUUAGUUUAAUAAAAUUAGUCAUUCAUGUUAAAAUAAAAAUUCAUUUAAAAGUGUGUCAUGAAUUUGAAUGUUAGUUUAAUAAAAUUAGUCAUUCAUGUGAAAAUAAAAAUUUAUUUGAAAGUAUGUCUAGGAAGCCAUCCAAAUGGGUCACCAAUGAUUCUCCAGAUAAUUCUUCCGCUACUUCCAGGAUGCCUUAAAAAUCCAAUUUCCAAUCUUUGAAGAACUUCAGAACUCCACGGGAAGUACUCCGUCAACUUGUUUUGAUAUGUUUUGGCCAUCAGUAUUUGAAGAAUGGACCCCCUUAACUUCAUCAGUAAAAUCAAGAAAGAGAUCUCUUUUGCUUUUCAUUUUUAAAGUGAUAUCAACACAAAGCCCAUAGUCAGUCAAUACUAUAUCAUACAAGUAAGCACUUUUUGUAGUUUAUAUUUUUUGAAUGGGUCCUAGCAAACUAGUCUUGCAUUUGCAGUCUUGUUCGGGAGCUGCAAGAUGCUGAGUGGCCAUUCAAAAAGAAAAGAAAAAUAAAUGGUUGGGUGGCCAUUAAUUAUUAGCCAAAUUGAGAAAAUCAGGUCCCGGUAAAAAUGAGUCAAAUGUUCGUGUCUUUUAGGACACGCAAAAGAUGAAUAACUACUGUUCAAAUUCAACGAAACAAAGAUCACUUCCCUAAUUUUUUGAAAAGGAAACAUCUACACGAGAUUUCUGGGAAUAUUCUAGAAAUUUUCUCCCGUUGACUGAUUUAAAGAGUGAACAAUUAUGCUAUUCCUCGCUGCUACUGAUCAAGAUUGCCAUAUUAGUAUAAAACAAGACAGGUGAAGAAUGGUGGUUACUGAGUUUUACCAAGGGGACUUCUGCAAUUUAAUCAGGUAAGUCGUCUUACGAAUUCAACAGAGUUGCAAGGUUUUAGUUUCUUCCCAAUCUCUUCCGGUCGCCUUUUAUGUCGUUUAAAUUUGAACUGAUUUUGAUUUUCAAUUACCUCUAACUUAAGUUUUAAUUUUUGGGCAUACAACACUUUGUGCACUUCGCAAGUUUUUGAGUAGAUGUAAAUAAUACUUGAUUCUUAUUCUAUUGUAUGUUGCUACUAAAAAUGGUUAGAGACUAUUUAUGACAAGCGGAAAAGGCCAUGGACAACCCAUAAUUGCAGAAUAUCCAGUUCUUGUGAGGUGGUAUCCGUUAAAAUUGAUAGCUUGAUGCUGGGAUGGGAUGCAGAGCUAGGAUUAAAGGGUUAAUUAGUUGAAUUUUUACACUUGGAGAAUGUAUAUUUGUUGUGCGACAAAUGGCAAUGCUUGUCUGUAUGUAGAGUGUACGAGAUGAUUGUGGCUACAAUAGUGGUUUUUGUUGACUGAUUCUUUUGUUUUAUUCACAAUUUCAGUAUGUGUUUCUAGCGUACGACUGUAAUAUACUGUCAUUGAAGUCAUGGGCUUGAAUUCUCCGCGACUUCUUCAGAGAAGAAAAAGAUGUUUGAAGGAGAAGAAACCACUACGGAAGCACAAGACGAAUAAGCCAAUUACCUGAUGCAAUUCUGUGUCACAUGCUCUCCCUUCUUCCGACUAAAUUAGCAGCACAAACUGGGAUUCUAUCUAAACGAUGGAGGGACGUUUGGCUUUCAAUACCUGCUCUUGAAUUUCAGAUGCAUCUACGGGCAAAUUAUGAGGGUGAUAUGACUGCUUUUGAUAGCUUUGCAAAGCCUAAAAUUGAGAGUUUUACUAAUUUUCUGGAUCGGCUUUUUGCUAUUCGUGACACUUCAUCCAUUAAAAAGUUCAGAUUGGUGUUUGAUCAUCAGGUUGACUCUAGAUGCCUCAAUAAUUGGUUGUCUGCUUUGCAUAAUAUUCAAGAAAUUGAUCUCGAAUUAUUGGUGCAAAGGGAAUUCCCCUGGAGUCCUUUGGCGGAUAAAUUGCUGGAAAUCUUGAAACUGAGUUGCAUUAGUUUGCCCAACAUCCCAUCUUCUGUUUCUUUUCCACGUCUUAAGGUUCUUCAUCUUCAUUCAGCCACGUAUGUGGAUGAUGCAUCGGUUGAAAAGUUACUUUCUUCUUGUCCAGUCCUUGAGGAUUUGCAGAUAUCAAGGUGGCAGUGGGAUAACGUUAGGAAUUUUGUGAUUGCAGUCCCUUCAUUGAAAAGGUUGACUUUGGACUUCAGUACACCUGAGAUGGACUUAUAUGAUGGCGAUGAUUACGAAGAUGGUGUUGAGUACAAACUGAUAAUUACUGCACCAAAUUUGGAGUAUCUAAACCUGAUUGAUUAUAUGUCAGAUUCAAUUCAGGUCAGUUCCAUGACCAGAGUAACUGAAUCACGCCUUUCUGUUUACAAAAUCUUAACAUGUGUUCAGCGGACAGCCGAACAAACAAGUAAUUAUGAAAGCAAUGUGCGUGAAAUAUUUCGAAGCAUCCCAAAUGUCAAGCACCUAACAAUAGGCGAAUUUACCAUGAAUGUAAGCCAUGACUCAAAUUCCAAUCCUGCUUAUUGCUUUCUAAUUGUUAUACCAUCAAUUGCUUUCUUGGUCACAACUUAUAGCUGUCUUCAUACGUUUGCAGUCUUUGGGUGAAUCUCUUGAUAGCAGGCUGCCAGUGUUUCAGAACUUGGUCCACCUGGAGAUCAGUUUUUAUGUAGCGAACGGCGCUAUACUGCUGCCAAGUUUGCUCAAAAUCUCUCCUAAACUGGAAAGCCUUAUCUUGCCUCAGGUACAUUACAUAAGAGACUUGCACAAUUUUGAGAGAAAUAUGGUGAGCGUUGAGCACUCCUGUUUUCUUUUGACCAAAAGUUGAUUUGUUUGUAAUUUUUUUUCCCUAUGUCCUGGAUUUCAGGGGAUUACCAGUCCAAAUGUAAUCGGGUGGUUUAACCCUGAGGAGAAUCAAGUUAAGCCUCCGCAAGACGUACCUGAAUGCCUGCUAUUUCGCCUGAAAAAUGUGGAAAUUUCGCGAAUUACUGGAAGAGUAGAGGAAGAAGUGGAGGUGUUGAUAUAUCUUCUGGGAAAUGCAAUGGUUCUAGAGAAGAUGACGAUUUGGUACGAAGAAUAUUAUGUUUCCGGUGGACCGAUGGAUACUACUAAUUAUCCAACUGCUCGUCGGGUGCAGGAUCGUUUAUCUUUCACUGACAAAUUGAUGAACUGCACUAGGGGAUCUGCUGCUUGUCAACUUGACAUACAAAUGCCUGAACUACAACUCUGAGCUCUGAACUUGCGACAGAAUGUUGGUAUUGUAUUGUACAUAUCUGCACUUGUUUCUUGUGCAUUAGGAAGAAAGUGAAGAAUCUGUGCGUAAAUAAAUACUUAUAGUAUUCGAAUUUUAUAGGUAUCAGAUUUAUUUUUAAGAUUAUCCUACUCUAAAUGACAUACGACUUAUACAAUAGAUACAAACUAAAUAAUCACUCACCUAACUUUAGAAAUUCCCAUAUUUAUAUCCAUCACUCAAACAUGUAUUUUUUAAUAUCAUUUUGCAAGUGAGCUCUUAUUUUUGGAUCACUUUAUCCUCUUGAUAUUUUAAUUUUUCUCUAUAUAACACUCUUAGCCUUUUUUUUUCCUGUUAGUAUUGUCUUCUAUUAAAACAAAUUAAUACAUAAAUCUCCUCCCCAACUACUUUAAAGUGAAAGUCUAAGAACUGCCGCAUGCUGUUUGAAGAACCCCCAUGUUUUUAAACUCAUAUCGGACCGGGUGGUCCAAUCGGUCAAAUAAAAAAUUGGCCGGACAUCUGGUCCGAGUCAACUUAAAUAACAGCAUUUUCAAAAGUUCAGUCAAAAUCAUUCAAAGAUCAGGUUUGACCAGGCACUAGUGAAACCGAAACCUGGUUUUUCCAUUUUCAUAUAUUUUGAUGAUUUUUUCCCCUUCCCUUCCUUUGAUCUUUGGCUAGAGGCUAAAAACUAAUCUAAAAAGAGAAAAGAGCAAAAAUGGGAAGAGAAGAAAUUGAACUGCCAGAUGCAAUACUAAUUAUCCACUCCACGGGUAGAUUUCCCUUGUCAUCCGAAAAUGUGAGACUGAUAUGGAAUUUCUGGACCUUGUAUAGAUGGGUUAACCUUUUCGUAUCAGCGGCCUAAUUGGAUUAACUUCAGUAAGUCUACAUUGUCGUUUAAAGUUUGAUAAUGAAAAUCACUAUUGCUUUUGAAAUUUCCCACAGGCCUAAGAACAAUACCAGAAAACUCAGUAUCCAUAGCUACAUAAGGAUAGUCAUCCACAAUUUCUCGGAUAUAUGCAAACACUUCUUCAAGAUUAUCAUUCCAUAGCUCCCGAAUUUGAACUGAUUCAUUUGUAGGCAAAAGUGACACCUUUCUUUUUAACUGUUUCAAACAAAAUCUACGCAAAAUUUCUUUCAAAGAACCUAAUCAUCAGAGAUCCUUGAGAUUACCAGAACCUAUACCCAAUCUAUUGGACAACCCUCCAAUUCCAACAGAUCUACAAGAAAGUCAAAACCCAGAAAAAUCAGCCCAGAAAGCAACAAUUAAUCAAAACCUACAGAGCAUUGGCUAGGGGCUAAGAACUAAUCUUAAAAAAAAAAAAAAAACAAAAAUGGGAAUGUGAUAAAAGAAAAGAGAGAGUUAUGGUGUAGUCUAGAGGAAGAAGAAGAAGACAAAAUAAUAAUAAUAAUAAUAAUAAUAAUAAUAGAGAGCAAGUGACGGUUGCUCCUCCUUAUUCCUUGGCUGUUCCUUCACGUGAGUUUCCUUCUCAGAAGCCAUGAAUCAAAAUUAACUUAUAAAAACCAAAAGGCUUUAUCGGGACUCAAGAGAACAAGGCUUCCUAGGAAGAACAAGAAAUUGAAGGAUAGAUCAUACCAAGUAAGUGACGGCCCAACAAAGGAAACAACAAGUAUUAGGUUUAACAUUUAUUUGUUUUGAAUGCCCUAAAACUUUCUAAUAAUUGUGUUUCAGACUUUUAUAGUUUUAUUAAAAUGUAAAAUUAACCUAUCACAUUUUCCAAAUUACUUUAUUACUUAUGGCUUUUAAAACUAUUUAAGUAGAGUCCUUUUAGACUAAAUCUAAACUCAUAAAACAACUAUGUAAAGUUGUAAACCCCUAAAUUAUUUAAGAGGAACUUUUAUGUAUUAUUUUAAUUAUGCAUCAUUAAUAUAUAUUUAUGACGUAUUUAUAACGUCAUCCAAUUCAACUCCCAGUUGGACUCGAUCGAAUUCAUUGACCCCUGACCCCUGAGUUUGGCUAAGUCAAUACCUGGUCUGAGUCUGAAAACAUUAGAAGAAACUAGAGAAAUCGAAAGAUUUUAUACUUAUUCAAUGGAAUGCACUCGAACAACAAGUUGCUACUUUUUAUGAUUUAUACAAGCUUGGAAACACGAAAUAAGAAAUGAAAUAUUUAAAUUUUGGAUUGCAUUAAAUUGUUUGAGCAAUUUAAGGAGAUCUAUAUAUCUUCUGGUUACCUUGAAUUUAACAUGGGAUUAGAUAUAUUAAUGGGUUGGGUCUGGAUGGAUCUGUAUUGUUAGAUCUAGAUUUUAGACCUAUUAAAUUUUUUUCAUAACCACGUCUACACAAACUUUAUGAAUUUGAAAACUAGUUUAAAAUAAUUAGGGGUGUUAAUCGGGUUCUAUGAGUUGGACAUUGACAAAUUCAAGCUUAGUUCAAAAAAUAAAUAGGGCUUUCAAGCGUUCGAGUUCAUAAUAUAGACACACAUAUGCACUAGCCGGACCAUAAUCAGGAUUGAGUCUAAUAAAAUCCAAACUUGACUCACAUUUAUUUUGGGCAUAUUAUUUAGGCCCAAACUUUACUCAACCCUAAUAAACAUAAGGCUCCUUGGACUUUUUUGGGGCUAAACUAAAAAAAAUAAGUGAUAGUUUGGAUAUGUGUAAAGCCAUCCAAAUGGUCAUCCAUACUACUCAUACCAUAUUUUGUCUCUCUUUUACUAAUGGCAGAAAUUACAUCAUCAAAAGAUAUCAAAGGACAAAUCUGAAUUUGGUUGUACUUGUGGGGUUAGCUUAGGUGUAGCUUGUGAAAAUUCUUGCUAAAAAGAAAAAAUUGACCUGUUGGUGAGGUUUAAAGACUAGAGUGAAUGAGUGUUAUUUAGAACUUAGUAGAGGUUCCCUGCUCCCUUGCCCUGAGUCCCACAUCGAAUAGUUAGAGUGUGCGUGAGUUCCACUUAAAUUCCAUGGGUGCAACCAGAAGUCAGCAAUUGCCUUUUGGUUGUACUUGUGGGGUUAGUUUAGGUGUAGUUUGUGAAAAUUCUUGCUAAAAAAAAGGACAAAUCUGAAGAAUGGAUACUCUAGAUCUACAGAAAAUAAAAACUACACUAUACAGCUCUAAAAAAUAUUUUAAAAAUAAGAUAAAAUAGUUGUAAUCCCACGAAUAUUUGUGCUUGCUUUCAAUUACCAGAUCUACUAACUAUUUCAAAUCUAGAUAUUAUAGUGAAAUUCAUCAAAUAGACCCAAGAAUUCGAUAUCUAAUAAUUAGAAUAUGAAAAAAACUCAGAUUUAAUAAAGAAAAGGGGGAAAAAACUAUGUAAAAUUCUCACUAGAAAUUUCAAGCAAAAAAUAAAACUCUCACUAGAAAAAGAGAGAAGAAAACUCUCACUAAAUAACACUACAAAAGAAGAAACUCUCACUAAAAAAUCCUAGAAGAGAUUUUAUUUAGACAAACAAAAAGAAACAAUAUAGAGGAUUCCUCUUAUGGGGAAAGAUCAGAAAAAUCUGAUCUCUCUCCCAUGGGAGAGUUGGAGGAAGUUUUAAAACCUUCCACUCCUAUUUCCAAGCCAAUCUUCGGCCUCUCUUUAAAUUUGCUAUACCAUAUUUUCUCUCAAUGGCAUUUUUAGUACAAAGGAAUGAUAAAAUUCAAGUGAUAUAUAUUUUCCAUUUUCCCUUCCAAAAGGAGACUACUAAUAAUGUUGAAAAAUUAUGGAAGAAAAUGCAAAAACCAUUCUCACUCUUUCAAUUUGCAUAACUUGCAUUUUGCACUCACAUUACAGAUUCGUUUAUUGAAGUGACUAAAUCAAACUUGAUGAACAUUCAAUAACGGUACAACAUAAUUCAUUAAUUUCAGUAAAAUAUUUUCAUAACCACCAAAAAAGAGGGUAAAAAACAACCAAAAUGAUCCAACAAAGGGGUCAAUAGCUACUAGAGUACUAGUAAUAUUGUGGUAGGACAGGCGAAGAGAAACAUGUUAUUGCACUAGAUACAACAGAGGGGAUGAGAAAUCAAAAGUACUUAAAUUGGAGCUAAAUAAAAAACACUAGUAUACCAUUUUCAAGGGUUGAAUAUGCAAAUUAAAAUAAGGGUAACCAUUUUAUACAUUGUCAAUGUAUAAUUGUUUUUACACUAGUAAGGUUAUAACUAGGGCUGCAAACGAGUCGAGCCGAGUCGAGCUUUGAGCUAAUCGAGUCGAGCUUUAGCUAAAUUUUAUCAAGCUCGAGCUCGAGCUCGAGCUCGACGAGCUGGCAAUUUUCGAGCUCGAGCUCGAAAAAAAUAAAAAAAUUUUUUUUAUUUUUUAAAAAAAUAAAUAAAAUAAUAUUUUUUUCUGAAUAAAUAAUAAAAUAUUAAGGAUAUAUCCGUAAUUUCACUAUGAAAAUAAAAAAUAAAAAAAUAUAUAUAUAAUAUACGUAAUUUUAUUAUUAAAUAAAAAUAAAAAUAAAAUAUAUAUAUAUAUAUUCAAGCUCGCGAACCGGCUCGCGAGCUAACGAGCUUAAUAUUCUGAGCUCGAGUUCGAGCUCGAGUUUGACUCGAGCUCGACUCGAGCUCGAUUAAUGUCGAGCUCGACUCGAGCUUGACUCGAGCCGCUCGCGAGCGGCUCGCGAGCGGCUCGAUUCGUUUGCAGCCCUAGUUAUAACAUACCACAUAACUUGAGUUCAAAUUUGAAAUUCAAAUCAUGCGCAUGUGCUAACGAGCGCGGGAUAUACAUAUAACAAUUAACUCAUCCACCAUCAAGUUUUACAUUUAUAAUAUUUUAAAUACCCCACAAGUGAUUUUUCACAAGUAUACGAGUCGUUUAUUGAGUAUAAGGGUAUUAGGUGUCGAUCCUAUAGGGAAGAAUUUCAAUUACCGGUGAUUUUUGAAUUCCUUUAUUAUUUAGACUAUCACAAGCACAAGAAAUUAAAUUUACACUAUAAAAUUAACAAAAAUACAAUAGAAAGCUCCUAGAGGUAUGAAAUUUCUUACUACUCUUGCAAAUGACAUUACUGGUUAAGUGAAUGCUCCUAGAGUAAUUUUCUAAUAUAUGUGAAAGCUCCUAGAGUAAUUUUCUAAUAUAUGUGAAACCGACUCUUGUAGUGAAUUAACUUACUUGUAAUUAAAUCAUACAUACUCUCUUGGUUAUGAAAUUAACUACAAAUUCAUUUCUUUCAUGAAAUUACAUGAAACAAGUCACCAAAACCACAUUGGUGCUCCUCUACUCUCGUGAGUAAACUCCCUAGAUUUAUCACUUUCUUGAACUAAUGGUAAAUUCUAAUUCUCAUUGCAAACUUAACACCUUAAGAUUGUCACAAUUAAUGACUGGUUAAUCAUGAGUAGCUAAACAAAAGUGAUAAAUAACUUGUUCAAAAUAAUAGCACCAAAUAACCAAAUAAACAUCACUAACAAGAUAUAGCAAGUUCAUCCACACUCUAGACAGAAACUUUAGAAACACAAAUCCAAAACUUACAUAUUAACCAUAUUUAAGAAUCCAAUACAAAAGAUAAAGAGUUGGAAAAGAGAUAACUCUUGUCACAUGAGUUUCAACCCCUCCUUUUUCAUCCUAAUCUAGUCAAUACACAAGAGUGGGUAAUACACAUAACUAUCUAAACUAUUCUAUACUAUACUAACCUAACUAAUGAACUAAGGAAAUUCUAAUGAAGACUACAUUUUUGGUAAGUUUCUCUAGCCUUUCAAAGUUUUAAAAUGGUCUCCAAAGGCUGCUAUUUAUAGAGAAUUCAACUCAAGGUGAGUUGUUUCUUGGUUGGCAAAGUUGGCUUUUGAACUCACCAAGAGUUGUUCUCUAAAUUUUCACACUCUUCUUGGUCAGAUACAGCCGAAUUCUGAGUUGUAGAUGAGUCAGAAAAGUUGUGUAAAUGCAAAACAAGUUGUAGAGCAAGUUGCAGCAGAAAAACUAGAAUAUGCAACCUCAAAUACGCUACCUUACGUUGCGUAUUGCAUCUCACAUAUUGCCUUUUGUAGGUUUGCGCUUUUUGGGCAGAAUUCAUCUUUGCUCUGUUUUUUGUCCAAUUUCAACUGAUAUUUUCUCAAUGAUGAAAGUCGAACUAACUCUUGUACGAACAUAAAAGUUGUAGGACUUGAGUUAGCUUUCCAAUGCCUUAAGAAUUAUCCAAUUUGGAGCUCUGUGGACCGAUAAAUGACCAAAAUAGCCUCGAAUGGUUAGAACUCUGUUUCAGCUUUCGACCAUGAAAAUGUACUUUGGUAUUUUGAUAUUUUGACUAAGACAAUGACCAAACUGGACUUUGAUAUCUUCAUAGAAAAUGGAGUUCUAUCUCUUAAUUUCAAAAUGGUGUAUGAAUUACCUCAAUCUGAUACUUGUAACUCAAGAUAUAGCCAAAACACCACAGGGUAUCAAAGCUGUGAAACUUCCUUCUUGUAUACUAAGUUGCAUUUCAUCUCUUGCACUUCAUAUUCUCUUUUUAUCAUUUCAAACCAUCAUCAAUCAUCCAAUUAUCUUUUCAACUCACUCCAUUUGAUGAUUGAAUUUUUAAACCUACAAAAAUAAGAAGUUUUCACUAUUAAAAUCCAUAAAAAUAUAAUUUUUAACACUUAAAUCACAAAAUGCAUAUUUUCACUGACAACUUAGUUCAGUAGCUAUAAAAGUAAUUAAAACAUACCAAAACUAAUUAAUAAAACACACUAAAAACAUAUAAAAUACACACUUAUAAAACUCUCCCAUAUUUAAACCAUUACUUAUUCUCAAGCAAUAAAAAUUACAAACCGACAAUGAUCCAACAUUUUGAAAAUAAACAUAUGUGCACAAUUCAACUUCAUUUCCUAAAAAUAAGGUAAAUAACCAUUAUACAAUCACUCCAUUAAGCUCAAGUACUCAUAAUAUCAAGUAAAGAAGAGCCAAUUAUACCAUAAUUGUAACUAGUUCACGUCAAUUUCUCAUCCUUAUCCAAUUCCACAAGCAAGUAACUCAUAUGGUCAAUAAAAUAUUUCUAAACCCAUGAUCAUCUUUUUAUUCAAACUUAAAGAGAGAUUUAUUCAUAUAACAUAGCUAAAUAUUACUCAAGUUAUGAAAGUGCCUUUUUACGAGAAAAUCGAUAUUUUUAGAUGAAAAUUGCCGGUUACUCAACACUUUACAUACUGAAGUUGUGUUGCAUACUGUUAAUUUAAGUACCAUUUUACGCAAAAGUCGACAUUUGUAGAAGAAAACUCUCAGUUAUUAAGUACAAGAACCAUUGGAGUAGAACAACUUUUAUUCUCGUUUUUCUUUUUUUUUCUUCUCCUUUUUUUCAAAGUAAAGAUAAUAAUCAUUCCCUCAAAAGAAUAAUCAUGAGAAGAGUGUUACACUUAUUGACUAAAUUAAUCACUUAACUAUGUAAAAUCAAGUAAAGAGAAGAAAUUUCAUCAAUUUGCAAAAUUUAGGCAUAAUUAUCUCUACUUUGCAAGAUAUACUUUCCUAUAAAUACAUAAAUUAUAAUCAAAUAAUAAUUAUUUUCAAGUUAAAUAAGAAAAGAAGUUUUCAAGUCACAUAUAUUUAUCUCAAAAGUAGAAAGAAUUUGAAUUACUGAUGGUAUGAAACUUGUUACCCCUUGGAUAAAAUUGAAAAAAAUUUGAAAUCUUUUGAUGCAAAUUUGUAAUUUUGGAAAAAAUUUGGCAGAGUUUUCCCUUAAAACUGGACGAAACUCCCUACCAACAAAUCCAAUUUUGAACAAAUUAAAAAACAAGAAAUAUUUCCAAGGCAAAUCUAAAUCAUUUCCAUCACAAGUCAAUCACAACCAACAUAUAUAAUAUCAAUUCUCCCUCCUCCCCCGCAACACUUAAAAUACACAUUGUCCGCAAUGUGUAAAAAGGGAAACUAAGAUAAAAAAAAAAAAAAAGAAUACUCCCAUAUAGUUGUGAUUGAAAUGUGUAACAUUGAAUCUUCACAAUCCAUUGUCCGUGUUUCUUCAAAGUUUCAUGAGUUCCAUUGGAAUCCAUUAGUAAUACAACCUAAAAUGCAAAAUAGCAAAUAAACUAGGUAAGGGUCAAUGAUGCAAAAAGGUGACAAAGGCAUGAAGAAAAUUUUGCAAAUAACUCUUUGCCAAAGUCUCUCACAUCAUCACACCACAUUUCCCAAACUCUUUAAACAUUUAGCACAAUUAUCAAGAAUAUUUAGCACAUUUUUUCUAUAGGUAAUUAUAACAUCACCAUAUAAUAACGAAAUUAGGAGCAAAACUCAAUCUAAGAACAUACAUUAUGCACAUGUUCAAUUUUACCCUUAAAUUAUCACCAAAAUUGCUAAAUUCUUCACAUAUUUAAAAUUCAUUAUCCAAUCAUACUCUAUAUGAAGAUUAAGCAAUUAAAUAGUCUAAAAUUCACCGUAUAAUGAAUGUGUACAUGUAAGCAUCAUAAACACGUCACAUUUUAGCAAUUUCAACCAUCCAAUUAUGUUUAACAACAUUUCAAGACCAAGUACCUCAUUGAUCAUAAAAUAGGAAAGUACAUAAAGUGAAAUAUUGCAUAAAUCACCACAUUCCCACAUUUGAUCAUCUAAACAUGCUUAGAGAUGUUACAUAAGCAUAAGGGAGCUUAUAUGCAUCAACAAAUAACAUCACCAAUUCACCAUUCAAAGUGUAUCAAUAAAACUCUACAAGAUAUGUAAAUAGUAAAUAUUAACAUACGAAAUUAAGUUCAAGAAAUUUACCUCAAGUUGGUAGAGUGAUGUUUGGUGAUGUAAAUAAUGCAAAAAUCCUAUGAAAUUCACCCCAAUUAACCUCCAAUUGCUUGAAAUAGAAACUAUGAAUCCUAACCUUCAAUCGAUUUUUGAGAUGUUUUUCUUGAAUUCUAAUCGGUUAAAAUGACUCUAUGAAGGUCAAAUGAUGUUUGUUGGAUGAUUUCUUGCAAGAAAAUGGUGUAUAAGAGGAAAUUGGUGAAGUGUGUGUGAGAAAAUAUGAGGAGAAGAAAAAGAAGAGCAUGAACAAGGAACCUGCGUUUUUCUUUAAAAAAGCUAAAAAUGCGAGUUCAUAAAAUGCAGCCUUGAAGUCGCGUUUUUACGAUUCGUGUUUUCUGAUGUAAUUUUGCUAGACCAAAUACGUGACUUCUGAAAACGCGACUUUAAGUCGCAUUUUGAAGCUUGCAUUUUCUUCUUUAUUUUUGCAGAAUGGAAUACACGACUUGAGAUCACAUAUUUAUGAGCUUACGUUUUCUUCACUCUAUAGUGUUGCUGCAAAAAUUUCUGAACUUUUCAAAAAUUAUGCUUUUAUCCCAAUUACUCAAAAUGCAUCCUAGAUCAUUUUUUUGCCAAAAUAAUCAAUACACGCACAUGUAAAAUGAUCAAAAACAUGUAUUCUACCCCUUCAUAACGAAUCAAAAACAGCAUUUGCUCAAAUUGAGGGGUGGAGUUUCUUGAUCAAACUUCGCCUUUUUCACCUCAAAGGGUCACAUUUGCUUCUAUUUCCCAAACUUACAAAUAAAAACAACAAAACAAUUUAAACACAUGAUUUAAACAUAAAAUCACACCAAAUUAACCUAAAUUACCAAAAUAUUGGGUUGCCUCCCAAUUAGCGCUUUUGGUUAUAGUCGUUGGUUCGACUAUUGAAGCUCAUUUUUCAAGAAGGUUUGGUUAAUGAAUAAUCCAUCAUUUUAGGUCGUGGUGGAUCAUUAAAAUGUGACUUUAUGACAAAAGCAACAUAAUCAAAUGAUAAGAGAGAUGAAAGUGAUUUACCUAUCUCAAGUGAUUCAUAGAUAUUACCUUGAAUGUGUAUCACUUAAGAACGCACCAAAGGAACGUCCGCGUGGCUUUCUUGGGGAAUAAUACCUUUAAAAUCUAUACUCUCAAUACAUUCCUCAAGAGGGGUGAAAAAUGAGUCGUUAAGUCUCACCUCUUGAGGUUUAAGAUUUGCUCCAAAGGUACUAUCAUGUGAAAUGGAUAUUUUCUUAUUGAAACACAAUUGAGAUUCAUCAUUUUCAUCAAAAUAUAAUCCAUUUUCACAUACAACAUUCCUACCAUUCAUGCUAGGGUCAUUUUGCAUAUCAUCAGAAGAAAUAACUUCACAUAACGCAUGCAAUUGUUCAUGUAAUCUACCAAAAUGAGAAACUAAUUUAUCUAACCUUUCUUUAAUUCUAGCAAAACAAUCAAAGGUUGCAUUAGCUAACUUUUCUAUAGCUAAAUCAAAGUGAUUAGAGAAUUUUUCUAUGGUUAGCUCCUAAGAUGGUUUAGAAUCAUUAGCUAAUGGUUCAUUUUCUAAUUCCCAAGAUAAAGAUGCAUUAGAUAACAUUUCUACUGCCAAUUCCCAAGAUGGUUUAGAUUCAUAUUGGACACAUUCAGGUUGGUAAUCAUAAGAACAUGGAGAAGCAAUAUUAACACUAUGAUUAUCCUAACCAUAUGCAUAAGAAUUGCCCCAACUAGAGUUGUUUUGAUCAAAACAAAAAUUAUAAUGCCCAAAUUCAUCAUAAUAAUCCACAUUUUAUACUUGCAUACAUUCAUAAGUAGUAUGAUACCCUCUACACAAGUCAUAAAUCACAUGAUAAGAAUUGAAAGCAUUGUCAUUUCUCUUUUGUUCAAGCAUGUUUGUUAUAGUGUCCAAUUGAAUUUUUAAUGUAAUAACAUCAAGUUUAGCCUUUAUACUUUUUAAACCGUUUUCAAAUGAUAUACCUUCGGUAAUUUCUCGAUUACCUCUAUUCAAGAACUUUGCCCGUGGUAACAAUUUAUUGUCGAUCUUCCACUUCUCAAGCAUUGUUCGCCCAUAAUUCCUACUCUUCUAGAGUUCCUAAACAUGUUUUCAAAGUAACUCAAAAACAUAUUUAGUCAAGAAGAAUAGAUGACUCAACAUAUAUAAAAUAUUCAAAUAAAGACUCAACUAGACACUAAACAUAACAAACAAGACACUAGACACAACAAAAACAUGAAAAACAAGUAAAAAUAUUGAGCAAAUCCACCCCAACAACGACGCCAAAAACUUGAUGAACGCGAGGUAUACAUAUAACAAUUAGCUUCCCACAGUCAAGUUUUACAUUUAUAAAAUCUUAAAUAUGCACACGUGAUUUUUCGCAAAUAUACGGGUUGUUUAUUGAGCAUAGGGGUAUUAGGUGUCGAUCCCACAGGGAAAAGUUUCAAUUAUCAGUGAUUUUCGAACUCCUUUAUUAUUUAAACUAUCACAAGUACAAGAAAUUAAAUCUACACUAUAAAAGUAACAAAAUACAAUAGAAAUCUCCUAGAGGUAUGGAAUUCCGUACUACUCUUGCAAAUGACAUUACCGAUUAAGUGAAUGCAUUAUCUUGGCUAAUUAUGGCAUAAUUUCCUAAUGUAUGCGAAACCUACUCUCGUAGUGAAUCAACUAUACUUGUAAUUAAGCCAUACCUACUCUCAUGGUUAUGAAAUUAACUACAAACUCAUUUUUUCUAUGAAAUUACAAGAAACAAGUCACCAAAGUCACAUAGGUGUUCCUCUACUCUCAUGAGUGAACUCUCUAGAUUUAUCACUUCCUUGAACUAGUGUUAAAUUUCAAUUCUCAUUGUAAAAUUAACAUCUUAAGAUUAUGCCAAUUAAUGGCCAGUUAAUCAUGAUUAGUUAAACAAAAGUGAUAAAUAACUUGUUUAAAAUAAUAUCACCAAAUAGUCAAGUAAAUAUUACUAAUAAGAUAUAACAAGUUCAUCCAUACUCUAGGCAUAAACUUUAGAAACACAUAAUGAAACACAAAUCCAAAACAUGUAUAUUAACCAUACUUAAGAAUCCAAUACAAAAGAUAAAGAGUUGGAGAAAAGAUAACACUUGUCACAUGAGUUUCAACCCCUCUUUCUUCAUCUCCAUCUUCAUUCUAAUCUAGCCAAUACACAAGGUGGAUAACACACAUAACUAGCUAAAGUAUUCUAUACUGUACUAACCUAACUAAUGAAUUAUGGAAAUUCUAAUGAAAACUACAUUUUUGAUGAGUUUCUCUAGCCUUCUAAAGUUUUUAAAAUGGUCUCCAAAGGCUGCUAUUUAUAGAGAAUUCAAGUUCAAAGUAAGUUGUUUCUUGAUUGGCAAAGUUGGCUUUUGAAUUCACCAAGAGUUAUUCUCCAAGUUUCCACACUCUUCUUGGUUAGAUAUAGUCGAAAGUCUGAGUUGUAGAUGAAUCGAAAAGGUUGUGUGAAUGCAAAGCAAGUUGCAACAGAAACCUAGAAUACGCGACCUAUUGUAUCCCACGUAUUACCUUUUGCAAGUUUGCACUUUUUGAGCAGAAUUCAUCAUUUCUCUGUUUUUUUUAUCAAACUUCAACUAAUGUUUUUGAGGAGGUUGUGAACCCCAGUUGAUAUUUUGGGUGGUUGUGAAUUCUAAAUAAAUUUUGGGGAGGUUGAACCCCAGUUUAUGUCUUUCUUAACAUAUGUACCCUUAGGAGGUUAGCUUUUGUUCGUAUUGAAUGUUUUGAAAAUCCAAAUUAUGUUUUGAUCUUAAGGCAAUUGGUGUGUUGAGAUUGAGCAAGUUGUGCACGCAAAUAUGCAAGAGAUGAUAAGAAUGGUAUAUUGUCAAAAAUCGUAGCAGUUUGUUUUCCUUUGUUUACUUGGUUAAACUUGAACAUUGUCGAACUUUAUUAUUCAUUUUUAAGUUUGCUAAUUUUUUGGAAACUCGUUUUAGUAGUUGUACAUGUCUUGUUUAAUAGAAAAAAGACAUGUUUUGUGUUCAAAAUACUAUGGGCACACACGAUUUUUAUUAGGCUUAUGAGCUUACAGUUUUGUUUUUGUUUUUGUUUUUGUUGUUUGAAAAAAAAAAUUUAGAUGUAUAGGAUAACUGAGUUCGAUUGAGACAAUCUGGUCUGUUAGGUCUCGAAAGUGUUAUUAAAAAUUAAUUGGACAAGAAAUAUCAACAUAUUGUACUUUUUUUUUUUUAAAGUCAAAAGUAUCGCCUUAGUUAUUGUUACCAAUUAAGUACGGCAAACACUUUUUCUCAUAUUUUGAGACUAAGUUGUCUAAAGUGUUUUUAAACACUUUUUUCCAAAUGAGCCUAAGAAUUUCUUAGGCUCAUUUGGAGCUGCCAUACUUUUGCUCAGAAAAUGUGUUUUUGGAGGAUAAAAGCACUUUUAAAUUAUUUGGUGAGCAUAAAUUCUUGAAUUAAAGAGGUAGAGCUUUUGACUAUUAAAACACUUUUUGCAUAAACUCAAAAUUGCUUCUUUUAGAGCAAUCUUUAUGUUUCAAAUGAAAAUUAAAGUUAUUUUAACGAUUCAAAGCUAGCCCUAUUUUUGUAUAGAAUUAUUAUUUAGCUAUUUCACUUUUCUAAAAUUAAAAUUGACCUCUAGUUUAUCUAUGAAUUCCAAAAUUGCCAAAUAAUUUUCUUUUUUCUUUUUUUUUGAAGAAACCAUUUUUUAAACUAAAAUAAUUGCACAAGUUCAAAUUUUAUAACUUCUAGUACUUUUUUUUUUUCAAUGUAUAGCUAUAUUCGUCUUAUCGUAUUAGAAUUUAAAAAUCAAGGAUUAAAAAACUUGAUUAGUUAUGGUGAAUAAAGGUGUGCUUUUGCGGGAUUGCUUUGGGGACCUUGGGCUGCACAAAGAUAGAAGAACAAAUUUGAAAAAUUAGUAACGCCAUAUUAACCACUAUGUAGUCCAAACAUUUUGUUAAAAUUUUGGAGCAGCAAAUGUUUUAAAAUACAUAGGUAUUUUUUAAAAUUUUAAGGAGAGAAAAACAUAAUUAUCUAAACUUGGGGGAGGGAGGGCAAAUGCACCUCCCCAUCCACCACCACCAACCCCCCCACCCCAAAAAAAAUCCAUCCAUAAAUGGUCCAAUAGAUCAGUCCAACAUUAAGCAAUGAUUCAUCCCCCAAACAGAAAGAUAGAAAAACAUAGCAUAAACUCUUGCAAAUGUGUGCAUUUGUGGGAGGUUUAAUCUUCAUAAGCUGAAGACAACACUUUCCAGUCUAACAACAUAACAAGUUUCAAAUUUUAUGAACAACCUAGGAAAACUAAUAUCCAUAAAGACUCCAGCCUUCACAGCAAGUGAAGACGAGUAAAGUCCAAAUAAGUAUAAUGUUUCACUGGCAGUGACAGUUCCGUGUCAUCAUAUGGAACACUUGACUGGUUCACAGCUAUGAGCAGGUUGAUUUAAACAUCAAGGAUGUCCACAGGAAUAACUAAUAAUGUCACAGUUGAUCUAUGAUAUUGGAGUAACCAUUUUAAGGGCCGUUAAAGCUGAGAACACCAUUUAAUAGAGAAUACCAUUUAAUGGAUUCUAGCCAAUGUCAGUUACAAUUAAGCUACAAAUACAAGAGUGAAACAGUAGCAAUCAUACUUUGUUUUGUGAAAGAGAAUACCAUUUAAUAGCCUGAUGCAACUUAUAAGCAAGCCAAAGAAUGCUAAAAAAAAUUCACCAUAACUAAUGCUUCAAUUGAAUGGGAAAAGAGCAUAAGUGGAACAUAAACAACUAAAUGAGGGAAUCAAAUCUACUCACCAAGCAUUAUCAAACAGGAAAUAGUUGAUGAGGGCUUACCACAGCUCCAAUACAUAGAUGGCUUGGUACUUUCUUGACUUCCCAAGUUUCCCCGCGACCAGACUAAUUUCAAAACUACCCGGCACAACCUGAUGCAAAAUGAUCAUAAGGAUUCAUAUGUAACCCAUUAAGAGAUGUUAAAAGGGUAUAUUUGCGUGAUGUACAUAAUACAUUUGGCCAAUUUAUUUUCUUGCAUAUUUAACAAAGCCCAAUUGUAAACUGUGUUACUUCCAAUACACGAACCAUUUCUUAACUUCGUUAAAAGCUCCCCCAAGAUAACAUGUAUAAUGUGGUUUGAUACCAUGUUGAACCCAAAUGUCAUUUAAUCAUGUUGAAAAAAUGAAUCAGUAAGCAAACCAUAUCCCAGAAAGCUACCAAGAAAAAUGUGCUAGUACUUCUAGUAAUAGGGAAAAUGAAAUUGUGUUGAAAAAAAAUACAAGUUGAUACAUUUGCAAGAAAGAAACCAGCAUAAUAAGGCAUCAUCAGUUUUUCUAGGUUAAAUAUUAUAAUGUAAAACAAGAAUGAUUAGAGUUGCGAAAUGACAAGGCAACUGGCUUGACAGCAAAUUUCAUAAAGAAAAACAUACCAAGAUAGGCACCAAAUGAGUAUGUAGAUUUAAGUGAUACAUGAAAAGUCCAAUCAAGGGAAGCAAGAUCCAAAAUGUAGAAGUCAAACUGUAUAAUGAAGUCACAAGUAAUGAGGGUAAAGGCAAGAAAACAAAUACUAGCUCAAAAUCACUUACAUCGAUAUCUUCUUCUUUGACCGAGUACUUUUUGAAAGUGUCCAAAGCUCCUCCAACAGUGGCUUUGUGACAAUUUCAUUGAAGCGAGCCACCACCUUUACACACAAAAGAAGACAAUCUCCAAAAUAAAAAAAUAAUCAAAAAAAUGCUUCACAACUCAAAAGAAAACCACAUGGAAGUCAAAACAGUGCCUUAGGUCAUUUCUCUUUGACAAACUCAAGUUGGAUACCAUACAACAAGAAUCAUCUAUAUUUUACAAGCCUGCAUUCUACUAAAUCUAUUGCAUCUUAUAUAGAACACCUAGUUAUCAUUAGAUGGCUCAAAACUGGGAUUGACCCUAAAAAUAUGGAAGUUUAACACUAGGAAUGAUAUUCUUAUUGAUUUUUGGGAAGUUGGACAUUACAUUCUACUGAAUUCUAAAAUGAACUCUAUCCAUACUCGGAAGCAGUCGGCCUAUGUUGUGGAUUGACUUAAUUUUGAUUCCAUAGGCAAGAUUUCCAUAUGAAUUGUAAAAGGAAUUUUGAGUGAGAGUGAUAUAUAGAUUUGCUACUUAAAAGAUGAAAACCUAGAUUGUGGAGUGAUUAUGGUGCCAUUCAAUAUUCUCAGGAUUUGGCUAAUUGUCACAAUGUGUUGACAUGUGAAAACAUGUCAUGUGUGAAUAUUCAUUUGAUUUCAGACUUUAGUUUUAGGGUGUAGGUUUUUUUUGACUGAUGGUAGAUGUCUUUUAGUAUGGAUCUGCUUUUUCUCGGUAUGGUUUUGCUAGUAAUAUAAGGUUUUGGGAAGCAAAUGAAAAUUUUAUAUUUGCGCUCUGUUUUCAAGUACUUUGAUAAGCUCUUUGGGCUAGGAAGCCUUUAAGGUCAUCAACUUAAUGGAUAACAGAGAAUCACCUACUUUUAAGAGCAUAAUCGAAAAUCUUAGAAAGUUUUGGGGGUUUAGUCAUUAAUGACAUGGUUAACUGCCUGUUUGCUAAGUUCUCAAGUAUUCGUGGUUUCAAAGAGGUUUUGUCCAACUUCCUAGAUUGGAACUGGCAACUUUCGGAUACUCUUCAAUCCUGAAUAUGUCACUUUCAUUAAAAAGUAAGACUAGCUUACUAAGACAGGGAGUUUGAGAAAGAGGAAGGUUGAUACAGCUGAAAGGAUAGUAGGUCAGGGAUUGUAGAGCUAUACAGUUUUUGCUUGUUAUAAAAUUCUACUGGUUUUGGAAUCUAAAACUUCAAUUUAUCCAGCUGCUGAGUUCUCAUUAAAUUUUCGCGUUGGAUUUUGACAACUUGAGAAUAAGUCUACCAUACUGAAUAUGCUUAGGGAAAAUAUUCGAGGGAAAAUGUACAUAGCUUUUUGAUGGGAAAUUAUUCUCUACCGCUACACUUCCUAUUAAUGGAGGGUUCUUGUAAUCUAAACUUGCUUCAGAUUGCUACUUUUUUCAAGAAAAUGACAAUUUUCCUGGACAACAACAUGGACAUGAUUUCUCCGCCCAAAUUAAGUGUCUUGCCGUUUAGAUUUCAACCAUAUGUGCUUCAGUUGGUAUAAAAGAGGUUGCAGUAUUGUAGAUAACCGUUUUUCAUAUCCAGACUUAAGUCAUGAGGUUUUUCAUGCGCUAGGGGCCUUGACCAUUCUUUGAUGCUAAUAUCAGCCUGAGUCCUGUCACGCCCUAGGCCCUUAGGCCCAAGAUGCGACCUGAAUUUCAGCAAACAAGUUCAACUAUUUGGUUUUCGUUCUCACCGGUCCAAAAUAGAUAUUUUAAAUUAGAUUCGAAUGCUCACACUCUAUUUGUGUAUUGCAUUAGUUUAUCGCACUAACUUAUUCGACGUGAGAUGGGAUAUUACAUUUAUCCCUCUUUUUUAGGCUUUGCGUCCUCUAACCCAAUCUCAUUUCGUAUAGAGGUUACGUGAGAUUCGCUCUAAUGCCAUAAUAUCACACCAAGACCAGAUCUCAGUAGCCAAGUCCAACUAUUUAGACUCCAUCCUUGUUAGCUCAAAGCAAAUAUUUUAAGUUGGAUUUGAAUGCUCAAAUCCUACCUCCGUGAUAAGCUUAUUCUACACACACACAUAUAUGCCAAAAAAUUAUAAAGCUUACCCUAUAAUGUAAAAGUGGAAAUGAAUAUAUAAACAGUAAUGAACAGUUGCAGUUGGAGUCUUUUGGUGUUGCCUGGGUUGGGCUUCUUUGGAGAUCGGUGAUGCCCAUGUGGAGCGGUGGGCAUGUGUAUACAUAAAAUCGCUACAUAAUCUUUUUUCUAAUUUUCUUUUUCAAUCUAAAUUACUCAUUUCUCACAGUAUGAGAUGCCUGCAUUUUUUUUAAUGUCAAAUCGUUACAUAAUCAUCUCCUUCAUACCUUUUUUUUUCUUCCGACCUAAAUCUUUUGCCUUCAUAUUUGCAACUUGUCCAGAAUAUAAAAGGCAAAAAGAUUCGCCCUUACACCUUUAGGAUGUCGAUCUCAAGUUUUGAAAUUAAUAUAAACAACAUGAGUGUUUUUCCAAACCACAAGUAAGGAAAUGCUCAAAGGUCUUGUAUGUCCAAAAAAAUUUGUUUGAUUGGGACAGCUAAAAUUGCUCGAAGGUCUUGCAUGUCCCAAAAAAAAAAAAAUCUAUAGCCAUGUUUGCACAUCUUGAUGACUUGAUUCUAUUGCCUCCGUUUGUGAUUUAGCUUUGCGUUUGGGGUUGGUUUUUCUUGGUACAAAAGUUGGUUUUAGUGCCUAGCGAGCGUCAAAUAUCUCAAUUUUUAUGACUUUUUUUUCAAGUUUUAUAAAUUUAAUCUUUUCUAUUUCAUAGAAACUAUUUUAUGCUACGUAUACAAAAGAGGAAUUUGUAUUUUGAAUAAAAAUUAUGUGUCAUGCAUCCAAACCUACUAAUGCAAAAAAAACAAAAAAAAAUCCACUAAACAUAACCCUAUUUAGGAAUACGUGUGACUCGAGGAUUAUAAUUCUAUUUAUAGAUAACUUUCCUAUUAUUUUUUAGAUUCCUAUUUCAACCCAUCAUAGAAAUAUAAAUUACCCUUAAAUAAAGAACCACAUCCUAUUAGAUACAUUAAAGUUCAAAGUAUGAUUGAUCAUUUUAAUUGAAUUUAAUCUUAUUUAACAAUCUAAGUUCAACGUUGGCUUAAAGAAGCAAUAAUUAAUGCUAUAUUAAGAAUGUUAGAUAACCUGAUUUCAAAGGUCUUGUUUCUCCGUACAGUGAGGAAAAAACACACACACAAACAUGACACAGCAGCAAAAUAACGAAUCGAGGUACCAGACGCAUGGCGUCCGGGCAGGCAAAACUAGUCUAUCUAUCAUUAUGCUGAAAGAAAGUGUGAGUUGCCUUAUGAACAGUGAAUGUGGACUGGUUAUUAGGGGUGGCAAUUCCUGACACAACCCGAAACACGACACGAACCUAACACGAAAUUAAUGGGUUUGGGUUGAGGUUUCGGGAGUUCGGGUCAGAAUCGGUCGACCCGAUGAACCCGAAAAGAAAACAGGUCAAUUUCGGGUCAACCCAUAGUGACCUGAUAUGACCCGAUGUGACCCGUUUACGAAUUAAAACUAAUUUAAUAAACAUAAAAAUUAUUUUAUCUAACUGAACUAAAUGAUUCUUUUUUUUCCAAAGGCAUUAAUUACUUAAUCCUAAAUGAAUUUAUUUAACUUGUGUGAAGUUAAAAUUAUUAUAUUUGGUUUGGGAUAAAACACUUUUAUGGUGUUUAAUUUAUUUUAGAUUUGGUUUGAAAUUAUUUAUUUAAAUUUUUAUUACUUGAUGAUGUAAUUAAUUUUGUGAAAAAUUGAUUUUAUUAGAAAUUAUAGUGAUAAAUUAAUAAAUUAAAAUUAAGUUUCGGGUCAUUUCGGGUCGACCCGCCAACCCGAAAUUUCGAGUUCGUGUCAGGUAUCCUGACCCAUUUUGGAUUUGACGGGUCGGGUUCGGUCAACAGAUUCUUUGUUUACACUUAAGCCGCAACCCGAACCCGACCGAUUGCCACCCCUACUGAUUAUGGCAUAAUUCCAGCAACUUGGUGGUCCUUUUGUUUUGUUAGCUACGCGUGAACUUCUUGGAAAUUGGUCCAGCCAUCUGUGCACCCUUGGAUUGCUUCCAAUUCAAAAUUUGACCAUCGAUCAUCAUUUAGGAACGUUAGGUGCUAGAGUUGAAACGGUGGAUGGUGGUCGUACGAAGAAGUUCUAGUGGGGGGACCUUGCUGCCUACGACUGAUUUUGAUGCAUCACGAAGAAGUUAAAGUGGGGGGACCUUGCUGCCGACUGAUUUUGAUGCAUCACGAAGAUGUUAAAGUGGGGGACCUUGUUGCCGAGUGAUUUUGAUGCAUGCAUGCAUUCCUUCAGACUGGGUUAAUGAAGGCAGCACGUACGUUCUUGGUAAUGAGUAUAGCUUUUUAUUGAUUUCUUGUUUUCCUCAGUAUACUGGUUGGACCCGUGUCCUCCUAGGAGGGGAUCGUCUUCAAAGGUAAGUUUCUUUUUUUCUUCCCUACUGAUUUCUUGCCUUCCUUAAUGUACUGGUUAGAACCGUUCGUUUGUGAUUUAGCUUUAUAUCAUAGUUGCGCCCUGGGUGUACCAUGUGUUUGUAAUAUUGUCCAUGUGAUUGUUAUUUUAUCUUGAGAUGUUCGGUUUGCUGCUGCUGCUGUGUUAAGCCGGAGUUAGUGAAUUUGGACUGCCCCGUUCAGUUCACUGAACGGUGAAGGGACAAUGCUUAGUUGGCCUUUACCCAUUAGUUGUUUUCAAUGUGAUGUCACGUACUGAUGAGAAAGAUAUGAACAAAUGUACAGGACAAGUUGGUCUACCACUAAAUAAGUGUAUUUUUUUUUUUGUCGAUACGAUAUCUUCUCACGCUAUAAGAAUGGAAGGGUUUGAAGAGAUCCAAGGGUAACUUAGAAAGAACUGAACCAUUAUCGGAUCAAAUAAAUGUAUUGUACAUCCGUUUGAAUUUUUUAAACAAAGCCACGCUAACUAAAUGAGUGUAUAGCUGCUAAUUUUACUGUUUUACAUCCAAUAACACUGCGACUGCAGAAUUUCUGUACUAUUUUUUUUUUGUCACGACUGCAGAAUUUCUGUACUACUUCGAUCAAAAUGUGCCACCCACUUACUGCAUGCUGGCUCAUUGCUCAUGAGAGCGUAUUCCGAAGUCUUGAAUGAAAAAAGGUAUACUUUCAGAAACUUCCCUGAGGUGUAUAACAUUUUCACUUGGUGCCCUUAAAUUUUGAAAAAUCUCGCUUGAUUUCCCUGCUUUAAACUUUUUGUAACAUUUGAAACCCGUUUCAAAAUAUAAUAUUAAAAAACUCAUUUUGGGAAAGAGAAUACAAUUUCGUUCCAAAUUUACCCUUUUGAUGUGAUUUUUUAAUUAUCAUAGCACAUCAAUUUUAUCUCUUAAUUUUUGUAAAUUGAUCAAUGUAGUUCUUUAAUAAAAAUUUAAAAGUUGAUUGUAAGAUUGAAAAACUCUUUAAUGUUUUUGUCUCAUUGGUUCGAACAAGAAAUACUAAUUACUUAAAUUUAUGAAUGAUUUAUAAUACACUUAGAGAUAACUAGCAACAAUUUACAACUAUAAGAAUACCUUUUGCACCAGCUUAAAGUAAGGCACAAACAAAUUUAUAUAUAAUUUUUAUGGUGUUGUAUCUUUUACUUUCAAACCAUCGACUUGGAAAAAAAUUAGAAAAAAUAAAAAAUAUGCAAAAGAUUUACAAAACUUCUUAAAUUAACUCAAAACACUUACAGUAAAAAACAUUAUCUUUAUAACUUGCAAAAAUUUCAAAUAAACUUUAAAAUAUUAACUUUUGGUAUUCAAAAAAUACAAUAUAUUUUGUCCAAUCAAAAUAAGCAGUCAUACAUUUUGUUUUUGUUUUUAUUUGUUAAUAAUAUACUUACUCUUUUGGGAAUAAAAAGAAAGACAACAAAAAAAAUCAAUUUGGAAUGAGGGUAUAUUUUUAAUCUGCCAAAAUGAAUUCCUUAAUAUUACAUUUUAAAACGAGUUGUAAACGAUAUAAAAAGCUUAAAAUAAAGGAGAUGAGUGGGAUUUUUUAAAGUUUGAAGGUGACAAACGAGAUUGUCAGCUAAACUUGCAACCUUUAUGUAAAAUCCAAAACCUUUAUGUAAACAGGACAGCUUGCCAACUUGCAAAGGUUAACUAAUUGAACGCCACCAAUUUCCCAUGUUGUUGGAAAUUACGCUAUAAUCGAUCCAUUGUGCACAAUGAUUGUUUACAACUUUACAACUUCUUGUUUAUUUGGUAAUACAUUUGAUAUCAAUAGCAAGUUAGUAAGCAACUUGAUUACCACAAUUUUUUUAUUAAAAAAAAGUACUUUUAUAUGGAGAAAGGCAUUCUGCUUCGCUUUUUUUUUUUUAGGGAAUUUUGAUUGUUACUUCUUAUGAAAAAUAUUAAUGCGCUAUAUAUUUUGGAGCAACAGCCAAUAUGAUAUAAAAUCUGAUAUUAAAUUGAUCACAAGGUGCAAAAUUCAUAGGAAUUUUAGAACAAUGCCAAAAAGGCUCCCACUACUAAAGUUUAUACUAAUAAGUUUGCCCCAAAUUACUCUCUACAUCCACAACGAAUAUAACGAUGAUCUUAAUCAUGCGUAGGCCUCAUAUACAUACGACUGGAGGUCAGGUUUUUUGCCCCUCCUACAUUAUAGUAAACUACCCCAUCUGGGAUUAACCAAAAAGAUAAAAAAAAAAAGAAAAAAAAAUCAUAUGUGGGCUGGGUCCAAACAGAGAUAGAGAAAGUCCAAUGUUGGAUUGCAAAGGUCUUAUUUCUCCGUGCAGUGAGGAAAAAACACAGGCACAAACAUAACACGAUAGUAAAAUAAGGAAUCUCAACUAUCUGAUGCAUGAAGUCUGCGCUGCAAAACCAGUCUAUCUAUCAUUAUGCUGAAAAAAGACAAGUUGGCUGUUGAAAAAAGACAAGUUGCCUCAUGAGUAAAAGGGAGUUUGGGUGGUAGUAUAAUAAUAGCUAUUCGCUUAGGUUCCCCCUUAGGUAGCUUAUCCCACGUCGGGGUUGGGGUUUGAUUGGGUUAUAAGUCCCCGGGACAUGCUCAAGAGUUGCCGACUUUUGAGUAUUAUUCUGGGAUUAGGUUUACAAUUCAACAAAAAGUCUAAUUCAGGCUGUUGAAAAAAAAAAUCAUUAUGCUGAAAGUGUGAGUUGCCUUAUGAACAGUGAAUGUGGACUGGUUAUAGCAUAAUUCCCAGCAACUUGGUGGUCUUCUGUUCUGUUAGCUACGCGUGAACUUCAAGAAGACUGGUCCAGCCAUCUGUGCACCCUUGGAUUGGUUCCAAUUCAAAAUUUGACAGCUGAUCAUCAUUUAGGAACGUUAGGUGCUAGAGUUGAAACGGUAGGUGGUGUCGUCCGAUGCAGUUAGUGGAGGGCCCUGUUGCCGACUGAUUUUGAUGCAUGCAUGCAUGCAUUCCUGCAGACUGGGUUAAUGAAUGCAGCACGUACGUUCUUGGUAACGAGUUUCGCGACAAAAUCACAUGAACAGCUAGGUAUCUUCUUUGCUGCAGCUUUUUAUUAUUGAUUUCUUGUCUUUCCCAGUGUGCUGGUUGGACCCGUGUGCUAGGUAGGUAACUUCUUCAAAGCUAAGUUUUUUUUUUUUUUUUUUUUGCCGAUUCUUUUGUCUUCCUUAGUAUACUGGUUGGAACCGUAGGUGUGCUCUGGCAAACAGUUUUGUGAUUGUUAUAUGCUCAGCUCUGGUUAGAAGCACCAUAGUUGCGCCUGGGUAUACCAUGUGUUGUAACAUUGUCCAUGUGAUUAUUACAUUAUCUUGAGAGGAGAUGCUUGGUUUGCUGCUGCUGUUGUGUUAAGCCGAGUUAGUGAAUUUGGACUGCCACACUCAGUUCACUGAAAGGUGAAGGGACAAUGUUUAGUUGGCCUUUACCCAUUAGUUGUUUUCAAUGUGAUGUCACGUACUGAUGAGAAAGAUAUGAACAAAUGUAUAGGACAAGUUGGUCUACCACUAAAUGAGAGUGUAUUUUUUUUUUUUUUUGUCGAUAUUAUAGCUUUCUAUACGGGGAGGGAGAGGAUCUGAAGAGGUCUAAAGUAAUUCGAAAGGAACUGAAUCACCACCGAAGCACACGAAUAUACUAUUACUUUUACUGUUUUACAUCGCAAUAGCACUACGACUGCAGAAUUUCUGUACUACUUCAAUCAAAAUGUGCCACCCACUUACUGCAUGCAUGCUGGCUCAUUGCUCGUGAAAACCUAUGGUGAAGUCUUGAAUAAAAAAAAGUAUUCUUAUAAUUUCAGAGACCUCAUUUCAGAGACCUCCCCUGAGGCGUCUAACAUUUUCACUUGGUGUUCUUAAAUUUUGAAAAAUCUCGCUUAAUUUCUCUGCUUUAAACUUUUUGUAACAUUUGAUAUUAAAAAACUCAUUUUGGGAAAGAGAAUCCAAUUUCGUUCCAAAUUUACCCUUUUCAUGUGAUUUCUUAAUUAUCAUAACACAUCAAAUUUAGCUCUUAAUUUUUGUAAAUUGAUCGAUAUAGUUCUUUAACAAAAGUUGACUGUAAGAUUGAAAAACUCUUUAAUGUUUUUGUGUCAUUGAUUCGAACAAGAAAUGCUAAUUACUUAAAUUUAUAAAUGAUUUACAAUAUUCUUAAAAACAACCAGUAAUAAUUUACAACUACGAGAAUACAUUAAUUUGUGCACCAGCUUAGAAAAAAUACAAACAAGUUUAUGUAUAAUUUUAUGAUGUUGUACACUUUUACUUUUCAAACCAUUGACUUGGAAAAAAAUUAAAAAAAAUCUAAAAUAUGUAAAAGAUUUUCAAAACUUCUUAAAUUAACUUAAAACACUUCACAAUAAAAAAAUAUUAUCAUUAUAACUUGCAAAAAUUUCAAAUAAACUUUAAAAUAUUAACUUUUGGUGUUCAAAAAAUACAAUAUAUUUUGUCCAAUCAAAAUAAACAUUCAUCAUUCAUUUUUUUUGUUUUUAUUUGUUAAUAAUAUGCUUACUGUUUUGGUAAUAAAAGGAAAGACAGCAAUAAAGCAAAUUUGGAAUGAGAGUAUAUUUACUCUCCCAAAAUGAAUUCUUUAAUAUUACAAUUUAAAAUGAAUUGUAAAUGAUAUAAAAAGUUUCAAGUAAAGAAGAUAAGUGAGAUUUUUUAAAGUUUGAAGGUGACAAAUGAAAUUGUCAGAAACCUCAGUGGAGGUUGAGGUGAGGUUUCUGAAAUUAUCCCUAAAAAAACUCCUAGUACAAAUGGAAAAGGACCCCUCUAUUAAUUUGUCCUUUUUUUUUUUUUGGUCAAAAUGGUACCCUAUUUGAGUACGGUCGAAAAUAGAAACAGACAACAUAUUCCAUGGUAAAAUCCCAACUUUUAUGUAAACCGGACAGCUUGCCAACUAAUUUCCCACGAAGUUCGCGUGCACCCAGUGGACUACACCUGACAAAACAAAAGACCCCCAAGUUGCUGGGAAUUACGCUAUAAUCGAUCCUUUGUGCGCAAUGAUUGUUGUGUAUAACUUCUUGUUUAUUUUGUAAUAUAUUUGAUACUAAUAGCAAGUUAGUAAGCAACUUGAUUACAACAAAUUGAAAAAAAAAAGUAUUUUUAUUUUGGUUGGUAAUUUUUGAAGUAGAAGUAAAUAUAGAUUUCAGCAGGUACUGUCUGUUUAAGUUAUUCCUUAGUGUUUUUCUAAUUUUUAUGCUUGUGUGACAAAAGUUGAAUCCUUUUUUGCUUUGGGAGAUUUCUCCUGAGUUUAAAAAAAACCACUUUGUUUUCAGGGUGUAUUGGAUGUAUCCAUCAUUAAUCUUGGUUGUUGGGAAUGGUAAAGAACAUUUAAUGUCCAUACACAAUUUCGAGGUACAAAGUAGUAUGACAUAUAUAUUUACAAACUUCCUUUGGUGAUAUGCCAGGCAACCCGCCACUGGCACUUUGGCCUGGGGUUCAUUGUCAAGCACUCAAGUCUCGAUAGCAUUGGAAAGUGAAAGAUUUAACCCUUGCCAAAAAAAAAAGAUAUGCCAGGCAACUUGACUGUGGUUCAUCUUGAUGUUACGAGAACUAAUGCAACAGUUUUUUCAAAAUAUUCUACAAUUGUAACAACAAAAGUCUUACCAAACUCCACCACAUGCCCAUGUCCAUCUCACAAAAAAUGAUAGUAUAUUAUUGUGUGCUAGUUGAAUUCCCAUGAAAAUUCGAGCAGCUUCCACCACAUGCACAUGGAUUUCCAUCUCUCGAAAAAGGUGUAUUAUUGUUUUUUUUAUAUAAUCCACAGAUAUUCGUAUCUAUUUUACUGUUUGUUCUAGUUAUGGUACGUAAUUAAAAAAUGGCAAUAAAUAAGUUCAGGAUAACUAAUUAAAUAGGAUUAAUGAUAUUUCUUACCUGAUUAAACACUCUAAGUGCCCUUACAAAAUACAGUCACAAAAUGACACCAAUUGAUGCUCCAAUAUGACGCUAUUUUGUGAUUGACAGCACUUGAAAGGGCAAUCCAAAUUGUAUAUUAUUUGUAUAGAAGAGAAGUAGAAGCAAGAAAAAUAUAAGAGAAAGAAACCUCUAGACAAUACUCCAUAAGAGAAUAAGUUCUAGUGGUUUUGGUUGACCUCACUCUAUCUUAAGCAUUCAUGAAAUGGAAGGAGAAAGAAAGCAGAAAUCAAGGCAAAAUCUAAGGAUUUUUUUGUUAAAAAUUUGUGACAAUCAAAAAAUAAUAGGUAAGCAAUCUUUUAUCAUUUCAAAUUAAUACAAAAAGUUUCUUUAGUAAAGGAGAGUUUUUGGAGUUGGAUGUACACUUUUAUACGUUUUAGAAUCUCAGAUUUCUGAACGUAUGUUCGUUGCUUCUUCUAGUUGUUGCUACUGUACUUGUUUUAUUUACCCUUAUAUCCUCUUCGGUUUCACUAACUGGUUCCACCUUUUAAUGUUUUUCAUUCUUUUACUAAUACAACCUCACAAGAAACAAAAAGGGUAUAAAUGGAAUAACAUUAUUAUCUCACUUGUCAAAAGAUUUUUUUUUUAAUGACAUUUUCUUUGACAUAGGCUGAAUCUGCUAUCAAAAUUUUAAGUUCAAGGGAAGUUAGUGCUAUUUUUAAAACCCCAGUAAAGGUGAGUGCAACUACUAGAAACCUCAAGGGAGGUUUCUGCAAUUAUCCCUUAAAUAAAAGUUGACUGGGAAGACCAAGUAAGUCGUCAAGACCAGCUGUAGCUAGAAAAGUAGUAGUGCUAUUUGCAGCCAAAUAUCCAUUCCAAAUCAUAUUAGUAGUAUUCUAUCGUUGCAACGGCUGAAUUGUUUGUUCCAAAGAUAAUAGCUGAAUUGGGUGAUGGUGUCCUGAAGCAGCUCGGGAAGAAGGUUAACCUGGUGAUGGGGGUUGAAGAAAUGGAUGUCUUUGACUGUGGUUCAUCUUGAUGUCACGAGAACUAAAGGAACAGCUCAUUCAUAUAUUCUACAAUUGUAACAGCAAAGUAUAAUAUUUGUCUCACUCUGGUCUUUUAAUUAAUGUACAAAAUCUAUCCAUUAAGUGUUGUGAAUUGUGUUGAAUCGUGGCCAUUAAGUGUUGCAAUUUAUUAUUUGGAUUAUGUGUACAUUUUUUGUCAUUGUGCACACUUAGUAAAAUAAUGAUUGGAUUUAUGCUUUUCGUCAAUUAUUCUGUGUAUUGUUUGUCACUGACAAGAGCCUAAAUAGUUCAUUAGUUAUAAAAAUAAUUAAAACACAUCAAAACUAAUUAAUAAAACACACUAAAAACAUGUAAAAUACACACUUAUCAUGUGCCAUACAUCCAAAGUUGCACAUGUCGCUUGAGGAUCGUUUUUCCUUCACAGACAAAUUGAUGAACUGCACUAGGGGAUCUGCUACUUCUCAACUUGACAUACAAAUGCGUGAACUACCACUCUGAACUCUGAACUUGCAACAGAAUGUUGGUAUUAAAUUGUACACAGCUUGACAUACAAAUGCCUGAAGUACCACUCUGAACUUCCAAUAGAAUGUUGGUAUUGUAUUGUACACGACUAUGCUUGUUUCUUGUGUAUCACAAAGAAAGUGGUGAAUCUGCACGUAAAGCAGUAUAUUACUUAUGGUACUCCAAUUUUAUCAGCACCAUUAGAAUGAUUUACUUUUAAGAAGAUCCUAUAUCAAACGACAUACAACUUAUAUGAUAAACACAAACUAAAUAAUGGUUUACUUCCUUAAUUUUAGAAAUUCUCAUGUUUGUAUCCCUCACUUAAACAUGUCAUGAUUUUGAUUAUAUUUCUGUUGGUGAAUUAUUAUUUUUAGUUCAUUUUAUCCUGUUGUGAUUUAGUGUUCUUCAGUUAAAACAAAUUAAUACAUAAAUCUCCUCGACUAUUUUGGGUGAAAGCCUAACAAUAAUUGCCACAUGCUGUUUGAAGAAACUAUAGAAAUCAGAAGAUUUUACACUUAGUCGGCGGAAUGCACUCAAACAAUAAGUCAAUAUGUUACUUUGUAUGAUUUAUGCAGGCCACAGAACACCCAAAAGAAAUACCCUUUAAAUUUUGGAUUGCAUGCAAUUGCUUGGGAAGUUUGAGAUGAUUUACAUAUCUCCUUGUUAUUUUGAAGUUAACAUGGAUUCUAGGCAUGCAAAUGAGUUGGUUCUAACAUUCAGACCUACUGAAUUUUUUUUCAUAAUCACACCAAAACAAACCCUCAUGAAUUUAAUGCUAUUAUAGUAAAAUUAGUCAUGCAUGUGUCGGAAUAAAAAUUUUUGUUUAGGAACCCAUCCAAAUGGAUCACCGAUAAUACUAAUUUCAUACUGUCUCUCUAUAGCUUUUUUAGUACAAAGGUAUGACUUGAUAAAAUUCAGUUGAUAUAUAAUUUCCAUUCCGGAAUCUAGAACGAAUGCAGUUGUUGAACUUAAUGCACAUGAGGAGCCCAGGCAUUUAUGUGUAGAGAUCAACAAUCAAAUCAUUAGUCUUGGACAAUAUACGUAACCACUGAUUUUAGUGGCUUUUUAUCCUAAAUUGACUUUGCUAUUUUCUUUGAGACUUAUAAACUGUAUAAAUUGCUUAGAUAUAGCCAUGAUACUGUAUAUAUGAGAAUUCUUUUUGGGCUUCUUUUGCAAAUGUGGCAUACCUGAGUCUAAAUCCUAGUUUAUUAUGUGUGAAUAUAUUCAACAGUCCCUCUUAGUCUCUCCACCACCUGCUAAUUUUUUAUGUUGUUAUCCUCUCCCAGCGACCUUAUUUAAUUUGCCAGACAAUUUGGUACAUCUUGAAGGAAUGGGCAGCCCACAUAAUUUUCCAAAUAAUUCUUCUGCUACUUCCAGGAUGCCUUAAAUCCAAUUUCCAGUCUUUGAAGAACUUUAGCACUCUUCAGGGAGUACUCUGUCAACUUGUACUGAUAUGUUUUGGCCAUCAAUAUUAGAAGAAUGGGACCCUCUUAACUUGAUCAGUAAAAUCAAGAAAGAGGUCUCUUUUGCUUUUCAUUUUUAAAGUGAUAUCAGCACAAAGCCUAUAGUCAGUCAAUACUGUAUCAUACAGGUAAGCACUUUGUGUAGUUUAUAUUUUUUGAAUGGGUCCUUGCAAACUAGUCUUGCACUUGCAGUCUUGUUCGGGAGCUGCAAGAUGUUGACUACGUUCAAAAAGAAAAGAAAAAGAAAAUGUUGGUUGGCCAAGUUGAGAAAAUCAGGUACUGGUAAAUAUGAGUCAAAUGUUCAUUUCUUUCAGAUCACGCUCAAGAUGAAUAAUUAUUGGGUCCUCAAAUUCAAGGAGACAAAGUCCACUUCAUUAAAUUUUUUCAAAAAUGAAACAGCUACCCGAGAUUUCUCGGAAUAUUUAAGAAAUCUUCUCCCGUUGACGGAUUUAAAGAGUUAAUAAUUAUGCUAUUCCUCCCUGCUACUGAUCAAGACUACCGUAUGAUUAGAGGAUGCAUAGUAUAAAUCAAGACUGGCGAAGAAUGGUGGCUACUGAGUUUUACCAAGUUGGUCUUCUGCAACUUAAUCAGGCAAGUCGUCUUACGAAUUUAACAGAGUUGCAUGGUUAUAAUUUCUUCCCGAUCUCUUCCGGUCGCUUUCUAUGUCUUUUAAAUUUGAGCUGAUUUUGAAUUUCAAUUACCUCUAACUUAAGUUUUAAUUUUUGGGCAUACAACACUGUGCACUUCGCAAGUUUCUGAGUAGAUGUAAAAAAUACUUGAUUCUUAUUCUAUUGUCUACUAAAAAUGGUUAGAGACGAUUUAUGACAAGCAGAAAAGGCCAUGAACUUCCCAUAACUGCAGAAUAUCCAGUUCUUGUGAGGUGGUAUCCGUUAAAAUUGAUAGCUUGAUGCUGGGAUGGGAUGCAGAGCUAGGAUUAAAAGGUUAAUUAGUUGGAAUUUUACACUUGGAGAACGUAUAUUUGUUGUACGACAGAUAGAAAUGCUUGUCUGUAUGCAGAUUGUAUGAGAUGAUUGUGGCUACAAUUGUGGUUUUUGUUGACUGAUUCUUUUGUUUUAUUCACAAUUUCACUAGGUAGUUUCUAGCGUACGACUGUAAUAUACUGUCAUGGGCUUGAAUUCUCCGGGGACAUCUUCAGAGACGAAAAAGAUGUUUGUAAGAGAAGAGAUCACUAACGAAGCACAAGACCGAAUAAGCCAAUUACCUGAUGCAAUUCUGUGUCACAUCCUCUCCCUUCUUCCGACUAAAUUAGCAGCACAAACUGGUAUUUUGUCUAAACAAUGGAAGAACGUUUGGCUUUCAAUACCUGCUCUUGAAUUUCAGAUCAAUCUACGGGCAAAUUAUGAGGGUGAAUGGAGUGCCUUUGAUUGCUUUGCAAAGCCUAAAAUUGAGAGUUUUACAAAUUUUCUGGAUCGACUUUUUGCAAUUCGUGACACUUCAGGUAUUAAAAAGUUCAGAUUGGUAUGUGAUCAUCAGGUUGACUCUAGAUGCCUCAAUAAUUGGUUGUCUGCUUUGCAUAAUGUUCAAGAACUUGAUCUCGAUUUGUGGGAGCUCGGGGAGUUCCCUUGGAGUCCCUUCACAAAUAACUCGCUGGAAAUCUUGAAACUGAGUUGCAAUGUUUUGCUCAACAUCCCAUCUUCUGUUUCUUUUCCACGUCUUAAGGUUCUUCAUCUUCAUUCAGUCACAUAUGUGGGCGGCGCAUCGGUUGAAAAGUUACUUUCUUCUUGUCCAGUCCUUGAGGAUUUGCAGAUAUCAAGGGGGCAGUGGGAUAACGUUAGGAAUUUUGUGAUUGCAGUCCCUUCAUUGAAAAGGUUGACUUUGGACUUCAGUACACCUGAGAUGGACUUAUAUGAUGGCGAUGAUUACGAAGAUGGUGUUGAGUACAAACUGAUAAUUACUGCACCAAAUUUGGAGUAUCUAAACCUGAUUGAUUAUAUGUCAGAUUCAAUUCAGGUCAGUUCCAUGACCAGAGUAACUGAAUCACGCCUUUCUGUUUACAAAAUCUUAACAUGUGUUCAGCGGACAGCCGAACAAACAAGUAAUUAUGAAAGCAAUGUGCGUGAAAUAUUUCGAAGCAUCCCAAAUGUCAAGCACCUAACAAUAGGCGAAUUUACCAUGAAUGUAAGCCAUGACUCAAAUUCCAAUCCUGCUUAUUGCUUUCUAAUUGUUAUACCAUCAAUUGCUUUCUUGGUCACAACUUAUAGCUGUCUUCAUACGUUUGCAGUCUUUGGGUGAAUCUCUUGAUAGCAGGCUGCCAGUGUUUCAGAACUUGGUCCACCUGGAGAUCAGUUUUUAUGUAGCGAACGGCGCUAUACUGCUGCCAAGUUUGCUCAAAAUCUCUCCUAAACUGGAAAGCCUUAUCUUGCCUCAGGUACAUUACAUAAGAGACUUGCACAAUUUUGAGAGAAAUAUGGUGAGCGUUGAGCACUCCUGUUUUCUUUUGACCAAAAGUUGAUUUGUUUGUAAUUUUUUUUCCCUAUGUCCUGGAUUUCAGGGGAUUACCAGUCCAAAUGUAAUCGGGUGGUUUAACCCUGAGGAGAAUCAAGUUAAGCCUCCGCAAGACGUACCUGAAUGCCUGCUAUUUAGCCUGAAAAAUGUGGAAAUUUCGUGCAUUACUGGAAGAGUUGAGGAAGAGGUGGAGUUGUUGAUAUAUCUUCUGGGAAAUGCAAUGGUUCUAGAGAAGAUGACGAUUUGGUACGAAGAAUAUUAUGUUUCCGGUGGACCGAUGGAUACUACUAAUUAUCCAACUGCCCGUCGGGUGCAGGAUCGUUUAUCUUUCACCGACAAAUUGAUGAACUGCACUAGGGGAUCUGCUGCUUGUCAACUUGACAUACAAAUGCCUGAACUACAACUCUGAACUUGCAGCAGAAUGUUGGUAUUGUAUUGUAUAAAGCACUUGUUUCUAAUGGCUUACUUUCUUGAUUUUAAGAAUUCUCGUGUUUGGAUCAAUUUACCCUCUUAUGAUUUAGUGUUUCUCUAUAUAACAUUCUUAGAUUUUUGCAAAUUAGUAUUGUCUUCUGUAAAUACAAAUUAAUACAUAAAUCUCCCCUCUUGAUUAUUUUAGGUGAAAUUCUAAGAACUACCACAUGCUCUGUUUGAAGAAACUAUAGAAACUAGAAGAUUUUGUACAUGUUCAGCAGAAUGCACGCGAACAAUAAGUCAAAUUGUUACUUUUUGUGAUAUAUGCAGGCCUCCAAACACGAAAAAAGAAAUGGAGUGCUACUUAAAUUUUGGAUUGCAUUGAAUUGCUUGAGCAUUUUGAGGAGAUUUACAUAUCUUCUUGUUAUCUUGAACUUAACAUGGGAUUAGGUAUGCUAAUGGGUUUUGAUACAUCUACUAGGGCUAGGCUCCUCUCCAUUACUUUUUCCUUCUAGUUUCCCUCAAUACACUCUUGGAUGAGUGACACAUAUAUUAAAUAUUUAUAAAGUGUUAGGUUUACUUCUAUCUAACUUGUAGAAUGUUAAGUGUUAACUAUGACAUCAUCCCAUUAAGUUACCACCUACUUAGGAAAGUUCCUACUAGUUGCAAUUUUCAAGAUUAGAAUUUAUAUAUCUUUUAUGUUAUAAAGAUUGCAAUUGAUAUAUCUUUUCCUCACUUUUUAAAAAAAACAAAAAGAAAUGAAAAUAAUAUAAACAAUAUUCAAUAUGAAAAAUAUUAUGCAUGCCACAAACCAAAAAAAAUGAUUUUUGAUUAAAUUUAUUGCUCAUUCUUUCUCAUUUCUUUUCUUUUUCAUUUUUAAUCAACAAGUCAGGUAAACCUAGUUUUUACAACAUGAAACCAUACAAAAAUGAAAUUUUCAUAUUAUUUUGAUUAUGAAUCUUGAUAUCUUUUUGGUGUUUAAAUUGAAAGACACACCAACUAUAGCAAUUAGAAAAACAUUUAAAUGGUCAAUCUAUAAUUUUUUGGAUUCGAUAAAAACUGCCUAGAUUCACAAUCCAAAAAAAUGAAAUUUUUUUUUUUCAAAAAACUUUUGUUAUCAAAUCUAGGUUUUUCAUCAUUUACUAAAUUUUUCUAAAAAAAACAAAAGAAAAGGAAUGUUCAAUUCAUAUUAAAUAACCAAAUUUCUUUUGUUUUUUUUUUUUAGGAUGCAUAAGAUUUUUCGUGACUACCUUUUUUCCUUUUCCAAUUCUUUUACUUGUUUCCAAAGUCAAGAAAAAAAAUUAUCAGUUCCAAUCUUCAAAAAAAAAAAAAAAAAAAAACCCCAACAUAUGCUAUGCAAUCAAAUUUUGAGUAGGAAAGUUGAGAACUUUCCUUAGAUAACUCGAAUGGGAUAGAUGUCAAAUGUAAAGUUUGAUGACUAUAGUUAAGAAAUAUGGUAAGCUAGAGAUGAUCUCAACCAUUUAUAAAUGCUUGAUACAUGUGUCAAAAAUCUAAGAAUGUAUUGAGGGAAAUUGGAGAGAAGGGAUAAUGGAGAGGAGCCCAUCUCACAUUCGCUGUUCUAAAUGGGAAUAGAGUUGCAGAUAUCUUAGUCCUGUAUCUUUUCUUUGAACAUUCCUUCUUUUGCACUGGUAAUGCUUAAUCUGGAUGGGUAUACUACUAGUACUUGGAUCACGGAGUAUUCUCAACUUGUUUUUCUGCAACAUUCAAGUUUGAGUAGCUAUUAAUAUAUCCUUCUACUCUCUGCUUCUAGAAGAAUUUGCAAAUAGAGAAUUGCAAACUGCUUGUUCAACAAUAAAAGGUUGCACUUAAACCAUCCUGUCAUCCCACUUAUUUUCAAUCUAACUACAUGGAUCAUGGUUAGUAGAAAGGGAUAAUUUCAGAUACCUCCCCUGAGGUUUCUAACAGUCUCACUCUUCUCCCUUGUGGUAUCAAAAAUAUCACAAACCUUCCCUGUCAGAAUUAAGGUCCCAUUUCUUAUAUCAUCAUGGUCAAAAAGACUAAAAUACCCUCACAAGUCAGCUAAUAUUUCGUGAUUAUCAGGACAAAGACAUUCCAACUCAUGUAAUUACUUUUUUCUAUGCUAUAUCUAAUCUCCCUUUUACAUGUAUACAUAGUCAAGUAACUAACACCUAAUAUAAUGUACAUUUUUUUAACACCUAACCAUUCCAAAUUUAUGUAUACCAUUACACUACCUUUUAUAGAUAUACACAGUCAAGUAAACAUCUAACAUAAUAUAUAUAUUUGUAAACUGAUUGUACCUCAUAGAUCACCCCGUGUAAGGUGUUUAUAGGCAAAUUAGUAUUAGUCAUAUAAAUAAAAUUACAUACCCACUGUAGCUUGUAAGGAGAUGCACAAGUGGUCAAAGCACCAGUAAACAUUCCAAAUGUAUACAUACCAUUGCACUAUGCGUAUUAUUGCGAUGACUAAUUGCAAUAUGCAUGUGAACAAAUAGCUGCAUGUUUAACAAUUUCGAUGCAUCGUACUUGGUCAAUAACACGGUGUACAUUAUUUCAACCAGAUUGUACAUUCACUAAGUAUUUAUAUACAUGCUACUUAUUGAAGUAAACUACCUCUCUACUAAAUAUUUGAUGCACUCUCAUAAGCACUAAUGGUUGAUUUAAUAUGCAAUUCGAACAAAUAACCAUCUAGUAAAAGCUUUAGAUAUAAUAUUAUUGAUGAAUAACAUAUUGUAUCUGAAAUUAACCCUUUUUGGUUUAUUAGUUUUCAUUAUUUCACUAAUAUAACUUGUACACUUACUGCAGGGCAUUUAUGGAAACAAAAUUCCCUCUCUUUCUUGAAAACACUUUUUUAUGUUCACUUUUGAUAUCAUGGGCUGAUUUUGUUAUAAAAUCUUAAACCUCAGGGGAGGUUUGUGAUAUUUUUGAAAUCAUAGGGGAGGAGAGUGAGACUAUCAGAAACCUCAGGGGAGGUUUCUGAAAUUAUACCUAGUAGAAAUCAGGACACCUACCCAAUUUUCAUGAUCUCGAAGGUUUGAAUGAGUUCUGUGUUGUGUAUAAAAGAAGGAAAUGGCCUCGUGUGUUUGGAUAGGAAAUUAUCUAGAAACAAUUAUUUAGAAUAAUAUUAUAACAUUUUUUAUAAUACAAUAUAGGUGAGAUAAAAAAGUAAUUAAAAAUUAUGUUUAUGAUAUAAUCAGAAAAAUAUUUAAAAUUUUUUUCGAACAUACAAUACUCAAAUGGACUCUAUGUUUUCUCCAGAAAUUUGGCGAAUGACAUAUAAGAUCAUUCCUUUCAUUUCCUUUUUUCUAACUUAAAUUAUGAUUUAUUUUCACUUUUGCAACAAUGCAACCGCUUAAAUUACGAUUUGUUUUGUUCCUUCUUCACUUGCAGACAUAUGGACAUGCUUAUUAUUAGUCAAAGGGUAACAGUUGUCAUUGACCACAGUAAAUUGCGUUUUUAACUGUUAUUAUGUGUCCCCCUAAUUCGGCAGACAACCUUACAAAGAGGCUCUCUGUGGACUUUAGCGAUUAUUUGAUUCAUGGGUUGGUCUUUACAUGAGUUAUUCAACUAUUAAUCUCGAGCCCACAGAGUUUUAUAAAGAAUUCAGCAUUUUGACACUAAGUUGUAUAAACUUAGCUGCUGAUUUAGGGGUGAUCGCGAGUCAAGCGACUUGCGAAUAACUCAAUCAAACAAUCUACUUGAACUUCGUUUGACAGAAAAAAUUGAGUUUGAGUUCGAACUUGAGUAACUCGAUAGCUGGAACUCGAUAUAGAAAUCAAGUCAAGUUCGAACCUCUCUUUGUGCUGCUUGAGUACUCGUCGAGUAGCUUAAUUAAUUUUAUUAUCUAUAUAAUAAAUAUUUUUUAUUAUGAAAUAAUCAAUAAGGGUUUGUUGCGAACUUUUGAAUUUCAAGUUUCUGAGUGCUCAAGCUCGAUAAGGCUUAAGAACAGUAUCGAACUUUAUCGAGUCAAAUUCGAGCUUUAAUUGUUCUUCCCUCGAGUCAAGUUGAGCUAUAUAAAUUUCUGCGCACUCGAGUCGAAUUCAAACUCAAGGAGACUUGCUUAUCAUUGAAUUCAAAUUCGAGCAUAGGACUACUCGACCUCGAGCAUAGCAAUAUUCUAUCUCGACUCAACUUGUUAUCACCCCUAGUGAUUACACAAAUAUGACAAUUAAAAUAUCUUGUCACAUACCCAUUAUUGACAAACACAUGCUCAAACCCCACCAUUUCUCUACCCUAAAACUGCUUUCUCUCUUUGGAGAUUGGGUUAACUAUGGGAAUCACCUCUAAGCUUGAUCCCAUCCCCUCAAUCUCCUUUCACUGUGUACUUGUGAUAGUUAAAUCUCAUGUAUCGAUCCUCAACAACUGAAUCGAUAUUAAACUUGUAGUAAUUUGGAAGUCAAUUGUGUUUGGAUUGACAUUAUUUGCUGUGCAUCAUGCACAUGCUUUUUAAUUAAUAUUUUUAUCUCAUAUAUAUCACAUCAAAAAAAAGUAUUAAAUAAUUAUUUCAAAUAAUUUUCUAUCUAAACAUACUCAAUUGCGUACUUGAUAGUGGACCUUGUUGUCAACAUCAAGCUCCCAAGUUUUAGGUGAUUCAUUGGCAGGCUUGAUACACAAGAAAGCAGUAGCAGCAGGAAAAUUAUCUAGUCCAGCUGCCUUAGGCCCAAACCGUUUGAGCUUUGCCGUUUGAAUAUCAUUGCUUCAACAUUCUUUCAGUGUCGCUCGGCCCUUCAUCCAACCCAAAAACUUUGAAACUCGUUGAGGACACCAUCUCAUAUUUGGUACAGAUAUAAAAGAUAUAACAUUUCCAUUACGUCAUUUUAUAUUCUUAAAAAAAAAACACAAAAGAGAAGUAAUUCUGCAGGAAAAUAACUGAUACUAAUUUCGUCUAGUAAGUAACAAUCUUUAAUGAACAUGGUAGCUGCUGUUCAUCUAUUAUUGAUCUAUACGUAAAUGUAUCAUGCGUAGAUGAUCCAUAUGCAUUGCUCAUAAUUCAGUGGCGGAGCUGGGUAGAAUAGAAGUGAGGGUGGGCAAUUAAAUUUUGCGCUCUCUCAAAUUUGAUAAAAUUACAUAAUGAUCUUAAAGUUUUUUUUUAAGAUUUUUGAAUUUGCAUCAUAUUUGCACCCCCCAAAAUUUAUAAAAUUCUCUUCUUUUGUUGCAUUGUUCCCUUUAAAUUUAAGAAAACUCUCUUCUAUGCAUAGAUUAUCCUCUUAACAUUAUAUAUUCUUUUCUCAUCCUACAUUGACCCCUAAAAAAAUAAGAUUUUGUGUUGAUUUUUUUAAGAUUUUUUAUUGAUUACCUCCUCUAACAAAAAGUUUGGAUCUGUUCCAAAUUAAACAUGAAUGACAUGAUUUAUACUAAAAUUGACUAUUGCAUCCUCUCGCCAUGGGGUCUUGACUCCAUCACUAACUUAUAUGAUAAAUGUGAUAUGGGUUUAUUAUCAUAAGAUAAAAAAAAAAAAAGGAGCUCAUUUAAAAAAUUUGUGUUUGAUAUGAAAUUCCUAAAAGAUAUUAUGUAUCAUUAAAUCAUUGGAGUUAGCUCAAUAGUCAGGGAUGACUUAGUUCUCUCUGUUGUUAGAUUCAAGAUUUGAAUCUUGAUGCUGACAAUUGAUACAAAAAAGGAUGGGAGUUUAAAUGAAAAACUAUUUUAGAAUUUAUAAGGAAGUUUUUUAUUCUUUCUCUCAAUAGCCUAUAAGAGUGUAUUUGAUAAAAUUGAAGUCUGAAAAUUAAAAUAUGAAAUCCGAAACUUGAAGUCUGAAUCCAUUAAAUUAUUAAAUUGUUAAGUACUAAAUCUAAUACAUCUGAGUGUGUAUCACAUUAGAUGAUAAGUAAAUAACUUAUCACUUAUUUUUGAAAGCAAGUUCUGGUUAGAAAAUUCAGUGUCACUUAAUAAAUUCAGAUGUUAAAUUUUUUGUUAUCAAAUACGUUUGAAAAGUUAAGAUGUGAAUUUAUUCAAUUUAAGCACUAAAUUAGAUUAUCAAAUAGGACCUAACUAACUAUAAUUACGAGGGUUAUCAGGUAUUUUAUGUCAGCUCAGUAGUUUGGGUCCAAAAUCAACCUAUCUACAAUCGAUAGGUUUAAUAAGGAAUAGUUGAUGUUAAAAUAUUUAGUUUGUUUGGGUUGUAAGUUAUUUGAGAUAUUUUUACUGUAGCACUUUUUGUGAUGUGAUGUAUAUAAGAUAAAAAGGUAAUUGAGAAGAUAAAAAGGUAUAUUAAAAAUUGUAAUGAUGAUGUAAACAAAUAUAUUUGAAAAAACAAUCAGCUGUCCAAACAAGCAUAUUAAUAACUAAAAAAGAAAGUACAAUUUUAGUUGGCAAAACUUUAAGAGGUAUCGAUUCCCACGUUUUAUACUUCGUAAGCACUUAAAAUAAAAGUUCAAGAAUAGAAAAUUGUAAAGCAAAGGCAGAUUGAAAAGCCUUUUUUUUUUCCCUCAAAUAAAGUUAAAUAAGUGGGAAACCGCUAGUUGAAGAGGACAGCAUUUCCAGAGGUGUCGAAUGUCUCAAAAGUCGGAUCAACAACCCAAAAAGUCUUUCGUUUCCAUGCAAGAAGCUUCUAAUUUCAGAGAAAUGUGGAGUUUUAAUAACUGUUAAUUACAAUUGCACAAAACAAUGCAUGCAUGCACAUAACAUGUAAGAUAUGUUAAUUGCAAAUUUGCAAUUGCACAAGACAAUGUAUGCAUUCACAUAACAUGUAUGCAUACACGAAAAAUUGUUUCGUUCCCACGAAGAAACUUCUAAAAAUUUUGAUCAACAACCCAAACUUUUGUUCCCAUGAAGAAACUUCUAAUUCGUAGAUGCUUCUAUAAUUGUUAAUUACAAUUGCACAAGGUAUGUUGGGGGUAUUAAACUUGACAAAAUUCAAGUUAAUUGAUAAGACGUUUUAUCUGUGACUUAUGAAUCUCUGAUUCAAAUUAUAAGGAGGGUAUAUAAAAUUUCACGACACUGUUAUUGUUGUUGAGUGAAAUAAACUAACCUAAAUUAAUCCUUAAGGAAAAUUUAAGAAGUGUAUAUCAAAAACUCUCUGGAAAUCAAACUUCCUCCAAGGAUAAUGCAUCUUUCCUGCUUUCCUCAAUUCAUGAAUGUUCUCAUAUAGUAACGUUCCUCAGUCGUGCUUGAACGAAGAUUAAGAAAAGCAAAUCAAAGAAUUCCUCUAAUACCAAUCAUUCCGUCAGGGUCACUUUUUCUUGUUGUCAAAUAUAUGUGUGUGACUGCGACGUUUAAGCAUAUUCUUUUGAAGAAAGAUCAAGAAUUUGAACCCAAGUUAAACGUCCAAAACCAUUUGCUAAUGAUCCAUCCCAAACUUAGCGACGGCCCCUGGAAAAUUGUCACGAAUUAAUGCUCGUGGGGCAAGUUAACCUAGUCUCAAAUUUUGUGGCUCAAAUUAAAGUCGUUGAAAAGACAUAAAAAAAAAAUAACGUAUUCAAGUUAAGAAAUGAGUUUCAAUUUCAAUCAUAUUCAUAUACAAAGUGUUAUUUAAGCCAAUUAAAAUCAGUUAAUGGAUUUCAUAGAUCCCUUUUACGAGUUUCACGACAAGUAUUAAAUAAUAGGUUUCACUUAUUUCUUAUUUUUUUAUUAUUAAAAUCCAUUGUUAUAGAGUUACCAAAUAUUGUUGGAGUCUUUGUCAAACUCAUUGUUAUGCCGUAAUUUAUUAUACCCAUAAUGUUAGAGAUUGUGAAAUUUGAAGCAAAUGGCUCUUAAGUAAAUUGUGUAUACGAGAUAUAGUUAUGAUUGUAAAAGUAAUUAGUAUUGGCUCAAGAUAAAAUCGUUUAGAAGAUGUAAAGUAUGAUGUACAAUUUCAAGUAAGUUGUGUACAAGAUAUAGUCAUGGUUGUACGAGUAAUUUGUGUCAAGAUGUAUUAGUAUCCUUACAAUUAACUGUUUACCACGAUGAAGAAGAAAUUGAUCAUUACAAAGACCACCGAUUGAACGUACAGUCUUCACGUUAAUUUAAGUUUCAUAGUCAGCCCCCCCGAAACUUUGGAUGAUUACCCAUUUCAGUCCCUAAACUUCAAAAUGGGACACUUAAACCCUAAACUUAUAAAUACCUCCCACUUAAAGAAAAUUGUUAAUAAAUCCUAAAUGCCGUUGGUGGUCGAAAUGUCCCAUUUUAUAAGAGUUUAGGAAUUUAAGUGUCCUAUUUUAUAAGUUUAGGGACUUAAGCGGAAGGUAUUUAUAAGUUUAGGGAGUUAAAUGUCUCAUUUUGAAGUUUAUGAAGUGAAGUAGGUAAUCGUCCAAAGUUUGGGGGGACAAAGUGGAAUUAACCCGUCAGGCUAUCAAGUCAUACUUAGAUUUACUCUUGUUGAAAAAAUAUCAUCAAAAACCAAAUAUAUUUACUUUGCUAUUAAUUGCAAAAUAAUUCUCUUUGGCCAAAAAAAAAAAGGGUAACAGUGACAUAUAUAGUGGAAUAGAUGAAGUACUUAAACCACUGGGUUUUUGUUCAAUAACUACUAGGAAGGAUUUAAGCUCUUCCCUAAGGUUCGAAUCCUGUCAACAUCAAUUCCGCCAAAUAGCAGCAACCCUAGCAGGUAAACACACUAUAUAAACAAUAAUAAGAGGCGUCUUCGCUCCCCUUACCAUUUUCUUUUCCAAGACCACUCCUUAUAAUAGAAUAGGAUUUCAAAAAAUAAUAAAAAAAAAGGAAGUACUUUUAACCUGGUUGCAUAUACUCGUGCAAAGAAACAUUCUGAAAGCAUCAGACAGUUCACGACCAUGUCCAGGAAAUUUCGUCCGUUCAAAGGCAAACCAGAUGUGGCCCAUUGGUUUUUGGUAUGAAUUUCGUCUGAAAAAGAAGUGCAAGUUUGACGUAUCCGUUGGGUGUGCAAGCACCUUCAAUGCGGCUUCAAUGAGCACAGUGACGUACGUUGUCAACACACAGAAACACGCACUACACGUGAUGAUUCUAAAAUCAAAAUGACCAAUAAGAAUUGCAAUUUUGACCCGUCAUAUUAAUUAUCCUUAAUUAAAUUGUUGCUUUUAAAAGCAAGCAAUGGCUGCUAAAGCAAGGGAAUCCAGUUGAGAAAGACGAUAAGUAUUCUUCAAAAUCAAAAUGGUGUUUUACCACUUUUAAGUUGGAAUUCUUCAAAGAAUCUUGGCAUAGUCAUUCAUCAUUGGCCCGUAUUAGUAGAAAACAACAUGAUAAAGUGACAUAUGCCUUUGUUUUAUAUAUAUAUUUAUUCUUUUCUUUAAGGAUGUUUGAUUUGAUGUACUGGUUGUCGUCAUUAGUGACAAAAUCCAUUGCAAUAUCAUGAAUUAUAUUAAAAAAAAAGAUGAUUAGACUUUGUAGAGUACGAUACGCAAUUAUUUUGUUUGAGUUAUUUGAUUGAUGAUUGAUAUUACGGAUAAUAUCAAACAACUUUCUUGAGGUUUCUCUUUAUUCACCUCGCACCUCUUAAGGUUUUAAAAAAUCACUUAUCUCUCUUACUUUUGUUAUUUGUGUAAUUACAAUUGCACAAGGUAUGUUGGGGGUAUUAAACUUGACAAAAUUCAAGUUAAUUGAUAAGACGUUUUAUCUGUGACUUAUGAAUCUCUGAUUCAAAUUAUAAGGAGGGUAUAUAAAAUUUCACGACACUGUUAUUGUUGUUGAGUGAAAUAAACUAACCUAAAUUAAUCCUUAAGGAAAAUUUAAGAAGUGUAUAUCAAAAACUCUCUGGAAAUCAAACUUCCUCCAAGGAUAAUGCAUCUUUCCUGCUUUCCUCAAUUCAUGAAUGUUCUCAUAUAGUAACGUUCCUCAGUCGUGCUUGAACGAAGAUUAAGAAAAGCAAAUCAAAGAAUUCCUCUAAUACCAAUCAUUCCGUCAGGGUCACUUUUUCUUGUUGUCAAAUAUAUGUGUGUGACUGCGACGUUUAAGCAUAUUCUUUUGAAGAAAGAUCAAGAAUUUGAACCCAAGUUAAACGUCCAAAACCAUUUGCUAAUGAUCCAUCCCAAACUUAGCGACGGCCCCUGGAAAAUUGUCACGAAUUAAUGCUCGUGGGGCAAGUUAACCUAGUCUCAAAUUUUGUGGCUCAAAUUAAAGUCGUUGAAAAGACAUAAAAAAAAAAUAACGUAUUCAAGUUAAGAAAUGAGUUUCAAUUUCAAUCAUAUUCAUAUACAAAGUGUUAUUUAAGCCAAUUAAAAUCAGUUAAUGGAUUUCAUAGAUCCCUUUUACGAGUUUCACGACAAGUAUUAAAUAAUAGGUUUCACUUAUUUCUUAUUUUUUUAUUAUUAAAAUCCAUUGUUAUAGAGUUACCAAAUAUUGUUGGAGUCUUUGUCAAACUCAUUGUUAUGCCGUAAUUUAUUAUACCCAUAAUGUUAGAGAUUGUGAAAUUUGAAGCAAAUGGCUCUUAAGUAAAUUGUGUAUACGAGAUAUAGUUAUGAUUGUAAAAGUAAUUAGUAUUGGCUCAAGAUAAAAUCGUUUAGAAGAUGUAAAGUAUGAUGUACAAUUUCAAGUAAGUUGUGUACAAGAUAUAGUCAUGGUUGUACGAGUAAUUUGUGUCAAGAUGUAUUAGUAUCCUUACAAUUAACUGUUUACCACGAUGAAGAAGAAAUUGAUCAUUACAAAGACCACGAUUGAACGUACAGUCUUCACGUUAAUUUAAGUUUCAUAGUCAGCCCCCCGAAACUUUGGAUGAUUACCCAUUUCAGUCCCUAAACUUCAAAAUGGGACACUUAAACCCUAAACUUAUAAAUACCUCCCACUUAAAGAAAAUUGUUAAUAAAUCCUAAAUGCCGUUGGUGGUCGAAAUGUCCAUUUUAUAAGAGUUUAGGAAUUUAAGUGUCCUAUUUUAUAAGUUUAGGGACUUAAGCGGAAGGUAUUUAUAAGUUUAGGGAGUUAAAUGUCUCAUUUUGAAGUUUAUGAAGUGAAGUAGGUAAUCGUCCAAAGUUUGGGGGGACAAAGUGGAAUUAACCCGUCAGGCUAUCAAGUCAUACUUAGAUUUACUCUUGUUGAAAAAAUAUCAUCAAAAACCAAAUAUAUUUACUUUGCUAUUAAUUGCAAAAUAAUUCUCUUUGGCCAAAAAAAAAAGGGUAACAGUGACAUAUAUAGUGGAAUAGAUGAGUACUUAAACCACUGGGUUUUUGUUCAAUAACUACUAGGAAGGAUUUAAGCUCUUCCCUAAGGUUCGAAUCCUGUCAACAUCAAUUCCGCCAAAUAGCAGCAACCCUAGCAGGUAAACACACUAUAUAAACAAUAAUAAGAGGCGUCUUCGCUCCCCUUACCAUUUUCUUUUCCAAGACCACUCCUUAUAAUAGAAUAGGAUUUCAAAAAAUAAUAAAAAAAAAGGAAGUACUUUUAACCUGGUUGCAUAUACUCGUGCAAAGAAACAUUCUGAAAGCAUCAGACAGUUCACGACCAUGUCCAGGAAAUUUCGUCGCUUCAAAGGCAAACCAGAUGUGGCCCAUUGGUUUUUGGUAUGAAUUUCGUCUGAAAAAGAAGUGCAAGUUUGACGUAUCCGUUGGGUGUGCAAGCACCUUCAAUGCGGCUUCAAUGAGCACAGUGACGUACGUUGUCAACACACAGAAACACGCACUACACGUGAUGAUUCUAAAAUCAAAAUGACCAAUAAGAAUUGCAAUUUUGACCCGUCAUAUUAAUUAUCCUUAAUUAAAUUGUUGCUUUUAAAAGCAAGCAAUGGCUGCUAAAGCAAGGGAAUCCAGUUGAGAAAGACGAUAAGUAUUCUUUCAAAAUCAAAAUGGUGUUUUACCACUUUUAAGUUGGAAUUCUUCAAAGAAUCUUGGCAUAGUCAUUCAUCAUUGGCCCGUAUUAGUAGAAAACAACAUGAUAAAGUGACAUAUGCCUUUGUUUUAUAUAUAUAUUUAUUCUUUUCUUUAAGGAUGUUUGAUUUGAUGUACUGGUUGUCGUCAUUAGUGACAAAAUCCAUUGCAAUAUCAUGAAUUAUAUUAAAAAAAAAAGAUGAUUAGACUUUGUAGAGUACGAUACGCAAUUAUUUUGUUUGAGUUAUUUGAUUGAUGAUUGAUAUUACGGAUAAUAUCAAACAACUUUCUUGAGGUUUCUCUUUAUUCACCUCGCACCUCUUAAGGUUUUAAAAAAUCACUUAUCUCUCUUACUUUUGUUAUUUGUGUAAUAAAACUUUGAAAAACCCAAACUACCCUUUUGCUCAUUUUGCUAAAUAAAAAUACUUUGAAACCACUUUGUUUACUUUAAAAGAAAAAACCACCACCUAAAAAUCAAUUUCUAGUUAUACCACCACAUCACAAAAUUAUAGUCCAUAAAAAUAUAACUUUGGAAAAUAAAAAUAUUUGUAAAAAAAUAUACUGGUACCAAUUCAACCCUUCAUCCUUAAAACCAAUUUCUUAUGAAUUUUUUUUUCCAACCUCUUCUCAGCCUGUGGUCCAAGCCUUUAAGUAGUGCUAAAUCAUUAUAAAAGUGAACUCAAAAUAAACAAGUAAAUCAUGCCCACCUUAUCACAAUUACAAAAAGAAAAAGGUAGAUAAAAUUUAAUUUAUUAUAAUUUACAAAUAAAAAUUCGCAUAAUCAUCCAAAAAAAUAAUAAAAGAGAAUGUUGGAGAAGAUAAAAGAGAGGAAAGUGAAUGUUGAUUCUUUUACUUUAAUUUUUUGAGUUCCAUUUAUAUGAUAUGUGAAUUAUGUACCACGUGAGGAUUAAUAUAGUUAUUUUGUAAUUAUUAUGGGAGGUAAAUUAUUUUUUAUAAUUUUAAGGAUGUUAGUGAUAUUAAGAAAAAUAUCGAGGGAGGUUUCUGAUAUUAUCCCUUGAUAUAAGUACAAUGGCAACUAAGCACAAUGUAUUAUAAGGAUAUCCAUUUGUCACUUCUGUUAAUGAACGAUUUUUAUAAUUGCCAAGAAUCAGAGAAUCACUUUACGGUAGAUACCUAUGAGUAUGUGGGCAACUUUUAAUCUACUAAUCUAUUUGCACCAGUGUGUGAUUGAAGAAUAAUGGUAAAAAAAAAAAGAAAAAGAAAUCCUACCACACAUCUAUAUCUACCGUCUGUACAUUGUCAGUGUAUAUAAAAUUAAUAUUAAACUUUGCUGGGCUAAUAUUAAGCUUGUAUUAAUUUCGAAGUCAAUUUUUCCUUGACCGUGGACCUCGAACAUCAAGCUCUCAAAUUUCAGGUGAUUCAUUGGAGGCCGGAUACAGAAAAAUAAGCCAGAAAAUCACCAAUUCUAGAAGCCUAAGGUCCAACUAUUGAAAUUUGCCGUUUGGACUACAUUUGCUUCAUCCCUCUUCCAGUCUUGCUCAGCCUCCAAUUUUUACAUUGACAAAAUUUGGCGGCCGAGUUUUGGACUGUUGGCCCCAUCCAACCCAAAAAAAAACUUCAACAGAUAACUUGUCAAGGCACAAUAACUUGUCAAGGAUCAAGGGCUAGAAAUAUAUACACACACGCAACCACCACGUCGCAUACAUCUUUUUAAAUGUCACGUGUAGAAUUUACAAAAGGGAAAAUGAUUAGUUUCAUUUCUCAUAUUUUACAAAAAUAUUCUAUUCGUCCUCACUUUUAAAACGAAACAAAAUCUUCGUUGACAUUUAAAAACUAAAGAUAUUGCAUCUCUGAAAUCAACUUUCAAUCUGAAUCCAAUCACCCAACAACUUGAUUACAAAUUUCGGGGGUAUAAUUGAUAGAUCACUUGAUCAAAUCAACUUGAUAUUCACAUGAAAUUUAAUGAACUCAAAAAGAAAAAAUAAAUAAUUAUAAUGUAAAAGAGAAGGAUCAAUCUUUCCUACAUUGUCAUUAUAUACACUGGUGGUCUAGAUAUCCGUCACAUCAUUUCAAUUCAAAUUUAAACACCAAACAUUGUGUGUAUGAUAUACAUCUAGACUCGUAAGUGUAUACAUUGACAGUGCAUGAAAAGAUUUAUCGAAAAAGAAAACCACUAUUCCAAAACAAAUAACGACCCCUUUAAGUUAUAAUUUUUUAAUUUUUUUCCUUUUUUGGUUCAAUAAAUGUCAUGUGAAUGUAAUGAAGUUAACUGAGUGAUUUAUCAAUUUUCUCCCCAAAAUUUAUUACCAGGUUACUUAAUUGUUUGAUUCAGAUUGAAAGUUGAAUUCAGGAUUGUAAUGGUUUCAAUUUUUAAAUGCUAGGACGAAUUUGUUUCGUUUUAAAAGUGAGAGAUGAAAUAAAUAUUUUUACAAAAUAUGAGGGACGAAACAAGUCAUUUCCUUUACAGAAAGUUUUCUAAAUUUAUAUUGUGUUGAAAGUGAUUUACAUCUUGAAAAAACAAACUUAUAUUCCAUUGAAUUAAGCAGAACCGUUUUGGAACGGUUGGACUAGCAAUCAUCCAUACCCGCCGUAGACAUUUGGUACAAUUGUAGAAGAUACUUAUGAAUUUCUAUUUCAUCAUUUAUAGUUUCGAAUAAUCAAACGCGAAAAACGAAGUGUAAUUCUCCAUGAAAUUAACUAAUACUAAUUUCUUCUAGAAAGUAACAAUCUUUAAUGGACACGGAAGCUGUGGUUAGUCUUUGACUGGAAUUUGUGGUUUAUCACUCCGUACAUAAAUGGAUAUCAUCUAUUUGUUGUUCUAUACGUAAAUGUAUCACGUAUAAAUGGUCUGUAUACAUAGCUUGUAUCCAACGAGAGAAAUCAACCCGUCUACGGGUAGGUUAUGCAAUAGCUGAUGUUGAAAAAAUUAAUAAACAAAUAAAAGAGAAAAAAAAAACAAGUUUAGAUGGCAAAAUUCUAAGAGGAUUGGAUUUCCCAAGUUUUUUGCUCUUGAAAAAGAAAGCUCGACAGAGGAAAAUUGUAGAGCAAAGGCAGAUUCAAAUUCCUAUUUCUUUUUAUUUGAAAAAAGUGGGAAAUAGCUAGUUGAGAAGCACAGCAAUUCCAGAUUUGUCGAAUGUCUCAAAAGUUUGAUCAACUACCCGAAAAAAGUUUGAGAGUCCCGAUCGUUAUUUUUCCCACUGAAAAAAAAUUUCUAAUUUUGAAGAAAGAGGUAUGUUAUAGGGUUUGAUACUGUUAAUUAUAAUUGCACGAUCAGUAUAUGUAUUAUCGUAACAUGUAAGAUACGUAAAGUUAAUAAAUUCAGUAAACUUCAAAUCAAUUGAUAAGACGUUUCACACAUAACCUAUAGAUCUCUGGUUCAAAUCACCAAGAGAAUAGAUGAAGUUUCAUGACUCUUUUGUUGCUACCAAUUGAGGAAAUUAUAAGUUGUGUAUGUCAACAACUCUCGCAAGGUAAACAACAUCCUCAAGGAUCAUUAAUCUCACAAUGUUGCUCUCUCCUCAAUUAAUUCAUGAACAUUCUCACCUUCCUUCGUUCCUUCCUUGUGCUUGCAUGAAGAUUAAGACAAGCAAAUCAAUGUAUACCACUAGAAAACAAUCAAAGAUGUCCUUUAAUACCAACUGCUCCCCCAGUGACACUUUUCCUAGUAGUCAAAUCAAAUAUGUAUGACCAUGACCAAAUGAACGUGAGGAUCCUCCUCCUUAAUUAAACAACUCCCACGCAAAUCCCCAGGAAAUAAUUAUACAUUUAUUAUUGAUCACAAUCACUUUUUGAUAGGAAAAUAUGCAGACAAACUUUUUGAAAAUAAAGCUUUCUCUCUGUGGUGUGACGAUAAUCUGUUGCUUUGUUUUUGUCAUUUUCAUAACUUUCUGAAAAAUUUUAACUGACAUGCUUUCUCUUGCUUUUGCUAGACUCUUUCCAUUUUUUUCCCAAUCACUUGCAGAGAUAUGAUUAACUUGCAGAGAAAGUGCAGAGAUAUGAUAUUAUUAAUCACGGCAUGCUUUUCUGUGGCACAAUGUUUUACUAUAGCAUGUCUUCUUUUAAGGACGCAACCUGACAAGAUUGUUUAUUUCUCAUGACUGUUGGAUUCGUUAAUCUUUUGAUAAUUUAAUCAGUUAGCUCUAAAGGAAAUUUCCAUCAAUUAGCAAAUGCCAAUUGUCAAUUGUCACUUAACCCAAAAACAAUUUUUUAGCAAAUUAAUCUAAGAAAUGGCAAUUGAUAUUUGUGAGAAACAAAUUCCUUGCUGACAUGGGACAGAACAGAUGUACACUAUCCUGUGACCUUGGAAUUUUUUAAACCAUCAUCUUUACGUUUGAAGAAAUUAAGGUGCAUAUGAAAUUUAUGAAAAGGGUGAAUUAAAAUAGUGAAUUAAUAGAAAUUCGUGUGCAUAAUUCUGUUUUUCUUUUUCAAUACAAGGCUUUUCUUUGAAGUCAGUGGAUAUUUCGAAUUGACGGGAAUCUAAACCUUACACAGGAAAGGGGGAAAUGGAAGGAUUUAAAAGUCAAAUCAGGAAUCUCGUGAUAACUUGAUUAACAUCCCAAUCGAUUGGUCUAGAUCUUUAAGACAAAUUAGUGGAUACUUCACCAAUAUAAAUUGGAAGAUUUCAAAUUUUACAAAGUUAAAUUUUGAAAAGAAAUAAAUUCAUAACGGAUAUUCUUAAGGCACUCAUUAAUACAUCUAAUAUUACAAAUUAUUGGAUACUUUUUUACCACGUGGACAAAUGCCACUGACCACUUCCUAAUGAAUAUUCUUAAGGCACUCGUUAAUAUAUCUAAUAUUUACCUAAUCUACUAUAUAUAUAUAUAUAUAUAUAUGUACAUACACUUCUUAGAGUUUCUACAGAUGUAUACAAAACAACCCAUCAUUUUGGGGGAAAAAUGCAUUAGUGACCCGUGCAACUAAUAUUGAAACUUGCAGAAGACAGUGGAUUUGGUCUCUCCUUAAGGAUAUGAGAGUUUAACACUAGGAGCAUAAAUGGCAUUAUUUGCACAGGUUGGGUCUAAAAAGCAUCUGUAUUGGGAGGGAGCAAUUAGUAGGAUUUCGACCUUAGGAAUAAGGGUGUCUAAUUAUGAGACAGACGUAGACGUUGAACUGUUAUAGAUCUUCCUAUGUGAACCACGUGGCCAUGAAAACUAUAAAUUCUGGAACAAUUUCUACGUGCAUACAUCUGUAAUUCACUUCAUGAAAUAGAGUGAUGUAGAAACAAGAAAAAAAGUAAUGGCUGAAUUUUUGUUUACUUGAGUUGAAAUUAACCAUUAAUCAGUCCCCACAUCCCACUGUAACCUUUUGAGCAUCUUCUUUUGAAGAAAGAUCAAGAACAAGAGCCCAAGGUAAACGGCCAGAACAUUACGCUGAUAAGCAAAAUCUCAAACUAAAGUCAUUGAAAAGAAAUCAAGAAAUGAUUUACAAUUUGAAGUAAUUAAUGGUGUAUACAAGGUAAACUCAUAAUUGCACAAGUAAUUUUUGCCAAGACAAAGUAGUAGGUAACUAUUAAGAAUUUACUAUAUGAUGAACAAGAAAAUAAUUACCUUUGCUAUACUGUGUAUAUAUAUAUAUUCUUCUUCUUGUCAAAUUUGAGUUUUUAAAUCCAUUACCAAUUGGGUUGGUGAAACUUAAUUUUGUAUAAAUUUCUUCAGUUUUCGUUUUGUCAAAAUAUAGAGCUUCCUUGUGGUUGUUUUGUUGUAUUUGUUUUACUUUGAUUGAAAGAUUGUCACCAAAAAAUUAAAUUAAGAUGCCUGCUGUUGAUUGCAAUAUACUCUUGUUUGAUCAACAAACCCUAGUUAGGGUUAAAAAAGAUUAACCUUCUUAAAUUCCCUCCCCUACUUGAGGGGAAAAAUAUUAACCUUCUUAAAUUCCACCACUUCUCCACGAGGACCCCCAAAAAAAAAUUGAUUCAUCUUUUUAAUUCCCACCCUUCUUGCAUGAAAAGAAACUAUUGUCGCUGUUAAAUCAUACUAGUAUGUAUCCAGAAAAUAUUGUACUAGGAAUGUAGCAGUAUAUUUAAAGAUGAAGAAUGUGCGUGAAAUUUUCGAAAAAGGUGAAAUAAGAUAGUGAUUAAUAGAAAUAUGUUUGCAUAUAAUUUAUUUUUUUCAAUAAAAAAAUUAAAUUGACAUCAGCGGAUACAUUGAUUUGAUGGAGAAUCCGACCCGUAUGAACCUGAACGUCAAAUUAAGAAUUUAAUGUCUGUCCUAGAUAAAUUAGAUUAUGAUGACAAAUCGUUAUUUAAGCAGUUACAAAAUUAAAGAUUUAUUAGAGUUCAACACGUUUUCCACGAGGAUAAAUGUACUAUUCUUGACUAAUUGGGCGCUAAAAAGCAUCUUUAUGAGUAUGGAGUAAUCAGUAAAACUCAGUCUAAUUGUAAGACAGACAUAGACAUUGAAGCUAUUGAGAAUCUUUCUCCUGUGAAGCAUGGCAAGAUAUUAAAUUCUGGAAUAUGCAUUUCACUUUCCAAAAAUGAUAUAUAUUUGAAUUCUAGAAAAAUUUGGAUAUGCAAUGCAUUUGUAAUUUACUUCUUAAAAGGCCAAAAUUGCCUGAUGUAGAAACAAGUGGAGAACUUAAAGAGUUGGAAAAUUUAUUUAGUUCUGUUGAAAUGAACCAUUAAUCAAUCCCUAUGUCCCGGGAAGGUUAGGUUGGGUUGAAUGGUGGUAAGGUUCGGGGUGGGGGGGGGGGGAAUGCACUUUUAUCCCCAAUGUUUGGAGUGUUGAACAAUUUCGUUCCUAAAAUUUUAGGCAAAACAUAUUUUAUUCUCGUAGUUUUAUAAUUUGGAUCAAUUUCAAUCUUGAAAUUUCAUGCAAAUACAUUUCAUUCUCAUAGUUUCAUAAAUUUGAUCAACUAAGGACAAUUGAAUGAUUGCUAACCAAUUUGGACGGAAUAUCAUCACAUCACUAGCAUGUCCCAUUAAUAUUUGUAUUGCUAAUAAUUAAUUCGGUUAUCGAAUUAAUUACAUAAAUAAUAAUGAGUUGUUUGGAUAGGAGAUUUUUUUUUUAAAAUUCAUGAUAUGAUAUAUGUGAGAUAAAAAAAAUAGAUUUGAUAAAAGAUAAACUAUUUGAAAAAACAUGUAUAUGAUGCAAAAAUACAAAAUUUUGCAAAUAAAUGAAAAUCAAAACAAUUCUUUUUUCAAAUUAAUUUUUUUCUCCAAUUGGUAGCAAUGGGAUUGUUUCAUAUUUUUUUCUCCAAUUGGCUAUAAUGGGUUGUUUCUUCUUCACAACUUCGUUUCUUCUUAAUCUUUUUGUUCAAUUUGUCAUUAAAAAGAGAGUAACUUUAGUUUUUUUAAAGAAAGGAGACAGUAAAUUAAAAUAUGAUUUUUGAGUUUUUUGUUAAUCCAAUUCUUUUUAACUAAUGAGCAUGUCGUGGUCAAAUGAUGAUAUUCCAUUCAAAUUAAUUGGCAAUCCAUUAAUUGUUCUCAAUUAGUCAAAUUUAUAAAAAUAUGAAGAUGAAAUGCAUUUGCAUGAAACUUUAGGGACGAAAUUGGUUGAAAUUAUAAAAUUAAGAGGAUGAAAUGUGUUUUAACUGAAAUUUUAGGGAUGAAAUUUUCUCAUGCCCCAAACAAUAGGGAUGAAAAUUGUAUUUUUCUCUAAUAAAAUGGAACAGAUUGUAAGUAAAAAAUCAUGAAUCGAGGACCUUCCACUAGAGAAAAAUAUGCGUAUCCCACUCUGCUUUUGAGCAUAUUCUUCUGAAUAUAAAAUCAAGAAUUUAAAGAACCUAAGUUAAACGCCCAAAACCGUACGCUAAAAUGAGAAACCACAAACUUAGAGACGUCCCCAUGGAAUUGUCACGAUUCUCGGAGCGCGUUGACCUAGACUCAAUUUUUUGUGGCUCAAAUUGAAAGUCCUUGGAAAGACAUAAAAAACUAGCAUACAAUUUAAAUUAAGUCAUAUACAAGGUAUAAUUAUAAUUAUUUUGUAAGUAAUUUGUGUUGGCUCAAAUUAAAGCCGUUGAAAAGACAUAAAAAAAUGGCGUAUAAUUUGAAGGAGAUCUUGUACAAGAUAUAGCCAUAAUUAUACAAUUAAUUUGUGUCAAGAUAAAUUAGUAUCCUUACAAUUAAAUGCUUACUACGACAAAGAAGUUAAUAAUCAUUACAAAGACUACCUUUUUUUCUUAAUAACAAGAACAAAAAUUCAUUAAUUAGAAACAGAAGGAGUCGAUCAAACUUAAUAUUUAGGAUAAGUUUCUUCAUAUAUAUAUAUAUAUAUAUAUAUAUACUUCAGAACACAUUAAUUUUUUGUUUAAAUUUUCUCUUGUUGAACAAAUAUCAACAAAAACUUUGUAAAAUAAGGUCUUGUUUGGAUUGCAUUUUUUGAGUUUUUAUAGAAAAUGUACUGUAACGAUUUGAUAUAUGUGAGGUAAAAAAAUUAUUAAGAAAUGUAUUCACGAAAAAUGUAAAAAAAUUUUGGUGAAAAUUGACUUUCUAAACAAACCUAGAUAAAAAAAAAAAAAAGAAGAAGAGUUAACUAUGACCUUGUAGUAUUUUAAUUCACAUGCAUGCAACAGAACAUUCUAAAGAAAAAAACAUCAGAAGCUUCACAGCCACGUCCAGGGGACAUAGACUCUUCAAGGGUAAAGCAGAUAUGGCCCAUUGGUUUUUCGUGUGAAUUUCACCUGCAAGAGAAGUACAAGUUUGACCAUUGACCAAUGACCAAUCCAUUGGGUGUACAAGAACCUUCAAUGAGCACAAUGACGUACAUUUUUAACACACAGAAAAACACACACUAAACGUGAUGAUUUUAAAAAUCAAAAUGACCAAUUAGAAUUGCAAAUUUGACCCGUCAUAUUAAUUAUCCUAAGCAAGCAAUGGCUGCUGCUAAAGCUAGGGAAUCCUAAUUGAAUAAAUAGGAUGAAAAGUAUUCUUCAAAAUUAAAAUGGCAUUUUACCACUUUUAAGUUGGAAAGGUAUUCAAAGAAUCUUGGCAAUCCAUUCAUCAUUGACCCAUAUUAGUAGAAAACAAAAUGAUAUAAAGUGACAUAUGCCCAUUUUUAUAUAUAUAUAUAUAUAAUAUAUGAUCUUCUUUAAGGAUGUUUGAUUUGAUGUGUUGAUUGUCGUCAUUAGUGACAAAAUACAUUGCAAUAUCAUGAAUUCUAUAAAGAAGAUGAUUAGACUUUGUAGAGUAUGGUACCUAAUUAUUUGACUGGUGAUUGACAUUAACUUAAGCACAAUUUAUUACAAGGAUAUCCAUUAGUCACUUCUGUUAGUGAAAGAUUUUUAUAAUUGCCCAGAAUCAGACAAUUGUUUGGAUAGAGUAUUAUUUGAAUAAUUACUGUAACACUUUUUACGAUGUGAUGUAUGUGAGAUAAAAAGUGAUUGAAAAUAUAAAAAUGAGUUGAAAAAUAUGUUUAGAUGCAAGCAAAUAUUAUUUGAGAUAUUUUUGCUAUUUAAACACGCCACUGAUCACAUAGGUAACAAGCAUGUCCAUUUGGGCAACUUUUAAUGUACUGAUCUAUUUGCACCAGUGUGAUUGAAGAAUAAUGGUGAAAGCUAAAAACCAAGAAAUCUUGCGACAUCACUGAUAAUGGACCUUCAAAACAUUUGAACUUCUAUAAUAGUUAGAGAUAAGCAAGCUUAAUCUAUUGUUUUCAGAAAAGGGAAAAAUGUCACUUCAGCCUCUUCAGCAAGUUUUGGAUGGUUUUCCUUUAUAAGAUUACAAUUAUUCCGUAAUUUAAGAAAAUUACCUUGUUUUGGAUUGCUUUAAAUACAUCUAAAACAAAGGUGUGAAGGGCGUAAAAUAAUUACCAAAAAAUUAUUUAUUUGUAUCAUAAACACAUUUUUUAAUAUAUUUUUUUAUUUUUUAAUCACUUUUUUUGUCUCACAUAUAUCACAUCACAAAUAUAUUACAGUAAUUAUUUUAAAUAGUGUCCAAACACACCUGCCUGAAACAAACAAACACAUCGUACAACAAAAUUUUUCCCAUGAAGGCAAUUUGAUAAUUACAGUUACAUCUAUUAUAUUCUCAGUAAUUGUUCGUAAAAACGAAAAGUUCUACGAGGGUCGAAAUUGUUUUAUACAAAUAACCAUUUUUAAUGUUUUAAAAUUUUUUUUUUAAUCAAGUGAAAAGACCAUUCAGCCUAUCACUUGCUAAAACGUACAUGUUGACAUCUGAAGCUAUAACUGGAGUACCAAUCAAGUCAUUCCAUUUAAGACCAAAAAUCCAUUUUCGUGACCAAAUGAACAAAAUCCAUUUUCAUGACCAAAUGAACCAAACAUGACUUGUCGAUGACGAAGCACAAAACCAUCUUUGCUUUUGUCAUUUGUCCCUUCCUAAUUUUGCCUAGCCGGUUGUUGGGAAGGGGAACAUUUCUAGUACAAUCAUAUGUUUUCUUGCUCGGAUCCUUAUUUUUCACACUAAAGGAAAAGAAAUGUCGGAGAUAGCAAACAUGAGAAUCGACAUAAUUUCGAAUUUUUCAAAGUUUGGUCUCAGGCAUCGAUAGUUUUUUCUUUUUCACCUCUUAAAUGAAGUUUCUGGAUGGGUUAUUAGUUUAAAAGAUAUCCAUAUUUUUCAAAUAAGCAAAACUUACUUUUAAGCGUCCGGUGCCUGUUGAACAAUCAUUAAGAUGUAAUUCAGGUAUUAGAUUUUUUGAAAGGUAAUAUUAAUUGAGGAUAGUGUAUUAAUAUAAGGGCGGGUAGUAAGUGCUAGUGUGGGUGUAUCUAUGAUAGGUUAGAUGAAUUUUAUGUGUAAUAAUGAGCAUUCAAUGUGCACUUGUUAAAAAAACUUAUUUUUAAUAUGAUGUGGAAUACAUCCACAUCUACAGCAAAUAGACCAACUUUAUCAUUAAUUCUUCUUGUUCAAUAUGCCUAGUUAAAAUAUCAAUUAAUCUUUCCUACACUGAUAGUGUAUACAUUAUUAUAAUUUUGGAUGAAUGACAACUAUAUAAAAUUUGAAUUUGAAAUCCAAUAUGUGCACAUGCGUCAUAAUGAUGAUAGUAUAUACACUGUCAAUGUAUAUAAAAUUUAUUCUUAAAAUAUCUCGUUGAAAUCCCGCCAUCUGUGAUAGUUUAUAAUAUGAGCUUAUGGCAUAGAUGGGUCAUUAAGCACUUCAUUGCUUAUAUGUGGUAAUAUUUUACUUUGUAUGUUUUAACGAUAGUUUUUUCCUAAUCGGUACCCUUUGAAUAUUGUGUAAUUAAUUGAUGGAUUUAUUUUCUAUACACUGAUGUUGUAUACACUUUUACUAUUAGAUACAUAACACAUAAUUUGAAUUUAAAUUUGAAACGAAAAUUUUGCAUAUGAGUCAAGUAUCCAACAGUAAUAGUAUAUACACUAUCUGUAUAUAUAAGAUUAACUCUUAAUUCAUACCAAAAUUGUAAAAUGCUUGUGCACACUUAUAUUUAUUGUCCACUUUUGUACUUAUAUACUUUUCCUAUAAUAUUUUAAUUUUCUACCACCUAUUGCCAACGUCCCUUAAAGAAUGCCCAAUCGUUAAACAAAACCUCUACAAUCAAUAUGUGAUAUAGCAUCAAAAAGGGAAAAAUAAAAAAUGAAAAAGCAAAAAAAGAAAACCCAAUGUGUACAACUCACAUAAAGUUAGGUUGUGAAUUAUAAGAAGCAUAAUUCUCGAAGGUUGGAUCUCGAAAUAUUUUGUUUCUUAAAAUUCUUGAUGUAUAACUUUUUAGCUUUAAUUGUGAUUUAUAUGUCUUGGACAUCUACUGUCUUAAUUUUGACUUAAGUGUAGAAUUUUACUUAAGCAAAAAAAGAAGCUAGGGAGAAAAUUAGGCAUAAUAAAUCUUUCUUGCACCAAAAAAAAUAAAGAGGAAAAUAUAAUUUCCUUCAAACUCUAGGCCACUUUGAUCUGCAACUUCACAUUACCCAAUCUUAUCUUAUAUUAAAGAAAGAUCUUACAACUCAGAGGGAAGUGAAAUUGUGGUGCACGUACUUACAGUAACAUGAGAGAUUAAAUAAUUAAAGCCCAUUUAAUUAGAUUAAUUCAAGGGAUAUUUGGGUUAAUUUCGAUUUUGUUGCAACUAAGCCACACACAAAGCACAGAAAAACGUGUCAUAUUCAGACAAUAUUUUUAGCUUAAGCAGGAGUACGUUCAUAGGUAACUAAAGAUAAGUGAUGAAAUUAAUAAACAAUUUAGUUUAGUUUUGAUUAAGGAUGCGUUUGAUAAAAUUGAAAUAUGAAAUCUGAAUUUAUUAAGUUAUUAAAUUAUUAAGUAUUAAAUUUGAUACAUUUGAGUGUAAUUAAAUGAUAAAUGGAUAGUCUAUUACUUAUUUUUGGACACAAGUUUAAUCUAGGAAAUUUAGUGCUAUUAAUUCAAAUAUUUAAUUUUUUAUUAUCAAACACGUCUGAACAUGUUAAGAUCUAAAUCGAUUAAAUUUAAAUAUUAAAUUGAAUUAUCAAACAUGACUAAGAUAAUAACAAUCUAAUUUACGUAAGACAAUUUCUUAAAAGUAAAAAAACAGAAAAAAGAAAAGAAAAGAAAAGAAAAGAAAGGACAAGACAAUAUAGUCACGGUCAACUUCGGAACUGGAUGUUAAUAUUCGUGUCCGGAACUGGAUUUUAGUAUUCCAAGACCAUUUGAGACCGCCGCCGUUGCAGUCGGGCGUUUAGCGUGGGAUGCACAAUGUUUGUAUAUUUUGACCAUAUUAUCCACAUACAUCAAGACAUGAUAAUUGUCAAAACAAAAAAAAGUAAUAAAGUUAAGGUUUUUUUUUUAUCAAUUUAUACCUACAAGAUAAUUGCACCAAAUAAAAAAAGUUACUCUGAGCCUAUAGGAUAGAAGAACCCCCAAAUUAUGAGAAAAUCAAAAUUAGGAUGCUAGAAUUGCACAUGAAGUGGUUGGAUGUGCUUUUCUGCUUUUUUUUUUUUUUUCCAAGAGUUAUUGUGACAUGUGCCCUCUAAUUGAACUUGUAUUGUGAAUUUUUUUUUUUGGUUUUUUGAAUUUUUAAAAAAAAAUUUAUAUUUUUCGUGAAUAUAUUUUUAAAUUAUUUUUUUACCUCACAUACAUUAAAUUGUUACAGCACAUUUUUUUUAUUAUAAAAAUUUCAAAAAAUAGCCAUCCAAACGGGCUUCAUUUGAUAACUGCCAAACAUUUGCUUGAUUUGAUGGAUCACAAGUGGAAGGUCCCAUAUUUGGUUAUUUCUAAAAAAUAACUUGAAGUUCGUUAAAACACAACUUUGAGGAACCCAAACUUAACUAUCAGAUGGGUGUGGCACCAAUUUCCUGAAGUACUGUUGGUCUCAAUCGACUUCAAACUUCAUAUCAUUUGCAAGAAGAUAUCAACAAGUUUUCUUUAAAAGGUAAGUAAGGCAAAGGCAGUAAAAAUAAUCCAUAAGAUCCUAUUUAGUUCUCAAAUAAUAAAAAGAUAUUCACCAAGCUUCUAAGGUUUUUCAGGUAGUCUAAUUGGCUUUUGCCAAACCUCUAAACCAACUUGUCUAGACAUGUAACUUCGAAAGGUUUGCAAGAAAUCCAAUUGAGAUAAUCCUUCUUGAAGCUGUUGACAAUUUGAUUGAUUGUGAAUAUUACUCGAUUUUGCACCAAUACCGUCAAAUGAAGGGUACUUGUAAAAGCAAAAUAGCUCACUCUUAAGAAAUCCAGUUGGACUUUUGGCCAAAUAUGCUGUGGCAAAACUCCCAGAUGAAUCAGAAUCAGUAGAUCAGCCAUUUGGGCAUUUGCAUAUAAAAUCAUGGCUCUGUCUGUAUACAUAUUUCAGGUAUUCUAUUUUUUUGAAAAUAUAAAAUUAAUUAGAGAAAGUAAAUAAAUGUAAGGGAGGAUGAAUAAGAUUAAAUAGAAAAAGUAUAUAAUUGUAAGGGAACGUAAUAAUUAUUAGUACAUAUAUAUAUAUGGGGUAAAUUAGGUAAAUCUUAGGUGUAUAAAUGAGUGCUUAACGGGCAUCCAUUAGAAAAAUCCUAAUAUCAUGACAAUCAUAAUAUGCCACCAAAUUAACCAUAUUAUUUGCCAAGCCUUAAAGAAUUAAUACGUGCUUUAAACUUGACAAAUCUUUAAAUUGCCCAAUUGGUCCGAUUUCCUCAAAUCAAACUCCCUUUCGUAAUUAAAGUGUCAAACUGAUAAUUCUUGCAACAAUUAGCAAAGCAAGGAUGUCAUUAUAGCUCCUUGGCCAUUGGCUAUUAUAGUAAAUGGACAAUAUGUUGUUCUUCUUCAUCUAUUGAUCCAUCUUUGUGCAUAUUUUGAUUGAGUUUCAUGUGAUUUGAGCUUCUAUUCUCUUUCGUCAACCCCAUAUGCCAAAACUAAUGAAGCAAACAUUGAAAGAAGAAACCAUGACAUGAUAAGAUCAAGACUGAUUAGUGGGAAUAAGAUAAUGCAAGAACAAAGUCCAUUCACAAAUUCUAAGUCAUUACCACAAAGAUUGGCCCUCUUCAUUCUAGAAUAUAAAAUUGCCACCUCAUCACAUAGGUAAGAGCCAAAGAAGUGAAGAGAGUCCUUGGUCAACUCUUCCUUGCUUAAUCUUACUCUCCAAGCCAUUAAACUGCAGUCACAAAACAAUCUCAAAUUGUUCAAAAUUUUCAACCCAUCUUAAAAGUAGAACCCUCUAGACCUCCAAGACCUUCAAGAAAUUUCAUAUAAUUCAAAACCCUUCCUCUCUUUAUAAACCCCCUUCCCAUCCAAUUUUCCAUCCAAAUCCCACCUUGUAUAUUUGUUUGCCUCUCUCCCUCGCUAACCAUCCCAGUCCAUUCCUUUUCUCCCACACUUUUUUACCCUCCUUAUUUCUCUCUUUCCAAGGACAAAACACCCAAGCCAAGCAAAGCAAGAAACCUCAAGCAAGCAGCUCACAAAGCAGGCUAAGCUAGAGCAGGUCCAGCAGGAUAACAAGAUGGGCACUAUGGUGGGACAUGUGGCACCUGGAUUUGGCUUCUUCCUAAUUGGGCUCUGGCAUUUAAUCAACCAUGUCAGGCUUCACUCUCUCCAUCCAAAAUCCUACACAUCUUUGCCAUGGUUUCCCACUUCAAAAAUCAGGUACUUGGAACAUUUUCUUGAUCAUGGGAGGCUGCCUUGCCUCAAUAUCCAUGGAGCUCUUCAUUGGUCCACACAGGCACCAACCAUUGGACACUGAUGGCACCAUCCCAUCAUACCACCUUCACAACUUUGAGCACUCAAACAUAUCCUUGACUUUCUUUGUCUAUUCACUUUUCUCCAUCAUUCUUGACAAAAUCCAGCCCCCAGCCCAUUAUAGCCUAACUCUAAUGCUAGGAGCCAUUGCUUUUGGCCAGCAAUUUCUCCUCUUCCACCUCCACUCCGCUGAUCACAUGGGUGUGGAAGGGCAAUACCACUGGCUUCUGCAAAUUGUCAUUUUUGUCUCACUUUUGACCACCCUUUUAGGCAUAGGUUACCCCAAGAGUUUCUUGAACAGUUUCAUAAGGUCUCUCAGCAUCUUGUUCCAAGGAAUUUGGCUGAUGGUCAUGGGAAUCAUGCUUUGGACACCAGAGUAUAUUCCCAAAGGGUGUUUCAUAAACGAAGAGGGUCAUAAAGUUGUCAGAUGCCAAAAUCAUGAAGCCCUUGAAAGAGCCAAGUCACUAGUGAAUAUUGAGUUCAGCUGGUACCUGGUUGGAGUCACAAUUUUUGGCAUGUGUGUUUACUUGGCACUCUACAGAAUGUUCCCUGAGAAAGUUGAGUACCAAUCUUUAACAAAAUUUGAGGAUCAAGAACUGGAAGAUGAUGAUUUGGAGGCUCAAAAAAGGAACAAAGUUGGAGGGACCAAGGCAAGUUUUCUUCCUCUGGGAAAGUCAUUGGAACUAACUGAUAUGGAAAGGUAGUAGAAGUAGAGGGGAAACAGGGGAAGAAAAGGAAAGGGGAGAAGAGGGGAAAUUUGAUUGUUAAAGAGUUGUAAAAAGAUUAGUAGAUUAGUUGGUGUGUGUCCACUUUGUUUAGUUAAGCCUACAAUAAUAUUGGCUUAGUAAAACCAGAGUUUGAGGGACCAAAAAAGGGAAAAGGGGAGGAAAAAGUUUGUGGUGUGAUAUUAUUGUUUGGUUUGCUUUGAUGCCUUUUAGUUGAGACUAAAUUUGGUGUCUUCUAUUUGUUGUAAAGUACAAAGGAGGAAAAAAAAAACAGAGAGUUGUUUAUAGGAGAAAAUUUAUUACUUUAAUAUUUUGCUAAACAUUUUUAGUCAAAUUUGUAAAUGUCUAUAUAUAUAUAUAUAUAUCCAAUUCUGGAUAACCUUUUCUCAAAUCAAAGUCUCUGUUCAAUUAAUAUGGUCCGUGCAGAUCUUUUCCUGCAAAGGUUGUUACUUGUUGGGACCAUUACCAACUGUAACUUUGAAUUUUGAAUGUUGAAUCUUGAUCAGGAUUGUCCUGGUUUAUUUAUUGGCAGAGUAGAUAAUAUCUCACCUCUGCUAUGAUCUUCCUCAAUCCUUCCAAGUUCCAGCAUUCGGGCAUGGCAUUUGUACUUUUGUUGAUUUGACAACUCACAUAAGAAUAAUUUUGGACAUUCAAUCUGUAAAAUAAUUUCAAGAAUUAAAAAUUGUUUACAAAGACACGUUUGAAAAAACAAAAGAAAACAAGAAAGCAAAUUUCAGAGAUGCAUGGAAUAUUCAUUAUGAGCUUAUCCAAGCUUCUCGCCAAAGUCACACCAGAAGCAGCAGCAACUUCUAUGAACUUUAGAAAGCAAUAUGAAGAAAUUUCUGAGCAAUUUGAAACUUGAAAAUGACCAAUUCUAUUCUAUUCAGUGCCUGCACUGCUAAUGUCAAUUAUAAUGAUACUAAUGAAUGGCCUCUGAUAAAGUGAUGAGUUAGUGUCAAGCCCCCAACAGGCUUGAAAUUAGGAUUAGAUACUCUAAUGUAGGCCAAUGGGCUGCCUAUUUAAUUGUGUUUGUAAUAAGCAAUUAUUUGAUGCAACCUUUCUCAACUUUCCUUACUGCAUCUUGCUCCCACAUUUUCAGUUGAUAAAGCAUGCAAAACAAUUGUCAUUUUAACUGCUAGAUUAAUGAGUAGAUGUUUGGAAAAUUAUGUCAAAAAGCUACCUGUAAGUCAUAUUAUUAGUAGUCAAAAUCAGUCGGAUAAGAUUUAACAGUUUUGUAGGCAACUUUUGGUUUAAAAUAGCUUGUGUUGUUAUUAUUCCAUUUUAAAAGAAUUCAAGUAGUUAUCAGCUAUAUAGUCUAACAUGGUGGUGGAUGAAAUUUUGAAGGAUUUCCUAAUGGUUAACUAUAGCAAAAUGUUACACGUACCCUUGUUUGGAUUUCAAUUUUUCAACGAAAAAUUUUGACGUUUUUCAUGAUCAUAUUUGUCAAUCACCUUUUAAUCUUACAUAUAUCGAAUCGUUAUAAUAUAUUUUUUCUAUAAAGCUCCAGAAAAAAAAAUUUUAAACGAGAGUAAAAUAGCAAAGAUGCGUGGUUAUCAAAUUGGAUGUGCAGAUAUCAUUUCCCUACGGCCAUGAAUUCAUGCAUUGAAGGAAGCCUAAUUUCUCAAUAAUUUGGAUUAAUCCGGUUGUUUAACCGUUUAAAAACCAUAAUUUUAAGCUCUUGAAGCUCAUUUUAUUUUUUGGGCUUGAAGCCAGUCUAAUUAGGCGUGACUUUGUGAUGCAUUAACUUUUAUUUGCUUAUCUGAUUGAUUUCUCAAUUCUCGUAUUUACAAGUAAACUAAAUGGUUUCACUUUUAGCUACUAAUACAUUGAGUGCAUCCAAAUGAACAGAAGAAAUUGGAUUGACAAUUUUUCUGAUUUUUUAAAUAUUAAUCUUCUAUAUACUGACCGUGUAUACACUUUCACCAUUAAAUACAUGAUAUAUAAAUAUGAAUUUGAAUUUAAAAUUCAAAUUUUGCAUAUAUGUUAUACAUUCAACCGUGACAGUGUGUACACUGUUAAUGUAUAGAAAAUUAACUUUUUUAUUCUAUCAUCACCACAAUUUUUAAUCAUCAUUCUCUUUUUUCUAUCAACUUUUUAUCUCACAUUCUAAAAAAUUCUAAAGAAUUUUUCAAAUAAUCCGCUACCCAAACAAUAUGUUUCUCUUUUCAUAAAUGAGCAUGAAAACUCAAAAGUGGGGAAGCGACUAAUAGCAUUACCAUUUCGGUUCCAGAAACUUAGGUGGAAUAUAAAUAUUGCAAGGAACAACGUAGAAAGAAACAACGUAUAAAGAAUGUCAGAACUCAACUAUUUCGUGCCCAUAUCGGUUAUAGUCAAAAAAGACUUUGUUCCUUGUACUCAAUCCUUUCCCACAGUUUUCUUCAAUUCCUUGUACUCAAUUAAUUAUUAUUUUGUUGAAAGUGCUAUUUUAUAGAAGUUUAAAAUCAGGACUGAAAGAACAAGUGUUGUAGCUUCUGAUUUUGGUUUUUUCUUUUUCUUUAGAAAUAACAAAGGCAAAUGACUUUUUCUAUAUAUAAAAAAAAAACCAGUUUAAAGUAUCAAUUGACAAAAAUUUCAAAAUCAAAAGCUAAAACUAGGUCCCAAAAAAAAAUCAGUUGAGAAUAGGUUCUAUAUCUCGUCUAGACUUUACUCUAUAUCCAAAAAUUUAUUUUUGAGUGUAAUUUCUUUCUUUUUGGUUUAUCUUUUCAAAAAAAAAAUAACUCCAAUUUAAAGAAGAUUUUUUUCGGCACACUAUCAUAUAUAGCAUCCUUUUUUCCCCUUAAUUUAAUCAGGAUACAAGCUGAAAGGAAUCGUCAUUAAUUCAUACAUGUACAUCAAAGCCAAAUGCUGUAAUAAAUUGCUAACAUAAAUACUCAUACGUACAGUGACGAAACCAGAAAAUUUAAUAUGAGGAGACGAAAUGCAUCCAUAUUUAAACUUUGAAGUAGACCAUAAAAUUUUUUGAAAACUUUAUUUUGGGACAAAUAGUUAUAUAUAUAUAUAUAUAUAUAUUAAUUUUCUAUACAUUGACAGUGUAUAUAUUUUUACUAUUGAAUGUAUGACACAUAAUCUAAAUUUUAAUUUUAAUAUAUAUAUGAAUUAAUCUUCCAUACACUGACAGUGUAUAUAUUUUUACCAUUCGAUGCAUGAUGCAUAAUCUGAAUUUGAACAUAUGUGUUGUGCAUUUAAUCGCGAUAGUGUAUACACUGUCAUUAUAUAUAAGAUUUAGUAUGUGUGUAUAUACAUAAAUAUCUAUAUUUAUGAGAAACUUUAAAAAAUUUAAAGAAAGAAAACAUGAAUUUGUAAAAGUUGGGAUGGUGACCUCCCUUUAGUUGCGUCCUUCAUUAUGUAUACACAAUAGAAGACUUCGAGUGAAAUGUACAAAUGCAUUGGUCGCUUGAAAGCCACAAAGUAGUUGUAAAUGAGUAAGAAGAUGCCACCAAAAACUUGAUGGAGAAUGAGUUAAAGACUUAAUAAGUCUAUAUGACAUGACCCAAGAAAGCUACAUAUGUAUUGCGAACCACGAAUCCCAUAAAAUAAAUGGGUAUUGUGUAGUAGUAGUAGUAAACUGUCAUUCUCUGCCGUAAUAUCUAAUCCAUUAAUUCUUUUGAACUUUGAUUCUUCUUUUUGGGAUAAAUUAAGAUAUCUGAUCUUGACCAGCAAGCAUCAAUUAGGUGUGUUUCACAAAUUGUGCCCCAAUGACGACUUCUAAAAGGGGAUAUUAAAUUUAUCCCUCCUUCACCAACAAGGCAAGCAAAAAAAACAAAAAAAGAUAAAGAUUCCAAAUCAAUUUUCUUCUGCCUUUUACAAUACUCUACAUGUUUAUACAUUCCAUGCUUGACCAUUUGAUUGGAAAGUGUAGCUACUGAAGUUACUAGAUAUUCAAAGGAAAAGCAAUAAGAAUAGUUUUGAUUUAGUUGUUGAAACUCAAUAUAAAACCCCAGAUUUUUUUUUCUUCAGCAACAAAAAUCAAUCAAGAUCAGUCUAACUUAUGCUCUACUAGUAGUCCAAAAGUGUCUUUUUGGUUAGCAUACUUUGCCAAAAGUUUUUCUAAAUAUUUAGUUUGCAUUAUAAACACAAUUUCCAACCAUCAUUUUAUCAUAUAUACAUUACAUCAUAAAAAGUGCUAAAGCGUUAAUCCUAACCUCUUUUUUCAGAUAAAUCUCCUACCCAAACACACAAUAUUCAUCACCGAAAUUGAGAAUCUUGAAUCUCAUCCAAGUUCUGAUUAUGAUUUUUUCCGUCCAUAUAAGUUGAAUCAUGAUUUUUUCGGUUCAGUUUGCUCGAGUUAUUAAUACAUCAAUAUACGUGGCAACUAUAUAAACGCAAGACAGAUAGGACAGAAAAUAAUUUCGGGAUAGAGGGUUUGAAACAGAAUACAGAGAAACUUAUUGGACAUCUCUCACAAAAGCAAGAUUGCUGAACCUUUACUUUUUCCAGUUUUCUUCAUUUUAGGCUAUUCUUGUUUCAAACUUUAUUUGCACAGAAUAGAAUUCCGUAACGAGUCAAACUAAUUAUUAAUAUCAUAAAAAUUUUUAAAUGCUGGAAAAGGCAUUCACCUACAGCCAACAUAUAUUUUUUGGCCAUCAACAAGUUUUAUAUCAAAGAUUAAGAUGAAAAACAAAUCAACAAAAAAAAAAAAAAGUAAAAUUAAGUGUGCCAUAUUGGAAUUCCAUUUUAAAUAAGGAGCAUAAAUGCAUAAUUAGCUGUAUUGCUUUCGUAGAAGCUUCACUAACUAUAUAUUAUACGUAUAAAGUUUAUUCUAGCCAAAUAUCAAUAUAUAAUUUAAUUUGUUUAGAUUGUGAUUUUUUGCAGGAAAACAUUUCCCAUGAACACAUUUUAUAAUCAUCUUUUUACCUUACAUACAUCAAAUAGUUACAGUAUGUUUUUCUACAAAAAUUCCUGAAAAUAGCAAUUCAAAUGGGCCGAAUUUAUGUGGAUAGUCAUUGAAAAAACGUGUGCAAUGAAAUAAAUUCGUUAUCUCUAGUAUUUGCUGGUCCAGUCCCUUUCUCCCUCUUUUGCCUUUUAAUUUCCCUUUUUCUUUCAUAAUUUUUAAUGAAAUAUGUAGCUGCUUUUAGUCUCCAAUCGUUUUGAUGACGGCUUCCUUCUAUUAUGGCAGCUGGGAAAUGGGAUAUUUUUUUAUUUUUUCCAUUAGUUUUCGAACCCCAAAAAUAAAAAAUAAACAUAGAAAUUAAAUUCAUGUUUCUUCGGCUGGACGAAACUACUCAUGCAUAACAGUUUAGUUUGACAAGUUAUGCUGACCUCUUAAUAAUAUGUAAUUAUAAUAUCCACAAAGAUUAUGUGAAAGACCUCCUAAAUUUCCUCGCUGGCAAGAAUAUCCAAUUGGAAUUACCAUUCAUAAAUUUGCUAUAGGCCAUUUUUUCAACAAAAAAAAAAUUGUUAUAGGGCAUAUUCUCAUGUUAUUAUAUGAUUUUUGAAGUGCUAGUUUUGGAAAAGUUCAAAAUCAGAAUUGAAUGAACAAUUGUUGUAGUUUCUGAAUUUGGUUUUUUUUCCGUUAGCUAUGGAAGAAAGCCAAAUGACUAAAAAAAAUAGCAGUUUAGAAUAUAAAAAUAAAAUUUUUUCCAAAAUCAAAAGCCAAAAAUGGUUCAAGAAGAAUCAGUAGAGAAUGGUUUCUAUAUAAUUCCUUUUUUCUUGAAGUGUGGAUUUCUUUCUUUUGGUUUAGCUUUUCAACAAAUUAGCUCCAAAUUAAAGAAGAUUUCUUUUGGCAGACUAGCAUAUAUAUAAUCUAUUAUGUUUUCUUCUACUUUAUUAAAGGAUAAAAGAUGAAAAAAGUGAUAACCUAAUAGUCAUAAUUAAGUAUCUAAAAAGGAAGCCACAAAACGUGUAUAAAUACAGUGGUCCUUUAAAAUCUAAUAAAAAGAACGAGUUAUAAGGAUUAAUUUCAAAAACCUCCCCUGAGGUUUCUAACAAUUGCACUAACCUCCCUCAAGAUUUCAAUAAAAAUCUAAAGACCUUCCCUGUCAAAAAAUUGGAUUCAAAUGCUUGCAUCAGCUGCAGUGAAAUGAGUGUAGUAGCAUUACAACUUACAAGGCAUUUGGCAAUUACGUGGAGUUAGUCAAUUAAAUCAGUAGUUAGCUGAAUUAAUAGAAAUAAUCACAAUUUAAAACUAAAAAAAAAAAUAAUUGGCCACGAGAGAAGGGCUCCAAUUUGAAGAUUCACUAUGAAGGCUUGAAGAGGCCAUAAUUUGUGACUGUGGUUCAUGGUUGAACUGAUUUGAUUUCAUGCUAUAUCACAGUGAUUCCACUCCAAUUCUUGAAUUUAAAUCCUUUGGAAUUUGCUCUCCAAUUGUUUAUUGUAACUGUUAUAUAAGUUGCUCUUGGAUGUAGCUGUUAUAAAAAGCCGUUGCAAAUAGUUGCAGAAGUCUGAAAUUGAUGACUUGCAUUUGUCACUUUUUGCGCUUACACCUCCUGAUCUUUGACUGUGUUAAAGUAACAAUUUAUGCUUUUCUACUAGAUUAACUAACCAAUGUAAUAUGGAAGCGUUUUUGGAAUCACAUUGUCUUCUUUCUCUUAAAUUUAAAUUUUUAUUUUUAUUCUUGAAAUAGUGUUUCAGGCAAGGUUUUGCAAAAUUUCAAAUCUCAAGAGAGGCUAGUGCAAUUGUCAAAAAUCUUGAAGGAUGUUUCUGAAAUUAACCCAUUUUUUUUUAUCAUAUUUAUACAAGUAGACAUGGCCACGCCAUGGUUUCAAAACCGUCGGUUUUGGUUUAAAAAUUGAGGGUUAUAUAUAUAUUUUUUAAAAGUGGAACUUAAAUGGACCCUUAUUGGGACAAUUACAGUUACGUUUCUUAAACCUCUAGUUUCGGUCUUGUUUUGAUUCCUAUUUUAUUCUAGUCAUGGUUCCAAUUUCUUUUGGUUAUGGUUCCGAUUAGUUAUGCUUAAGUUGUUGUAAAAUUGAUUCUAAAAAGAUAUGAUAAAUGUAGGGAAAAAAUAAGAACUUUAUUGUAUUAUUAUGUGGAAGAAAAAAAAAAAGAUGAUGCAAAUCUUAUGAAAAAUACCUCAUUAUUGAUUAGAUUAAAUUGGUCUUUGAUUUAGAUUAGUUAUGGGAUCUAACUUACUAAUAGGAUGAGACAGUGGUUGUUAGAUUAGAAUUGAAAUUGUUGGUGUUGGGUUAGGAUUGAAACUAUUGGUGUUGCGUACUGACUAUUAAUAUUGAAUUCUAAACUUAUCAAAUAGGUUUAGAUAACAAGUGUUUUUUCUAAACGAUUUGAACCGGUCCUAAACCGUCUUUCUGGUUCCGAUUUCAGUUCAAAUUUUUGGUGAAGUUGAAUCUGAACUUUUAGUCAUGACUAUGAUUUCGAUUUUCAAAAUUCAGUUUCCGUUUUGGUUUAACAAAUUGCCCGUCUAUUCCGGUCCAAUUACAAUUAAAAGUUGAACCGGGCUUGGGAUCCUGUCUACUAUUUCUGUCUAACUUCUCUAAUUAAGAAUGGACGACAUCGUUAGCUUAUGCUAUUGAUAUCGGUUUUUAACUUCACCAUGCUGCCUUUAAAACCACGGGUCACUUCUUCUAAAAUCUCAAACUUUCACCUCUUCUUUCUCCAUGCUCUAUUUUCUCAUUGAAAUUAGAAAUCUUUUAUAGUCUCCAUGUCCUUUUUAUUUAUAUUUGUUCACCAGUAGAUCGACAAGUCUUAUUCGAAAAUAAGCAAACCUUAAACACUUUUGAUAGACAAUCAAACAUUUCUUGGGACAAAUUACAAUUAUUUAGACACAAAAUCUUUUGUUUAUCAUUAAAGAACCGUGACCGAAAAUUUCCCCUAAAAAAGAGUUCAGAUUUAGUGACUUGUUUAAUACCAACGAUGUAUUUGUUUACCUUAAUAGAUUGACAAGAUCUGAAGAGCAAAGAGGGAUGGUGAUAGCAGCAAUUGAAAGUAAAGAAUGAACAGGUUUGUUUGGAUAGGGUAUUAUUUAAAAUAUUAUUUAAAAUAAUUACUGUAACACUUUUUGUGAUGUGAUGUAUGUGAGAUAAAAAAGUGAUUGGGAAUAUAAAAAGGUGGGUUGGAAAAUGUGUUUAUGAUGCAAGCGAAAUAUUAUUUGGGAUAAGUUUUGUAUCCAAACACUCCCGUAACAAGAUCUACACCGGAAAAAUUGAUGAAACCCCCCACAUCCCAAAAAAAAAAAAAAAAUUAGAUGACAUGGCGUGAAUUUUGGGCCAAACGAUGUCACUUCGUAUUAGACAGAGGAUUUUAGACUGAGAACUUAGGCAGGGGAUCCGGACCAGUUGAACCGCGGCUACUCCUAAGUCCUAACGAGUUAAUAAAUGAGAGAAACAGUUUCCACAGGGAAUUCAAUGGAGUAUAAGUUAAAGUCAUGACAUGACCAAAGAAAGCUACAUUUGCCUUGCGGACCACGAGUACCAUAAAAUAAGUGGAUAAUGCGUAGUAGCAGCAGGCAUCUGUGCCGUCGUAUAGCAUCCAUCAUUCUUUUGAACUUUUAUGCUUCUUUUGCGGAUAAAUUUAAGAUAGCUGAUCUAAACCAGGAAGCAUCAAUUAUGAGUUUUUCACUAGUUGUGUCACAGUGGCGACUUCUAAAAGGGUAUAUUGAUGUGUCCCCCCCCCCCUCCUCUCCUUCAACAAGGCAAGCUAAAGAUAAAUAAUAAAUAAAUAAGAGAUAAAGAUCCCAAAUCAGCAAUGAUCUUCAAUUAAUAGUACGUGGAGAAUUAGGUUGUCAAUUGUUGGGACCAUUUCCAACUUUAUCUGUGAAUUUUGAAUCUUGAAAAGGAUUGUCUUGUUUUUCUCACGGGUAGAGUACAUUGCAUAUCAGCAAUGAUCUUCCUCAAUCCUUCCAACCUUGGAGCAUGGCCUUUGUACUUUUGCUCGUUUGACAAGUCGCAGAAGAUCAAACGUUUGGAUAUUGAUGUGUGAAUUUAACUGUUGAUAAAGGUAAGUUAUGUUGUAAAUACAGGAGCGUUUCAAAAGAUUUUGUCUCACGUUGAAAAAUUAAAGAGACUUCUCAUCAUUUUAUAACGCUUAGUUUUUUAUUAGGUUUGUGUUAGAUUGGUAACUAGUGUGGGUUCACACGCAUGAGAGAGAAAUUAAGUUGGGCCGUUUCAGUACAAACUGACAGAUUUGCACCCCCUGCGCGUGAUUCAAACACUGCCCAAGAUACGUUCGUGGGUUUUAUUCUGGUCAAAUGUUAGUUUUCAUCCCAGGAUAUGUGUAUUAUUGGUUGUAUUAUUGCUGAAUUAUCAUUUGUCUUUGUUGAUCUUACCAUUGUGGAUUAUCUCCAAGUAUAUAUAUCAAAACAAAAGACGUUUGAAAUUAGAAAACUAAUUUCGGAAAGCAUAAGACAUAUAUUAUGUGCUUACCCUAACUGUUUCACCAAAUUCACAUCAGAAGCAGCACUUUUCUGAAGUCCAGAAAGCAAUGUGCUUGAAUGGUAUCUCCAAAGCCGCCUUGCCUUCAACUCCAAUAUGAAUAAAAAUCUAAUUGAUUUGAAACCUGACAAUGACCAAAUUUUUUUUUAUUCAUAGCCAGUAAUGCUGAUGCCAAUUAUUAUGAUAUUAAUGGCCUCUGACUAACUGAUGAGUUAGUGUCAAGCCUAUUGUAAACAAUUAUAUAUUUUAAUGGAGGCCAAUGUGCUGCCCAUGUCAUUAUGUUUGCAGCUAGUAAUUAUUUGAUUUUUCAGUUAAUAAAGCAUGCUAAACAAUUGUCAUUUCCAACAAUCAGAUCAAGUGUUUGGAGUGGAUAUUAUGCGUAAACAUUAUAUGACUCACAUUAUGAACACGUUUUUUAAUAAUAUUUUUAUUUCGCAUAUAUCACAUCAUAAAAGUAAUACAGUAUUUCUAUAUACUGACGCACGUUCAACUUGGAACAUAUUGUUGGGCGAAUGGGUCCAAAAACUGCCUGUAAGCCAUGUGAUUAACAAUCAAUGAGUUUAACAGUUUUUUAGGGCAAUUUCAGGUUUACAUUACACAUCUUGUUAUUAUUUCUUCUUAACAUGACACUGCCCAUAUUAAUCCAGCAGGUGGUGGGUGAAAUUUUGAAGUAUUUUUUUUAAGUAUUAAUUAUAUGGAAAUGAGAUAUUUGCACAACACCCCUAUUUGAUAUCUACACAUCCUUUAAUAUUUAAUUCUUUAUUACAUUCUAAACCAAUUUUAAGAUAGUGAGCAAGCGUGAAUAUCAAAUAGGGGCUUCCCUAUGAGACUCGUUUGCCAUAAUUUGGAUUAAUCUGAUUAGUUAACUUUUUCACGACCAGAUAUUAUGCUCUGGAACUUCUUUUCAGUGUUCGGAUUGCAGCUAAACUAAUCAGGUUUAGCAAUCUUUUUCUUUUUUCUUUUUCACGAUCAUUAAUUUUAGGGGUUCUGGCUUGUAUUUUAUGUGCAAACAGAGAAGCAACCUGAUUAUUUGAUUAUUGUACACACUAAUAGUUGAGAUUGUGUUCUAAAUGUGACAAACCUGGUAAGGUGCUACUGUUGCUAUUCGUUAUGAUUCUUUAAAAUCUCUUUAAUAUGUAGUUUUAGCAAUAUAAAUUCAGUUUACGAGAAUAACUCAAGCUUUUACUGCCAAUUCAUUUUUAGCCCAUACGUGAUGAGGCAGCGGAUGCGUGAAUAUUAGAUUUGUUUCACGAAUGAAAUCCAUAGAAGAACAAAGAGUGAAUUAUGUUUAAACCCAUGAAUAUGAAUCAAAGAUUCGAUGAUAACAAGAGAAAAUUCUCAACAAUUGGAAUAACCAAUCAAAGUUUCAUUGAUAUUUGAUAAAAGAGGAAAGGGUGAAUUAUGUUUAAACCCUGAACACAAAUCAAAGAUUCGAUGAUAACAAGAGAAAACUCUCAACAAUUGGGAUAACCAAUCAAAGUUUCAUUGAUGUUUGAUAAAGAGGAAUCGAUUACAAAAGUCUUAAUCAUGCCUGUUUAUAGGUUACAAUGAGUUUUACUCUAAAAAAGAAAACAAAACAUACAUAAAACCCUAAACGAACAAAACUAUGUUCUGACCGUGCUGAACGUGAGAAGUGGACAACUUGAGGUGUGACAAAUUCAUUAAACUGCCAAAGUCUUCCCACCCUUGUACUUUGUGUAUGUUCUAGAAGUCACAUUAAAGAACAAAGUUUGCACUUUGAAAUCAAUUUGAUUUUUGACAAAGAGUUUCAGGCUAGAGAAGUAGAACUAUCUGAAUUGUCAAUUGGUCAUAAUUCUAUUGUACCUACCAGUUCCUGGAUUCUAUUGUACCUACCAGUUCCUGGAUGCUACAGAUUGCAACUUAUUUUCUUUUAAUUCAUUCCAUUUCCAGUCAAAAUUGUUUAGGUCCUCAUAAUUCCUAAGCUGCCAAUGAAAACUGAAUUGGCCCGAAUUUGGUCAAACUUAUUCGCUGGAUAAAUUUUUGACUUGAAUACUUAGAAAAUUCAUACUCCAGCUUGUAACAGCUAACAAGGUAUGCUCGACUUUAUGACUAUCUUGUUUAUUUUGUCAUGAAGAUGCUUAUCGAAUAUGUCAGAAAGAUUAUUCUUGAUAUUCAAUGGUAUAAUUACUGCACUUAUCGAAGUUUCUAACCAGGUGUACGCAUUAGUUUGGCUGUUUUCAUUGGUUUAUGUUGUCUAAUAUUAACUUCUUAAUGGUUUAAUACCUUUAUAGUUUCAACUUCUUUUUAAUCUCUUCUUACGGUAAUCUUCAAUCAAAUUUUUACAGUAAAAAAGGGGCAACGAAGGGAUCAAUACACUGCCUAAAAAUACAAAAAUAGAACGACCAUUUGGAUUAUUAUUUUUAGGAGUUUUUGUAGAAAAAUAUACAGUAAUGAUUUGAUGUUGUGAGGUAAAAAAGUGAUUGGAAAAUGUGUUUAAACGUAAAAAUUUUUCUGCAAAAAAUCACAGCAUUCUAAACUAAACGAUAGACACAAGCAUGAAAAUUCCUAGACUCAAGGAAGUGGCUUAUCAUUUAGUUUGUUCCUGUUGCUUAAUUAUAUGUUGCUUCAUAUGGAAUUUCCCUUUUAAUUGGAACAAAUUACUCCGCGAGCUAGCUCUUUUUCCUAUUUCUAGUACAAUUCACAAUGAGAAAAAAAAAUUACUUUCACUAUGUCUUGUUAAAUUAAACAUUUAUGAAGACAUGAUGACCUCUGUAGAAACCGAUAUGUUAUCCAAUUCAUUGGGAAAAAACAAAAGAGAAAAAUUGAAAAAAACUAUUAUAGCUUGUUUUGUUUUAAUUAGAGGUAUGGAAUAAUCACGGGAUAAUAUCAUUACAAGUACUGCUAAGUUUUGAUUUGGCAUAUCUUUACCACCUAUAUAUAGAAUAUGAAACUUCAAGAAUAAAGCAUUCAUAGUUGAUAAUGGGUUCAUCCUAUGAUAUUCAAUUAUCAAAUAUUCAAAAUUUGUUAAUUUUGCAAACAAUAUAUUCGCUUUAUAAUAUUCAUAGGUAAAUUAUUAGAGCGUGUUCGGAUACAAGUUUUUCUUUUCUAGAUAUUAUUUUACUUACGUCAUAAAUACAUUUUCUUGAAUAAGUGGAGUCCCUCCACGAAAAUUGAAUAUAAAGUGAGGUGAAGUAAUUUCAUUUCAUGGAAAGAGAGUUGGAGUGGAGAUUUGAGACUCCAUUGGAUGCAUUAAAGUGGCUAGAGGUAACGUGGGAAUGUUUCUUAUUGCUGCAAGCAACACAAUCACAUGUAUGUCACGUUUUAGUCACAAAUCGUGACAAAGGAUAAUUUCCAUCUGUUUGACACUUUAAGUCAAACCACUAGGGGUUAUGUAUAAUUUUUAAAUCAUACUGGAGUUAUGCGAGUAAGUGAAAAAUCACAGGGACAAAGUAUAUUUUGCCCACUAGGGGAAGGACCCAAUUGAUAAAGGGCACAAAAUAUUUUUGUCAAAAGUGUAAAUUUAGCAUUCUCUAACCAUGUAUUAACUAUUAAAACUUAGGGAUAAUUUCACAAACCUUCCCUAAGGUUUGCCUUAAUAUCACGUUACACUUUAGUAGUUUCAAAAAUUUCUCUUUCCACCAAUUGAUUUACAUGUGUUAUAAAAUUGUCAAUCCCUACACAUUAAAAAUUCAUAAAAAGGAAAGAUAACAAUUUACUUCUAUUUGUCUUGUCCUUUAUAUAAAUAUUAGAGCAGCAAUUAAAACUAAAAUAAAUCUAAUAGGUAAAAGACAAAUUGGGAGAGAUACAAGUGCAAUAAAGAGAAAUUGUGGCAGAUAAGUAGUUUUACAACUGUGCAAUAACUAAUAUUUCAACUCUAGGGCAAUAAUGGUAGCAAAAGGAUCAGCUUAAAGAUGAAUUUAAUAGAAUUUAAUAUGUCAACUCAAGUUUAGCAUCAAAAGGAUCAAUUUAAAGAUGAAUUUAAUAGAAUUUAUUGUACCAAAUCAUAACAAGUUUUAAUAUUAGAAAGUACUGUUAUAAUUCACCAACAUUAUUUGUAUAAGGAAUCGAUAUUAUAGUUACAAUACAAAGGCAACAAUCAAAAUUCAGAGAGCGAAAGAAAUCCAAAUAAACAAUAUUUGCUUUUAAUGUCCAUUUGUUGUGCUUCUGAUGUGUUAGGUAAUAGUAGUGUUAAAAAUUCCUUAUUUUGUAUUGCUACAGCUAGAAAAAGUUGCUAUUAUAAAUGACAGUUUUGUUAAUUUUUGUCCUAAUCUUUUUUACUUUCCAAAUUCAUUUUUUAUGCUAAUUUUAUAUAAUCAAUUAGCAGUUUUCUGUAGGGUAAUAUUAUUAAUUUACUAUCUAUAAUAGAGAUAUCUUGUCAAUCUAAUAGGAGAUGUAAGAGAGAUUUUUGAAAUUAUGGGGUACUAAGUAACAUUAAGAAAACUUUAGGGGAGGUUUGUGAAAUUAUCCCUAAAACUUACUUGUUUGCAAUCUUUUUCAGUUUUUUCUCCCCCUUCUUCCCCAGAUGUCCACAGUCAAGACACGGAGACUUUCCUCUCUCCAGUAAUUUCAAUUCUCACAGCAGGUUGAAAAGCUUUCUGAUGUGAAAAGCUUUCAAUUCUCAGGAAAAUCGUGAAAAAUGGAGGAUAAGGAGCCGAAGAACCGCAGAAGAAGCGGCCACGCUCUGACUCUGAUAACUCGAAACGGGUAAUAAUCUUCAUUCGCACUCUAUAAAUUUCUGUAUGGAAAAGAGUAAGAAAUAGAGCAAAUUUUCUUAUUUAUUAUAUGCAUUUAAUUUGGAUAUUUGAAAAGUGCAUAUUCAGUUGAGUAGUCUACAUGCAAAUAAUUUUUCUUUUUCGUGCAGUAAUUGAUUAAUAUAUCUGUAGUCCAGUUGUACUUCGAAAGUAGGGUUUUUUUUUCAUGGCACGCGAAGAAUUAAAUUGGUCAUAUCUGCUUGGAUGUUUUGAUUUGCACUCGGCAAUUGUGAAGAAAGUUGAUAAACAGUUUUUUUUGUUUUUUUUUUUCUUUUUGGGACAAAAAUGAAGACUUUGGAAAAUUCUUUGGUUUAUUGAUUGGUGUAAGACAAGAAAUGGUGUAAUUGGUGUUGGAAUGUGAUAACCAGUUGGAUUCUACAGACUGGAAAAUGUUGCUAACAUUAUGAGUUAUUGACUUGAAGGCAUUGGAUACUUCGCAGAUGGAAUUUCAGGAGAACUGUAUGAUAGACAAUUAUGUGGUUUCAGUACAGCUGUUUUGAAAUUUGAUUCCAAGGCCGGUGGUCUUGUAAUAGGAUUUGGGGUUCACAGUGUUUUAUUCAUAUGUUCUACCAGCUAGGAGCUGAAAAUUAGUCAAAGUUUGAGUCUUUUUGUAUAUAUAUAUUGAGUUAGUUGUGGAAAUGGCCUUGAAGUUGUUGGUAAAAAUUUUGUACUCUUUUUUAGAGAAGAUUUGGGGUGGGCUUCAGUAAAAACCAUAAGUAACGUUUAUUACCAUACCACAUAAACUAAAGGAUUAGUGACCUCGACUUUCUGUAGCCUGUACAAGAAGUGAAAAGGGUGUUCUAGUCCAAAUACCUUUUAGAUAUGAAUAAAAAUUAAUCAUGCAGUAAUGUCAUGGUUUUCUUGUAGACAGCAUUUACUUGCUUUUCCAUGAUCUUGAGACUCGAUAUUUCCACCAAAAACUCUUUAGACAUUGUUUCUGUAAAGAGAAAAAGGAAAAGUUUUAAUCUUUGGUUCUCAAUGUCUAAAUGCCUGAACAAGUUUUGUUGUUGGGGAGAGAAAGAGGAUAUUAAAAACUUACAAGGUUCUGUUGUUUGUUAAGAUUGAUGCUGCACUUCUCCAGUAUCAGAAUCAGAGACUUGUUCAGCAAUUAGACUUGCAGAAGCAGGAGUUGCUUGAUCUGGAAGUCAAAAUGAAAGAGCUGAGAGAUAAACAAGCCUCUUAUGAUUCAGUGUUGAUUACAAUUAAUAGACUCUGGAAUCAGGUAACUGUUUUUCACAUGCACUCAUAUAUGAUUUGUAGCUCUUUUCUGCACGAUAUGCAUUAAUAAUGGUUUUCUGGAUGUAUUUCAUGUAGUUAGAUGGUGAACUAAUCCUUCUGGGAGUACGAGCUGGGGCUGGUAAAACAGCUCUGCACAGUUCUGAUCAAGUUGAUCGAUUACAAGGUUGCCUUUACAAUAUAGAGAAAAAAAAAAAAAGAAAAUGUAUUCUUUGCAGCUUUUUUAAACUCAUUGAGCAGGGAUAAAGCUCUUUUGUAAUGCAACUUUGAACUGUGCUUCCACUAUUAGGUCCAAUGCCAUCAUGUCGUGCAGAAGAUAUUUUUCUUUGCAGGCUACUGCAAACAAAUGCAAUUGAAAGCACCGGAAGUGAUGGAGCUAAUGGAUAUAUCAAAGAAGGCCUAGCUCGGCGUCAGGCUUCUACAAGGGCAUUGAUGAAAUUGUUGGAAGAUGCUAUUGAAGCUCAGAGAGCUAAAAUAGAGAACAUAUCGCAGGCUUUUCAUGGAAAAUCAUCUGCAGAAGGUCAGUAGACCUUAAUAAAUGGUCCUUUAGUUAGAAUAAUUUCUUUGUACGCUUUAUUUUGUCAUCUCCUAUUCCUAUUUUUUUAGUCAUUUAUUCAUAUCACCAUUUUCGGCUAUCAGAUUUUGUGCUCAUACUGGGAAAGAUUGAUGCUUUAAUGAAAGAGGAAGUUGAUAAUCUGCACAAGGUGAUGGAUAUCCUUCAUGUGAAGCAUAAAGAAUAUUUGAUGAGAUCCAGACCUGUAUUGAGAACAACUCAGUUGAUCAAUCAGAGAUAAAGAGACUUAAUGGUAUGUUAAAUUUUAGUACACCAUUACCUGCUUGUGUGUUUGAAAUUACAGACAAAGGUUCUAGUUUCAGCUGAUAGAUAUUUUUUUUGGGUCAAAGGAUCUCUCCUUUUUGUGCUUUUCUUCCACAUAAUGUAAUUUUGGUUAUUUCUUUUUGUUAUAAAGAAAAUGGCAAGCUUGUGAACCUUAUUUAAGACAGGUGGUGUACUGCAUUUUUAGUUAUAGGUCAGUUGUGUAUGAUGUGGUCAUCAUCUUUCAGGUGAGCUGGAAGAAAGCAUGGCAGAACUUGAGGAGAGUAGAAGAAAGCUUGUGAAUCUGAGAAUGCAGAAAGAGGGGCCUUCUGCAGUACAAUCCCCCAUAUCAGUUGUUGCAAAUGGAACUGCAUCUCCUGAAAAACCUGCAGACAGGGCCAAACGUUUACGAGGACUGAAGGAUUCGAUUGAGGAGACAAAGGUGUUGCUCUCUUUCUCUGUGAUUGUGCGUCUCAGUGAGUUUUUGCCUGUUGUUCCAUCUCUGUCUCUGUGUCUCAUGUUGUACUUGUAUUUUUGCAUGGGUUACUUAUUAGAUAUUACAUGGUGUAGGUGUCCUUCUAAGCAAAGCAUAAUAUGAUGUAGGUACUUGCAGAUGAUCGUCUUGCCGAGGUUCAAGAGAUGCAGGAAGACAAUCUCAGCUUGUUAAAGCAGUUGCAGGACCUUCAGGUUCUAAAUUUGUAUUCCCUAAGUUGAAAGUAACCGUCAUAUGCUACCAAGCAUUUUCAAGACUUCUUGUUUGCAAAUCUAAUUCGAUUUUUAAGUAGCCAAACUGUCUUUUUUGUUGAUGAAAUUUGUUACUUGAUUUUUCUUUGUGCAGAAUGAACUGAAGGAUGAUAAAUGUGUGUAUUCUUCUCGUCCUUACACCUUACUGAAUGAUCAGCUCCAGCACUUGAAUUCUGAAGCCGAUCGGUACAAAGUGCUUGCAGAGUCAGUGCAGGUCAAUGAAAUGAAUAACAGAAUUGUUUCGAGAAGUGCUAUCCAUUUUUGGCAUCAAACUUUUUGUAUUAACUCUGCAAUUGAUUAGCAGGCUGAGAGAUCUUUGAUAAUCCGAAGGGAGAAGGAACUUUCUGUAAAAGCAGAAUCUGCGGAGGCUGCAAGAAAGGGGGUUGAGAACUUAGAAGCCAAGAUUGAGGAGUUAGAGAAUCAACUUCAUAAGUCGAUUGUUGAGAAAAAUGAGCUGGAGGUUAAGAUGGAAGAAGCUUUGCAGGAUACAGGUUGAAUCAACUGCGACUUGUACUACUUUCAGUUUUCUGGUGGUUUUAUAUCACAUUCUCAAUAGUCCUGGCUUUUCCAGGUAGAAAAGAUGUUAAAGAAGAGUUUCAGAUUAUGGCUUCUGCUUUAUCAAAGGAAAUGGGAAUGAUGGAAGCUCAAUUGAAUCGGUGGAAGGAGACAGCCGAAGAGUCCCUUUCCUUGCACGAAGAAGUCCAGUCGCUGAAAGCUUUGGUGGACAGUAAGGUUUGAUUUUGCAUAUGUGAUGGUUUUUUCAAACUAGAUGUUCCAUUUUACUGUUGCCAAAGGGUAAUUUGUUCUUGCCUUCAGCAGAAGCUUAAAGUUUGAUGUUUUCUCUUUAAUUUUUUUUUUCCGUUUUAGAACCAAGCAUUACUUGGUUAGGCUAUUUGCAGUUAAUUUUAUUUGAAAAAGUUUAUGAAGAAGUUCAAAACACGUGAUAUUCUAUAAUUUCGAUUUCCUAGAGCAACCGCAUAAUGUUGUGGGAAUGCCUAUUGCUUAACAUUUUAAGAGGCAAUGGGAAGUCAAAUAUAACCACGAAUCUCCUUUAGGCUAUGUCCAUCUCACUGAACAUGUAAAAUUGACAAUGACAAUGUUCGAAGCUGUUAUGUUCAAAUUCACUGUAUGGAGUGAAAUUGCUUUGCUUUCAAUUAAUAGAGCACCUGGUUUUGCUUCACAUAGAAAGUCCUUCAGUGAUGGUGCAGCUAAUUGUUUAUGUUUAGGUGAAUUUUAGCUUUUCAAUUCAGAAGAUUGAGUUAGAGGCUUGGUUCUGUUUGUAGCUUACCUUGCAUGUUUCUAGGUAGUGACACUUGUUCUUUCCUUCUCAAGACCAUCAACUUGGUUAAGAUCCAUGCUGGAUUUGAUUUUGAGAUAUGACAUUGUUAUCUCAGGCAGCAUACAUUUAUUUAAAUUUGUUGUGUUGUUGCUCCUUUGUGUGGACAUGCGGUAUCUUUGCUUUUCAGUUGUGGAUAUUUUGGAAUUUUUGGUUGUUUUACCUUCUUUUAAUUUGUAGACUACUGAAGAGAAAGACUUGGCUGAUAGAUGUGCACAUCAAAUGGGAGUGAUCAAGUCUUUGAAGGCAUACGUAAGUCUGUGGAUGUUUAUAUGAUCUGCACAUCUACCACAUUUAAGCAGUGUGCUUGCUUCUUUAUAAGAAUGCAGAUACUGAAAAUUUGGAUGAAUGAUAUUGACCUAUGAAUAUGAAACCUUCGCAGAUUGAGAAGAUGCAGAAGGAAAAAGAAGAGCUACAAAUAUUUGUGGACAUGCUUGGUCAGCAAAUAUAUGACAAUAGGUGAACCAUUAUAUGUUGCUUUUGUGGAUUUGUUAGAUAAGCAUUUCAAUCAUUUCUUGGCACAAGCAAAUUUGAUGAGCCAACUCCCAGUGCUCAUCCUUGAAAGUGCGCAUAUUUUAAAUGCAGAGUAUGAUUUGGUGUAUAUUGAACUUUGGAAUGCUGAUUACAGUACUCUAUUGCAAGAGGAGGUGUUGAAGAAUGAACCAAUUUUUCUUGUUUGUUACAGUUGAAUUCUGAGCACUCUUUUUCUCUGAAAAUAUAAGAUCAUGAGGGCUGAAUCGUCAAUAUUGCGUGUGAAAGGCUCUUUCCCUUUUUUACUGAUUUUUUAAAACUUAGUAAUGGGUAUUGUAGAGUUAUCAGGUGAAUAAAAAGCUUGGAGCCUUGGAAUGAUUUUAGAAGUAUAAUAUGUUGAGUGGGGUUUCGGUGGUAGUAUGCAGUGGUUUAGGUGGUAGAAAUCUUUCUAAGUAAAUGAAAAACGAAAAAAUACAAUUGCACAUGGAGUCAAUCAAUUGCUACACUAAUUGGGAUGCACGCCCCUCUAUUUUAUACUGAUCUACUCUAUGCAAAAGCUUGAAAGUUAAAGUGGUUGGACCUUUGAAGUUGGGUGACUUAGCAAAAGAUCAGCUUGUAUUUCACAAAAGAUGAUGCUAAUGCAAGAUAAACUCUGUUCAAAACACCAGAAUCAACUCUCAUAUGUAAAACCUUUGAUGAAGCCUUUACUCAGCAAGUUGUCACACCUUUUGCAUGAGAACAGACCUCAGGGUCUUGGGAUGGUAGGCACCUCUAUUGUAUACUGAUUUACUAUAUGCAAAACCUUGAAAAUUAAUGUGGUAGGACCUUUGAAGUCAGGUGUCUUCACAAAUGAUCAGCUUUUGUUUCACAAAAGGUGAUGCUAAUGUAAGUUAAACUCUGGGCAAGAUGCCGGUACCAUCUCUCUACGUAAAACCUUUAAAUGGCAUCUUACAUAGCCAGAUUGUAGCAAGCCUUGCAUGAGAACAGACUUCAGUAUCUUUGAUGUUUCUUCUGCUCUCGUCAUGCACGCAUUUCCUUUUCCUUCAAGUUUGUAGGACAUUAAAAACUGUUUAUACUAUGAUAUUUAUGGAAGUAAUAAGGGGUGGUUUGCAGAGAUGGGUUCAUGGUUUUCACUUUCUGUGGUUUGUAACUUGAGCUCAUUGUUUAAAUUAUCCAAAUAGCUUGUAUUCUUGAUGUAGCUGUAGUUUUUAUUAAAAAAAAAAAAAGAAUUGGCAAAUGUUAAUUGCACUCCACUUUUUAUAAUGGCACUCCCACUAUCAUUUGUAUCAAUGUGGUUUGAAUUGUUGUGCGACCUGGUCAUGGUUGUUUUAGAAUGUUAUACAGGCUAAUCUGCAGCUUAAAGUUUCUUGAAAGCCAAAAAAAAAAGCAUUCUUUCUUUCUAAUUCAUGUUGUAUGCAUCUUGACAAAGUUGUCUAGAUGUUUCAAACCCUUUGCAAGUCACAUAUAAUGGAAAUGAUGGAACCUAUUUGGAAACUGGUAUAUUUUGGAAAAAGUUGCUCAAGUGAAUUCAACUUUCAUUGUUCAUGAUCUAGUUGAGAUUGGGAUUGCCUGACUUUCCAGUUGAAGUUUACAGGUCACACAAUAUUGAGCUAGGUGCAGACCUUCAGGUUCUUGCUGCCAUUUUUUUUCUAGUUUUUUGUGGUUGGAUAUGUCAAUGGUUGCAUUUUGUUAUGCCUGAUGUCUUGAGUUGUCUUUUUGUGAAAAUAUACUUCUCAACUUUGAAGAUUGUUUUUAUUAUCCCACCUUUGCUGGAAAGGAAUCUAGAAAUACACUUCUGCAAGUGGCAAAUAGGAUGAUCCACUGAUUGGCUGAAGAGGAAGUAUAAUGUUUUGGCAGAGAUUGGAAUCUGCUUUAACCUUUUUUUUGUUUGGUAGGGUUGGGUGGGAAACUAUCGAUUAACUGAACAUCAAUGGGAUGAGCCUAUUUUUAUCCUAUGUCCUUUCCCCGUGUCUUGUGCAUGCUAUAUCCAGUUUCAGAAACAAAUAUUGAAGGGCCUUGAAUGAAUGUUAUGUGUUAAUAUUUCAACGUGAAAUCCUUACCGUCAGAGCACCAUCUACAGCCUGUGUCAACAUUAAAGUCUGGAAAGCUGUAGAGGACAUGCACUCCCCAUUUUAAAUAUGUUCACGAAUUUCAGAGUGCUGUAUUUCUUAAUUCUGGGAUUGUUUGUUUUUUUUAAUAAUAUUGCAGAUCUUAAUUCAAUUUUAAGCAUAUCCUCAUUUGGUGCUUGUUGGGUUCUAUCUGCAACUAAAUACUAAUACAUUCGUUAAUUUGAUGGGCUUUGACUUCACCAAAUUUUGUUUAUUUAUGCCAGAGAUGUGAAGGAAAUUAAAGAGUCGGAGCAAAGAGCGCAUGCUCAAGCUAAAAUUUUGAGAAAUACUUUAGAUGAACACGGCCUUGAAUUGAGAGUGAAGGCUGCUAAGGAAGCUGAGGCAGCUUGUGAGGAAAGGCUUGCCGCUGCUGAAGCCGAGAAAGCUUCUUUGAGGGAUGAAGUAGAUGCCUGUGACAGGUCAUUCUUCUUGUCAUGUUGAAUUCUUGGGCACCCUUACUUCUUGAUCUUCUUGGUGCUGCUUUUUGUUGGUUUAUCUUCGCUGCUGUAUUCUCAAUCUGUCUUUAAGAAUCAGAAUCUAUUAAAUAUUGAAUCCUUGCUGUUCAUGCAACGCUUUUCCUAAGCAAUCUUGUACCUUAGGUAUAUGUAUCAAAAACUUUGUCUAGAGCAUUGAAGUGGGCAUCAUGUCUGCCACUUCUACAAGCAGCUUAUUAUGUGUCAAAGAAGAUGGGAACUGAUUUAAUGAUUUGAAAGUUACCUCUAUUUUACUGUUACCAGGGCAGGAACAGGUAUUGGAAGUUAGUGAUGAAAAAUUGGAGCUUUACAUGCUGAAGCAAGGAAUUUUACAAUGUUAGGGUUUUAUGGCAUGUUUAUGGAACAGGUUUAGAGUUAUGGAGCAUAUAUGAAUGUCAAACAUGUAUGUUUUACAUAUUUUCCAGAUUCCCAUAGCUUUCCUGAACUUGGUUAUCGUCAAUGGCUACCAAUCUUGUGUGUGGUGAUGAUGUUUCCGUGGGGAUUUGGUGUAUUGCUACAGCUGUAUCAGAAAAGCCCAGUUGCAUGAACAGACUAAUGCAGUUUUACUUUGCCACAGGGAUGUUUUAAAGCUUCAAGAGGCUAUCAAACUAAAAGAAGCUGAGGCAGAAGCAUAUAUUUCUGAAAUUGAGGUAUUUACUUACACUUGGACCCUGAGAGAUAUUUCAGGUAAUCUUCUUUAUUGCCAUGGACAUUUCUUGUAAGAUCUUGUUUGACCAUAUAUUUCUGAUUUACUUUUAUGUUCAGACUAUUGGUCAAGCAUAUGAAGAUAUGCAGAUGCAGAACCAGCGUCUCUUACAGCAGGUGACUGAAAGGGAUGAUUACAAUAUUAAGGUCUGUCUUUAAGUACCUUCUCCGGGUUUCUGUUUUUAAUCUCCUUGUGCCAUCUAGGUGAAGUAGCAGGACUGAUUCUUGGUUUUUGUUUUGCAGCUGGUAUCUGAGAGCGUGAACGCAAAGCAGGCACACAAUUUGUUAUUGUCUGAGAAGCAAGCAUUAAGCAAGCAACUUCAUCGAGCUAACGCAAUGCUGGACUCUCUGAAAUUGAGAAUUUCUCAAUGUGAAGAGCAGGUGGGAUUUCUUUUGGGUAGUUCAAUUUGAUCGAUAAUUCUCCUUUUACAGAGAUGGAAAUUUGCAGGUCAAAGUUCAUCUGAUGGAAGCUUCAAGGUACAUAGAAGAAGAUAGACAGCUUGCAGCAGACCUAGAAACUUCAAAAAGGGAACUAGUGGAUGCUGAGAAGGAAGUUAAAUGGCUGAAAUCUGCUGUUGCAUCAUCUGAAAAGGAAAAUGAGCAGAUUGAACGAAAGAAGGCUGAACUUCUAUUGGAAUUGGAGAGUGAGAGGUGAUUUUUUAAGUGAAGGCUUUUUUUUUGAGUGCAUUUAAUACUAGAUCUUCUCCCUCAAAACUCUUUCUCCUUAACACUCAGGGAAAUUUGAUGUACCUUAAAAACUCUUUACUAAAAACAAAUACAGGCAUGAAGUUGCAAUACUGGGACAGAGUGACUUGAUAUAAUUGCAUAGCAUUCUUGCAACAAAAUAGAAUUAAUGUAUCACUUAUCAAGCAGAAAUGACAUAAUUUUUCACCUUAACUACAUUAUUGAUAGAAACUACCAUGAAAUUCUUGAGUUUUGGUUGCCAAUCGCAUAUGCAAAAUUGAUGGUUCCUAGCUUAGUGGACAAUCUGUUGAGAAGAGGUUUCCUUAGCUUAUUAAUCAUGUUACAUGCUUGCCCAAACUUGUCUUGACUUAUUGCAGUGUCCUUGGAACUGUGUAAUGCUUAUGGGAACUGCAUAACGUGGGAGACUGCUGCUUUAUCGUGCUAUAUUCAACUAGCUGGGUUUUGUCACGGAUUGAGAUUAUAUGCCAUUGGUUGAUUAUAUUCAUGGUCAUGCUUUUAACAAUGUUGUUGGCCUUGAAUAACAGUUUACAAGGAGGAGACUGUCAUGCAGCAAGCUCAAUUUUUCUUGGAUUUAGAUACAAGUUUACUACAAUAUUUCACUCGUGCUUGUAGAAUCUUACUGCUUUUGCAAUUGUUUCUGUUUAUGAUGUGACAAGUCUUUCAUGCAUCUAUGUACAAUUUCGUUAGGUGUUGUGUAUGUUUAGUCUGACUAACACUUUAUGAGAGCAGAGAAGCAAGGAAGAAGAUUCAGGAAGAGAUUGCCACAUGGAACAAAUCUAUCGAUGAGAUGACUUCUGAGAAUGAGGAAGCUGAAAUUCUGAGACUUCAGGACGAAAUUAAGGAGUGCAAAGCUAUUCUCAAGUGCGGGGUGUGUUUUGAUCGUCCUAAGGAGGUUUGUGCACAUGACAUCUUUGGAUCAAAGCUGUUCCUCAUAAUUCUGUUGAAAUUUGUCCUCUCUGCAAUAAUUGUGCUCCUCUGGUAUUUUUGGGAGCUAUGUAGUUACUCCCAUGAAUUUGUUUCUACGAGACAUUGUCCCUGAGGCACUAUAGAUUUGGUGAAUUCUUCAGCUAAGUAGUGCCCAUAACCUGGUUUCCGUUUCAUGGCAGGUUCUUAUUGCCAAGUGUUAUCAUCUAUUUUGCAAUCCAUGCAUCCAAAGAAAUCUAGAGAUCCGCCAUCGAAAGUGUCCAGCUUGUGGAAUGGCAUUUGGGCAAAGCGAUGUUAAAUUUGUAAAGAUUUGAAGGCACGUAGUUAAGAUGUCUAAAAUAGAACUCAGUUUUCAAGUGGAAACCUUGAGAUAAUAUGUAAUUUUGUGGAGGACUGCAUCCCCAGGAGAAGCUAUUUAGAUUACAGAAACUCUCGGUCUAAAUUCUCUCCCUCUCUCUCUCUCGUUUUUUCUUUUCUGCUUUUAAAUGCCUAGAUGCAGCGUUCCUUUGAAGAGUGCUUUUAGGUGGAAUUAUCUGCUGUUGGGGAUGCUUUGCUUUGUUUCUCUCUGGGUAAGUCCUUUUCCUUUUGGCUCAAGAAGCCUUUGUCAGCUGUUAUUUAAUCAACUCUGACUCGUUGAUAUUUUUAGGAAGUGGAUAAGGUUUAGGAUUGACUGAAACAAUUGUAUAAAGAUAACCUGUCGCUCUACAGUCUCGAAAAUAUCAACAGGUCUUGGCAAGGUUGGGGGACCAAGACAGGGAUGGGAGCAAGGAGGAUGGUGAGAAAUGGUCAAGUAGCCUUUACGUUUUUCCCUUGCAAGUAAACGGGAGGAUAAAUAAAUUAGUGCACACUUUUAAACAAGAAAAUUAUGCUUAAGCUACACCAAUCAGCAAUGGCAUAUGGUUUGCAGGGGUACUCAAAAACCUUUGACCUCGUGGAAGCACUAUGAAAGGUUGAUCUACACAUAAUUAACACACACAAACAUGGAGGUGUGCGUGGGGGCAACAAUUACCUAUUUUCGCAUGAUGACAAACUUGAUUGAAGAGUCUUUAAGUUACUCCUUGACCAAACCAAUAAAUAGUACUAAUGUACUAUUUUGUAAGAGGUCAUUCCAUUUACUUCUUUUUUUUCUUUUUGCUUUUCCUACUAAUAAUUUAAAAUGUAAUUCCUCCUAACACUACUUUUUAAUAGAGUUGUAAAUGAAUUGAAUCGAAUUGAAUCGAAUUGAACUUUUUCACAGUUUGAGCUCGAUUCGAAAUUUUGGUUUUAAACUUGAAUUUCAACUUGAAUCCUAUACAAGUUUAAACUUUAAGCUCGUGCUCGAUUUGAUUUAAUAUUCGAUAGGUUGAAGCUAGAAAAUUUAUUUAAUUCUUCACUUUUGAUAUUAAAUCAUCACUAAUGCAUAUAUAAUAUCUAUAUAAUAAAAUAAUAAGUAUAUGAUUUUAUAUAAAAUUAUUAACAAAUAUUUUAAAUAAAAAUAUUAAAAUUUAUUCGAAUCGAAUUAAGUCUUAAUGAGUUGAAUUUUUACGAGUUUGAACUCGAUUCGAUACUAUAAAUCAAUCCUAAUUCCUAUUUAAAUUCGAAUUCGAGUUCCUUAAAAAUCAAACUCGAAUCUAUUUCUUAAUAAAUGGAAUCCGAACUAUUCAUAUAGAUUGACUAGAUCAAUAGAUUCUCUGACAUUUGCUUUGAAUUUUUUUCACUCCAGAUGCAGUUUGAAACCUCAACUACUGGUUCUACUUUUUUAUUUCUUGUACUCCUAAUGAUUAAAAAAAGGGAUAAUUGCAGAAACCUCCCCUGAGUUUUAUGGUAAUAGCAUUGACCUCCCCUAUGAGUUUUGAAAUAGCAAUCACCUCCCUAAAAAAAGGUGGACACAAUUUAAUAGAUUCUUCAUGGUCAAUUUACUAAAAUACCCUCACUGAAAUUUAAUUUUACCAAAGAAUGUGAUGACUUAAACCCAAUAAAACGUUUGUCAUUUUGAUAAUUGUAGUUUACACUAAAUUAACUAUUUAUGCAUAGUUUAACUAAAUAACUAAUAAUCUAAUUAAUUAAUUAACUAAUUAUCUGUUGACAUAAAUAGAUAAUUAACUAAUUAACUUUAGAUGCUUAACUAAUUAUGUAACUAGUUAAUUAACUUCUUAAUUAACUAACUAACUAACUCAAGCUGCAGUCUCCGUCCAGCUUUGAUUAAGAGUAUGCUUUACUGUGAGACUAGUAUUAGAGGGAAGAACAGGGCGGCAAUUGCAUAAUAACACUGAAACCCGCAAGCGGGAUUCUGUGUUUUUUCUAUUUCAAGGUUAGCUCGCAUGCGGGUUAAUGUUAUAUUUGAGCGCGAGAAGAAAAAAUUGGUAAUUAGGCUCUUUGGGCAUUAUAAGUAAAUAUUUAAAUUAAUGGCAGUUUUAUUACACCAAUAUUAUUGUAUUAUCAUUAUUAUGAUUAUUGUAUUAUUUCUUAUGCAAAUAUAACAUUUAAUUAUUUAAAUUUGAUUUUAUUUUUACAAUUUAUAAAAUUUUUAUCACUUAUAUAAUAUUUUUAAAACCCUAAUACAUCUAAAUUUGAUUUUAUUUUUCAAAUUUAUAAGAUUUUUAUUUAAAAAAAUGGGAUACGGAUAAGAUAUCCGGUUGGUUCGAUUUGCAUAGGUGCAUAUGAGAAUAUCCGAAUACUCUUUAAACCCGCAUGCGGGUUUAAGGAGAUUAUGGCAACUCUCUGACACACUAGUUCCCUAGCUCUUAAAAAAGGAAAAAAAAAAAAAUUGAGAAGAGCUCGCAUUCCACGAAUGCGAGCUCAAUAACCAGAGCUCGCAUUCCACGAAUGCGAGCUCUUGUAAGCUCGCAUUUCACACAUGCGAAGACCCCCCUGACGGAAAUUAAACCUAAAAUCACCCUUUUUGUAGAAUUUUUUUAAAAUUCAUCACAAAGUUGGAAAUUUCUCUUGUUUUGUAUUGUGAAGGAUGUAGGAGAGUUCCAUGAUGUUCUCCUGUGGCUGGAAGAAGCCAUUUUUUGAUUUCUGCAAUAUGACUUGAAACUGCCAAAUUGAGUAUCAAGCAAGCUGUGUUUUGAGCUAGAAAAUUGCUGCUGCAUACAUGAGUCCAGAUUCUGGUAUUCAUUUUGCUACUGACCAUCGUUUAUAAGCUAGUGCCUUAGUUACAUCAAUUAGCCGUUAAGUAGCCGUUGGUUUCUCAGCAAAUGAAGUUGUUGCAGGUCAUCAUCUGGAAGCAUGUUGUUGCAUUUAUACCCCCUGAACUUCCUUGUGCUUAAUGAAAAAGCCCCUCCUUGUUAAUACUACUUGUCAACUAACAUCAGGGCAAAUUUGGAACAAAUUUUUUAUCUCACUUGUACAGCUAAUUUUUUAAUGGGAAUUGAAGCUGCCUGGACUGAUUUUGCAACUUAAUGUUCCUGUUGAGGGUGCUAUCUGCCAUUUCAGAACUUAGAGGGGAGCUCAGUGCAACUGUCAGUAGUUUCAGGGGAGGUUUCUGCAAUUUUCCCUUAAAAAAAAUGUCAUAUCUUGUCUCUACACCCAUUAUUUUGUUGAAUAUAUCAAUGUCACUUUAUUAGUGUUUGUCUCUUUAUUGUAGUCUAUUUUAACACUCCUAUUCAGCAUUUCAAUCAGCCAUAUCCAGAGAAGCAGUAACCAACAGACACCGUUUGAUACGCGAUCAUCGUCACAGUAUCUUCCAAGUCUGAAGUGCCUAUAUAGGAUUCUUUACUACUACACUGUUCUCUAGUAACUUUUGAUAGAUUUGGAUGCCCUUAUAGCUUUUUUUGAGAAUUUCAAAGCAAUGCUUCUCCAAACAAUCACAACUAGUAGCCCUUUAAAUCUGAGCAACUCUCCUAACUUUUGCUAUUGUUCUUCUUGUUUCAAGAAUCAGAGCCAAAAGACUCCAUCUUUACUGCCCAAGACCCUGUUUCUCCCAAGUCUUGAUUCUAAAUUUUACUACCAUUUGAGUGAUAAAACCAAAAGGGGCUCAUUUUUUUCGAGUGGGAAUGGCUGUGGAGCUAAUUCCAUUCAAACAAGAACAGCAUAUGCUACUUUGCUUGAGACCCCUGUUCUGUGGGCUGGUAGAGUUUGCAUCUUUUAUGUCCUCUUGAAGGCUGGCUUAGCUGGAUCUCCUGCUAACCCUCUUAUCUCUUCGGGUAUGAACAUAGUCUACGAUGAUUAUUUGCCGUAUUUAUGCCAAAAAUAAAGUGUUUGUCUGAAUGCUGAUUUCGUUUCUUGAUAGAUUUGGAAACUAGUUCUGAUGAUUUGGGGUUCUCUAAGUGGUUUGAGAAGUUUCAAGGAAAUCCAGGUUUGUGAAUUUUCUUGCUAAUUAUUAUUGUUAUUAUUAUUAUAUUUUGCAAGCGUUGAGUUGUAAAUGCUUGAGUUUGGUAGUUUCUAAUACUGGUUUAUGGAAAUUAUGCUAGGGGAGAAUCAUAUUUGAGUUAAGGCAAUUUAAUAAUUACAGACUAGUAAUAAGGUGAAACUUUGGAAUGAGGAAAGUAGCUCUGCUUGUUGAGUGUAUCUCAAACUUUGCAUCAUUAGUGUAGUGUUCUAUGAUAUGACAUGUGGAAUGCCAUCUAUUCUUUCUAAUUUUGUGACACCACAUACAUUUUUUUUAGCUUGAUUUAAUUUUUAAGCAAAGGCUUACAACUACCUUGAAGGCUAAUAGUGUCAUCAGCGAAACUUGAAGUGGUUAUUGGGAGCCUGUAAUAAAAUUCCCAGUGGUGCUAAUUUUAUUCCCUUGUGUGCUUUUGAGAGAGCUGUGAAGGACAUUAAGACAGAGUGUAAGGAUAAGACUAAGAGGGGAUUGCCUGGACUGGUUUUUUAUUGAGAAUAACUUGUUCUCAAAACUGUGUGUUCUUUCUUCCUGUUUCCAUUCAAAUUGACCUAAAUAUACUGUACAAUUUGCACAUUGCAUAUAGCAGAAUGAAUCCUAGGGGAAAUGCAUGUUUGCCUAGCAACUGUUCCAUGAAAUUCCACUGUAGAUAGUCCUAGACUUAUGGAAGCAAGAUUAGGGAAAAAGUACCAACUUGGCAUGGGACUUCUUCAUGAAAUCGAUCAUCUGAACUAAAGCAAGUGUUGACAGAACAGCCUUCUGUAAGUAUUAGAUGAUAUUGGUAAUAUUAGGUAUCUGUCAUCUGGUCUACUUGUUAACUGAUUCUUUUUGUGAAAUUAACCUAUCUGGUAAGCGAAACAUUAACCCAUUUUGUAGGUGAUAUGAUUCUGAGACCAUGUGUGUUUUGUUCAUCUCAUUUAGAAGAUAUUUGGAUAAAAGAACUUAUUACAAUAUUAAUAAUUGGCUCCUUUAAUAGGCUGAUUUUGCAAGUAUUUAUUGAGUUUGAUGCUAAAUUGGCACAGGAAAUUGUCAUAUCAUGACCCUCUGCUUAAGUUGUUUUGGCAGUAACAUGUAUUAAAAGACUUCCUUUGUCUGAUCAUUAGACAUGAAUUUGGAGAAGAAAGAUGAAAGAGGAAAAGCUAAGAAAUAGGGAAACAACUAACAAAUGUGUAGCAUUAACGCUUUUCAAACUUUAUGCCUAAGGAUCACAUGUGAGGAGUAUUUAUAGGAGAUCUUUCGCACUAGAUAGCAAAAUUGACUAGCUUGACGUUAGGCGAUUUCUUGCUCUUAAGUACUUUUGUUUGACAGUACCAAGUCAUGCAACAAUCAGUAGACUGCUUCUCACAUCAUUCUCUACACAGGACUUGUUAAUUUAUUGAAUCAAGAAAGAUGAGUACUCCUAAAUAGAUGAAACUUCAGAACUGUAGCAUGAGUAUGCUUAUUGAUCAAGAUGUCUCCAAUAGAUUGAAUUGUCAAUAGUCCUAAAAUUUCCUUAGAUGGUAUUGGAUAAUUUGCAAGUGGUCUGCUGGGUAGAUCUCAUUAUGCUUAUCUUUUGUCUCAGGAUUAAAAGAGUUAAUCUGAAUGUUAUGAUACAUGAAUUGAUUUCAUUAAAAUAAAAAAAAAAUGUGAUAGUUUUUGGGAGGUGAUGACAUUUUUCGUUUAUUUUUUUAAGGAGUCUUUCAUUUCUCAUGUAUUGACUUAUUUAGUAAGUGGUCCUAUGUGAUGAAAUGUCAAAUAUGAUGUCACUUGGUACUGCAAUAACCAAAAUUUAGUCCAAGUUACCUAACUUGGAACUUGUAAAGAAGUUGCUUAACAUGAAGUUAUCUAACUUGUUGCCUAACUUGAAGUUCAUCAAAUUUACCAUCCAGGGCAAGGAACUCCAAUGAAUACUCAGUCUAACAUUCUGGAAUAGAAUCUGGAUAGCAUUAAUAUUUUAUAUUCUAGUUGCCAACUUUUUCUCUUAGCUUUUCCUUUCUCAUUUUCUUCCUCCAAAAGGUCAGAAGAACUUAAAAAUUCUUAAAGACUUUUCUCACUCAUUUUGAUAUCUUUUGCGUUGGAGCAUAAACCUAAUCACUAUGAGAGUUUGAAAUCCAGGAAUGAAGUUGGUUCUCUGUUUGCUUUGAGCAUUUAAUGGGCUAGUCUUAUUAUUGUCUAGUAGUUCAGUGGCUCCAGCCCAUAUAAUUCUACCUGCACGUAUGAGGGACUGCUUGUGUGGAUCUUUCUUUCAGUUUUAUUUUAAUUAUUUUUAUUGGGGGGGAUGCCUGUAGAGGUUAACUAAGGAAAAUAGCUUGAGAAGAAUGUUUCAAAUGGGUUCUGCAAAGCUGCUAUAGUCUGAGAAUUGUUAACUAAAAGUUUGUUUGGUCAUGGUAAAAUCCAUGGGAAGGAAGGAAAUAGAGGUGUAGAGAUUGAUGACUUCACAUGGCUGAUGAGGAACGGAGAAGGGUGGUAAUUGUGUAUCAAAUAAAAUCAAGAACCGCACCUUGGGUUUUUAUUAGCUUUGGAGUUACAGGUGUUGAUGAAGAUUAGGAACUUAGAACAGAUAUGACCCACUAUUAUCAGUCUAAAAUCUUGGUAUUAAGGUGAAUGGUAAAGUGUGCUUGAAAUAUUGGAAAGGUAAAGGUAGUAGAAGUGACUUUCUCUGUGUAAACAUACUUUUUGCCCAUUUCCCUUCCUGUUCUUCCUUCUUAAUGCCAAUUACUUACAAGAUUAAACCUGUACAAUGGGUAAAUAACUUCUCCAUUUGCUCUUACAGAUAUAACGUGCUUUAUAUGAGAGCUUGUGGUGCCUUGUUUGCUCUUAGUUUUUAGAUACAAGGAUCCUUCCUGCUUGCUUUAAUUUUUGUUUGUUUAAAAUGGAAGCUGUCUUCUUCAAGCAGAUAAGGAAGCAACUGAUAGAAGGAAACUAGUCAGCAAAUGGCAUCCAACAACCAAGGGUACCCUUAAGCGCAACUACAGGGUCCCAUCAAAAUCUGAAGGGCGCCGUCUUCUGAAAGCCAUUGCUUCUUUGUUAUCAGAUGAUGAUCACUUCAGAGAUGCCUCUUCUCACAAGGUAUAUCUGCUUCCUGCCUAAGAGUUCACUUCCAUUUUUCGUGGAUGAUGAUUUGAUUGUCAGCCUUGUAACUCAAGCUCUUUGGCCUUUUUCCUAGGGUUGUCAAAUUAGAAGGCAGAAUGCUCAUGGAGAAAGUGUUUGCUGUAACAAUGUUAGAGCUUUGUUUGAUGAGCUUCCUACUCCACACCUGGUGGUGGAAAUUACAGCUUUUCCUGCUGGUCCUCUCAACGAAAAUGAUUAUUUAAAAGCUGAGAAAUUAGAAAGGGUUCUGAGAUCUGCUCCUUCUGCUUGAUUAACUUGGCUAUGUUGGUACUCUAGAAUUUCUGAAAGCUAGAGGGGUGGUUUUCUCUAGUGACAAACCAAUUUGACGAUGUUGAAAUACUUGAGCCUCUAGCAGAUGCCAAUAGGCCCUUCGUUGUUUUUGUAUGUAUCUGAUCUGCUUGUAAAUAUUGAUGGCAUGGCUUCAACAUCUUGCGUCUGAACUCUGUGAGUUUGAGUACACUUCCAACAUGGGACCAGAUUCCUUUGAUCAAUCUUUAGUCAAAGGAAAAUCCUUAAAAAAUAAUAAAAAAAAGUUUGGCCUCUUUGACCAUAUUAUUUUGCGAGGUUUUAAUAAAUUUUGUAGCUAAAAACUUUUUUUUUUUUUUUUUUUUUUUUUGCUUUUUCGCUAUAUUUUGUCAAUCAACAAAACCACCAAAAGAAAGCUUGACAAUAAGCAUAACCAUAUGUAGCAAUCAGUAUUAUGCUGGUUUGUUAUUUACUACAAUAUUUCAAAUUAGUUGAAAUGUUUUGGCAAACUAAUAUCUUUCUUAUUUCUCUUUUAAUAAAAUCAAAUUUCAUUCAUGAAGAGACUUUGUUACAUAUAUUUAAACAUCUUGAAUGAGGUCUCAUGCUACGCAUGAAAGUGCACAGAUAUAUGGUUUGAUUUGAUUUGAUUUUCUGUUCAUGGGAGAUAAACACAAAGCUGUAUAAAAUACUAGACGAUAUUGACCAUCACAAAAGAUAGAGCAUCCAAGCUAGUUUGAUGAUAUAGAAAUGCUGGAAACUUUUGGUGAGAUUCAAGUCAAAUUUGUAAGGUAGUUGAAAUAUGUGGGAAGAAAAUUUGUAAGCAAAAAUUUGAGUGCAUUAUGGCAAUAUUUGAUACAUUUGGGAUAAAGUUAUUGUGUAUGAAUAAUAUAUUUCAGAUAUUGAGUGGGACAAUAUGGUGUACAUUGAACUGCAACAAAUAUAUAAACUGGAACAACAUCAUAUGUAUUGGUAUUGUUUACAAAUUAUCAAGAAAUUAGGGCAAUUGAUGAUAAGAUUAGUAGGCCUAUAAAUCCAACCUCCUUCUUAUUGGUUUAUUUACAACUAGUUAUUCACUGGUACAUUUGUACGAGCCUUUUUAAUAUCUUCAAGAAGAAAAUCUUUAUAUAUAAAAUAAUCACUUCUAUAAAAUUUAAUAUGCCAAAUACAAAAAACAUGUCCACUAAAUGUGCUACUAUACGUGACGUGUUUUUUUUGUCCUUAUUAUUAAUUGACUACUAAUAAGGACAAAAAAAAAAGUGUCUACUUUUUUUUUAGUUUUCUGAAUUGGAAAAUAGAUAUCUUAAAUAGAAUAGAAUUUUGAUGAUGUUGGAGUUCAAGGCAAGGCAAGUUUUGGAGAUGCAAUACAACCUUUUUAGACUUCAAAGAAAAGUUGUGCUACCGCUGCUGAUUUGAGUUUGGCUACAGCUACCAGCAGAUGAAAUAUUCAAUCAUUGUCUAUCACUUUAUCAUACGAAUUAUCCAAUGAACAAAACUGGGAAAGCCAAGUCUAAACAGUUAAUUCCACUUUACACCCUUCAACUAUUUCUGAACUUCCACAUUGAUCCCUAGAUUUUAAAGUGGGAAACUUUAGUUCCUAAAAUAUAAAAUGUAUUCCAAAAUAUAUCCUACUUAUGUAAACUUUGUCCCACUGUAAUUUUUAAAUUAUAAAUAUUUGAAGAUUCCAUACUUUAUCAACUAAAAAUGAAGAAAUUUUAUUUAGAGAUAGUAGAUUUUAUACUUAAAGGGGUAAAGUGUCACAUUUUAAAGUUUAAGAUUUAAAAUAAAUAUUUGAAUAUUGUUGAACGUGUAAAGUGGAAUUAAACCAUGUCUAAAUGUUUGCAAGGGAUUAAGGAACACCAGAGUUGAGAUGUAAUGUACUAUAUGCUCUGGUUUCAAAUCCUUAGUCCCCAAACUCCCCCUGUCCCAUAUCCCACUUUCUGCCACGUGUCUAUUAUCGAUUUAUUUGAGUUUGGGUUAACAAAAAACUAGAAACACGGCACGUGGCAGCUGUACAAAUAAGGGAUAGAGGGGACAGAAACUAUUUUGGGGACGGAGGAUUUGAAGCCCUAUUACAUUAAAUAAUGUUUUAUGGUUUCUUCUAUCUUGCUCAUAGACUAACAGAAAUAGGUAAAUCAUUCUCAGCCUUGCAGACCAGGAUGGCCCUAUACUAGCAGCAUGGAUGAAUUUCCUUGUCUUUGAUCUUAAAAAAUUAAAUGGAUUUGAUGUGUACUAUGUACAUCAUCAAUAGAUAAGUAUGCUCAAUCAAUCAUUUAGGCAUUUUAUAUUACCUUAAAUAUAACUGGGAAAUCAAAAUUAACACCAUAUCAGAUUUUUACCAAUGAGAAAAAUAGGAUAAUCAUUUUUAAGAUUCAAGAAUCAAAGUUAGAGUUGAUAAUUGUCCAUCAAGUAACAAACCUAGCAGCAAAAGAUCUAGAGUUACUAUUCAUUAAACACAGAGUAUAAAACUUAGGGAGUUCCUAAACUAUCAUUGUUAUUCAUUUUUGGCCCCCUAAUCUAUUUUUCGUCUUUGACUGGCCCUUAAACAAUUAAAAGUGUAUAGUUCAAGGACUUUUGCGCAUUUUAGACAUAACUCCAGUUGGAAUCAAAGCAUUUUUGUCCAACCUUAAUCAAAAGCAUUAGAAGCAAUCACAGGCCAACAUUCAAGUUAGGAGCAACAGCAGCUACAGGCUAGGUAGUCUAGUCAGCAGCAUCAGAAGUAGAAACCACCCAAGAAUCAGGCCUUUAAAGCAAGGAAAUAGGCUUCAUUGACUGAUGUUGAAAAGGGGUGGAUAACCUCCAACUAUGCGUAUCUUUGAAAGCAGCCUCCUUUUACAGUUGGAAGGUGGAAAGAAAGAUAGGAUAGAAGUAGAGCUAGUGAAAAUAGCAAUGAAAACCAAAGUGAAGGUGCUGGAGCAAGAGGAAGAGGAAAUGGGAGAGGUAGGGGAAAUAAGUGUCUGCUCCUGAUGCUUUUGAUUAAGGUUGGACAAAAUUCAAUUCCAGCUAGACUUAUGUCUAAAAUGGCUACAAAUACUUAAACUAUGCAUUUUUAAUUGUUCAAUGGUAAGUCAGAGAUAAAAAUAGAUUAGGGGCCAAAAGUGGAUAAUGGUGAUAGUUUAGGGGCACUUCAAGUUUUUUUUUUUUUUUUUUUUUUUUUACUUUAAACACAAGUGAAUCUUAAAAUGCAGACUGUUAUCUAGAAUUAGAUAUAAAAAACUUUUACAAUAUGUGAAGAAUUUUAACUAAAGAUUAUAGUAAUUUCUAUAGUAAUUUCUUCGAAUAAACAUUUUUUAUUUUCUCCUCUGCACAUUAAAACAAACGGACGAGUGAAAGUAACUUGUGUAAUCUUUAACUUUUUUCUUUUUUAGUGUAAUCUUUAACUUUGUUAAUACUUAAUGCAACUUCAACAUUUUAUUAGGGGAUAAUUUUAGAAAACCUCCCUUGAGAUUUUUUACAAUUCUCCUAGUACUCGAGAGAUUUUCAAUAUUACAUUUACCUCUUUUGGUCCUAUAAAUGACCAUAAUAAUCUUAAUAUAUUAAUAUUUUUCAUACAAUUAAACAAUCUGCUCCUAAUCUUAUGCCUAAGAAUGCAUUUCACACAAUUAGACAUUAAAUGGAAGCAAAAAUAAGAUUCACCUAUGGAAUAACCAAUUAUGUACUAAACAUAAUUUUAACAUAUUACAAAUUAAUUUUAGCUUUGUUUGGAGGUUCUGGAGAUGAAUAGAAGAAAAUGUAGGCUGAAAGUUUAAGAAGAAUGGGUUUGUUUCUGGUUUUCCAACAUUUGAGGGAUAGGGUGUUAUAUUAAUGCAAUUGGUAAAAUUUUUUGACCUUAACGGUGCUUUUUUUUUUUUUUGUUGGUUUGGAUUGAGGUUUUAGAAAUUAGGGAUUGAUUGUGGUAAUGGUCAUGGAAAUAGUGAUACUGAUUUGAGAUGUGAAAAUAUGAAAGGUUUAGAAUAGUAGAAAUGAGGGUUAGAAAGUGAGUUUGUAAUGUUGUUGAUGUUUCAAAAUUUUUAAAGAAUUUUAUGGGAAGUAAAAUGAAUUUCACAAUUUCAAGAGGGCAUUUUGGGUAAUUCAUUCAAAAUUUUAACCAUUGAAUAGUUUUUAUUAGUAAAAUUUACAUGAAUAGGAGGAAUGCGUAAUUUUUAAAAAACUUAAAAAAAAAACUAGGUGCAUUUUUUAAAAACAUCAAGAGAGUUUUCCGAAAUUAUCCCUUUUAUUAAUAAGUAGUGCAUCAUAUGGAACUGUUAGUAAAAACAGAAAUCAACUAAAUUAUUCUGCUAAAUAUAUAUGUUUCUUUUUUUUAUUAUUAUUAUAUUCAUAUUUUAUAAGACCUAAUAGUAUACGUCGUUAAGUGUGACAAGAACCUCUUCUCAUUACUCUUUUAUUAAGUUAGAAACAUAAGGGCGAAUUGCUACCAACCCCUUUAUUAAGGGGUCGAUCUGUAAUUAAGUCUAGCUGGAGUUUCUAUGGAGUAGCAAAAUGCUAUUUGAUAAUUUUGGAAUUCAAGUUUCUAACAGGUAACUUAGAAGCACUAUUUCUACAUGAUUACUUAUGGGACAAAAUUAAGUGUCAGAUCGCUUACGAUUUGAUCAUGAUGGAGUUCAAGGCAAGCAUAUGCUACUUUAUUAUUUGGAAACAUGCUUGAGUACACAGAAAUUUCCCAAUUCUUGGUUCUUUUUUUGCCACAUAAACCGAGCAAGCAGAGCAUAGAACCAAAUGCAAAUCAAAGCAGGGCAACAAGAUGGGCGGUUUAUGGGGACAUGUGGUACACGGAUUAGCCUUCGUUCUAUUUGGGAUCUGGCAUUUACUUAGCCAUAUGAGAUAUCAUUUUCUACAUCCAAAAUCCUAUACAUCUUUGCCAUGGUUUCCAACUUCAAAAUUCAGGUAUUUGGAGCUUUUUCUAAUCAUGGGAGGAAGCGUUGCCUCAAUAUCCUUGGAACUCUUCAUUUCUCCAAGCAAGCACCAACCCUUGGACCCUGAUGGAACCAUCCCAUCAAGCCAUCUUCACAACUUUGAGCACUCAAACAUAUCCUUGACCUUCUUUGUUUAUGCACUUUUUGCAAUCAUUCUCGACAAGAUUCAGCCACCAGCUCAAUAUGGCCUUACCCAAAUGCUUGGAGGCAUUGCUUUUGGCCAACAAUUUCUCCUCUUGCAUCUCCACUCUACCGAUCACAUGGGAGUGGAAGGCCAAUACCACUGGCUUCUACAAAUUGUCAUACUUGUCUCAUUUUUCACUACCUUCCUAAGCAUAGGGUAUCCCAAGAGUUUCUUGAAUAGUUUUAUAAGGUCUCUUAGCAUCUUGUUCCAAGGGAUUUGGCUGAUGAUAAUGGGAAUCAUGCUCUGGACACCAGAGUAUAUUCCCAAAGGCUGUUUUAUUAAGUUGCAAGAGGGUCAUUAUGUUGUCAGAUGCCAUGAUCAUGAAGCCCUUGAAAGAGCUAAAGCAUUGGUGAAUAUUCAAUUUAGCUGGUACUUAACUGGAGCUACACUUUUUGGGCUGUGUCUUUAUUUGGUACUCUACAAAAUGUUCCUUGGAAAAGUUGAGUAUCAAUCUUUAACAAGCUCUGAGGAUGAUGAUGAUAUUGAGACUCAGAAAACGAACAAAGAGACUUUUUCAAGGACAAAAGAGUGAAGGACGCCGGGGGGGGGGGGGGGGGAAUGUUUGUGGUGUGAUAUUGUUUGGUUUGCCUUGAUGGCGUUUGGUAUCGGAAAGAAUUGAUGUUCUUCUAUUUGUUAUAAUGUAGAAAGGAGAUAAUAAAUAGUUGUUUAUAGGAGGAAUUGACUUCAAUCUUUAGUUCAAAAUUAAUUCUUGUGUAGGUAAAUGAUUUUUUGUUAAACUUUUUGUCUAUUACUCUCUUGUUAUAUUACCUGUCCGAUUGACUGUGUCUCAUAUAGUAAUGGAUUGGGCAAACAUAUUUUAGAUAGAGCUGUAAAUGAACCGAAACGAACCGAGUAUCUCAUGUUUGAACUCUAUUCGUUAAGCGAUUCGAACUCCGUUCGUGUUCGUUCGUUAACUUUCGAACUCUAAACCUGUGUUCGUGUUUAGUUCGUUAAGUAAAGUUCGUGUUCGUGUUCGUGUUCGACUCGUUUAACAUAAACGAGCCGUUCGCGAACACGCUCGAAAAGUUCGAAUCCAGAUUACUCUAGGCCUUAAAUAUGCCACACAAAUCAUUAAUCAUCCUAAAAAAUAAUUAAAAUACUAAAUGACUAAAUUUCAUUAUUCAAUAACUGCAUAACCAACAUUAACAUAAAAACAACAAAUAAAACAAAGUAAUUUGUCCUUCAAAUAUAAAAAUUCAGCCAUAAGACAAGUACAAAUUUUCAGCAGCGGCCAACGGGGAAGGAAAACAAAAGUAAGGUUGGAAAGGGAAGGGGAAAGUUUUAGAAUUUCUUAUGAGUAACCCUAAAAUUUGUCAAAUGACAAUUAUGUCCUUGUUCGCGAAUGCUCGUUAAAAUUCGCGAACAUGUUCGUGUUCGCUCGAUUAUUAAACGAACACAAAAUUCGUUCGUAUUCGUUCGUUUAAGGCUUUCGAACGAGCCUUUAAUGAACACGAACCGAGCUAACGAACAGCUCGGUUCGUUUAAUAGCUCUAAUUUUAGAUCACUUGUUAAUUUAACAUGGUGUAACUAGAAAAUGUGUAACAGAAGACAUCAAACCAUCAAUUUAUAUCCAAUGUUGAGAAUGAAGUUUAGGUUUUGUUGUUGAGUAAUAAGAGAAAAGUAAGAAAACGCGAGAAAAAAAUGUUGUGCCCUAAUUCAUCGACCUUUCUUGUUCAAACUAAAACUAAUCGCUAAUAAAAGUCAUCUUAUCACUUAUCUCUGGAAUUUUCAACCGUUUCAAAUUUUAAUAAAGAAUUCUAUCUCAACCAAACACUUUAGAAUUCAAAACCAAAAAAAAGUUUAUCUUUUUUUUUAAAAUUUUGGGUUAAAAUCACCAAACGUCCUACUCAUUUGAACUUUUCCCGUAACAUUAUUUUUUGCUGCAAUUUUCUAUUUUAAUUAUCAGUCCAACACUAGUACGGGCAUAGAUGCGAAUUAAGCAACUAGUUUGGGAGUUAUGAUUCCAUAUCGGACACAUAAAUACUUGACCUACUUAUAAGCCUAGUCCAAUGGUUCAAUAAAAUAACAUUAAUGACCUCACAAAUAUAAAAUAGGGUUAAACUACUUUAAAAAAAGAUCUAGAUUUCUUUUCCUUGGGAAGAUGUUAAUAAAAAAUAAGAUCCAACAGCUAAACAAAAAAAUCACAUGCACACAUGUAAUCUAUUGUGUAUGACAUAUCCAUCUCAAAUGUAUGAGAGAUGUUUUACCAUAUUGUAUGUCACUUCUACUCAUUGAUGACAAUUUGUGGAGUAAUAUUUUUUUUAUUAUAAUAUCAUUUUGAAUUGAAUUAACAAGUUGAUAUUUUCAAAAAACAAAAAAGAAAAUUUUUGGGACUUAGAUUGUCAUUUUUCAAAAUAUUUUUAACAAAAAUAUAUUUUAGCAAUUGUUGUUAUUGACAAUUAAUUGUCUAGACCAACUUUUGUCAGCAAAAAAAAUAGUGUUAUUAAGAAUAAUUGAAGUUCUGAUAGUAAUACUCUAUUCAAAUGUAAAUAUUCAACCUAAGUAACAAAAUAAAUGAUAACCAAAAAAAUGAAAUAUGAGCUCAAUUGAUCUUGUUCAAACUACACAUUCUGUUAAUGGAUAAUUAGUAUAUACUAAAUUGUAUUUCCAUUUGUAGAAAAAUAAUAUGCAAUGUAUAUCGACCAACAAAUAAAUUACUGAUGUUUUAAACAAAUCAUACCUUAACUAAUGAUGUGCUGCUACAUAUGUAGUUGCUCACCUUUAUAUUUAUGCCAUCCUCCUCUCUUCCAUUUGUUUUUUAAUAGUGCAAAAUUCUUUUGUUUAUACUGGUGAAAAAAAUAACAUAUUUUACAAAUUAUUCCAAUUUAUUUAGAAAAUGUUACUAAUUUCAGGAGAAAUUAUGUAUUGCAAAAAUCUUUUAGUAAUUUUCUACUAAACAUAACUACUGCAUACAAAAGGAAAGCUAUUUGAUUUUGUUUUAUGUUGAUUAGAAGAACUUGUAUCAGUAAUAAUAGAAAUAGUGACAGUGGUGCAAAUUUCAAAUCAAUAAUCAACAUACACAUGAUUAUAGUAUUUUUUUAGUCGAUCAGACUAAUAUAUGCCAUAUGAUAGUAAGAUUUAGUAAUUUGUGAAUCGACAAUUUUAGCAGUUUACAUACCAUUCACCUAUAAAAAAUUAUGAUAUUUUAUAAUAAUUUACGUACCAUUUGCCAAUAAAAAAUGAGUUUGAUUAAAAAAAUGCAAACAAAUCGAUAAUGUAAAUGAUACAAAGUAUAUUUGAAAGUUACAGAACUUAAUAUAUGGGCAAAUUUACUAUGAUUUUAAAAGAUUAUGCUACGUUAAUACAACAUUAACUUUCAUACUUGUGACCCAGAAAAUAAAUUUAUUAAAACUUUACCAUUUUAUUAUACUCAUAGGUAUUAAUAUAUCAAAAUUGUGAUGUAUAGAUAAGUGCUAUUCUAUAUAUAACUCGAAAGAUUUGUUGUUAUUAUCAUCCAAACUUUCUAACCUUUCACAAAUUCAAAAAUAAUUCAGAAUUUAUAAUAUGACAAAUAAUUCUUACAUAUUUUAUAAAGUCAUGUGAAAAAAUAGUUUUCAUAGUAUAUUUAAAAUGCUUUAAACACAUCAUAUUUAUAAAUGAUACAUACAAUCAUGUAUCAUACAUUUACAUUUCAAGAAAUUACUAAAUAUAAUAGUAAGUAUCAAUCAUUAAUAAAAAAUCUUAGCAUUAUUUCAAAUCAACUUUCUAAUACUUGUUUCAUAUAAGUCUUUUAAGUAAUAUAGUAAAUUUAUGCCAUAAACUAGUAAGUUUUGACCAUUAACCGAAUUCACUGUUCUAUCAAUAAGAUUUACUAUUAAUCUAUAAAAACUUACUAUUACUUGAACUAAAUUUACGCUCCAAAAGGUAAGUUUCAAAUAUAGAGUAGUAAUUUAUUUUUUUAAAAAAGUAAAUUUCAUAUUUAUUCCAAUUUACUUUUUGAGACAUAAAAGUUACUAAUUUAUCAAGUUAACUUACUAUUUUUUAUGCAAAACUUACUAACCAAAUUUUUACGUAUUAUCUUAUUUAUGUGACUGGUCCAAUAGGUAAUCAAAUGAUCACUAAAAGUAUUUAAAAAAGUUUCGUUACCAUAAUAAUCUUUACUUCAGACUUUUCCUAAAUUUUAAUGCAAAAAAAUCAGUAACUAUGUAAUUUUGGUUCUGUCUAUAGGUGGCAAACAAUCAUAUUUAGCUAAAUUUACCCAUACCCAUCCAUGAAUAGAUGGGUAUGGGUAACUUAAAUUUUUGCAUACGAGUAUAAAUGAGUUGUUCAAUAAUAUCCAUUUAUUGGGUAUGGGUAUUAUUGGAUAACCCUGUCAAAUCUAAUGAACCCAUUUAAAAUUGUCUUUCCCCAAGUCUCCUCUCUUCCCUCACCCAUUUUUUUUUCAGAUUUUUUAUUUUGUCAUGAUGUUAACUACCUUUGUGUCAUUGUUAUUAUUAUUUGUUCGUUUUAUCUUAUCAUUUUAUUUUAUUUUAGUUUAUUAACUUGCUCAUUUUUCAGUAUUACCAAUUUAUGAUAAGUUUUAGCCUCUUUUCCUACCUUUCCAUAAUGAAAUUUUAAAUUUACACACGGAAAAAAUGAUAGGGGUUCAAAAUUUUUGGAUUAAGUUUAUAUGUUAACUUUUAUUGUAUUUAGUUCAAAAUUUUAUAUUCUUAUUGUUUAAUUAUUAAAUACUAUAUAAUUUUGCGACAUAAUGUACAGAUAGAAAAAAAAUUGGUAAUUAGGCUUAUUGAGUAUUAUAAGUAAAUAUUUAAAACUAAUGAUAGGUGCAAAGGGUGGUAUAAAUUGAUAACUUGUUUGCAAAAAUGAAUUUAAAUGAGUUUACAAAAAGUUAAAAUAAAUGGGUUUAGUUUGCAAAAAUGAAUUUAAAUGAGUUUACAAAAACAAAAAGUUAAAAUAAAUGGGUUAUAAAUUGGUGUUUUGGUUAUCCAAUUCAUUUUUUGACUUACCCAUUUAUACCCAUCUAAUUAAAUGGGUAUAAAUGAGUUGACUGAUUUAUACCCAUUAUUCAUUUUAAUGAAACCAAAUCCGUUCAAAUCACCCAUUUUGACACCUCAAAAUUCUAUCCUUCUACUUUUCCUUUCGGAUUUUUUCUUCUAAUUAUUUUCUUUUUGGAUUAAUCUUUUAUAUUAUUACACUAUCAGUGUAAAAUAUUACAUACAUGAGCGAGCUCAAUUUGCACAGCAUGUUUGAUAUUAACUUACAUAAUCUAGAAUUGUUCAUGUAAAACUUUUGUUAGCACUGAUGGAUUAAUCAUUUUCUCAAUUAAUUGUGUAGUCAGAAGUGCAUACAAGAUUAAAUUGUGUUAUGAAAUGUUUUGGGCUAUAAGUGUAUGUCUAUUACUCUGGCAACUUGAGUGUUUAUAAGCUGACUGGAUUAGCUUUCAAGAAGGCAACCCAAAGCUUGUGAAUUAGAAUGUUGAAUCUAAUAGAACUUGUGAUGCAUUCCAAUUCCAAGACCAAAAUGAAUCAACUUUGCUUCAAGGGUAACUUGGCUCUUCGACCAAAACUAAAGCAAAUAAAAAGUUGCCUAAUCCAAGAUUAUAUUAUUGUUAUUAUGAGUCAAACUACUAUUUUUUUAUUGCGGGGAAUGGAUUGCAAACCAAUUUUUAGAAUGCUUCGCGGCAUCCGUUGGGACCAAUACAAUUGCAUUUCCCAGCAGAACUCUUUAACAUGCUUUGGGUGUAACACUCCCGACAAGAUGGAAAGGUAAAUUUGUAAUGGAAGUGGGAAAUGGCCUCAAGGUUGAAAGCUGUAAAAUCAGAAGAAUUGGGAAAAGUUUCAUGUUUUUCUCAUUGCCAUCUGCACUAUAUAUACAAGUACAAUGUGCACCCCAGGCUCCCGUGACUUCAGCCCCAAUUUACCUAAUUAUGUGCAAUUACCAAAACUACCAAAUAUAGAUAGAUACUAAUAGACACAAGAUAGUCGAAACUUCAGCCCAGCCACCAAGUAUACACACUAAUACCCCCCUCAAGUUGGAGCAUGAAGAUUGGAAAUGCCCAACUUGCAAAGAAUGUCAUCAAACGAACGUUUGCCGAGAGCCUUGGUAAGGAUAUCAGCUAGUUGGUGAGACGAGGAUACAAAUUGAGGAAGAAUGAUACCACGACGAAUCUCAUCACGAACAAAGUGACAAUCAACCUCGAUGUACUUGGUGCGUUCAUGAAACACAGGGUUGUGAGUAAGGUGAAGAGCGGACUAGCUAUCACAAUAAAUUCGCAUAGGAGAUGAGUGAGGGACGCUAAGAGAAGCUAACAAACCCUUGAGCAAUUUCAAUUCACAAGUCGUAGAGGCCAAAGAUCGAUACUCUGCCUCAGCCGAAGAUCGAGAUACAGUAUGCUGUUUUUUCGUUUUCCAGGAAAUUGGAGAAUCCCUAAGAAAGACAAAAUAUGCCGUCAAAGAACGUCGAGUCAAGGGGCAACUCGCCCAAUCCACAUCACAAUAAGCUGUAAGAUGAAGAGAGGAAUCAGAGCGUAGCAAAAGACCUUGCCCAGGAUGAAGUUUUAAGAAACGAACAACACGAAGGGCCACUUCCCAAUGACUAUGCCGUGGCUCCUACAGAAAUUGUGCCAAGAUAUAUACACAGUAAGACGAUUCAGGGCGAGUAAUCGUCAGGUAGAUAAGACGACCAAUAAGAUGCCGAUAAGGCAUAGGAUCAGGAAGGGUCUCGUCCUUAGCUAAAGCGAGGUGAUGAUUUUGCUCCAUUGGUGUGCCGGCAGGUUUAGUACCUAACAAACCGGUCUCAGAAAUAAUAUCGAGAGCAUACUUUCUCUGACAAAGAAAAAUCCCAGUCGAAUUUCGCGUUACUUCAAGACCAAGGAAGUACUUCAAUUUACCAAGGUCUUUCAUGUGGAAACAAUCAUUCAAGUAAGUUUUAAAACGCAUGAAUGGCAUCACUAUCAGUCCACCUAUCACUAGAUCAUCCACAUAGACCAAAAUGGUCAACUGAACUUCGCCACGCCGAAACGUGAACAAAGAAUAGUCUGAGCCAGAUUGCUGAAAUCCAUAUUGAACCAGAGCCGCAGCCAGCUUGGCAAACAACACCGCGGUGCCUGUCGCAGCCCGUAGAGAGACUUCCGCAGAUGACACACUUUUAUCGCCUCCGGGUGCGUAAAACCUGGUGGAAAACGCAUAUAAACUCCUCCUCAAGAUCGCCAUGCAAAAAUGCAUUGUGCACAUCCAUCUGAUGCAAUUCCUACGCACGGAUCGCUGCUACUGCCAAGAAGGUACGAACCGUGACUAUUUUUGCAGUAGGUGCGAACGUCUCAGUAUAAUCAAGACCCUCGAUCUGGUAAUUCCCGAAAACAACCAAGCGUGCCUUGUAUCGCUCGAUUGUUCCGUCUGUAUGAUACUUGAUUUUGUAGACCCAUUUACUACCAAGAGCCUUCUUUCCCAUAGGCAAAGUAGCAACUGUCCAUAUCCCAUUAUCCUCUAGAGCCUCAACCUCCUUUCUCAUUGCCUCACGCCAAUAUGAAUGCUGCAUUGCCUCUUUAAAACUGGUUGGUUCAAUCCCUGUAGUUACUGCAGCCACGAAUCGACGAUGCGACAGAGAAAAUUUAGCACAAUUCAUAUAGUUUGUGAUGGGGUAGGGCGUACUUGAGGAUGCCAAGGAAGAGGAAGGAGAGCUCGAGGAACUGAGGGCGGCUGUAUACAACACAUAAUCAUGCAAACGAACUGAAGGCUGUCGCGCUCGUUUGCCGCGACCAAGAUCGUCCGCUGCACCUAUAACCUCUGCAACUUCAGGUAUUGGUACGAUCCCAUCUGUUGUCGUACCCUCUUCCACGGACUAUCCAUCAUAUUCAGAGGCUGGCGGAGGUGCCUCAAUCUCAGGCACAUCCUCCAAUAUAGUAGGCUCAAUGACAGUAGGCAGAGGAUCUGGAGUUGCCGACCUUGCGGAGUCCGUAUGGGCAAAAGGAAACACGUGCUCAACAAACUCAACAUCUCGACUUUCAAAACAAACCUUCCUAUCUAGAUCAUACACCCUCCACCCUUUUACCAUAAGAAUAACCCAUGAAUAUGCACUUAUGACUUCGACUUGCAAACUUAUCCUUCUUCCGAUUAAUGUUCUUAGCAUAGCAUAGGCAUCCAAAUACUCUAAGAUGAGAAAUAGAUGGAGGGCUUCCAAACAAAAUUUCAUAUGGAGUUUUUCCACCCAAAAUCAAUGAUGGAGUAUGAUUGAUUAAAUAUCCUGCAGUGAGAAUGCAUUCUCCCCAAAAUUGAAUAGGUAAGUUAGCCUGAAAACGAAGCGCUCUACCAACAUUCAAAAUGUGUCGAUGUUUCUUCUCAACUCUUCCAUUUUGUUGAGGUGUCCCCAACCAUGGAAGUCUAAUGAAUAAUGCCGCAUUCCUUAAAAUAAUCAGCUAAACAAGUAAACUCUGUACCAUUGUUACUGCGUAUAAUUUUGACUUCUUUAUUGAAUUGUCUCUCGGUCAUAGCCAAAAAUUCUUAACAACACAUGGGACCUCAUGUUUCCCUUUUAACAAAUAAACCCAUACACCACGAGAACAAUCAUCAACAAUAGUUAGAAAAUAGGUAGCACCACAAAAACUAGCCUCUCGAUAAGCUCCCCACAAAUCACAAUGAAUUAAUUCAAAUAUAUCACUAGCUUUAUGGUCACUAAUAGGAAAAGGAAUACGGGUUUGUUUUGCUCGGAAACAAACGUCACAAGGUUCAUGAGCACCUUUAUUUAUCUCGAUACUACCGUCUAUUGUAGGGAUCUUUUCUAUGACUCGCAUAGAGGGAUGUCCCAACCUUUUAUGCUACAAACCCAUAUUCUUGACUGCAGCGGCUCCAUGAGCAUUGACCAGAGGCUCCCUUCGUGCGACAUAUAGCCCCUCAAGCUCUUCACCCACUCCAAUCAGCAUCCUCGAAGUGCGGUCCUGGACAACACAUAAACGAUCAGUGAAUUUCAAAAUAUGAACUUUGUCACUGGCUAAUUUUGAAACAGAUAUCAAAUUGCAUCGUAUUUCAGGGACAUAUAAAACACCCUUGAGAGAUAAUUUUCCUACAAGAACUGUUCCUUCUCCUGUUGCCAUAACGUAUUCACCGUUUGGCAUUUUCACGGGACAAGGAGGUAUUCCUUGAAGCUCUACAAAUGCAGUUUCCUCUCUCGUCAUAUGAUGCGAAGCACCUGUGUCAAACAACCAUUGUAAAUAUGCCUUACCAUUAAGCCUUGGCUGAGCAACUGAUGUAUUAUUCAUGUGAGUGUUCCAGAGAGACUUCAAAGUCUCCCAAUCAGCUUUGCUCAAGUUCUCCAAUCCAGCUUUAUCAGAAUCAUCAAGUAGUCUCCCAUGGGAAACAUUAGCAGCCGCCCCUACUGCCCUUGUGCAACAUGAGCCCGUGCUACUCCACCACGACCACGCCCCUGGUUACCACGUCUUUUGCCUCUUCCUUAAGUCGAAUUUCCUGGCCACCAGUCGGGAUAGCCAUGAAGAUGAAAGCAUGUGUCCAUGCUAUGUCCCGGUUUCUGGUAGUGAGAGCAAACUACUCCAUCGUCUUUUCGGUCCCCUUGAAUUCCGAGGGCUUGGCUGGCUAUCAUGGCAAAGCUCACUGGAUCAGACCGAUUGGGAGCUACUCGAGUCAUUACCUGCACUUGUUCUUACUCCGUAACUUGAGAAUAAAUCCUGAAGCGAUGAUGUUGGAACGGACAUUACUAUAAGAUGAUUCAUCAAGCCCUAUGAGGAAUUGAUGCACCCACUCUUCCUCUUGACCUUGUUGAAGCCGUGUAACGAAGUUACACUUGCAUCCAUUACAAGAACAAGUAGGCAUAGGAUCAUAAUCAUUCAAAUCAUCCUACAGUUUCUGAUAGCAUCAUGGUACGUGGGCAGGCCAACAAUGGCUCGAGUAAUCGAGGAGUUGAGGAUCACGUGCACGCCCCAAAUGGACCCAUUACUAAGGCUCGCGCAAAGAAACUUCGUGAGUAACUCAAUGUACUUAUUCAGGCCAUACACAAGUCCUUUGAAGGAUUCAUACACUCAAGUGAAGGUGGUCGCGUCCGAUAAUGAGCAUUGAAGCUACACCUGAGGAGUAGGGUUUUGCCAAACCCUAAUUUCCGUUUUAGCAUCAUAGUUAGUUAUUUCCACAUUAGUUGAUUAGAUUGAAUAAUUGGCUAAGUGCAUAUUGCACGUAGAAUCGCCAAGGGUAGGAUUGCUAAUUUACUCAUUAUUAUUUACUAGAGUGGGCUGCCUAGGAAGGAAAGGCCACAUGAGUCCCAACCCGUCGGGGAUUAAGCCUCCCUUAUUAGGGCCCAUAUCCACUGCACCCUUAGUCCAUUUUCUACUAGAUUAGGGUUUUCACUUGUAGCCUAUAUAAGGCACCAUAUUACAUCAAUAAAAGGGGGACACUUUUAUGAUAAAAAUAUUGAGAGAGUUUUCUCCAUAGCUUUCGAGCAAACCUUGAACAACUUAGAGUUAUACUCUAGUGUUCUUGUUCGGCUUAUCAAUUCAAGAAUCGCACUUGAAUUGUGGCGCCUUCUACACUUGCCUGAGGUUCACUAAUUCGUUUGGUUACGGGUUGAGAUAAUAUCAAUAAGUUCGUAGUCACGGGGAUUAGAGGGGUCGUAGGGUUUCCGCUGCUACCGUUCUUGCGUUCGAAGUCAAAUCCAACAAGUGAUCUUGGGUCGCGAAUCUUCUCACCAACGAGAUUCGUAUCAGCUGGCAUCAGAGCUAGCUUGUUGGUAACAUCAUUUUUUAUCCCUCUUUUCGUGUCUUUUGUAUCUAUCUCGUUAGAAAAAAAAAGAAGAAAAAAUCUAUUCAUUCCUUCUUGCUGAGUUUCGAUAGUUUCCAAAAUCUGUUCGUCUUUCUUGUUGAGUUUUAGUUGUUUCCAAAUCUGUUUAUGUCGUUUUUCUUGAGUUGCUUAUCAUCUAGGAAAGUAUUGGUACCUUGUUCUUGAAAUUCUUGCGUCAAAUUUGCUGGUUUCACGAAGAUCUUGAAGGGAUUCUGGAUAUUCUUGAAAUCUGGAAAUUAGCCUUGAUAUUCUUGAAGUUAUUUGCUGGAAAUUGUGGUUUGAUCUUGAAUUAUUGAAAUUUUCUUAUGCGUGACAUUGAAACAUACCUGAACUUUGAGCUCUAAUUGUUGGGAACCAAGAAUCACAACUUGCCCAAACAUUAAAAUCACCAAAACAGGCCGCACCAAAGCUGCAACCAAACCUGGAAAUUUGUGUUUGAGCCGAACCCAUAGUUCAUCUUUUGGCUGUAUAAACAAAAAAAAAAAAAAAUUGUUGCAGCAGCCAAUUUGAUCUUGAAAGGAACAAAAUAAACUGCCCAUCUUGUUCCACAACCAAGUAAGGGGAAUCGGUAACACCAAGCAAGAAAAAAAAAAAAGGCAGCUUCCUAAUCUCCAAAACCCGAAAGAUUUCUAAAGCCAAAGACUUCCAAAACUGAUAGGCUAACUUUUAGCCGCAUCUUGUUCCCUAUUUUAUAGCUGCAUAGUGCCUAAACUCCUGCCUAUCUGUUAGCUAUAUCACUUGCUAUAUUUUGGCAAACGGCCCAGAGAAAAAAAAAAAUUCCAGCAAAGCAAAAGGACCAUUUUCCUUGUCGGUUAGAGUUUUUAGUGUCGUUCUUAAUUUUUUUAGCUUUUGUGUCAAUUCCUUUUCCAGUUUUUAGUCUUGAAUAUAUUCUACCACUCCAUUCUUAGUGUCCUAAUUUUGUUUUCCAAGAAAAUCUCUACUCUUACGAACCUCAAAUUCUAGCGUGAACUUGUUUUUUGGCUACACUUGAGCACUUGAGGAGUUCUACUUUCUUCAAGGUUUGCAAGGGGUUGUGAGAAAUUUUGGUGAGCUCAUUAGAGUGAUCUGAGUGACCAUACACGAGUGUGAGAGUAUACACUUAGGGGGUGAAGUAAAAAAAAAAAAAAAAGAAGAGGGGAGACAAACGUUUCUUUCUCCUUUUUCCCUUUCUUUGCUACUAACCCUUGCAGGUACACUUGAGACUUCAUGUCUAGCGGCAACGAAGGAGUAUCUCGUCCCAUGGACUUUGAACAAAUGAUGGAGCAAAUGGAGAGACGUUUCCAAGGCAUGCUAGUAGCCAUUCAAGAUGAGUUGCUGCAACUCCAAGUUUCUGGAACACCAAAAACCACUAAGUCCAUGCGAAGGCGAAGGGAAGUGGAGGAUCGUCCGAUGGUUCCAAUAACAAUGAUGAUGAUGACGAGGAACCUCCCUUUCGGGCAAGACGAAGGAACCCGACUGGACCCGCUGAUGUAUUCAAGGGGAUCAAAAUGAAAAUCCCUGAAUUCAGAGGACGGUCCGAUCCCGAGACCUUUCUCGAAUGGUUAUCCAAGAUCGAAAUGGUCUUUUCUUGCCAAAACUACUCCGAGGUGCAAAAGGUCCAAUUGGCAACCAUGGAAUUCACUGAGUACGCUGUGGUUUGGUGGGACCAAAUCAAGAAGUCUAGAAGGAGAAAUGGACUCCCUGAGCUCGUUCCAUGGCCCGAACUUCGAGCCAUGAUGCGCACCCGCUUUGUACCUGGACACUAUACUAGGGAUUUGUACCACCGACUACAAACCCUAAUUCAGGGCAACCGGAGUGUGGAUGAGUACCACAAGGAGAUGGAGAUCCUGAUGCUUAGAGCGGAUGUACAGGAGGAUCCUGAAGCCACCAUGGCGAGAUUCUUGAGCGGGUUACGACCCGAUAUUGCUGAACGAGUGGAACUUCAACAUUAUAUGGAGUUGCAUGAGCUUGUUGACAAGGCCGUUAAGGUCGAGCAGAGGCUCAAGAGAAGGGGUACUACUCGACCGACUUUCGGUAACACCACCUACUCUACCAACCGCCCAUUCCAACCACGGAAUGACUCCCGGCCUUCACCAAAUGCUCCUACACCAAAACCGAGAUUCGAAGGAGGUAAGGUGGGCAACCCUAGUAUUAGCAAGCCGCCCUCUUCUACUCCAAAAUUUGAGGAGCCUAGGGUACAAACUAGAGCUCGUGAUACUCGAUGCUUCAAAUGCCAAGGUAGAGGCCAUAUUGCUAGUCAAUGUCCCAAUCAAAGGACUAUGAUUAUGAUGCAAAAUGGUGAGAUCGUGAGUGAGGACGAAACCGAGUACGAAGGCAUCCACCUCUUGACGGAGGUAGUGAUGGGAAUCGCCAAAUGAAGAGGAGUUUAGUGCACCCGAGGGUCAUUUUGGGACUGCUUUGGUUGCAAGGAGAGCAUUAACUGCACGUGUUAAGGAGGACGAGCUUCAACGGGAGAACAUUUUCUACACCAGGUGCUUGUCAACCAAGCACUUUGUAGUAUGAUUAUUGAUAGUGGGAGCUGCACAAAUGUGCUAGUUCACUCAUGGUGGACAACUUGAAGUUGCCUACAAGGGAUCACCCGCGACCCUACAAGCUCCAAUGGCUCAACAACUCUGGGGAGGUUCGAGUAACCAAGCAGGUUCUUAUAUCCUUCCAAAUCCAUAAAUAUUCUGAUGAAGUAUUAUGUGAUGUAGUUCCUAUGCAGGCUAGUCACAUUAUACUAGGUAGGCCUUGGCAGUUUGACAGACAGGUGACUUUUGAUGGUAUGACUAAUAAGUAUAGUUUCUUGUACAACAGUAAGAAAGUCACACUAGCUCCCCUUUCCCCCAAACAAGUGCAUGAGGACCAAUUGAAAUUGCAACAAGAGUUUGAGAAGUAUAGUGCAAAAAGAAAGAAAAUGAGAGAGCCGAGGCAAAAAAAGAGAGGAAAAAGGCUAUAGAUAGCUCGGCAAGUGAGGUAAAAAUCGAGGGAAAACAAAUGCUCCUGAUAAAAGCCAAGAAAGUGAGGAAGUUAAUGAGAGAUGAGCAGCCACUUCUUAUGCUUGUUAGCAAGGAAGUAGCUCUGAAUAUGCAUGAACUUGAUACUGAUAUACCUCUCGAGGUUAAGUCUCUUUUACAGGAGUACGCUGAUGUCUUCCCCGAGGACGUGCCAAGUGGAUUGCCACCACUUAGGGCAUUGAGCAUCAAAUUGACUUCAUCCCUGGAGCUUCAUUGCCAAAUCGCCCAGCUUACAAGAGCAACCCGGAGGAGACUAAGGAGUUGCAAAGGCAAGUGGACGAGUUGCUUGGCAAAGGAUGGGCACGUGAGAGUUUAAGCCCGUGUGCUGUUCCAGUCAUUCUGGUGCCCAAGAAAGAUGGUACGUGGAGAAUGUGUACUGAUUGCAGAGCCGUAAAUGCCAUCACGGUAAAGUAUCGCCACCCUAUACCUCGCUUAGAUGACAUGCUUGAUGAGUUACAUGGGGCUGUGUUCUUUACCAAAAUUGAUCUCAAAAGUGGGUACCAUCAAAUUAGGAUUCAGGAGGGGGAUGAAUGGAAAACUGCCUUCAAAACUAAGUAUGGCUUGUAUGAGUGGUUAGUGAUGCCUUUUGGGCUAACUAAUGCACCUAGUACCUUCAUGAGGUUAAUGAAUCAUGUUCUGCGUCCAUUCUUAGGAAAAUUUGUGGUAGUUUACUUUGACGAUAUCCUAAUUUAUAGCAAAUCUUAUGAUGAGCACCUAGAGCAUAUUAGGGCUGUUAUGGAUGUACUUCGAAGAGAGAAGCUCUAUGCCAAUCUCAAGAAGUGCAAUUUUUGCACUAACGACUUGUGUUCUAGGGUUUGUUAUAAGUGCGCAGGGAAUGAAGGUGGAUGAUCAAAAGGUAAAAGCUAUUCAAGAGUGGCCAACACCAAGGUCUGUGGGUGAUGUUCGAAGCUUCCAUGGCCUUGCGGGUUUCUAUAGGAGAUUCGUGAGGGACUUUAGCACUAUUGCUGCACCCUUGACCGAGUUGAUCAAGAAGAAUGAGAACUUCCAUUGGGGAGAUUCUCAAGAACAAGCCUUUCGCGCUUUAAAGCACAAACUCACACAUGCACCUGUACUUGCUUUACCUGACUUUUCUAAGACAUUUGAAAUUGACUGUGAUGCUUCAGGUAUUGGAGUUGGAGCUGUGUUGAACCAAGGAGGAAGACCUAUUGCCUACUUUAGUGAGAAACUCAAUGGGGCUGCGCUGAACUACUCAACUUAUGAUAAAGAGUUGUACGCCCUCAUUCGAGCACUACAAGUUUGGCAGCACUACUUAAGGCCUAAGGAAUUCGUGAUACACACUGAUCAUGAGUCCCUUAAAUACCUUAAGGCCCAGCACACCCUGAGCAAAAAGCAUGCAAGGUGGAUCGCAUUCGUGGAGUCCUUUCCGUACGUGAUUAAAUAAGGCUGGUAAGUCUAAUGUGGUUGCGGAUGCACUCUCACGAAGGUACUCUCUACUCACCUCCUUAGAUGCUAAGUUGUUAGGGUUUGAGCUGAUUAAAGACAUCUAUGCACAAGAUAGUGAUUUCGGUGAACUUUACCUUUCUUGCAAACACACUGGGCAAGGUAAAUUCUUCAUUUCCGAUGGUUACUUGUUUUAUGCCAAUCGGCUUUGCAUCCCACAUGGAUCCAUCCGCGAACUUUUGGUACGAGAAUCCCAUUCGGGUGGCCUUAUGGGACAUUUUGGGGUUGAUAAGACUCUUGCCAUGCUGCAGGAGCACUUCUAUUGGCCGCACAUGAGGAGAGAUGUUGCACGGGUGGUAGAGCGAUGCUUAGCUUGUAAGAAAGCUAAAUCCAAGGUACACCCGUAUGGCCUUUACACCCCGUUACCUAUUUCUAGUGCACCGUGGGUUGACAUUUCUAUGGAUUUUAUACUUGGUUUGCCUAGAUCCAAGUAUGGCCAUGACUCCAUUUAUGUGGUUGUUGAUAGAUUCUCUAAAAUGGCACACUUCAUUGCUUGUCAUAAAACGGAUGAUGCAUCUCAUAUUGCUAACUUGUUCUUUAAAGAGAUUGUGCGAUUGCAUGGCAUUCCUAGGACCAUUGUAUCUGAUAGAGAUGUUAAAUUCCUGAGCUAUUUUUGGAAGACACUCUGGUCUAAGUUAGGCACCAAACUGCUAUUCUCUACUGCGAGCCACCCCCAAACUGAUGGUCAAACUGAGGUAAAUCGUACAUUAGGUACCUUGUUGCGUGCCAUCAUCAAAAAGAACUUAAAAUCUUGGGAGGAGUGUUUACCUCAUGUUGAGUUUGCUUAUAAUAGGGCUAUCCAUUCUACUACUGGUUUCUCUCCAUUUGAAUGUGUUUAUGGUUUUAAUCCGCUAACACCACUUGAUCUAGUGCCAUUACCUAGUAAUGAGCGCGCACAUUUGGAUGGUAAGAAACGUGCAGAGUUUGUUAAGCAACUGCAUGAGAAAGUCAGGGCUAACAUUGAGAGGAGAACUGCUCAAUAUGUCAAGCAAGCUAACAAAGGUCGCCAAAAGUUGAUUUUUGAGCCUGGCGAUUGGGUGUGGUUGCACAUGCGCAAAGAACGCUUUCCUGUUCAAAGGAGGAACAAAUUACAACCACGGGGUGAUGGACCUUUUCAAGUGUUGGAGCGCAUCAAUGACAACGCCUACAAACUUGACCUUCCUGUGAGUAUGGAGUUAGUGCUACAUUUAAUGUCUCUGACUUAGCUCCUUUUGAUGCAGAUGAUGCGUUUGAUUUGAGGGCAAAUCCUUCUCAAGAGGAGGGGAAUGAUAGCAUCAUGGUACGUGGGCAGGCCAACAAUGGCUCGAGUAAUCGAGGAGUUGAGGAUCACGUGCACGCCCCAAGUGGACCCAUUACUAGGCUCGCGCAAAGAAACUUCGUGAGCAACUCAAUGUACUUAUUCAGGCCAUACACAAGUCCUUUGAAGGAUUCAUACACUCAAGUGAAGGUGGUCGCGGUCCGAUAAUGAGCAUUGAAGCUACACCUGAGGAUUAGGGUUUUGCCAAACCCUAAUUUCCGUUUUAGCAUCAUAGUUAGUUAUUUCCACAUUAGUUGAUUAGAUUGAAUAAUUGGCUAAGUGCAUAUUGCACGUAGAAUCGCCAAAGGUAGGAUUGCUAAUUUACUCAUCAAUUUCAUCUGAGUUCUGGUUCGGCUCCUUAAUGGUGCCAUCAAUGAAACCUUGUUUCUUCUUUGCCCUCAACGAAAUCCUCAUGGCCUCAGCCCAUUCUUCAUAGUUUGGUCCUUUGAAUUGUGUCUGCGUAAUUAAAUUGCCUGGAUUGUCAUUCGCGCUCAAUAAGAACGACGAGUUGGUCUUCAAACUUGAAGCAUUUUGAUCUGUCAUCGUCCUAGGAUUUAUAGUUUAGGGGUUCGGUAUUGUUUCAGAGCUAGAAGGCUCUGAUACCAUGUAAAAUCAGAAGAAUUGGAAAAAGUUUCAUGUUUUUCUCAUUGCCAUCUGCUCUAUAUAUACAAGUACAGUGUGCACCCCAGACUCCCGUGACUUCAGCCCCAAUUUACCUAAUUAUGUGCAAUUACCAAAACUACCAAAUAUAGAUAGAUACUAAUAGACACAAGAUAGCCGAAACUUCAGCCGAAACUUCAGCCCAGCCACCAAGUAUACACACUAAUAAAAGCUCUCUAAGGAGGUUAAGGAUAUGAUGCAGUGGAUGUGACAGCCUAAUCUUGUUGUGCCAAAUAGUUGAUUCUGAAGUCUUUAAAGUUAAAGAGCUAUGAAGGCUAUCAAAGGAUAGGGACCUAAUGCGUCUUGCUCUCGACUAGUUUGGGGUAAACAUUUGUCCACGGGUAUGCUUUCAUUUUUUGGUUAUACUCAGCAAGUAAAAAUUGAGUACUGUGGACAGACUGGACAGACUCAAUUUGGUAAGGGUAGAACACGCCCUAUGGUCAAUCUGAGUCCUGUAGAGUGGAUCCAGAAGAAUAUGUGUUUUGUCUUAAGAUGAUCCAGAAGUGGACUGCAAUUGUUUUAAACAACAAUUUACUUUGCGAUUCUCACAUUGGGGAUAGCUUAAACAUCAAUUAGUUAACUAGAAAGUUAAACAACUUGAACUGAAUACAUCAACUAGAAUCUGAAUCCAUAAUCCAAUAGUCUUGGUUGUUACUUCAAAUUCUAAGCAUUAUGUAAUUUGUGGGUGAAUAAUUUGCACUUCUAUGUAAAAGUCUCCAUCAACUUUUCUCUUAAACUCACAAAUGCAAGUGUCUUCAUAUCCAACAAUGUUGAUCCUGCAGAGGCUUGCCCAUCCUUCAUAGUACCAAAGUCUGCCUUCCUUCCAAUGAUUAAGAGUUGCAGUCCACUCUCGGCCUUGUUGGUCAACAAGGAUAAUCUCUUGUGGCAGUGUAAGAUUGUGAUCUCUCACAACAUCAAUCGGAACAUACUGCAUUGACUAUCAUCAGCAAAAUUUUGUUCUAAUCGAUAAGCAAUACUAGGAAUUCCUGUGAUGUGUUUGUAAUGAAAUAGGUGAAAUAUUAAAGGGAAUAGAUGAAUACUAACAUACCAGUUCAUCUAUUCUCUUUGCCUUUAAUUUUGUAACAAAAUAAGGAUUUUUUGGCUGGGGAAUGCGUCUAGACUUGAAAAGAUCAUGGCCAUAAUGGUCAACAUUCCUUGUGGUACGACGUUUACCUUUAGCAGCUUUAGCUUCUGCACGAUUAACCAAAAUCAGAGGUCCAGCAAAUGUGAUGAAGUAAACAGGUUAAUUCUAUGAAAAAUCAUGCUUAAGAAUAAUGCAAAUUUCACAAUCUUGUACAAUUAAAGCAAUCUCUUGAUGACAGUCCUGGUUUAAAUAAUUGAUUGAGUUGUGAAACUGACGUUAUUUAGUGCUUAUUGUAUAAUCAUAGAAGGAUCAAGGAUAGAUCAAAGCCUUAGAAACUUACUAUGAUCGCCACCUUUGAACAUUUUCAAGUCUUUGCAGGAAUGCUUUGAGGCUAUAGUGUCAACUGGUUUGUCUAUUUUAGCUAUUUCCCCUUCCCCUUUUUCUUCUUCUUUUGCGGUACUAUUGUUUUCCUCUUCCAUUAUGCAAUCAAAAUCCGUGACCAUUUCAGUUGCAUCAGUGUAAUUCUCUACCACUUUCUUUCUCUUCUUUUUGAAGCUCAUUAGCUCGAUUCUCUUUCUUCCCUUCCUUUGUUUCAAUCUCAUUAUCUUCCUCCUUUUCCUCUAUCUCUACUGCUUUCCUUUCCUCUUCUUCUUUUUCAGCAUACCUUCUGCUAUGAUUUUUGUUGUAGAUAUGUGAUCUGAUAUUGUAGAAAUCAUAGAUAUAUGAUUUAAUUUGAUAUUGUAAAUAUUAGGAAAGAUUAGAUCUUAUUUGCUUUGAUUAUAGUAUCAGAUAUUAGAAGAUUUGAUUAGAUUAUAGAUUGAUUUAGAUUAGCGUGAUUUUAGAAUCUAAAUCAACUUACACUUGUGUAUAUAUUUGUGCAUUAUAUAGUCUAAAAGAAUAAUGAAAAAGGGUGUUUUCUCUCCCUUCUUAGUUUACAUGGUAUCAGAACUUUAGGCUUUGUUAUUAGUUUGUCUUUUGACGUAACCCUAUUGAGUCACUUUUAGUUCUUUCUUGUGUGAAUUAUAAUGGCGGAUAUCAUAGGUAGUGGUAGAGAGAUGAAAACAGUAAUUUCUGAUGUUAUUCUUACAAUAUCAAAAGUUAUUGAACACAAACUAAGUGGAAUUUUUUUUUGAAUUGGAGUAAAUUAUUCGGAUAUAUCUGCGCAACAUCGAUAGAGAUGAUUAUUUCACUGAUGACCCAUCUGUUAAUGGGGAAGAAAAGAAGGUUUGGUUAAAAGAAGAUGUAAAACUAUUUUUGUAGAUCCGAAACUCUAUUGAUAAUGAGAUAGCCAGUCUGGUUAAUCAUUGUGAGUUUAUUAAAGAUCUUAUAGAUUAUUUGGCUUUCUUGUAUUCUGAUAAGGGUAAUUUAAAUCAUAUAUAUGACGUUUGUAAGGAAUUUUACCGUCCAAAAAACUAGCAGAGAUCCCUUACAGAAUAUUUUAUGGAUUUUAAAUAUGUAUAUGAGGAAUUAAAUUCUUCCCUUCCUUUUGGUACUGAUGUAAAAACUCAACAGUUUCAACAGAAACAAAUGGCUGUAAUGAGUUUUCUUGCAAGAUUACCAAUUGAGUUUGAUGCUACUCGAAUAUAAAUUUUCUCUAACCCAGAGAUUGUUUCCCUCCAUGACACUUUCACACGAGUGUUAAGAACCAAAGAAUAUUUAUCUACUUCUAAUAUUACUAGUGCUCUUGUGAGUCGAAGUAGAGUUGGUCGAAGAAAUAAUAGUAGAAACAGUAGUAAAAAUGGGACUACUAGUCAUGAAAAAUACAACUCAAAUCAACGAGUCUGUUAUCACUGUAAGAAAUCGACCAUACCAUACGUACAUGUUGGGACCUUUGAUGAGGAAGGUGCCAUCCAAGUGGAGCAAGUGAAGGUGCCAUUGGGGCCUAUGACACGAACUCGCGCGAAAAGAUUAAACGAGACACUAUAAACAUUGGUUCGUGCGGCCUGAGAGUCGAGUGGAGAGCCAAAGGUCAUCGAGAGCCUCAACGAGGUUAGACUUGUUGUCCUAGUUUUGGCCAUCACUGAAGAUGAAAAGUCCAUAAAACAUUAUUAGUUUAGUAUAGUGUAAUAAAGAGAUCCAACUAACUUGUGGUCUGGACUUUCGUCGUUGUUAGUCCUUGAGUCAAUGGGUUAGGCCAUGUGGGCCACGUAGUUAGUCCCUAUGCUGAGCUGUACGGGGGCCACGUAGUUAUUUCUUCAGUUUUAUUAGGUCUUAGUCUCGGCUAUAAAUAGCCUCAAAUCGGAUGUUACAUUCACUUUUGGAUGAUUAAUAAAAAUUACAUUGAGAGUUCUCUCAAAAGCUUUUUUGAAGCAUCCAUUGAAUAUCUUAGAUUCAUUCUUAGGUAUUCAAUCAACUUAUCAAUCUAAGACCGUGCUAGAUUAUGGCGUCCUCUACCAAGUACCGAGGUUCGUUGACCACGUGAUUAACGAGUUUAGGUUAUCCGCUGCGUUCGUCGUCCCCAACGUGGUUCAUACCUUCUAGAUCAUUCCUGUCUGUAUGGGUUGCAUCACACGGUUGGUGCCGUUCGUAUUAACCUUCAUGGUAGACCUCAACAGCAUCCCUCAUUUGCAAAUUUUGCAACCCAGGAGAACAAUUAUGUGCUUUUUGACAAAUCCAUACUCAUCUCUGCUGAUGAAUUUGCCCCUUUAUUGGAUUUCAGUUCUCACAAAAAUCUGUUUACCCAUCUUCUAGUACCGAUCUUCCUUCUAUUGAUCACUCAGGUAAAUCUACUACAUAUCUUGUGUCAUCUUCUAACAAAUGGGUCAUCAAUUCUGGUACAACAGAUCAUAUGACCGGUAAUAAAGGUAUUCUCUCAUCUUUUAAUCCUAACAAAAAUCAUCCGAAUGUUACUUUGACUGAUGGAUCAUGUGCUUCAGUUGUAGAUUCUGGUGUAGCAAUCCCUAUGUCAUCUAUCCCCUUAUCUUCAAUUUUAUGCUUAUCUAAUUUUUCUUUUAAUCUACUCUCAAUCAGUAAAAUUAUAAAAGCAAUCAAGUGUUUUGUUUCAUUCUUUUCUGAAUAUUAUAUUUUUCGGGAUCUUAUGACGGAAAAAAUUAUUGAUAAAGAAUGUGAGUCUGGCGGUCUUUAUACACUUAAAAUCCCUUCAAUGAAAGUACUGAAACCUGUUGCAUGUUUAUCCACCUUGAAUUCUCUUGAAAUUCACUGUCAUUUGGGUCAUCCAUUUCUACCCACAUUGAAGAAGUUGUUUCCAAUUUUCAGAAUUUAUUCUAUUUAGAUUGUGAGUCAUGCCAAUUUAUCAAACAUCAUCAUUUGGCUUAUUUACCUAGAGUCAAUAAACGGGUUGUAUCGCCAUUUGAAUUAGUGUACUCUGAUAUGUGGGACUUUUGUCCAAUAGUAUCUAAAUCUGAUUUUAAAUAUUUUGUCACAUUUGUUGAUGACUAUUCUCGUGUUACUUGGUAAUAUUUAAUGAGAAGUCGUUCAGAUUUAUUUAGCAUCUUUUGUUCCUUUUGUACUGAAAUAAAAUCAUAAUUCAAUGUGUAUGUCCGCAUUUCGAGAAGUGAUAAUGCAAAAGAGUACUUUUCUAAACCCUUUAAUUCAUAUAUGUCAGAAAAUGGAAUCCUUCACUAACUUUUAUGUCCUAUCACACCACCACAAAAUGAUGUUACUGAAAGGAAAAAUAGGCACUUAUUAGAAGUUGUUAGAGCCCUACUAUUUCACAUGAAGCUUCCUAAGUAAUUUUGGGCAAAUGCUAUUUCAAUAGCCUGUUUCUUAAUUAAUCGCAUGCCAUCUUCUGUGCUUGCUGAUGAGAUUUCUUAUUCAAUUUUGUUUUUAGCCCAAUUUUUAUUUUCCAUUGAGCCACGUAUAUUUAGGUGUACUUAUUUUAUUUGUGAUACCUGUCCCCAAGUGUCUAAAUUAGAUUUCAAAUCUCUCAAAUGUGUGUUUUUGAGUUAUUCAUGUCUUCAAAAAGGGUAUAGAUGUUAUUCUUCAAUUUUUGAUCGUUAUUUAGUCUCUAUUGAUUUUAUAUUUUUUGAAACUCAUCCAUUUUUUUUAGUCUAAUGUCUACGGUAGUAAGAGAGAGGAAGAUGAUAUUCUAGUCUACACUGUUACAAUAACUAUUCCUAUAAGACUACCAAUCACUCAAGUAUAUUCUCGUCGUUCUAAACACGUAAACUUACAUCCUUCACAAUAUUCUCCGUCUACAAAUUCGAGUCUUGAUUCACCGUUUCCUCAGUCUCUAUAUUCUAGUCUUGAUUUGCCUAUUGCUUUAAAAAAGGUGAAAGACAGUGCACUUACCCAAUUUCAUCAUUUGUUUUAUAUGACCAUUUGUCUCCCUCCUUGCACUGUUUUACUGUUUCUUUAGAUUCAAUAUCUUUUUCUCAACUUAUCUGAGACUUUGGAACAUCUUGAUUGGCGGCUGCUAUGGAGGAAGAAAUGAUGGCUUUAGACAAUAAUGGUAGUUGAGACUUGGUUCAUCUAUUAACAGGUAAGAAAUCUAUUGGUUGUAAAUGGGUAUUUGCUAUUAAAGUCAAUCUUGAUGGUUUUGUUGCUCGUCUCAAAACUCAUCUUGUUGCAAAAGGGUAUGUUCAAACAUAUGAAGUAGAUUACUCAGACACGUUUUCUCCAUAGAAAAACUCACAUCUGUUCGAUUAUUUAUUUCCUUGUUGCUACUAAUAAUUGGCCUUUGUACCAGUUAGAUGUUAAGAAUGCAUUCUUUCAUGGAGAUUGCAAAAAGAGAUUUAUAUGGAGCAACUAUCUGAAUUUGUUACUCAUGGGGAGUUUGGUAAGGUUUGUAAAUUUCGAAAGUCAUUAUAUAGCUUAAAACAGAGUCCUCGUGCUUGGUUUGGGAGAUUCAAUAAGGUGGUUCAAGAAUUUGACAUGAAAAAGUGUAAUUCUGAUUAUUCUGUCUUUUAUCAAUAAUCUGAAAUUGGUUUUAUCCUACUUGUUGUUUAUGUUAAUGAUAUUGUUAUUACUGGUAGUAACACUGCAAGUAUUGCAACUUUUAAAAAUUUUCUUCAAUCGCACUUCUAGAGAAAGGAUUUUGGUAUGUUGAAAUACUUUUUAGGCAUUGAGUUACAAGAUGUAAACAAAGUAUCUUCUUAUGCCAACGGAAGUAUGUUCUUGAUCUUUUGAAAGCAACAGAAAAGUUAGGUGUUAAGUCAUGUAGAGCACCAAUAAUCCCUAACAUGCAACUUACAGCAGAUGAUGGAGAGUUAUUUUCAUAUUAGUAAGGAAGUUGGAUUAUCUUAUUGUGACUCAUCCGGACAGUGCAUAUCUAGUUAGUAUUGUGAAUCAAUUUAUGUUCUCACCAAGAACCACCCAUUCGACAGUUUUAGAGCAAAAUUUUGUGUUACCUUAACGGAGUUCCAAGGCGUGGUAUACUAUAUGAUAAUCAUGGCCAUUCUCAUGUUGAAUGCUUCUUAGAUGGAGAUUGGGCAGUUUCUAAAAUUGAUUGAAGAUCUACAAUUGAAUUUUGUGUCUUCAUUGGAGGUAAUUUGGUAUCAUAGAAAAGUAAGAAACAAAAUGUAGCAUCUCGCUUAGUGUAGAGUCUGAAUAUUGGUCUAUGGCAUAGUCCACUUGUGAACUUAUAUGGAUACAUCGAUUAUUGUGUGAGAUGAGAAUCAAUAAUUCACUUUCAAUGAAAUUAUUGUGUAACAAUCACGCUGCUUUCAUAUAGUAUCAAAUCCAGUUUUUCAUGAGAGAACAAAACAUAUCGAAAUUGAUUGCCACUUUGUUCGUGAAAAAAUUUAGCAAAACCUGAUAUCAACCAGUCAUGUGAGAACUGAAGAGUAGUUAGUUGAUAUUUUCACUAAAUCUCUAAGUGGUCUGAGAAUUGAUUAUAUUUGUGGCAAGAUGGGUAUGGUUAACAUCUAUACUUCAUUUUGAAGAGGAAUAUUGUAGAUAUGUGAUCUGAUAUUGUAAAAUCAUACAUAUAUGAUUUGAUUUGAUAUUGUAGAUAUUAGAAAAGAUUUGAUUUGAUUUGUUUUGAUUAUAGUAUCAGAUAUUAGAAGAUUUGAUUAGAUUAUAAGUUGAUUUAGAUUAGCAUGAUUUUAGGAUCUAAAUCAACUUAUACUUGUGUAUAUAUUUGUGCAUUGUGUAGUCUAAAAGAAUAAUGAAAAGAGUGUUUUCUCUUCCUUCUUAGUUUACAGUUCUCACUUUUAACGGCUUUAGCUUUUGUAUGAUUAAGCAAAUCAGUGUUAAGUGAAUGUGAAAUAGGUAAACAGAUUAAAUAAAUGAAACAUCAGACUAAAAAUAAUAUCAAUUCCACAACCUCAGAGGAUUAUAGAGUAAUUUGUUUUUUGUUUCCUAGCUUAAUUAAUGAUUGGGUUGUGAAAUUGAUGUAUAGUCGCUAAUGAACUUAGAGCACAUCAAAGCCUUAGAAACUUACCAUACUUGCCUCUUUUGAUCGUUUGCAAGCCUUUGUAGACAUCUCCUUCCUUUUCUUCUUCUUCCUAAGUGCUAUCAUCUUUCUCUUCCAUCUUAUAGUUAGAAUCCUUGUCCAUUUCAGUUGCAUCAGAGCAGCUUUCCUCCUCUUUAUCUUCAUUAGUUUCUUUCUCCUCUUUCUCUACUUCUUCUUCUUCUUUUUCAACCUUGUUAGCGUCAUUUUCUGCUCCUCUUCUUCUUCUUUUCCAAACUCAUUAGAUUUCCCUUCUUCGUCCCAUUCUUCUUUCACCUCAUCAUCUUCUUCAAACCCCUUAGUUUCCUCCUCCUCUUCCUUUACUUUAAAAGCUCCAACUCCUUUCUUUUCACAAGCAUUGUGGCCAAGUAAUAUUACAUCAUAAACACAAUUGCCAUCAUAUUGAAAAACUAAAAAAUCUCCAAGUUCCACAGUAUUGUCCUUACCAAAUUCAGCCCAGCCGUUGAGGAAAAAGAAGUCAUCUUCAAUUCUUCCCACCUAAACAUGCCACUUAUUUCCAUAUCAAUCUCUUAUGUAUGUACUUGGAGAUAGCUUUCAUUUCAUAUACGAUGUAAAUGCUGAUGGGAUUUUCUGCCAAGUGAAAAAUGGCUCAAUGUAUAGCAAGAAUGUAAACGAAUCUACUUCAAAAAGUGCAUAUCUACACAUCUCGUGCAUCAUUAGUAUUGAAUUGAUUGUUACUAGUUUUUUGCUUAAGAUGAUCUUGUAAUUGUCAAAUAGAAACAAGCAAAUAGAUCAUCAGAUGGUAAAAAUAUCGAAGUCUUUAGAAGGAAACCGAUAAGUAAAUAAACAAUGGAUCGGAAGAUUUGCAAAUUGCAACUAGUUUUUCAUCAAGAGAAUCUACAACAGCCUCACUUCAACUUAUCAACCAUGCAUCCAUCACUGCGAAUCAUUUGAUUUUUUUAGCUAUCCAUCUCUAGACAACCCCAUCGAAUACCAAAAUUUCUCCACCUUCCUGUCUUGGGUAUCAGUAAGCCACCUUAUCACCUCAUAUAAACAAAAUUCAGCUGCCUCAAGUUUGUCAGAUCUCCAGUCUACUUUGGCCUAUUGGCACUUGGAAGGUUAAAAUCCAGGAGUUUUAGAUCAUAAUGAAAUUCUUAAGAUAUUGAUAUAUAAGUAAAACUCAAUCAUUUGAUGAUCAGAUCACAAUUCUUAAGAAGAAAAAGUUGAUCAUAGGAUCUAGUAGACUAUAUCAUCAAGAAUCUAUAAUAUGAGUCACAUCUGAACUCAUCAAACAUGUAUCUUUACCAAACACCAAUCAAAAUGUUUUCUAUAUCACAUAGUCCACACCCCAACUAUAAAAUACAACAAGAAUGAAAAUUUAAAAAAAAUUAAAAAGAGAGAGAAUGCUAGCAAUUACCAUUCUUUCUCUAGAUCUAUCAAGGAUGAAAUUUUUGAAAAAGGCACGAAGUCUUUCACCGUCAUGUAGGUUGUUGGUCUUCAACCCUGAUUCUACUGGAUAUCAGUUCAAUGGUAUACACUCAAUCGUCCAAUAGUCUGCAACUCUACUUACUAUCAAUCUUCUAAUAUAGGAGGUUUCUGUUGAACAAAUCAGUAGAAGAUCGACCUGACAUGGACGGUGGUUGCUGAAGCCAACUCCUCUAAUACUAGCUCUUCUUGGUAAGUUUUGGAUGGCAGGGUGAGAAAUUGAGGUAGAUAACAAAGUUCUAAAAAAUGAAUUUGUUGUCACAUUUAAGCUUCAAAAUAGGGGUAAUAUCAAGUCGAGUCAAACUCGAGUAUCACCAUACUCAGAGCUCGAACUCGAUGUCUAGUAGUAGUACUCGGACUCGAACUCAAGUGAGUUGUUGGAACAAAGUUUGAGCUCGGCUAGACGUAAUACUUGAAAGGCUCGAAUUCGACCCGAUAGAGCUUGAGAAGUUGGCGAUCUUGAUAUCAAGCUCGAGUCGUAAAUAUUGCAAAUAAUCAGCCUAAAAAGCUAAUUUAGUUAUUUAUAAUGUAUUAAUUAAAUAUUGCAUCGAAUGCUCAAUAGAGUUUCAUGAACUCUUGAGUAUAUGAUAUACAUACUCGAUCUUGACUCGAAACCUCAAUCGAGUAGCUCGAGCUCGACUCGAACUCAGCAUUGAUUAAGCUCCAAUCAAGCAGUUGACUGAGCUAGUUGUGAGUUCAAGCCAAGCUGCUCGAUUGAAUUGCACCCCUACUUCAGAAUAUUAGAGGCUUCAUUAUUGAUAGGGCAAAAUACACUUUAUCUCCCUGUGGUUCAACGAUUUUGUACAUAACCCCUUAUAGUUUCAAAAAUCAUAUAUAAUCCCUUCAUAAUUUGGAUUAAAGUAUCAAAAUGAUGGAAAUGAUUAUUUGUAACCCAUGAAAAAUGUCAAAAUUACCCUUAUUUAAAAACUAAAUAGCUGAAAUGACCAAAAUAUAUAAAUAUAAUAUGCAUAACACUCUAACCGCGUAUGGUUUUAUAUUUUACUAUAUAACUCUCUUAUGGUUUAGUGGUUUACCAUACAACUCUCUUAUGAUUUUCAAUAUAUAUAAUAUAUAUAUAUAUUAUAUAUAUAUAUAUAUAUAUAUAUAUAUAUAUAACCCUAUGGUUAAUAAAUAAUUUUCAAAUUUACAUAGGGGUAUUUUUGAUAUUUUAGUUGUCUCUUUUAUCAUUUUCACACUUUAAUCUAAACUAUGAGGGGAUGUAUAGCUUUUAAAAAUAUAGGGAAGUUAUGUGAAAAAGUUCUAAACCAAAGGGAAGUAAAGUAUAUUUUGCCCUUACUGAUAUCUUUUAGUCCCAGGAACUUGAUGUCCAUGCUUUUGUCUUGGAUAUCAAUCAAGUGUAAGAAUUCAACUGAGAAAUGGUAGGUUCAUGUUGAAUUUAUUCAUGAUUGCUAGUUUUAGCUAAUGUACCAAGUCAAUCUAGGACUGAUCAAAGAGAUGAUCCCCUAGAUCUCAUACCUUUUCUGGAACUCCUUGUAUGGGUGUUUGAUGGGGAAUUUCGGUGGUCCUAGACAACAUUUCUCAAGACAAUCCAGGGCUAAACUUGAAAUUUGAGAGGAUUAAUUUCUGAAUUUUCAGGUGAAUUGUUAAUCCUUGGUUGAACAACGACAUGCAAUACUUAUAAAUGGCUAGAGACAGGUUGGUUUCGUUCAUAAUAUAUUCACUAUAUAAAUGUAGGCAAAAACUUCCGACCAACACACACACAUAUUGGUGUUGUAUAGUACUCAAAAGUGAUUUUUCUGGUUACUACGUUAUUACCCUUUUAGGCUUUUUGAAGUAUAAAGUUUUAAUAGCAAAUGUUUAAGAAGUAAAUUUUCGUCAAUAUUCAGGUCUCAUUGGGAUAUUGUUAAAUGGUUACUGUGCUGCGAAAAAAAAAUAGAGAGAGAGCAACUUUUGAUGAACAAAAGAGUUGAUGAAAAGGUUACUUGAUCCCGUAAAUAAGGCAUGGAGAUUUGAAACUUUAAACAGCAAACUCUUUUUGUAUUUUAAUGCUGAAAUGAGAAUGAAAAAUUACUAGAUAGUUUUCAUUUUAAACUAUCAAAUGAAAUUAUUUGAUGGUUGAUUACAAAAAAAAAAAAAGAACAAAAUUAUAUGAUGGUGUGCUAGAACUUUCAUGAAAAUAUGAUGCUGCUUACCCAAAAAUCACUUUGUACUACAAUUUAUAUUAUGAAUAAGAUAUGUGAUGUUGCAAGUGAAGUAACAUUUUAUUACUAUUACGUACUUAAAUAGUGGCAUCAUCACUCAUAGAUACUCGAAUCCACCUAUAUAAAUAUAGGAAAAAUGCCUAUUAUAUUGACUUGCCAAAAUAUUUGUUUGAAUAAUUACAACAUUGAGGAGAUAAUUGCAUUAAAAGAUCCAGAGGUUCUAAACAAUUAAACAUAAAUCAAUCUUGAAAUGCAGAUUGUUAUCCAGAUCCGAACAUAAAUAGACAUUUGCAAAUUUGUUAGGUUCUUUCAAUAACAAAUUAAAGUAAACUCCUCCGACAAACAACCUUUUAUUUUCUCCUUUGUACAUUACAACAAACAGAAGAACAACCCCCAUACUCAAUAACCAUCAAGGCAAACCAAACAAUAGCACACCACAUACUUUUGAGUUGAUUUAUUCAACAUUUCUUGUAUAUGCUAACUCAAGUGUUCAAGAUUCGUUUGAAUCUUACUACUAAGAAUUGAUCGUGUAUUAUCAUUGUGUUUUUUUUGGAAGACGUUUGUAUAACUCUUCUGUUAGUACGCUUCCGUGUCACUAAGCAAGAAUGUCUAUGUCAUUAGUAACGCACGCGUCUAAAACUCGUCUCUCUUCCUUCUCUCUAUGACACUUCUAAUCAAAAUCUUCUUUAUCUCUCCCAUGGGAGAGAGAUCAAAUCUAGUCUUUUCCCUUGAGAGGAAGUACUCUUUAUAGUUUUUAAUUUGUCUUAUUUAAAUAAAUUCUCUCCUAAGAUUUCCUAAUGGGAGAUUCUUCUCUCCUAAGAUCUCCUAGUGAGAGUUUCUUUUUUUUUUUUUUUUUUUUUUGAUUGUUCUAGUGAGAGUUUUAUUCUCUUGUGAGAGGUUUUUAGGUUUUAUCUUUGUGAAAUUUGAGAUUUUGUAAAUUUAGAAUCUAGUUUCUUAGAUCUAAAAUUUCUCCAUUAUUGUCAGUAGGCAUGCACUGAUGUAUUGGGUUAGAGUGAUUCAUUCGGAUAGAAGAUAUAUAAGAGCAUUAAUGUUAUCUUUAUUUCUGUUGUUUAUUUAGAUCUAUUAUAUCUAUUAAUUUCAUAUCUAUAUGUAUUGGUGUCAUAUUUGUUUGAUGUAUUUUUUGUUAUUAGUGCAGAUUUGUUUAAAUAAAAUGAUCUUUUCUAUAAAAAAAAAAAAAGCAAGAAUGUCCACAUACAGUCAAGCCCACAUACAGUGAAGGAAGUCUUUUCUCUUCCUUCUUUCUAUAACUUUUCUAAUCAAAAUCUUCUUUAUCUCUCCCAUGGAAGAGAGACCAAAUCUAGUCUUUUUCCAUGGGGGGAAGUACACUUUAUAGUUUUUAAUUUGUCUUAUUUAAAUAAAUUCUCUCCUAAAAUUUCCUAAUGAGAGACUCUUCUUUUCUAAGAUCUCUUAGUGGGAGUUUCUUUUUUUUUUUAGAUUGUUCUAGUGAGAGUUUUAUUCUCUUCUGGAUUUUUUUCUUGUGAGAGUUUUUUAGGUUUUAUCUUUGUGAAAUUUGAGAUUUUGUAAAUCUAAAAUCUAGUUUCUCAGAUCUGCAAUUUCUCCAUUAUUGUCAAAUCUUAAUUUCUUUUUGGAUUUGAACUAGUUUUAAUCAAAUCUGAUUGUCAGCAGGCAUGCACUGAUGUAUUGGGUUAGAGUGAUUCAUUCGGAUGGAAGAUAUAUAGGAGCAUUAAUGUUAUUUUUAUUUCUAUUAUUUUUUUAGAUAUGUUAUAUCUAUUAAUUUCAGAUUUAUAUGUAUCAGUGUCAUGUUUGUUUGAUGUAUUUUUUGUCAUUAGUGUAGAUUUAUUUGAAUGAAAUGAUCUUUUCUAUAUAUAUAAAAAAAAAAGCAAGAAUGUCCAUAUACAGUCAAGCCCCAUUCCAAUGCUAAACCCCAAUUUCACAUAUGUGUUUGGAUUGAGAGAUUUGACUAAGGAUUUAAAAUCCUCUCAAAUCCCUCUAGUUGUUUAUAUUAUUUAGGAGAUACUUGAAUUUAUAAUUUACAAAUUGUUCUAUUAUUUAAAAUAUAUUUUAAUAGUUGGUGUAUUAAAAAUUCAAAUGCCUAUCAAGUAAUCUAAAUAAUUAGAACGAUUUAGAUGAAUUUCAAAUCCUUUGUUAAAAUUUUCAAACCAAAUGAAACUUGUUGAAUUCAAAACGUUAUUUCUUGCACCUCCGGACACUCCUCCACGAUUGAGAAGCAUAUCAACUUACAACUUUUACACAUCAAAUAUCACAGGUCAUUUCUCGCACGAUUUAUCAAAUAAACGGAAAUAGGAACGCCAAUGCUGGAAGGAUUAAGGAAGAUCAUACCUGAGAUGUAAUGCAUUCUACCAAUGAGAAAAAUAGGACAGUCAUUUGCAACAUUUAGGAUUUAAAGAUAGAGUUAGCAAUAAACCUAGCAGCAAAAGAUCAAGAGGUACCAUGCGUUGAACAAAUUGAUCAUAAAGUACAGAAUCCAUAUUCGGAUUACAAACUUCUGAAUAAUUUUUAUCCUAUAAAUCACUUUAUAUUUUCUCCAUUGAACAUUACAACCAAUUCAACCCCGCACUAAAUGCCAUCAAGGCAAACCAGACAAUAUCACACUAAUACGAACCUUUUCUCCUUCCUUAUUCACUUUUUGGUCCUUGAAAGUCUGACACGAUGUGGUUCAUUAAGCCAACAUUGCUAUAGGCUCGUUAAAAGAAGAGACUUUGAUCCUUUUCUGAGUCUCAUCCUCCAGUGUUGUUAAAGAUUGAUACUCAACUUUUCCAGCUAACAUUUUGUUUAAUCCCAAAUAAAGACACACACCAAAAACUAUAACACCAAUUAAGUACCAGCAAAACUGAAUGUUCACUAAUGAUUUAGCCCUUUCAAGGGCUUCAUCAUCUUGGCAACUGACAAUACUGUGCCCAUCUACCGAGUUUAUAAAGCAGCCUUUGGGAAUAUACUCUGGUGUGUAAAGCAUGAUUCCCAUGACCAUCAUCCAAACUCCUUGAAACAAGAUGCUCAGAGACCUUGCGAAGUUAUUCAAGAAACUCUUUGGAUAACCUAUGCCUAAAAGGGUAGUGAAAAAUGAGACAAGUAUGACAAUUUGGUGAAACCAGUGGUAUUGGCCUUCCACACCCAUGUGAUCGGUAGAGUGGAAAUGGAAGAGGAGAAAUUGUUGGGCAAAAGCAAUGGCUCCUAGCAUUAGAGUUAGGCCAUAUUGAGCUGGGGGCUGAAUUUUGUCAAGAAUGAAGGAGAAAAGUGCAUAGAUAAAGAGAGACAGGGCUAUGUUUGUGUGCUCAAAGUUGCGAAGAUGGUGCGAUGGAUGGUGCCAUCAGGAUCCAGUGGUUGGUGCCUGGCAGGACCAACGAAGAGUUCCAUAAAUAUAUAGGCAACGCAGCCUCCCAUCAGGAAGAAAAGCUCUACGUACCUGAUUUUUGAAGUUGGAAACCAUGGCAAAGAUAUGUAGGAUUUUGGAUGGAGAAAGUGAAGCCUCAUAUGGUUAACCAAAUGCCAAAGCCCGAUCAGAAAGAAGCCAAUUCCAGGGAUCACAUGCCCACCAAACUGCCCAUAGCUAGUGCCUUGUCUUGUGUUUUUCUUGCUUAAUUGCUCCCUUGGUUUGUAUGUUUUGUUUUAGGAAAUGCGGUGGAAGGAGGUGAAUGGAAACCAGAUUUCAAUGUAUUCAAAGUGUGCUUAUUGUACUACAUUAGGAGCCUAUAUAUAGGGUAAAAUACAAAGAGUAAAUCUUAUAUACACUGACAGUGUAUACAUUAUCACCGUUGGAUCAAUAACAUAUGUGUAAAAGUUGAAUUUCAAAUUCAAAUUUUGCACAUUUAUCAUUCAUCUAACGCUGACGGUAAUAUACACUGUCAGUGUAGGAAAGAUUAAUUCAAUUACAAAAUGAAAAUAAGAAAAAUAAGCAAUACAAGGAACCUCUUGCUAAUUGAGACAAUCAACUCAAAUUUACAAAAUCAAAUCAAAUCAAGUAUUUAUAAUUUGUACGUAAGGUUUUUUUAUUUUAUUGUCCAACGGCACAAGAUAAGUGGUCUAGUAUCACUCCUUCCAGUAAAGAGCAUUUCUUUUUCAUGCUUAUCUUGUGCCUACACACAAUGAAAAAGGGAAAAAAAGAAAAGAAAAGAAAAGAAAAGGUAUAUAUAAGCAGAUAUUUUAUGGUAAAAAAUCUGAUCAUUUGUUGGUUUCUUGUUUUAAUGUUGUCCAAUUAGUUUAGCGUAGGGGUUGACAGAAUAAAAGACAAGUUGAAACUAUGAAACGGAACAAAACUAUACACAAACAUCAAUGAAUGAGGAAGAACAACAAAUAGUUCAAUUACUCUACUAGCUAAUGGUAAGAAAGCUAGAUAUUUUAAAUAGUUUUUUUAGCUAAUUGGAGUAUUAUCAGUCUGAGAAUUUAAUUACGAAAGGGAAUAAUCUAGUUCAAGGAAUAAGCAAAUUCAGUGAUCAAACGAAACGUUGUUGUUGGGCUCUUUGUUGAUGUAUUAAGUUCAAGACACGUUUGAAACGCUUUUAGGAUUUGCUAAUUUUUCUCGAAAUAUUGUCUUAGCCAAAAUGCCCAAGUGGAUUUCUUAAUAGUUACCGACUUUCCAUUUUUUAAGUAUAUAUAAUUUGUUUUGGUUGGUAUGAAUGCAAAAUCAAGUUAUCCAUCAUACUCAAACAAAUAACUAUCACCCUUAAGUAGGAUGACGUAUGAGAUGUCUUUCAAUAUUCGGAAUUAGAAAUUAGAAAUGUUGUUUAAGAGUUUUGGCUCAGCCACUGUGAAUGAAGUAUCCUUGACAAAAUUGAAUAUUGAGUAGCAAAGUAAUUAAGACUACUAAGGAUGGUUGAAGGGUGAAUUCAAACUUUCAUUGCAAAAGUUUAUGCUAAUUUUCAGUUUACAUCUUGAAAAUCUAUUUGAAACUUUUUGCACCGUAAAUUAUUUCACUUUGGAACAAAAACUACACACAAAAGCUAAUGAGAUGACACGUUUGAUUUGCUAACUCCAUUUCUCAUUGACCAAUGUAAAAGUGAGUAAAAGUUUAGGAUGAAAAGUCGAACAAAUUAAAGUUCUUUGUGCGAAAUGUUCAAAAUUUAAAUUUCAGGUACAAAAUGAGAGUUAGUGACAGGGUCGAGUUUGUGCAAUAAUAAAUACUUACUCAAAUAAAAUACAGAUUUUUGUAUAUAAUCGUGAGCAGGUCGAAUCUAUAGGGAUUGGAAAAAAUUCGUUUCUUAUAGAGUUUAGAGUAUGGGGAAUUUUUAUAAAAAUGGAAACAAUUAAACAACUCAAAUAAAAUAAAUAAAUAAAAAUUAAAUGACAAGUUAUUAAAAUUAGAACAAUAAUGGAUAGACUCUGGCCGAGAAAUAACUUCGGAAAUGAUUCACUCAAUUUAUCAUUAAUGCAAUAAUAAUUUCACUUAUUAACUGAUAAAUAAGUUAUAAUUGCCAAACAAUUGAUAACAAUCAACUUCUCCUUACUGUAUUGAUGGUUAACGUAUGACCAUUAAUCACUUCCCUAAUCAAAAAUAACCCUAAGUACAACGUUACAAUUCAAUUUCUUAAUUACCUUAAGAAUUAGAGAAGCCCUAUUCUAACCAAAUAACACGCUACAAGGUUAUCUUAAAUUAGCAUAUAUGUCUGCCUAACACAAACUCGAUCAUGCCAAUUACCACCAAUUUAAAGCAAUUAAAUAAUUACGAAUUUAAUUAUUCUAAUUGAUUUUAGAUUAUUAAAUUGCAUUAAAUAUCGAGCGCUCUUGAUAUUCAAAUAAAACAAUAACCAUAAAAAAUUAAAUCAAAGAACAUACGAAUAUCAGUAAAAUAAUAGAAAUAAAUAUAAUCAAUUCGAUUUCACAAUUUUAGAUAAACCAAAUCCUCUAUUGUUUUUAACUAGAAUGAGAAGCUUAGUUCAUCUUUAUUGAAGAAAUCGCGGGCAAAAUAGUUGAAUUGAUCACCAAGGCCAUUCUUCGAUUAUUAGAUGACUGAAGAGUAGGAGGAAAAACGAAGGAAACGUUGUUCUCGUUUCUUCCUACCAGAAAAACCAAUAGUCCCCCCGUUAAUCUGGCUUUUCACCCAAGAAAAGAAUGACUGUUGCUUCGUUUCCUAUCUCUACUGAAACUACUACAACUUAUCCAACCAAAGUUCAAAUCCCAAUAAGCCAACAUGUCAUUUUUCAAAAAGUCCUACAAAAUAGCCUAGACCAGUAUUCAACAAAAGUAGGAGGCUAUCCAUUCGGUGGAGUAUCCGACUUUCACUUCUUCAAUUUAAAACGAGAGAUCACGCGCCAAAUCCCAAUUUUUCAGACGUGCAAAGUUUAAGUUUUGACAUGCUUACGUCAAACAGCAUAAAAGUCUAGUGAAAAUCACGUCCUUUUUUGCUCCAAAUCCCUGUGACCAAUGCCAAUUACGAAAAAUAAGUAGAGUUUACCAAUUAACAUAAUAUUUGGUAAAAUAAAAGAGGGAAACAAUAAUAAAAUUAAUAACAAAAUGUAACCUAUCAGUUAGUGCAAAAUUUCUGGGUGCAAACUAGAAUUAAUGUUUAAUAGCAACUUUCUUGUUUACAAAUAUGCAUGUCAAUUUUUUUUUUGGUAGUUAGCAGUUGAACAUCAAUAAUUCUCCUUAGAUUCAUGAGUAUAUGCAUAUCACAACGAAUAAUUACAUCCAAUCCAACCCCUUUUAUGGCAAUUUUGUCUUCCGGGUUUUGCUCAGUUAUUUGUUUAAAACGUUUGGGCAAUCUAUUUUUAGAACAACUAUCAUGUCUUGAUAUGUUAUCUGAAAACAAUACAGUGCACACUUUUUUUGAGCAUUUGUCUGUCUUAAUUCCUUUUUAAUUUUUUUUGGGGACAGAUUGCCCAUCUUAUUUCAUCACUAAUUUUAGUUACACAUGCACAACCCACUUCAGCCAAAUGUUCGAAUUUGUACGUUUGUCUUGGUUUUGUUUGUGGUUGAGUUGCUACAAAAUUAAAUCUUAACCAACCCAGAGCAGCUCAUAAAUAAAUUUGACUAAGAUGGCUUCGAUAAUUCACUCUCUUAAUUAAGUAAUCACAAGCGAGUGCUCCCGAUUUUCAUUUUGGUUUAGAAAUCGUUUUUGUUAAUAAUUGAUUUAGUGGGAUAUUCAGCUUAAUUAGUGUUUAGGAGAAGUUUUUCCUCUUUUGCCAAGAAGAAUGUGUAUUGCUUUGAAAUGUAUUUUCCACUUUGUUUCUUUCUUAAAAGUAAUAUUUCCCACUUGUCUUAGCAAAAUUAAGACCAUAGAUGUCCAAUUCUUGUAAAUCACAUUUGACAUCAGGAACUUACGUAUCAUGAAUGUUAAGAAACAUAAGUUUUUCAGGAUCAUCUUGUCAGAAUCAUGUUCUACAAUUUUCCCUUCUAAUAUUCUCAACUACGCCCUCUUAAAAUUAUCCAUUACAUGAUCAAUUGUCCAACAUUUUUUUUUAAAGUUUUUGAGGCUGUAUCCCAUGGUUAUUUUUGAACCAUACUAACACCAAAAUAUUACAGCAUGCACAUAACAUGGGUUUUUGUUUUUCCGGAUGUGAAUUUACAACAGAAAUUGUGAUUGAUACAUACACCAUAUAUAGAAAGAAACAUAAUACUCCAGUGUUCCCAAUAAACUUAGGCUUUGCAAGUUUAGGAUGUAGUCGAGCUUACUGUAUUUCUUGGUUGUUGUUAUCGAGUGCAAGUAUUCACUAAGAAGUGGCAAGUUGAUGUGGAAUUUAUUCUUGAUUGCUAGUUUUAGAAAAGAGAGAAUUGUAGUUUUGGUUUCAAAUAUUUGGGACGUGACUUCUUCUAGUUGUAAAAGUUUGGAAGAAAGCAAAUGUAGCUCUAAAUGUUACAAUUUCUAAAUACAUUUAGUACUACUGACUGACAGAGUGAGGAGGGAUGAGUUGGCUGAUUUGAAAAAAAAAAAAAUGUAAGUCUCCACUUACACUAAAAAAAAAAGUCUUAUUGACUAAUUUUUAUCAAUUGCUAUUGGACUUCAGUCACAUACUAUUAUGUACCAACAAUUAAUUUUCUAAAAACUUGAAAAAAUAAUUGUGGUCAUAAUUUUUUAGUAAAAGAGGACUAGUUAUUUGCACGAUGAUCACGUGACUAAUUAUUCUCAUUUAGCCAAGAAAUACAAAAAUUUUUGACAAAAAAAAUUGAGAUUAAAGAUUAAUUACUCAUGUGACCAACAUAUGUUUAAUUAGUCAUCUUCUAUUACAGUUUAUGGCUAGCAAUAUUUUAUUAAAUUUUUAAAUUCUUUUAACGAUUAUUUUCUGGUACGUGAUCGGUAGUAAUUGGUAAAAAUCAGUCAUUAGGACCCAAUGUGCAUAGAAAGUGAAAUAUUUGACACUAUAUUUGUAUUCAUCCAAACUUUAGACAUUAAAAGCGCUCAUAUUCCAAAUAUUUGGAACCAAAACUACAAUUCACUCUUUUAGAUAAUAUACCAAGUCAAUCUAGGACUAAUCAAAGAGAUGGCUGCCCUCUAGAUCUCAUAACUUUUCUGGAUAUCUUUACGUGGGUUUGAUGGGGACACUUUGAUGGUCUUAGACAAAAUUUCCUGAAUUUUCAGGUGAUUUUUCAAUUCUUGGUUGAUUAAAGAUAUGCAAUACCUAGCUGCUGAUCACUAAAUAGUAUUGAGAAUGGCAUGGGACAGGUUGAUUUCAUAAAUUAUAUUUUCACUAUAUAAAUGUAGGCAAGAUCUUCUCACCAACGUAUAUGUAUUCGUAUUAUGUAGUGCUCAAAAGUGAUUUUUUUCAUAACUACGUAAUUUUCUCAUUACCCUUUUAGAAUUUAAAGUGCAAUUGGUGAAUUUUGUGGUCAUUUACAUGCUUUUUGAAGUAUAAAAUUUAGUAGCAAAUGAUUUAAGAAGUAAAUUUUCCUCGAUAUUGAGGUCUCAUUGGGAGACUUAUUAAAUGGUUAUUGUGCUAUUAAGAAAAAAAAAUCUCAUGAUUGCACGUGGUGUUAAUUAAAAUUUUUUAUUUGACAGAUAUUUCUGAGUUUUUGUUUUGUGAUGCCAAUCUUUAUCAUUUGGUCUAACGAAUUAUAACAAUUUCAUAGUCCAACUUCUUUUUAUUUUGGUAGAAAUAAGAGGAUUUUAAAAAUAUUUACACGUAUUUGUUAACUGCAGUUUUUUUUUCCUUGGGCUGAACUCCUAAUAAUUCUACAAAACUCAAGGAACAUAAAACAAUAGAUGAUUAAUUACACUCAAAUUUCUGUGCUCAAUCUAAAUCUUUUCUGACCAUCAAUAUUUACUUUGUUGAAAAGGCAAGAAAGGCCAAAACUGUUUCAAUGAUUAGGAAAUUGCCAUUUGGUCCUGUACUUCAAUUAAUAUAGUUCCUCAUCUCUUACAAAUUUACAAUUAACCAACUUGAUCCCUUAUCUCGAAAAUAUCGCUAAUGUAGGACUUUUAACGAUGAACUAGAAAGUUAUAUUGAUCAAGUCAUGUGCACUACACGUGCACCAUUAAAAUACAAGGGAAAAUCAUGAAAAUAGUGUGACAGCCUCACCUCCCCUAAGGCGAACCAAAGGGUUCGGUGGACCGCCUGCCCAACUCUCAUCGGAACUCAGUCGUUCACUUCAGUCUUUAAUCAACACCAGAACAAACCCAUAAGAAUAAAUAUAACAAUGAUCCAAAACUUAAGACAAAACUUAUAUACAUUGCUAUCUCAAAAGGAAAUACAAACGUCGAAUCUACAAAGGUUCUCAAUUCACCAUACAACCAGCCCGUGCCAAGCACUAGGGCGAGAACCAUUACAAAAUCAAAGAACUAGACCAAGCUAGUCUAUACAGAGCUCUCGUCCUUGCUCGCCUUCCCUGUUAAGGAAAACAAAACUAAAGGGAUGAGUUAAAAGCUCAGUGAGGUUCCGAACACAUAGGCGAAGAAUAAGUCUAAUGCAUUCACCAUAUAUAACCAAUAAUUCAAGAUACAAAUACAAGAUAAAGCGAUAAACACAUUCAUUAAAAGAAUACGGGCUCACAGGGAGCCAUAUAUUCGUUCGUUCAUUCAUUCUCCUGUCAUUCCCCCUUAUUCCUCCGGUCAUUAAAAAAAAUGCAUUUUUGUAAGUAAAACCCUCGUUCGUUCGUUCAUUUCAUUCACCCCCUCCUGGAUAUUGGCCAGGCUCCACCAGAAUACAAGGUAAUACUCGAGUAUACCACAUUUAUACCCAGGGUCACCAUAUCGUCGACCGAGUCUGCUUCUGGCUCGAGUCGAUCGGUAACGAAGGGCAGGGUCCAAUUCAGCCAAAAGGCUUACAUCAUGCACAACUAACGUUUCAAUCAUUAAAUCAUUGAAAAUUUCACAUUCAUUUAGGUCGAGUGCGAUAAAGUACACACUCGCCUAAAAACCUCAUUUUGAAAAUCAUUGAGAGCACUUAACACGUUAUCAAACAAUAACACAAGUCAUAAAGUCAAGGAAAAUAUAGCAAACAAGGAACACUCACCUAGUUAUGCAAAACAACGUGCAAAAUAUCCUUCCGAAUAUUACACUCAGUCAUCGAGAAAACCUAUGAUUAAACGAGAAAGAAUAUUACAGUUCAUCUAACACAAACAAUUAGGUGAAAUCGAAGAAACCUGACAAAUGAUGAAUAAAACGUAUAAAAAUGACUUUAAAGUGAAACGAAGGCAUUUGGACCUGUGGACGGAAAUGACUAGGGUUUCAUAAACCAAACGCAAAACCAAACUAAAAGGGUUAAAAUUUCCAACGGAAACACUUGAACCAAAGGCAAGUCGGAAUCCAACUAGAUAGGCUAAGAAAUGUUGUUUUCGGAAUCGUUUAUGUGGUUCAAAAUCGUCUCAUAUUCAAGUAGAUAUUAUAGACUAAAUGUCUUGAUGAAAUUCACUUAAAACCUUACUUGGAAGUAGUUCACUUGUGGCCGAGAAAACCCUAAUUCAUACCUCUAUAUUUGGUAAAGAGUAAGUAAUCAUUUGGAAUUUGAAACUAAAGAGGUAGCAUGUUUUAAAAUGGUAGAACGGUCAUGGUAUUUGCCAAACAUAUAUAUAUAUAUAUAUAAUAUAUAUUAUAUAUAUAUAUAUAUAUAUGUUCAAAUAGAAACUUAGCCCUCGAACACCUCCCGAGCGAAUCGAUGGAAUUGUUAAUGAAAUACGUUCAACUUGACAAAACACAUUUCCAAAACCAUUUUAACUCAUUCUCAUGACAAGAAAAGAAACGGACAGCAUUUCCCCUAAUUUUCUUCACUUUCACCCUACAAUUAAAAACCCAUUCUCAUACCAUUAAUUACAAUCACACAUAUGGUCCAAAGGUAAUAAAACAUGUCCAAUUACGGCACAAAACUCUUCAAUCAAAGCCAAUUAGAGACUCCAAAGCCAACUAUAAGAAAACCCCAAAUCAAAACCCUAGAACCGGAAAUUAUCCCCACAAGCGGAAAUUUUCCGCAAUCAACCGCAAUUAACGUACACAAGUUUCAAUUAACACCAUUUUAAUCCAUCAAUCCAAGGCAAAUCCAUGACUAUCAUAUAAAAUCAGGAAAAUUCCCAAUAAAUCAGAAAAUAAUCCAACUUGACCUAAAACCAUGAAAUCAUUCGUAAUAUAGCAUGAUUAACCCUUACAAACUGCUAAUUAACCAACUUUAGAACAAAAGGAGGUUUCUUAACAACUCACCUUAUGAGUUCAAGAAAGGUAAAAACUUACAACUUCCCCUCCAAAAACAACUCCACUAGCACCUUUAACCCACCUUAGCUAGCACUUGUACAGAGUGGUUUCAAAAUCCAACGGUGAAAUCUCAAGAUUUGAGUGAAAAUAGAAGUUGGAAAAUAAGAGUUUUCUUUCUUCUCUCAAGGCACACGGCUGAGCUGAGGAACAAAUGAAGAUUUUGGCCAAAGUAGGAUAAGAAGAAAGGAAACAGCCGGUCAAAGCUUAUGACCGACUGUGACACGUCACAAUUCGGCCGGAAUCUGGCCGGAUUUUCGGCCGGAUUCUUGGCCAGAUUUAGGGUAGAGAGGAACCAAAUUUUUUUUUUUAAAAACCCAUAACAAUCCGGCCAAGAACUGGCCGGAUUUGCGGCCGAAUUCGACCCUUCAAUCUUUUCGCAAAAUUUUUCCUCUUUUCCAAGUUCGAUUGCCGCGCUCAACCGCACUUCCAACACGUACACAUAUAUACAUAUCGCACACACAAAUACACGAAAUAACAAAACCUUUCUUUGUCGGAAACAAAUGGUUAACAAAUUUUCACUUAAGAGGGAAAGUGAGAAUAAACAAAAGGCUAAAAAAAUAUAAAAUUUUUUAGGGUUCUCACAAAUAGUCCUUCAUAUGUUUGAAAAAUCUUGUUUUAAUCCAUCACAUUUAAAAUGGUAUAAAUAUGGUGAUAGAGCAGUUAUUGGGCAUAUUUUGCAGUGUUAUUUUGGCCUAAUUUUGGCUAUUUACGGUGCUAAGUACUGAGAUUUAACUCAUAUCUCAUAUUCGUAUGAAUUAUAGGUGAUCGGCAUUAAAAUGAUCUCGUGGGGUAGAUUCCCAGAAGACUUGUCGUCCCAGGGCGUGACCACGCCUUGGAAGGUGGACGAAACCGAAAGACGGACCGUGGUCCAUGUGGACCAGGCACAUGGGAUCAAAACUCCAAAAGGGAAAUGGCUUUUGUAGAAUCAAUUGCACCAGACGUUUCCUUCUUUGACUCUUCUUGGACGGCGGUUAUAAAAAGAAAAGGACAAAGCAAGAUUGAGCAUCAUCUACUUUUUAGCCUUAGGUUCUCUUUUUCUACUUUUUUGGAGAAGAUUGGUCAGACGGUUUUCUUUUGGUUUUUCUUUUGUUCCUUCUGCAGCUCUGGGUCAGACAUUGGAGACUUUCUCCGUUGCUGUAGCUUUUGUUUUUGGCUUCUGUACAAUUUUUCCUAUUCGACUUUUGCUUCUACUUUCGCUCCAGGGUACGAACACGAAACCCAACAAAGGGAAGCGAAGCUUUUUCAGCAGUUCCUACGUUAAUUCAUCUUUUUCAAUUCUUCGGCAAUUAAUUGAAUGAAUUCAAUUAAGUCACGCGGGAUUGAUACGAUGAGGAGCGGCUAAUUUCUCCCUCUACCCAAAGGUUGACGCGAGGGCGCGGUCCAUAAUAUCUGUGAGAUCUAAUCGAAUCUUCAUUAUUUCUUCCAAUUUAUUGCUAUUCGUGUGUUUCCUGAAUUAAUUGUUCAUGGGUAUUUUAUUAAUUGAAUAUCAACGGCCGGGAUUUGAUUUAAUUUAAUAGCCUACUGCCACGUUAAUUAAAUAGAAUCCGUAAUUGUUCAUUUAGUUGACACCCGUGGCAACCACCAUAAUUGGCUUUAUGAUGGGGAAAUACAAGAUCUAAUUUAAAUAAACCCUCUUAGCUUGUUUAUUGGUUAGGGUUGGGUUCUUCUAGCUUUAAUGCAAUUGGGUAAUUAAAUUCCUAUGGUCGUACCUAGGGUUGUUAUCUGGUUAGGGAAGCAGUCAAUGGUCGUACCUUGACUGUCGAAAAGGUAAGGAAGAAUUGGUUGUCAGAGCUUAUUGAUAACUAUAACCAACCUAGUGAUGAAUGGGUGAAAUAUCUUUGCAUCGAUGAUCAUUUAAUUGGACCGUGCCUGAGCAGUUGAUCCUUUGGGUGGAAUUUUGUUAAUUGCUAUUUUUAGUGAAUUGUGCUUUGUGAGUUAGUUUUGAAUUUUGUUUGUUUUAUUUUAUUUUAUUUUUAUUUGCCUCCCAUUGAAAAUCCCUCAAUUUCGUUCUACUAAUUUGGAAAGAAAUAAUUUCCUACCUGCUCCCUGUGGAAUCGACCUUACUUGCCAUUGUACGCAAAAUUAGUAUUUUUAUAGACAAAUCCGGUAUAUCGGAUCAAGCAAACUCUUCGGGAACAGGGUGAAUCAAGUAACCCAUUGCACACCUAGGGUCCCUGCUCCAGUACUUGGAUUUGUUCUAUAAUUAUUUAAUUAAGGUGGUAAUUAGGACUUUUUAGUAAUUAUUAUUGCACAGGUUCGGCACCUGUCAAUUUUGGCGCCGUUGCCGGGGAGUUGGCGUUUGGAUUAUUUGUUUCCUUUCAAAUUCAGUUUUUAUUUUAUUUUUAUUUUAUUCUAUUCUUGUUGGUAUUUUUGCUAGUUUAUGCCCCGUUCUUCUCGCACAGGUGAAUUGGUAUACGAUCCUGAGGUUGAGAAGGCAGCGCGUAGGCGGAGGCAAGAGACCAAAAGGCAAAAAGAAGGGCACUUAUUUGCUGCAAACAAGUCAGCAGAAGACGAAGUAAGCAUGGUCAACACCCAAACAUUGAGGGAACUGGCUGCCCCGGAGCUGACUCACCAGCCCUUAUGCAUCACAUUCCCCACUUUGGCUGAGAAUACUGCUUUCGAACUGAAGUCGGGGUUGAUUCACCUCCUACCUUCUUUCCAUGGUCUCUCUGACGAAGAACCCCACAAGCACGUAAAGGAGUUCGAGGUGGUUUGCUCUAGUAUGAAACCUCCUGGGGUCACUGAAGAGCAAAUUAGACUGAGAGCCUUUCCGUUCUCUCUCAAGAAUGCAGCCAAAGAUUGGUUGUACUACCUACCAGCAGGUAGUAUUACCACAUGGGCGCAGUUGAAAAAGAAAUUCUUGGAAAAAUUCUUCCCUGCAUCCCGAGCUGCGAGUUUGAGGAAGGAGAUCUGCGGCAUUAAGCAAUAUCCCGGUGAGUCCUUGUAUGAAUACUGGGAAAGGUUUAACAACUUGUGCACUAGAUGCCCGCAGCAUCAAAUUAGUGAGCAACUGUUAAUCCAAUACUUCUAUGAAGGGCUCCAACCAACAGAUAGGAGUAUCAUUGAUGCUGCGAGUGGGGAGCACUUGCAAACAAGACACCGAGGGAAGCGUGGGAGCUCAUCGAAGCCAUGGCAGAGAACUCCCAGCAAUUUGGCUUACGUGAGAGCAACCCUCCCCGUAGAGUCAACGAGGUGGAGACGUCAUCCCUCCAGCAGCAGAUAUCGGAGCUAACAUCCGUUGUUCGACAAUUAGUGGUGGGAAAUGUGCCCCAAGUAAAGGCCUGUGGAAUCUGCACAAACAUGGGCCACCAUACUGACUCAUGCCCUAUAUUGCAAGAGGAUGGGGCUGAGCAAGUGAACAUGGCUGGAGGCGUGCCCCGCCUCGUAGGCAAUACGAUCCGUAUUCCAACACGUACAAUCCAGGUUGGAGAGAUCACCCCAAUCUCAGCUAUGGUAGUAGGCCACAAAAUGCAUUCUCCAAUCGGCCUCCAGGAUUUCAGCAACCGUGGCAACAUAAGUCUCAACCCUCGUCCUCAAGCUCAGGGAGUUCUUUGGAAGAAAUUGUCAAGAGUUUGGCCAACACUACCACUCAACUUGUCACGACCACCACUCAGUUCCAACAUGACACCAAAGCAGGCAUGAAAGACAUGGAGACUCGCAUGAGUCAAAUGGCAACUGCCAUUAACCGCCUGGAGUCCCACGUCUAUGGGAAAUUGCCAUCGCAACCCGAGGCAAAUCCCAGAAUGUAAGUGCCAUGACAUUAAGGAGUGGCAAGGACUGGAGGAUCUAAGUUGACGAUUCAAAAAGCAAAAGUGAGGAGCAGAUAGAAAAGGAGAAUUGAAGAGGAAGGGCGUAUUCGCAAGAGUCUAAGGUAACAUCUAUUCCUUCGAUCCCUAUUAAAUCUAAUAUAGCUCCUUUUCCUUGCAGGUUGGAAAAGACAAAGAGGGCAGAAAAGGAAAAAGAAAUCCUGGAUGUGUUCCGCAAAGUUCAAGUAAACAUCCCCCUAUUGGACGCGAUCAACAGGUACCCAAGUACGCAAAGUUCUUGAAAGACUUGUGCGUUAACAAAAGAAAGCUAAGGGGUGAUGAAAGAGUGAUGGUAGGAGAGAAUGUAUCAGCUGUACUUCAAAGGAAACUCCCACCAAAUGCGGAGAUCCAGGUAUGUUUGCUAUCCCCUGUAAGAUUGGUCAUUCUAGUAUCAAAAAUGCCAUGAUAGAUUUAGGGCUUCUAUUAAUGUGAUGCCUAAGUCAAUCUAUGAUUCCCUAAAUUUAGGACCUUUAAAAGAAACGGGGAUAAUAAUUCAAUUGGCUGAUCGUACAUGUGCUUAUCCGGAUGGGAUAGUUGAGGAUGUUUUAGUGCAAGUAGAUGGAUUAAUUUUUCCUGCUGAUUUUUAUGUGCUUUACAUGGAUGAUAGAAGUGCCCCAAAUCCAUCACCCAUUAUAUUAGGAAGACCAUUUUUGAGUACUGCCCAAACUAAAAUUGAUGUUAGUAAGGGUACUCUCACGAUGGAAUUUGAUGGAGAAAUAGUCCACUUUAAUAUUUUUGAUACAAUGAAAUAUCCUGUUAACUCUCAUUCUGUGUUUGCUAUGUAUACCACUAAUCCCUCUGUGCAAGAAUUUUCUAAGUUUGCUUAUAGGGGUAAAUCCAAGGUUGCUGCGAACAAGUCCUAUAGGAUGAAAGCAAUUCAUGAGGUAAAAAUGGAGAGAAAAUUUAGGAAAAAAGUUGCACUCAAUGGCCAUGUGGAUCCUGGAGGAGGGCCACCAAUUACAAGGAAAAUUCAAUUACAUCCAGACUAAAGAGUGGUGCUAUGUCUAGCCAAAGACAUUAAAGAAAGGCGCUGCUUGGGAGGCAACCCAAGGCUUCUUUUGUUUUAGUUUUCUUAUAUUUUUGAAGUUUUUGUUAAGUGUUAGUGUCAUUUAGUGGGUUGUUAUUUUGUGACAGGAAGUUGGCAGCUAGACAUACCCACGCUAGGUCAUCACACCUAAGGAAUGGAGUUUUGGAAUUGACGGUCAGACGACUAUAACUUCUAAGGCGUGCCCACGCCUUCCAACCCUUCCGAAAAAGAAACUUCAGUCUUCUCCUUCCUGUUGGUGUUACGUCCGCCGCCACCACACCACCUUGUGCACGCAGCCGUCUCACCUCCUCCGCCUUAGUGUCUCACUUUCUCUCCCCGGUGGUCAGGGAAGUUUCUUUUCUUUUCCCCUAAUACUUCAUUUGUCUUUUCUACAUUGAGGCAAUGUAGGUUUUAGGUGUGGGGGGAUUAAUGGCUUCCAUUAUUUUAUUUAUUUUUUUUCUUUGUUACUCAAAAAAAAAAAAAACAAAAAACAAAAACAAACAAAAACAAAAAAAACAAAAACAAAAACAAAAACAAAAAAAACAAAAACAAAACAAAAUGAAAAAAAAAUAAAAUAUUGUAGUUAGGCGGUUUUUUGGCUAUUUCUAUGCUUGUUAGUAUUAGGGCAUGUUGCUAUGAUGAAUGACACAAUCAAAGUGAGUGGGUAUGUGGUCGAAUAUACUAGCUGUGCAUUUUGUUUCCCUUGGCAGUGUCGUUGAAUGUUGAAUAUGCUGGAAUUGACCCAUUCUUGUAACUUUUGGGGGAGCUUUUGAGCCUUAUAUGAGCACAUUAUUCUUGUUUGCUCUAUUUUUGUUUGAUUGAGUGGGUAUCACACAUGGUAUUGGCAUUCUAGAACUUGCUAGUUUAUACAUGUCAAGCCACAUUUUUGUUGAAUUGGAUGCAUUUGAAAUGAUAAGGGCAUUUAGGAUUUAACCCUCUUUACUAUCUAAAAAAAUCAAGCCCUCAUCUUAUCUCCCAAUAGUGAACCAAUUUGAGCUUUUGUCCUUCGUUUCUGGUUGUUAUCCGUGUUUGUUAACCCAAGCUCUCUUUAAACUUUCUUGUUUACCCCUGUGUUGUCAAGGGAUGCCUGAAUUCCAUCAUUUGUGCAAAGCAAACAAAAUUGGGGUUGCAAGUGCUGUUAGAUUAGGAGCUAUAUGAUGCUAUCCUUGUAUAAAGAAGGGAAAAUUGGAAAAAGGCCACUGACCAGAGGACUUUGGCUUACAGGGCGUGCCCACGCCUUACAGGACUUUCUCCUUAAAAAAAAAAAAAAUCCUGAAGAGACCUCGUGACCAGAGGACUAUGGGCACAAGGCGUGCCCACGCCUUGCGAGCAGUAUUCAAUCAAAAAAAAAAAGAGAGAAGAAAGAGAAAAAAUUGGGGACACUUGUACAAAGGGUACAGCAAAUGAAAACUGCCUUGUUGUGAAACUCCUCCGGUGAAGCACUGUGGUUAUUGGUGGGUUUCGGACAUUCUCUUGACACUUUACCCCCUAUCUAUACCUUCUUAACCCGCCUUUCACCUGAGCCCAUUACAACCUUAUUAAAGUCCCUUUGAUUUAUGUGUUUAGUUCACUUUUAAGUGGUGGAGAUGUGAUGAAUGUGCAAGCCUAUGGUAAUGGCAUUCCGUGAUGUUGAUUUGAGCGUUCCUAGUAUUCAUAUAUAUUCUUUGAAUUACAACAGGUCCGGUGUGCUCUACUUUUGGUGAUAUUGUCAGGGACACUAGAUGCUUGUGUUAGUAUAGACUACUGCAUGACCUCCGCUCUCUUGGUUGUACUUCUGAGCUUUGAAAUGUUGAGGGCAAGCAUUGUCUAGGUGUGGGGGGAUUUGAUAGAGCAGUUAUUGGGCAUAUUUUGCAGUGUUAUUUUGGCCUAAUUUUGGCUAUUUACGGUGCUAAGUACUGAGAUUUAACUCAUAUCUCAUAUUCGUAUGAAUUAUAGGUGAUCGGCAUUAAAAAUGAUCUCGCGGGGUAGAUUUCCAGAAGACUUGUCGUCCCAGGGCGUGACCACGCCUUGGAAGGUGGACGAAACCGAAAGACGGACCGUGGUCCAUGUGGACCAGGCACAUGGGAUCAAAACUCCAAAAGGGAAAUGGCUUUUGUAGAAUCAAUUGCACCAGACGUUUCCUUCUUUGACUCUUCUUGGACGGCCGCUAUAAAAAGAAAAGAACAAAGCAAGAUUGAGCAUCAUCUACUUUUUAGCCUUAGGUUCUCUUUUUCUACUUUUUUGGAGAAGAUUGGUCAGACGGUUUUCUUUUGGUUUUUCUUUUGUUCCUUCUGCGGCUCUGGGUCAGACAUUGGAGACUUUCUCCGUUGCUGUAGCUUUUGUUUUUGGCUUCUGUACAAUUUUUCCUAUUCGACUUUUGCUUCUACUUUCGCUCCAGGGGUACGAACACGAAACCCAACAAAGGGAAGCGAAGCUUUUUCAGCAGUUCCUACGUUAAUUCAUCUUUUUCAAUUCUUCGGCAAUUAAUUGAAUGAAUUCAAUUAAGUCACGCGGGAUUGAUACGAUGAGGAGCGGCUAAUUUCCCCCUCUACCCAAAGGUUGACGCGAGGGCGCGGUCCAUAAUAUCUGUGAGAUCUAAUCGAAUCUUCAUUAUUUCUUCCAAUUUAUUGCUAUUCGUGUGUUUCCUGAAUUAAUUGUUCAUGGGUAUUUUAUUAAUUGAAUAUCAACGGCCGGGUAUUUGAUUUAAUUUAAUAGCCUACUGCCACGUUAAUUAAAUAGAAUCCGUAAUUGUUCAUUUAGUUGACACCCGUGGCAACCACCAUAAUUGGCUUUAUGAUGGGGAAAUGCAAGAUCUAAUUUAAAUAAACCCUCUUAGCUUGUUUAUUGGUUAGGGUUGGGUUCUUCUAACUUUAAUGCAAUUGGGUAAUUAAAUUCCUAUGGUCGUACCUAGGGUUGUUAUCUGGUUAGGGAAGCAGUCAAUGGUCGUACCUUGACUGUCGAAAAGUUAAGGAAGAAUUGGUUGUCAGAGCUUAUUGAUAACUAUAACCAACCUAGUGAUGAAUGGGUGAAAUAUCUUUGCAUCGAUGAUCAUUUAAUUGGACCGUGCCUGAGCAGUUGAUCCUUUGGGUGGAAUUUUGUUAAUUGCUAUUUUUAGUGAAUUGUGCUUUGUGAGUUAGUUUUGAAUUUUGUUUGUUUUAUUUUAUUUUAUUUUUAUUUGCCUUCCAUUGAAAAUCCCUCAAUUUCGUUCUACUAAUUUGGAAAGAAAUAAUUUCCUACCUGCUCCCUGUGGAAUCGACCUUACUUGCCAUUGUACGCAAAAUUAGUAUUUUUAUAGACAAAUCCGGUAUAUCGGAUCAAGCAAACUCUUCGGGAACAGGGUGAAUCAAGUAACCCAUUGCACACCUAGGGUCCCUGCUCCAGUACUUAGAUUUGUUCUAUAAUUAUUUAAUUAAGGUGGUAAUUAGGAAUUUUUAGUAAUUAUUAUUGCACAGGUUCGGCACCUGUCAUAUGGUCCCUCACUUCUAUAAAACAUACCGCUAUGGUCUAAAAUCUCAUUUUGGGCCAAUUUUCUAAUCAAAACUUAAACAAAAUUAUCAAUUUGUGAACUGAAUCACUAAAAUCACCAACCACAUUACUGUUUUCCAGGUCCAAAACUCCAACCAAAAAUUUAAUGAAUCGUGAUAAUAGCAUGAUUUUUUCUUUUAAAAAAAUAUUUGUAUAAAACUAUUGAAUAAAAGAAAAGGCAGAAAAAAGUGGAAACAAAUCCUGUUGAAAUCAAAGGUAUUAUGUUGCUAAGCUCAAUUGUUAGAUUUUGGCUAGUUUUAGACUUUUGAUUUCUUAAGCCUAAAUUAUGGCUUUAAUGGGCAAAAAUGUCAUGCGUUGGGCAUGUGACCUUUUUUUCCCUUUUGGGUCAGAAAUGUUGAUUUUGGUUUCAUAUUUCUUUUGAAAAUAUGGACACUUGAAUAGUGCAUGCAUUUUUUGUUUGUCAAAAAUUGGCGGCAAAUGGGUUUAGAGACCAAAUUGAUACAUUUUGUGUUUGUGAGUACCAUUUUGCAAUGGGGAAGGGUUGGGUAACUUGGGUUGGAUGCUAAGGUAGAAAGGAUUAUCAGAAAGAGAUCCUUAGUUCAAGACCUUUCGCUAAUCAAAAAAAAAAAAAAAAGUACCAUUUUGGUCAGUUCUGAUAUCAAUCAUUUCUUUGUGUGGGUAAGUCUGAUUUCAAUUUUCUCAUCAAAGAAAACCACAUUAAUGUCGCUCGAUGAAGAGGAUGAUUUCCUCUUGUCAACCAUGGCUGGAAGACCAUGUCAUGUGUUCAUCUUUUUUUUUUUUUUUAAACUUUUUCAUUAUGGUUUCAUUUUAUGAGAUAUUUCAGGUAUUUAAAUUUUCCUUUAUGAGAUUUUUUUUAGUUUUUCUUUUUUUAAAUUUAGGUCUGUCAUGGAUUGAAAUUUCACUUUGGUCUAGUAUAAAUCAUACAUUGCACAUGGAAAAUAUCUUAGAAAAGAAAUCAACUUAAUGCAUACUGCUAAAGCAGAGGAGAUUUGGAUUUUUUUCAAAGAAAUAAAACCGAAUAGGUGCAGAAAUUAUAAUAAAACAAAAAUGAUGAUGGCAGACUUUUUCUUUUUCUUUUUUUUGUUGUUAUUUAAAGUGGUGACAGACUUAGUAUUAAGCAACUUUAAGGCUUUAUUAUGGUGAAUGAGACUGGCAACUUGUUAAGCCAGUAAAGUCUAGUAGGAAAUGAUCCACUUAUCAUGGUAUUCAAUUUUUUAUCCAAUAGAAACUGUUGACUUAUAGACAAUCUGUCAAAAAAAAGUUUUUGUUUUUGGUAUAUUAUUGUUGACCUGUAGGCAAUGUAUUCAAUGCUAGCAUAUGGUGAUUUUUUUUCCUUCUUUAUUUUUUUCCCUUCUUUAUAUUAUUGUUGGCAAGUAGACAAUCAUUCAAUGUUAGUAUAUGGUGAUAUUCGUUUUUUUUUUUCAACUGUGAGUAAGGUUAUCAAUAUGGUUUAAGUAAAUUUGGUAGGAAUCUAUUUCUGAAAUAGCAAUCUGAUUACCAUUUUUUUGUAUUUGUCUUUUAUCAAAGCAAACAUAGCCACUUUGUGUAUUGCACAAUAUUAAAAUUCCAAAUAUCAAAACACAGAGUUUACAUAUUUGUAAACAAUCAUUAAUUUCGUGACUAAUGUAUUAAAUUCGUUACAUAUUUUGUCUCUAUUGGCAUCGUUUCACUAGACAGGGUAUGAUCAUCAUAUACGUUGUCUUCAAAUCUCUUCAGAAAGUUGCCCUAUUCGAAAAUUUUCAGAAUUAUGUUUAUUUUUAAUUCCCUGGAUUUUAUGUAUAAUGGAUGGUUUUUAUUUUAUUUUAGUUUAAUUUUAAUUUAGGAAAAAUUACAUUUUACCCCUAUGAUUUAGUAUUUUUUUACAUAACCCCCCUAUGGUUUCAAAAACUAUAGAUAACCUCUUCAUGGUUUGGAUUAAAGUGUCAAAAUAACAGAAUUUGCAUUCCAUAACGGAAUCAACUAAAAUGUCAAAAAUACCCCUAUGUAAAGUUGAAAAUUAUUUAUUAACCACAGGGGGGUUAUGUAUAUAUUUUGAAAAUCAUAAAAGGAUUAUAUGGUAAGGUACUAAAUCAUAAGAGAGUUAUAUGGUAAAAUAUAAAAUCAUACAUUUAUCAUGCAUAUUAUGCUUAUAUAUUUUGAUUACUUCAAUAAUUUUACCUUUAAAACAAGGGUAAUUUUGACAUUUUUAUAGAAUUCGUUACGAAUGAUCAUUUUCGUUAUUUUGAUAUUUUAAUUCAAAUUAUGAGUGGAUUAUAUAAGUUUUAAAACUAUAGGGAAUUAUGUGAAAAAUAGCUAUACCACAUGGGGUAAAGUGUAUUUUGACCUUUAAUUUAAGUAGUUGCAAUUUUAACACCAAGUCUAUUCUCAAGUGGAUAUGCAAGAUAAAUGCAAUGUUUUGAAAAUCGGACCGGACCGGCCGGUUUGACAGGUCGGACCGCAAACCGGUUAUGUCUCCGGUCCGGUUCACUACUAAAGUUGACUUGUUAUAAGAACCGGUCAAAACCAUAAAAACCGUUAGAACUGUUCAACCCGGAUUGACCCAUUGAACCACGGUUUUUUAUUUUUUCCUAAUUUUUUAAAUCGAAUUUAAAAGUCUUGAAAGGUGAAAAUGCAUCUUCCCAACUUUUCUUUCUAACCCUAAUUUCUAAUGACGGCUGCCGCAUACUCUCUCUCAUUCUUAAUCUUUUCUCCAGUUCUCUUUAUUCUUGUUUCAAAUUAAGAAUCCAAAUUCUCAAAGGUAUCGGGCUUCUUAAAUAUGGGGUUUCUUAACUGCAAUUCUCUAUUUUUUCUUGCAAAAGAUUGGAUUAAUCUCACAAAUCUUAACUCUCAAGACAUCGUCCAGGUUAGUUUCAUUUUUUUUUCAUUUAUUUGUUUAUUACUUGGCGUUUGAUAGAUUGUAUGAUUCUUGAGGUCUGCAAUUUUUGGUAGUUUUAUUUUUAUUGUUCGAUUUUUCUUUGAAGAGCAAUUUGUCUAUUUCAGUUUUUUUUUCUUUUUCUUUUGUGGGUAAGAAUUUGAAUGCCAUGAGAGAAAACCAGUGCAGAAAGCUAAUUUACUUGAUCAACUAUUAUGUCACAAAACUCAGGAUUCAAUUCCUAUUUUUGGUAUUGUAUGUGUACUUCACUUUUGUUGAUUAUGUACUGGAAAAUUCUUGAAGUACUUUGCACUAAAAUAUAUAAUUUAUUUUGGCUGCUCUUAUCCAUUAGGAAUACUCAAGAACAUAAUCUUUAUACUAGGCCGACAAACGAUGUUAGGGACACUAUUUAGUGGAUUUUCCAAAAUAUUGCAACAGGCUACACUUGCAAUUUUUGUGCCUAUUCCAGAGCAUGAUGAUCAAAUUGCGUGGCUUGAAAAUUCUUCAGGGAUGUUUACCGUAAAGGAUGCUAUGAAAACAUUCCGGCCCGAGGUACCGCUGUACAUUGAAGUAGUUUAGUAUGGUAUGAAAAUCACAUUCCUAGACAUGUUUUUAUAUUGUGUUUGGUAUGUAACAAAGACUUAGUACGCUGGAUUAGAGGAAAUGCGGUGUUCUCAGUUGGGGAAAAAUUCCUAGAACUCGUGCAAUAUUCAGAUUAAUUGUUCUUAUUCACUGGUUGUAGCAAGAAAAGGGGAGCCUGCAUGUUUGUGAGUUCUCAGAUUGUAAAAAGCCUCCAAAGGAUCCUACAUACAGUUUGCUAUGAUAUUUAUAUUACCUACUACUGUUAGCCUGUUACUUGACAUAGUUGGAUCUUUAAGUGCUUUUAUGUACUCUUUUUCCAGGCAGAAUGUUCUGCGAUACACUUGUUGUAUUCUUCUUCUUCUUCUUCUUUUUUUUUUUUUGUUUUUGUCAAAACAUGUUUAUAGGCUGAGAGGUUAGAUCACUUUCUAUAACACACAAUAAAGAAGUAACUACUAAUUUUGUUGCAAUACAUCGACUACCAAGUUUAUCAAAAAAACAGAAAGUUAUUUGUCAGUGACAAACGGAGAUGAUGCAAACAAAUGUAUGCGUCCGGGAUAUCGUUGUUGCAAAACAGAGGUGCAUGAUAAAAACUACUAAAGAAGCAUGAUAUUAGUCUAAAGAAAAUAAUCGAACUCCUAAACUAGUUAAGAAUUUUGUGACUUCUAUCAUAAUGGAGACACAAAAGUACGUGAAUCUAUUAGAUUUUUCAAUUCCUUUCCGGUUAAAUAGAAAGUUCUGAGUAUUUUGACUUCCGGAAUAAGUUUAUUCUAAUUGUUCUCAUAUUAUAACAUAUUCAUUUGGUAAGCUAGUCUCUAUCUGUUUGUUUCAGAUUUUGACUAUGAAUUAAGGUUGGAUAGGGAGCAAAACCAGUUUGAUUGGUUUUUCUUUUAAAGAGUCUGAUCUCCCUUCCAAGGUAGAUGGAGCAAAGGCAGAGGUCCAAGACCAAGAGAAAGAUGACAAGAGAGAAAAGAUUGAUAGGAACUUAACUCAUCUUCUAUUAAGUGGAUUAAGCUAUUAAUUUUCUAAUAGAUUAGUUGUACUAAUCAAUUACUAUAGCACAUUUGUUGAUUUUUUUGGGCAUACACUAAGAAGCAACACCUUAGUAUUACCAAAAAAAAAAAAGAAGCUUAUAAGAGACUUGUAUUGAAACUGAAAAUGAGCUUAUGCUAUUAAUUCAUCAACUCAUUAUUUAUAGUAAUUACAUGAAAUAAACUAACAAAAUAUCUAACUAACAAUUAUCCUAAAAAAUUUCAACAAAACACUUGAUAACAUAGUCUCCUACUCAACAAAUCUUCUCUAAAAUAUUUGUUAACAAAGCACAUGAUUUUUAGUUAACAAAUAUCCUAACAACAAGAUUUAUUUAACUACUAACUAAAUUAUUCUAAUAUCAAACAUAAUAUAAUAAAAUCUAUAAAAAAAGUUGGCAUAUUUCAACACUUCUUCUUGCCACUUUUGCUGCAGAUUUUGAAUUGCCUUCUCAAAAUUUUGGAUCUUGUCUUGGAGAAAACUUUUAUAAGAAUCUCUGCAACUGAUGAUUAGCCUUGCAAUGAACUUCUUCUUUUGGACUUUCAUACAAGCUAAAGAUUAGUCUUGCAACAAACUCACUUCUUUUGUCUUCUCAUGCCAAAGUCCAAAUAAAAGAUGUUUUUUUAAUUAUUUUUUUAUGUUUCCAAAUAAUCUUCUCAUAGGAUUAAAGUGAAACACCAUUCGACAAUAUUUAAACUUAUAAAAAAAAUAUUAAAUUCUACAUGGUUCUUCAUUUUAUCAUCACCAUCAAAACUUGUAGACUAAAAAACAACAAUAUUAUAAUCAUGAUAAAUAUUAGUAAUCAAUUUGAUACCUCAUAACUUAUCAAUGAUCUCCUGUUGAAUUUUUUCAGGAUCUAAAUUCUUGAUUUCAUCACGUUUUACUUCAAAAUUAUCAAAACCCGACCAAUUCAUAGUGAAACUUUGUCUUUUCAUUUUAAUUGAGAAUAAUUAGUUCUCAAUCAAAUUAUAAGCCAUUAUCCUUGUGAAAACGGCAUCAAAUGAUAUGUGAAUGCUGAUUUUGGAUCUCUAUCUAACUUCAACUCUACGGUCUUUAAUCUGUAUAUCCAUCGGUUUUUCAAAUAUUGACGAUACAAAAUUUGUGUCCACCAUAUCCCAUAGAUUGCUGACUACCAAAUAAGUCCAAAAUUUAAUGGCCUAAAUUUGGUAAGUUUCACCACUAAAAGUUGAAGCAUUUGACAAAAAGUUCUUUCCUAUCAUGGUUUUGAACUUAUAAAGGAUCCUCAUCAAAUGUUCUCACUCUCAAAAAACAACACAGGCAUUAAGACAUAGGCUCUGAUACCACUUUGUUGUUUUUCUUGGGGCAUAAAUUAAGAAAUAACACCUUAGUGUUACAAAAAAAAUUAUAAAAGACUUGUAUUGAAACUGAAAAUAAUCUUAUAUUAUUCAUUUAUCAACUUACUAUUUAUAGUGAUUAUAUGAAACAAGCUGACAAAAUAUCUAACUAACAAUUAUCUUAAAAAAUCUCAACAAAACACUUGAUAACAUAAUCUCCCACUCAACAAAUUUUUGCUAAAAUAUUUGUUAACAAACCAUAUGAUUUUUAGUUAACAAAUAUCCUAACAACAAGAUUUUAUUUAACUACUAACUAAAUUAUUCUAAUAUUAAACAUGGUCUAAUAAAAUCUGUUGAAAAGGUUGGCAUAUGUCAACAACAUUGAUUUGAUUUUGCUUGAGAUUACAGGCAUCAUUAGUUCCAUACUACCAUGUGACACUUGUUUGUACAUUUUUUUUUUUUGUAUCGAAAUGGGACUUCUGCUAACUACUUCUAUUAAAAAGUGAAGCAGGUUUAAAGACCAGAAUUGGUGUGAAAUAAUGUGGGAAUGCAAAUAAAACUAAUUCACGGUUAUGAUAGAGAACAUAAAAGCUAAUAGGCAGUAUAUAUGCUAAACUGAAUUGCAGGAAAGGUAAAAGCGAAUACCAAAGAGUCGAGCGGCCAAAAAAAAAAAAAAAAAAGGACUCCUGCUGCUUUUGGUCAAAAUUUGCUUAACGAUCAAGGAGGUAUGGGACGGUAAAGAAGAAAACAAAAUCAUGUCCUAAUUUAUUAGGACAUGAACUUUCGUCUAUUAUUCUUAACUGCAAGGAGCUGUUGACUACAUUCUAGCCGAAUAUGUUUCUACCAUAACUACAGCGAAGCAAACAAAUGUGCAGACAUCCUAGCAAACUGGGGAAGAAGCAGCACUCAAGACUUCACUUCUUUUGAAUUAUGUCCUAAUUUUGUCCUUCCCUUACUUUUGCAAGACUUAAAGGGUGUUACCACCCCACGGAUGACUGUACUUUAACUUCCACUCUGUAGACUUGGCUUUUACUUUAAUGCAUCUUUAUUUACCAAAAAAAAAAAAUAAAUAAAACAAAAUAGCUUUGGAUUGAAAAUUCUAGCGUUUAAUACUAACAGUGGCACUGGCUUGUAUCUACUUUUAUGCUUACCCAAAAGACUUCUAGUUUCAUGGCCGGAUUUCAUAACUUGUGUCUAGUUACUCCAUAAAUGUACUAUGCAAGUGAUUAAUAUGAUACAACAUAUAUGUAAAAUUUAAAAAUUACAUUACUAACCAUGAAAUUAAAACUAAACUAAGGAAUAUUAUAAGUGGCUUUUAGGAUGGAACAUAUACGCUCAUGAAUUUUAAGUUACUACUCGGACAUACCUGUGGUAUCCUUCAAUAGGAUUUUAUAAUCACUUCAAAAAUUAUAAUUGUCUAACUUAUUUGCUAAGUUUUCCAUAGCUUACAAUUUUUCUUCGUUGUGUUGGAUAUGGUGGGAAUUGAGAGUCCGACAUUGAUUCUGUUGAUGCAGUAUUUUCUUGUUGGUCGACGAAAUCAAAAUCCUUCCUUAUCUCUGACGGAGUUUUUGAGCAUCCACAACUCAUACCAAGGUUAUAAUACCCCGAUGUGUAGUGAUUUCCCAUAUUUGGAUUAAAAUAAGUAGGUGGAGGAUACAUGGGAAUUGGGCAUGAAAAAUUUGGUAGAUUGUGGAAAUUUGAUGGAUAGUUGGAAUUGGAUAAAUUUAGGGGAUAUACAUAAUUUUGCACAUUUGUAGGAAUACCAGAAAAUGGGUAUUUUAGGUAAUUUGAAAAAUUUUGGUGGUUUUGAUUUUGCGAGGAGGAUGAAUUUUCUAUAUUUGGAGCAUUUACAUAUUUGUAAAACUACUAAAAUUCUCAUCCAUAAACAAACUAUUGAAUUUUUGUUAAAAAAUUGUGCAAAGAGGUUGAGGAAAAUGAGUGAGAGAGUAAAAGGAAUAAUAGAGUAGGAUAGUAAGAUAUGAAAGAAAAAGGAAUGUGUUGUGUUUAUAUAGAGAAUUAAAACAUAACCAUUGGAAAAAAAAAAGAACGUUGCUAACUUUUCCUUGCCAAUAUAAAUUUUGUCCGUUGUGACUUCAAAAAAAUUAGAUUUUUAAAAAAAUUGGUCUAAAGGCACUAGUCUACCUGUUACACUAUCAUCAGAAUGAUACGUGUAAUGGAUAUUACACGGGCAUAAUGAAUGACCGUGUAAUGGACCAAUGUCAUGACAGGUAGUACAUGCAUCAUUACACUCCAUUGUGGAUGCCCAUAUACUAACAAAACUGGACCCUCAAAGGCAGCUUUUUGAUGACAAGCACAUGAGAAGUAGAUUUCCUCGAGCAGCCUCUGGAUAGUGCUUGUGGCGGUGCUGGUGCUUUUGACAUUCUGGGCUACAAUGGUGAUGGACUAGGCAAUGUGGAAGAAUAUAUUAUACUGGAAAGAAAUUCACAAAAUAUGGGUGCAGAACUCCUCAAGGGUGUAAAUAUUAUAUUUAUAUCACCCCUGCUUUUACAAUAUAAUUUCUUCUUCCCUAUGCUUUAAUACAUUGACUACUUAACAAAUGUAGAUAUAUUUGCUUAUAAAACUUCUAUCAGUAAGUUUACUUCUUCACGCACAUUCAUCAAUGUCUUAUGAUCACCAGCCUCAAAUGAUUAUAUGGGUUAAACUUUUUAAAAUAUUUAACACCGGCACAACUAUGCAUUGAAAUGAUAAAAUAUUCAAGAGUCUUGGAAGGUGCAACCUAGCCCAAUUAUUACUACUGAUCAGCAAGCUCAACAGUCAAGACUUCUUCCAUUCUUUUGUUCCUAAUUUUUACCUACUUUCCUUCAAUGACCUCUCACACCAAUCAUUCCUCUGUUCAUCAUCUCACCAUUAAUCUCUCAAAUUCCUCCAAUAAAGUUCAGUUUUGUGCCUUAAACCAUAUGCGCAGAGUUUUGUGCCUUAAACCAUAUGUGCAGGUUUGAUUUCUUAAUCUACAAUAGCUUUUGUUUUUAUUAUUUCUACAAUUUACUAAUGUUCUAGUUUGAGAUUUAAAUCUAAUACUGUAUUUGCUUUGAUUUUGCAGUUCUUAUACUUUCAAAGGCAAGUACUUAUCUUUCUUCAUCUUUUUCUUUUGUUUGAUUUUUCUUUUUCUCCAACCUUAUUCUUAGCAUUUUUAGCCGUUGCCUGAGUCUAAGUUUGCCAUCUUUUCUUCAUCUCUCUCUCUCUCUCUCUCUCUCUCUCUCUAUUUUUCCUUUUUCAGUCUUAUCAGCAUUGUUUACAUAGCAUUUGGUUAAACAAUUAGUAGCAAUUUUUUUUCCUUGAAGAAGUUUGUUUUCCAAUUUCGUGGACAAUAUUCAAUGAGAUUGAUACAUAGUGUCAGAACUAUUGUACAAGUUAUCUCUGUACCAAUUUUGGCUUUCUUUCUGCGUUUAUAUCUACUGGUGGAUGCUGCACUUUUUGUUAUCUAGAAGGAUUUUUUCCUUAUAUUUUGUUUUGUGAUUGUAUGUAUUAUAUUUGCAUUAGGGCAGUGGGGAUGUACUCUACUAGAUUUCUAUUUUUUUGCUUUGUAUAUGGAAUAUUAGGGCAAAUUUCACUUUACCCCCUGUGGUUUAGCGUUUUUCACAUAACCCCUAUGGUUUCAAAAGCUAUACAUAACCCCUUAUGCUUUGGAUUAAAGUGUCAAAGUAACGGAAAUAGUCACUCGUAAUGGCGUCACCUAAAAUGUCAAAAAUACCCUUAUGUAAAGUUGAAAUUUAUGUAUUAACCAAGGGGGGUUAUGUGUAUAUUUUGAAAAUCAUAAGGGGGUUAUAUGGUAAAGUAUUAAACCAUAGGGGGGUUAUAUGGUAAAAUAUAAAAAUCAUACGGGGUUGAUGUGUCAUGUAUUUAUAAGGGUAAUUUUGACAUUUUUAGAAGUUCCGUUACGAGUGACUAUUUCCGUUACUUUGACACUUUAAUCCAAACCAUGAGGGGGUUAUGUAUAGCUUUUGAAACCAUAGGAGGGUUAUGUAAAAAAAGGGUAAACCAGGGGGGUAAAAUAUAAUUUACCCGGAAUAUUAUGAUGUUAAAGUUGGAGAUGAAAGCUGUCUUUAGAGUGUUUGACUUCAUGGAGAAAGUUCCGCUGUUCAUACUUUCCAUUUAGCCAGUAAUUCUACUUACUGUUUGGCAACUUUCUCGAUUUCAUAUUACUAGAAAACGAAUUUCUUGUUUCUUGGUCUCAGGCUUGUCACAUUCAUAUACUUUUGUUCAAGAAGUCAAAAUUUGUUAAUUGGCUAAAAGGCUAGAUCACUUCUCUGAACACUGAAUGAAGAAAUAUCUAUUGAAUUUUGUUGCUGAUGCAAACGAUUAAUAUGUACAGUUUUUGUAGAAACACCCAAUCAACAACUAACCAAACAGAGCAUAUAUGUGUGCCUCUUAGGAUGUCAUUGCUGCAAAACAGGGGUAACAUGAACAAAACUAGUAAGGAAUUUUAGAUUAGGCCGAAGGAAAUCAUCGAACUCCUAAGUUGGUCAAGAAUAUGGUGUCUUCUAUCAUAAUAAAGAGACAGAAGUAAGCCAAUCUAGUGGUAUUUUCAAUUUCUUUCCGGUAAAAUAGCGACUGCUGAUUAAUAUGACUUCUGAAUAGGUUUGUUCCAAUUAUUCUCAUCUUACGAGAUUUUCAUUUGGUAAAGUUAUCUUGAUAUAUUAGUUUUUAGAGUUUGCCAUCAAUUAAGGUUGGUAGAAGGAGCAAAACUAGUUAAGUUGGAGCAUCAUGCAUGCUCCCACACAUUUUGAUGGGUUGACGAAACUAGCACGCUUGGGAAGAACAUGAGCAACAUAUAUACCUAAUCAUAUGUUGAAUGAUAAUGAUGCUUGGCAAAUGCUUAUUUCAGAGAGUAAAGCAGGUUAAAACAGAAGAUAUAUGACAUCCCGCAAGUAUUUCUAGUGACUUUCAUAUGUAGUUCAGCCAAAAUCAUUUCAUUGGUCAAGCAUGGUACUAAUGUAGCUUAAUAUCUUAUUUCCACAUUGAGUUUGAUUGUAUUUAAGCCUUUCAAUAUUCCCUUAACUACUGAUGAAUAUUGUUUCUGAUCAAUUCUCAUUUUAUUUCCUGCCAACUGCCAAGUACCCUUGUCCUUGACAUGUAUAGCAAUAGCUAGAUUGUUACUACUGCUACCUUACCUCCUACCUUUAACAUAAUCCAAAUUGCAGAAUAGCAGCAAGGUACUGGAAAUGGAACAAAUUCUUCACACGAAAGGAGGGGAAGAUGAGGAAAGCUAUGCCAAAAAUUCAACAUUUCAAGUAAGUGAUAAAUAUCAGAUAAAGUCUGAAUGAUUCUCUCCGGCCCUCUAUAUAUAAUUGUGUGACUGAUCUCUAAAUCAGUUUCUACCCUUUGGAGAUCAGUGUUUAUGAAUGUCAACCAUGCACUCAAUCGGAGCAUUCAGGGUUUUGUCAAGCCAGCCUAGCAGAGGCAGAGUGCAUAAGAGUAGCAGAUCUGGGAUGUGCAUCGGGACCGAGUAGGGCAAAUUACAUUUUACUCCCCUGUGGUUUAGCAUUUUUUACAUAACCCCAUAUGGUUUCAAAAGUUAUACAUAACUCCCUCAUGGUUUGGAUUAAAGUGUCAAACUCCCUCAUGGUUUGGAUUAAAGAAUCACUGACAGAAAUAGUCACUCGUAACGAAACUUCUAAAAAUGUCGAAAUUACCCUAAUAAAUACAUGACACAUUAACCCCGUAUGAUUUUUAAAUUUUACUAUAUAACCCCCUUAUGGUUUUCAAAAUAUACACAUAACCCCCUUGAUUAAUAAAUAAUUUUUAACUUUAUAUAAGGGUAUUUUUGACAUUUUAGGUGCUCCAUUACGAAUGGUCAUUCCUGUCACUUUGACACUUUAAUCCAAACCAUAUGGGGUUAUGUAUAGCUUUUGAAACAAUGGGAGGGUUAUGUAAAAAACGUUAAACCACAGGGGAGUAAAAUGGAAUUUGCCCGACCGAAUACGUUGUUAACAGUUGAAAGCAUUAUAGAUAGCAUUAAUAGAGAAUGCCAUAACCUGAAUAUUCUUAAGCUACCUAAUAUUCAAGUUUUCUUAAUGAUCUCAUGUCCAAUGAUUUCAACUCCAUUUUCAAAUUAUUGCCUAGUUUUUAUCAAAAACUUGAGGAAUCAUAUGGACGUGGUUCAAGGUCAUGCUUCAUUGCAGCUAUGCCGGCUCUUUUAUGGAAGACUUUUUCCUGACAACUCCAUGCAUUUUAUACACUCUUCUUACAGCCUUCAUUGGCUUUCUCAGGUUCGCCAAUCUCCUGCUUUGUUGUUAUUAACACGCAUUGCUAUGUUGGUAUUUACGGACCCUCACUAUCUUAAUUUUCAUUACUAUCUAUCUAAACCCCUGACUGCCUGAUAUAAUUUUUACAUUAUUACUAUCUGUAAUAGUUUUUGCAAUAGUUUUGCUGUUUUUUUUUCCUGUUCGAUUAAACAUUUGUGUCCUUAUACUUGUCUGUAUCUUACUUUCAGAGUACUUGUGAUGCUACUUGAAUCCUAAUAUGUAACCUUUGUGGUAAAUUAUCUUUGAACUCUUUGAAAAGGUUUGGAUUUAGUUUCCAAACUAGCCAUCACAUAUUUUUUACGUCCUUUAAUGUUGUUCAGCAAAUCAAACUGAUUCCUUGGUGUCAAUUAGAAAAUUAAUAUUCAAGUCUUAGCCUCAAACAUAAUGAAUUCUACAAGUAUACCAAAAGAAUAUGAAAACAAUGCCAAGCCCCAAAACAUGAUACUUAUCAUGUAUUUCUCUACCUCUCUGCUGCAGGUCCCGAGUGGGUUGGUGACUUAGGAAGGGUUGCCACUGAACAAAGGCAAUAUUUACAUAGGUAAAACAAGUCCUAAGAGUGUGCAUGAUGCAUAUUUGGAUCAAUUUGACAGAGAUUUUACAAACUUCUUAAGUGUCCGUGCUGAUGAAUAGGUGUCUGGGGAACACUUAUUUGUGACCUUGGCGACUAAAAUCGAUGGUCCCGUAGCAUAUAACGUUCAGGACUUACUUGGAUGACAAUGAAUGACAUGGUUUCAGAGGUAAUGAUUCAUACACACUCAAUCUCGAUACAAUGUGUGGUGAAAUAUGAUCCCAUCUGGGUAAACUGUACAGGGACUGAUUGAGGAAAAGGCACUCGAUACUUCAACCUUCCACAUUACCGGCCUUCUUUGGAGGAGUAAAACCAUCAUUGAGAAAAAUCGUGCUCUUAAGAUAAGGUAUCUGGACACCAUUCAACUGCGAGUGAUUGGUGCGGAGGCGACAGAUUGCGGGAAGGGCUACGUUUUCAAUACAAACACCAAUGCCAAGUACAGGGCUAGGAUUGAGUGCUAUUUGUGAACCCAUCUUUCAAGCUCACUUUGGAGAUGGUAUAAUGAACGAUUUCUUUAUAAAGUUGGCUGCCAAUAUCUCACAACAUCAGGGAAUGAUGAAGAGCCCUAUCAACAGUCUGGUUCCUUCCCUCUCCAGAACAUGAAAGCGGAAGAUGUAUACUUUGGCUGGAUUAGGUUCAUGAGCAGGCUUAAGUGUGUCGUAUUGGUUUGAAAGGGGUAGAAAUAGUGUCUUAACAUAUAGAUCUAAAUAGUGCAUGAUGCAUAAAUCUGUGGACCUUUUAGAUUAAGAUUGGCUUUGAAUUUAUAUCUGAGCCUCCUUGGUGGGGUUUUUUUCCUUAAUAGUCAGAAAUAAAAUGAUGCGACUUUCCUUGGUGGGGAUUUUUGUGAUUUUAAAUUAAAAAAAUUCAAAUUUUGCCUUUCUUUCCCUUCAUAGCAACAUAGAAUGGAGGAAAAAGAAAGGCAAAUUUUGAAAAUUUUUCUAUUUAAAAUCACAAAAUCAUAGCAAACAUCAUUCUAAAAGAGAUGACUAGUUUGUUUUGUUGAAUCUUGUGAUCAUUAGUAUAAUUUUGUUGCUUAUUUAUAUUGUUAGUUCAUUAAAUGUGAACUUUUGAUUGGUAAAAUAUGUAUUAAUUGUUUCUAAUUUUUAAUUAUUUUUAUUCUUUUACUAUUACAACUUAUUACAUGCAUAAGGAAAUAUUUAUAAAAUCAAAGUUUCAUCUCUCUCCUUAAAGUACUUUUUUAAUGUUACUUUUUCUAAAUUGAUUAAUUUGUUAUUAAACUUUAAUCUCAAGAGAGGUUUGUGUAAUUUUAAAAACUUUAGAGAGGCUAGUAAAAUUGUUAGAAACCUCCGGGAGGUUUAUGAACAUCCCUAAAGAAAACCAAAUGCCUUGGACAGCCGGAAGAGGACCGGUCAGGAUUUGGUUGACGAAAUGAGGAAGGAGAAAUUUUCAGCGAGCUUUUGAAGUCAUUUGAGGCAAGUCUUGUAAAAUUCAAACUUAUUUAGCCCUAUUUUAUGAACUCGGGUUGGUUGAAACCUAAAUCAAACUCCCCAAAGCAUGGUCAAUUAAGUAGUUCAAAAGCUGAAAGCUCUAGAUCACAUUAAAACCUCAAAUCUUAUCUCUCUGCAGGCCAAGCUAGAGUAAUAUAUAUAUGCAUUCUAGCCAGCUAUCUGGGUGACAAUUUAGUAUAGUAAAGACUUUUUACAUGCCUACAAUCCAACAGCUAGCUACCGGUAUUCUUGCCGUCUCAUCUUCAUACUUUCAAUGCUUCCAUUGAUAUGAGAUCCAUAUUCAUGAGAUUGACAAAGAGCAAUCCAGACAGCUUAAACUGGAACCAAGAUCAACCAAAUUGGCUACAGGUCUCAGCCAUGCCAGCUAAAUGGUUCCUUCAUAUGUAUUCCCUGUCUCAAGCAAAUCAGAUCAGAAGAAACCUGCAAAAUACAUGAAAGGUCGAGCACUUCCAUAUGUCUGUGAAAGACAUCCAACAAAGCCUAUUAACUCGAAAGCUGCUGCUUCCUACAUGUUCCAACAAAGCCUAUUAGACACUGACUGUCUUCAAUAUUGAUACAGAUAUUGGAUAAAGAGUUGACAAUGAACAAAGAACACUGUUAACAAUUGGUAAUGGAAAGAUGAUCAUUCCAAAUAAUUACAUAGAUGAACCAAAAAUGGAAUUCAAAAAUUAGCGAGGGCAAUAAAAUUUGCAUAUUGUCAAUGUUAAUAGAAGCAUGAGAAUGAAAGCUAUAUGUCUAUGUAAAACUCGGAAGAAUAGUGAGAUGAUAAUCCUUCCUAUGCUUACAAAGUGAGGUUCUAAUCUUAGCUAGUUUGGCAUAAUAACCCAAGAAAAAGUCAUGAUUGAUAUUCAUGUAUUAAUUCAAAACAAAAAUCAACGGAUUUAGCCUCUAAGUGCUUUCUUUUGAGCAAACGAUUUCUCCUAGUACACUAAAUAUUUAGGACAAAAAUGGACUAGUAAAAGAUAACCUUUUUCAGAAAGAAGCAGCAAAAGAAUGCCGCAAUUCUAUAAAUGUCGGCAAGUAGUUUCCUUCUUCCUUGAAUUUGUUAAGAGUUAAUUGCCAACUUCAUUUCAAUGGCUACGCUGAAAAAAUGCUCAUCUAACCUAGCAGAAUAGACUUGUGGCACAAUAUCUCUAUCAAGUGGAAUGAAGGACCUUGAAAAACUUCCUUGAGUAACAUUUACUA